GAUGCCAUUCGUUGAAACAAAUUCCAGACUCGAUCGGAAAGUUGACAUCAUUGAUUGAGUUACAUUUGAAAUCUACGGCCAUUGAAGAAUUACCUAAAAGCAUUGUUAAUAUGCAAAACUUGAGGAUGUUGGAUAUUGAUGGAACUCCCAUGAUAAAAUUGCUUGAUGACCCGGGAAUAUUGGCAGAACUCAAAGGGUUGAGAGCUUCAACACGGAAAAAUAUGGAAGGGUCACCUAGUAAUAAUGGCCAAUUGGUUUUGCCAAACGAUCUUGGUUUAGAUGAGCUUCUAAAACUAUCAAAAUUGCGCUCUCGCGUACUAUCUCUUGGUAUCACUUGCCAAUCCUGCAUUCACUGAAUUUUUCUCAACUAAACUUUCUCAAGAAACUCACUCUUUCUAACUGGCUUAAAUGUCUCUCAAACCUUUCUAUAACAUGUUAUAGAAAAGCUAUGAAACUUGAUUUUGUAUCUUACAAAAGUUCGACCUGUUAGUUGGGCAUUUUAUUUACCUUUUGUCUUGUGAUACAGUUCUCUUAAAGCGUUUCAAGACUCCUCUUGCCAACAACUUAGCCAUGGACUACCAAACAACAGAUGAACGUCCUUUGAAGAGAUCAAAACCUUUUGGAAUCUCAAAUGAAGUACUUAUUUAAUUUUGCUUUUUCUUUGUCGUUCUUCAGUUAUUAAAGGAUGGUUCCAUCUACAAAGAGAAGUAUUUUACUGAAUGAUCAAUUAUUUGUUAUGUGUGGAAUGCUUUGAUCAACAUUCGUAACUAGAUCCAUCAAACCCGUUACAUUCUCGCUAUUUUAAGUAUUUUGUUCCUGGAAGUAGGGAUUUUUAGUUUUCUUGAAUUAUGAAGUUAAGGUGGAAUAUAUUGUCUGUUCUUUUGUGUUUCUCUUUCUUAAUUAUCUUUAUUUGCACGCCAUUGAAUGAAAAAUUUCUGAAAGCGCACUCAUUUUGGUGCUAUUGCGGCAUAUGAUCAUGCAUUGAGAAUCUUCACGAGUGUAGGGGUUAUCUCACAUUAGUUGUGGAAGGAAAAAGUAGUUAGUUUAUAAUUGUGAGGGAAAGUCUCAUCCUUUAAGUUAGCUUUUAUGAUGAGAUAAACCCAAGACCACCCAACAAAAAGAAACUUUUAGUUUUGAGGUUUCUAGAUACCCUUAAUUUUCAUGAUGUUAACCUAAUGAAAUUAUUGAAGAUUGGAAGGAUAACAAGAAAGUUUGAUGGAGAGAGAAAGGAGCAAAAGGGCUAGGGUUGUCAAUUUGUGUCCUCUUGUCAUAAUUGUGUUUGUGACUGUGUCAAUUCAUCAUGACUUCUAUUAGACAUGUCAACCCAUUGAAUUAGAUGAAAACAUGUAAAUAUCUCAUCAAGUUAAAUGUAUCAUGAUGUGUCAUAUUGGGUUGUGUUUGUGUUUUUCGUGUUUGGUAUUGUUAUGUAAACAGUGUGUGUCACUAUUGGCAGCAUUAAUGAGAAGCGUGGACUGGAUAGGUGUUGAUUACGUCUCCUCCCAUUAUGCAUGCAUUGUGCUCACGUAUGCUAGUACAAGAGGGGCUCUCAUAUGAGUCUUUUGCAUCUUUUGAGUGCCAUGGUUUUGAUCAAUUUUCUAAAGGACUAACUAGCUUUGUAAUCUUUAUGACCUUCUAUUAGGUGAAUAAUUUGCCGGUAAACAUUAUGCCUGUCUCAUACAAUUGCCCGAGCCUCGGUCAGAGUUCUUAUUCUUCAAAUGACUUGCCCAGAAAUGUAGUCAUUACCCUAAGUCAAGGUUCACUUGUUAAGAGUAUGGAUUUCCAUCAAGUGAAACAAAUUCUGCUACUCGGUUAGCACUUCUUUCUUACUCUAUGAAUAACACGUUCCGUGCUUUUCUUCAGUUGGAUAUACUUGUUCUCGUUGGAGGCCAUAAGUUUGUGCUUUUGUGCUUGGAAGAUUGCUUUUUGUUGUUCUUUUGACGCUAGCUUCUACUAUUUUAAACCAUGGGGUAUUGUUCUUCAAAUUUUUUGCAUUAAUAAUUUUUAGUGGGAACAAAUACGGGUGAUGUCAUGGUAUGGGAAGUAGGCAGUGGUGCGAGGAUUGCCUUGAGAAAAUUCAAGAUUUGGGAUCUGGGAACAUGUNNNNNNNNNNNNNNNNNNNNNNNNNNNNNNNNNNNNNNNNNNNNNNNNNNNNNNNNNNNNNNNNNNNNNNNNNNNNNNNNNNNNNNNNNNNNNNNNNNNNAUUUUGAUAUGUGCUGAUGCUGAUGGUGGAUUGCCGGUAAUUCAUUGUUGUUAAUUUAAUUUGAUUGAAUUAGCUGAACCUUUCCAUUAAACCUGCUCUUUAAAUUUGCAGGCUUCACCUUGUAUUAGAUUUAACAAGGAAGGAAAUCUAUUAGCUGUCUCAACAAGUGACAAUAGCAUCAAAAUUUUAGCAAAUGCUGAUGGGAUUAGGUUGCUAAGGACAGUGGACAAUUGGCCUUUUUAUGCUUCUAGAAUCACUCCUAGACCUCUUAUGAAGGUAAGCCUUUUCAAGAGUACACUGACUUCAUAGAGAUCAACUUGCUAAAUGUCUUGGAUCUUGUACUGCCACCAGCAAUCGAGAUAUCUAGUUCUUGUAAUGCUACUGUUGGCACAACCUGGGUAAUAGAGGGGUUCAGUGGCAUUAUUAAAAUGUUUGAUUCAAUUUCUAGAAUCUUCUAGAUGGGCAUUUGGUAGAGAAUUCUAGAAAAAUCCUACCAAAAAAAUAAAAAAAUUCGGGUGGAAAUGUCUUGAGUCCACUAAAGUUGUGUAGAAAAAUCCAUAAAAAUUAUCUUUGCAACCUGGCAGAGAUAGUUGCCUUCAAAAAAUUCUUUGACUCGAGCAGAGAUUUUUGCACGUCUAAGUUGAUGAUGCAAGCCUAUAAAAGGCUUAGGGUUGUAAAAAAAAAAAGCAUAUUUAGAACUUUGUUUUUUUUUUCUCUAUUCCUGAUAACAUGUUUGAAAUAGAAAUGUAACUUUAUUUUUUUAUUUUUGGGAAAUUUUUAAUCUAGAAAUAAGUUUUGAAUAGAAAUGAGAAAUAAAAAUUUUCUACUUUUCUAAUUUUGUUGCAAAAAUAAAAAUAAAAGCUUUUAUCAUUGCUAACUAGCUACUAGCUAGUCCCACCCAAAAUUUUAAGACCUAAUCGAAUGAAUUUUUAUUCUAAAAGUAAUUUUGUGUCGUUAUCAAAUGCAUAUCUUUACUUAUAAAGAAUAGAAAUAAAUAAAAAUCUAUUUGUGAUUAGAAAUUGUUUGCAUGUGCCCUUUGUACACCAGCUAAGUUAAUCAUAUCCUCCUUAAUAUGUAUCAUCCAUUGAAUAAUAAAAGCCUUUUCCUUUCGGCCCUGUGCUCCCUUGCUGCCAUUUCCGGAAAUCUUCGUCCAAUUCUAUUACAUCAGCAGCGGCUGACUUGGGGAGCAUUUUUUUCCUCACAUCCAUCCAGUCAUAUUUUAACACAUCUCUGUGGAUUUUGAAUUAAAAAUAAAAUUCCUUUGAUGAUCCAUCGGCCAUGGACCUCGGACUAGCCGGCACCCGCCCUUGAACAACACCGCUCCGGAGGCCGAGCUUCAAAUCUAGCCGAGUCGUGGCCUCGACGCCGCACCAGAUCUAGUCCGCCUUCACUUGCUUCAAGCUGAUCCAUGGCCGCCUCCGAAUCUGGUCGACCUCGACUCGACGCCAGAUAUCGUCUGCCUUAAAAAUGGUUCGAGCUCGGCGGCUCCUCCAUGACUGCCGAGAAGCCGUCGAGAUCUGGGUCACAACGUCAAGCUUGGCAGCCAUAGAAGGCUGUCACCUCUAGAUCUAGAGGCUCAAUGGCAAUGGAGGCCGAGCGUCCAGAUCUGGCCGUGGCGAAGGUCGUGAUAUGACCUCGAGUUGCAGCGAUGGCCGCCGUUAGAGGUCGCCUUAAGAGAGGGCGUUAGAAGUUGCAGAGUGCCAUGGACAGAGCGUGUAACAAGAAAGGAGAAAAAAAAAAAAAAAAAGAGAGGAGAAGCAAGGAAUGGCGGGUAAAAACAAGAAAAAGGAACGUCUUUUAUAACUUCUCAAUGGCAUCACCGGGAUGAGCCACUUCACCGACAAUGGACGGCCAGAUCUGAAGAGCCAACAGCGUCGCCGGCCAUGGCGGAUCAAGGUUCGCAAAUGACGCUGACGGCCAUGGAUGGCCAAAUUUGGAGAGCCAGUGGCGUCACCUAGACGACUGACGCCGACGGCCAUGGUUGGCCAGAUCUGAAGAGCCAGCAGCGUCACUGAUGCAUCACCAGCCAGACCAGCUCGUCCAAGGUCAAGUGGCUGGCUUUGGACGAACGAGGAAGACGGAGCUCGAGGGAACAAGUCCCCUGAUAAAGAAACUCCACAUCAAUCUUUUUUUAAUUUUGUUCAAAGAAAUAUGUAAAUUUUUUAGUGGAUUUCAAGGAACGCCACAUCAGCAGUUAGCACCGCUCUUUGAAACUACCAAAUAUUUUCUCCUUUCCUCCUCGCCCAUCUACACGCACUAGCAUAUAAACUAGAAAACCAUUAGGCAGCAAUGGUAGGUAUGGGAAGUGGUAUCAUUCCUGCAUUAGGUAGUUAAAUGUUUUUAACGAGCUUCAUUUGUUGCUGACGCUGUUAGUUAAAUGAUGCAAUAAUUGCAUUUGUAUGUGCAGUUUAUUGGGCGUCUUUCAAUGACAUCCUCUCUUUUGAGCUCUACAGGACAGUGAGAGCAUGGUCAAUGUGAAUCCCAGAAUUGCUGAUGAGUCAGGAGACAAAUUACGAAACUGGAAGCUGACAGAAAUCAAUGAACCAUUACAAUGCCGGUCCAUAAGGCUGCCUGAUAACUCUACGGCUACAAGGGUACGAAUGAUUGCCAGUGCCAAAUUAGCAUGUUCUUAUGCUGCACUUCUUUUCCACCUUAAUCGGUCAUGUUUCUACUAGCUAAGCACAAAUUUGAACAGGGGUCGCAUUUUAUGCACUUGCUUUAUUAGUUUCAUUCACAUGUGGUCCAAUUAUUGAACUCUUAAACCUCAACAAUUGAAGGACUUGUCAUCUCUUCAUUUGGCCUUUUUUUUGUUAACUGAUUUUUUCAACUAUAAAAAUAGGGAAGGAUAAGAGCAACAUUAAUGAAUAUGUGAGUAUGGACUGGCAAUUGUGCUUGAGUUUUGUUGGCUGUGGAGGUCAUAAAUUUUAUGAUAACGGAUGAUUCCUGAUUUAGAAUGUAGUGGUAUGAUUGAAUAACCAGACUUUUUUAGCCUUUACUUGAAAUCUAAUGAGAUGGAUUGUUCUGUGGACUCUCACUUUACAUUGGGUAAAAGGCACAGAUUCUUCGCGAGAUGAAUUUGGCUUUAUAUAUGGCCGGCAAAGUAUAUCAUCGCGCACCAUUUUGAUCUUGUCGGAAUGCUAAGCUUGUGAAUUAAGCUAUUUUGAGCUUGUCAACUCCCGGAAACUUUGAGUGGAAAUUGACCUUCUGAAUCUAAAUUCACGAACACAAGAGGCCAAACGUUAGGUACUCCCAGAAAAGAAUAGCAUGGUGAAGGCACUGUAUUUUUGCACGGAGACCUUACAGAGUUCUCUUAGCUCUAUGGGGAUACAGCUAGACUGUUCAAGUCGAGGUUCUAUGUGAUUGUCUCAACUGGGUUCUGAUGUCAUGGGUAUUGUAUGCUCCAUUCAUAUGUAAAAAAUUAAAAAUACAGUACGUGCACGCGCCCCUAUGCAGAUAAAUAUGCAGGCGGCGUCAUCGAGUGUCUCUUUGCAUAAAUUUCUGCAUCUAUCAUUUAGUGCCAGUUCUUUGGGCUCUUUCUUUUGCAUUUUCUUUUAAAUUUGGGUCUUACAUUUAACUGUCGAUACUGAAGCUAAUAAAAUGAAGCAGGUCUCGAGAUUAAUCUAUACAAAUUCAGGUCUUGCCAUUCUGGCUUUAUCAUCGAAUGCUGUACACAAGCUCUGGAAAUGGCAAAGAAGUGAUCUGAACUUAAAAGGAAGGGUAAGGAAUCUUUUUUUUCUUCUUGAAAUUGGCAAGCUAUUUUAUGGUUUGGGGCAUUGAUAGCUACAUCAAUUCGGCUUCCAAAAAAAAAACUACAUUAAUUCUUCUUUCCAGGCUACAACUAGCGUAGUACCACAGUUACGGCAACCUCCUAGUGGCAUUUUGAUGACCAAUGACAUAAGCUAUACAAAUCCUGAAGACGCAGUUCCGUGCUUUGCAGUGUCAAAGAAUGAAUCUUAUCUUAUAUCAGCAUCAGGGGGGAUGAUCUCUUUGUUCAAUAUGAUGACUUUUAAGGUGAAUAUUUUCCCAAAGGCAUGUUACAUCCUUUUGUCUGUUUUUUGUAGCACUAUCCACGAGGCACGAGAUGAUGAAAUACCCCUUUGUGCUGAAUACGCAUGCAGUAUUUCCUUUUCACAUUUUUAUGGGUCCUAAAAUUAAUUGAUUCUAUUAUGUAUAAAAGUAUUAAACUCUAUAGUGAGGAGGUCCAUGAAAGCAAUUGCUCCGAUUUUCAUGUGGAUUAUUUGGUCAGAAGUGCAGCAUAUGUCCUUUUUUACUUGCCGAGUGAGACAAGGGCUUUACUCUAUCUUCAAUGGAAUCUUUUUGCUCUCACUAAUUAAAGAAAAAAAGACGAGCUUUUUUCACCCAUCCAAAGGUCUGAUGAUCGAACUUGCUAUCUCCCUUUCUUGGGAAGGGGAGAUGCCAUUGAGACAAGUGCCUCUUGGCACAUAUGUCCCACUGUUACUUAUAAAAUUACUCAAUACUCUUACCUGCUGAUAUCCAGGUGAUGACAACGAUUAUGCCCCCACCAACAAACAGUGACAUUAUUGCAAUAGGAAUGGACGACUCCUCUAUUCAAAUUUACAGUGGUCAAGAGGAUGAGGUGAGACCUGAUUUCAUCAUCAUUGAAAGUUAACCUUAUUAUUAUUUGCAACAGAGUUAUGGAUAUUGACUGUUUCACUUUCUCAGGUCAAGACAAAACUAAAAGGACAUCGAAGAAUAAUCAAAGGCUUUUCCUUCCCAACUUCCUUAACUGUUCUCGUGUCUUCUGGCGCCGACUCUCAGGUAUUGGACUACUAAUUUUUUACUUGCUAAGUGAGAAAAGGGCUUUUCUGUAUCUCCAAUGGAAUCAUUUUGCUUGUAAUGAUAAAAUAAAAGAAAGCACGAGCUUUUCUCAUCCAUCCAGAGAUCUAAUGGUCGAACUUGCUCUCUCUCCCCCUUUCCGGAGAAGGGAGAUGCCAUUGAGGCAAGUGCCUCUUGGCACAUAGGUCCCGUUGUUACUUAUAAAGUUGUUAAUACAAUGCUGCCUGCCGAUAUCCAGACAAUCACAACACUUGGGCCUCCACCAGCAGCAACAUUUCUGGCGUUCUAUCCUCGAGAUAAUAACAUCAUUGCAAUAGGAAUGGAGGACUCCUCUAUUCAAAUCUACAAUGUGCGAAUUGAUGAGGUGAGACCUGUUUUCAUUGUUGUUGAAAGUUAACUUGUUAUCUACAAGAAAGUUAGGGAUAUUGACCGUUUCACUUUCUCAGCUCAUGGCAACACUAAGAGGGCAUCAGAAAAGGAUUACGAGCCUUGCCUUCUCUCAUGUCUUGAAUGUUCUCGCGUCUUCUGGCGCUGACUCUCUGGUACCACACUACUACUGCAUCUUACUUUCCAAGCAAACAUGCCUAAGUUUUGGGUGGAGAGCAAUGUAGUUUAUAGUGCCCCCGGAAAAGGGUUGAUGUUCACUCUCUGGAUUUAUUGAUGCUUAUGUCCUCAGCAUAGGUCAUGAAAUGAAGGCAUCCUUUACUGGCAGAAUAAAUCCUUCCAGAAAACUUCAUCUUUUGUGUUGACAAAUUAAUCCCAUCCCAUUAAGUACGAAAAAAGAAGCUAUGAUGAUGUCCUGUUGCUGCUUACAGCAGACCAUCGAUGUGAUUCUGAUAUGAAAACACAAUGGACAAUUUUAUUCAUUCAUUUCUGCAUCAAUGCCAAUAUCCCUUUUGAUGAUUGUCUAUCAUCACUGCAGUUGUGUGUUUGGAGCACUGAUGGAUGGGAGAAGCAGGCUAGUAAGUUUCUGCAGAUGCCGAAUGGGCGAGGACCGUGUCCUCUUGCUGAUACUCGCGUUCAAUUUCAUGUGGAUCAAGUACAUCUGCUGGUUGUUCAUCAAACACAGAUCGCCACAUGUGAAGCUCCUAGACUAGAACUCCUCAAGCAGGUAUUGAAGAUUUUUUUGUUGUGCAUGAACCAAUCUAUCAUCUCAUUGUGAUUGCAUUAAAAUUAUUGAAAUAUUAGGUAGUAUGAGUUGCUUUGUGCCAAAUGUACUUUUUUUGAUUCGUUGUUCAUCGCAACUAGUGGGACACUCGAGAAGCUAGCGCUCCAAUCACAGAUGCUGCAUAUUCAUGCAAUGGCCAAUCAAUAUAUGUGAGCUUUGAGGACGGAAGCAUUGGUGUUCUUAUUGCUCCUACACUCAGAAUGAGAUGUCUCAUAAAUCCUGCUGCGUAUAUCCCUCCAACCCCCAGGUAAGCUGGUUAUUGCAGCUCACUUAAUAUGAAAAUGGCAAGUCUCAUUUGCGAAGUUCCAAUUGUCUCGUGAGUUUUUCAUUCCUCAAUGUCAUACUUGGCAGCUUGAAAGUCUACCCGAUAGUCAUUGCGGCACAUCCGUCCGAACCUAACCAGUUUGCACUAGGGCUUACCGAUGGCAGCGUCUAUGUGCUUGAGCCAUUGGAAUCUCAAGGAAAGUGGGGAACUCCUCCAUUUGUCAGGUACAAGCGCAACCGAGUCAGAUCAACCCCCAAGGUAGUGCAGGCCACGUCUCUCCUGUGAAAAGGAAAAUUUCAUCUUCCUUUCGUUAGCAGGUUCUCCUUUCUUGUUCUUUCACCGCAAAAAGAAAACUUCAUCUUCCUUUCACCCUCCUGUUAUGAAGGCGGUUUGAGUGCAACAGCACUCAAGACCUUGGAUGACAAGUAAAAACUUCACCACGGUCAAUCUCAACGUUUGCUUAUCGAAUUGCCAUUAUUAAGAAUCAAGUUCCAUCAUUUUGAGGAGGAUAUAGCGUUUAACCUCAGCUAGGGUACAGAAGUGAGUUAUUCCUCCAGGUUCUGUAGUUUGUUUGACCACUUGAUAUUUUCAUUUGCAAAUGAACACGAGCAGGUGGGAGUAUGAGGACGAGACCUUUUUGAUCUCAUCUAUAUUCUGGCCACCCUACCUUAUGGUACUAUGCUAUCUGCUUCGGAAGAUUGUUAAUUCUCAUCACAUGAGCCUAUGUUGUCAUAGCAAAGUGCUUGCACCUCAAACCAAUGGAGAAGCUGGAAGUGCAAUCUGAGGGCAUCUGAUUUGAUUCUUAUGUAGCGGGUUCAACCCUUCACAAUUUUGGAUAUCACACGUAAAAGGCACAUUCAUCUAAAUACUGAAUUUGCAGAACAAAUAGCAAAGUGAAACUAGCUCAUACAUUUUCUUCAGACAUUUCCACAUAAUUUGGAAUUAAUUUAAGUUAUAAAUCGGAAAGAUAGUGGGUUUCCUCCUUUUUGAGAAGAAGUUAUCGACGUGGGAGUUCGGAAGGGAAUUGGAGUCUGUUUGGCGAAAAUGGAACUGAAUUGGCCGGUGACGGUAGACCGGAGAUGAUUGCUCGACAGGGUCUGGUUUCUGGGCUUUUAUGGGUCCGAGUAAUGCAAGUUGGACCUAACAAAUGUGGAUGGGCCAUGGGCUUUAGCUUGGACGAAUGGAUCGAGCCCAGCGCAUGAAUGAAUAUCCUUUAUGAAUUGAAGUCCCUUUUAAGUUUUUUUUUUUCAUUUUGAUUUUAUUUAUUUUUCAAUAAAAACUGCCUAAAUUGCCGAUUUUGCUUAUAUUUUCAACUAAAGAAUGAAGUGACGACAGCAACUCCAACACCUUGAAAUUGGGCGAAGCAAUUUCCUAAACGCAAUUUCCAUUGACACAUGUGAAGCUCAAAUAAGCAUUAUGUUUACUAAGUCUAUAUUCGUUUCCUUUUAUUUUCUAUUUUCUGAAAGUUAGAAAUUUCAACAUAACACAGUAUGGACAACCAAUUGAACUACUAUUGGAAUUAAUAAAAUUUCAAUGUCGAACAUUAUCAAUUAAAUUUUAGUCCCAAACCAUCACAGAAUAACAUGCAAAUUUUUUUAUUGUGUAAAAAAAUUCUUUGAGCUCUCUAAUCUAUACUACUCAAGGACGGGUGCUUUUCGCCUCUGGCCUUAUGCCGCCUUAUUUCUCUAGUUUUGUUGUUCGAGAAUAUGAAUGGCAUGGGAUUCUUUUGUUUAUUGACUACUAUCUAUACAUAGUAAUGUAGAAUCCCCAUGAAGGUGUAGACACAGGAUGUUCGGUGUGUUCAGACUUGACAAUAUCGUCAUUUAGAUUUGUCUAUAGAAAUCGGCAAGGAAACAUACCUCUCUUCAAUUUUCUUAACCUUUUUCCGCAUCAUAUCUUGGUUUUUGAUAAGAGUUUGAUUAAACUGGGGACCACAAGGAGCCACAUCUAUUACCAUUCUGUCCUAGUGAAAUGCGUUGCAUCUGAUUGUGAUAUUGAAAACAAGAAAGAACAAGCAAAACAACAAUCAGCCAUGGCUUCGGGCGGCCCUCUCCUCAAGUUCGAAACAUCCGAAACCGCAAAACAUAAAACAAAGAAGAAUAAACCCUUACUUCUGCCAUGGCCUUCUUUUCUUCACCAAGUUAUUCCAGAUUACUAUGGAAAAUCUUUGAAGUCACGGCUUUCUUGACUGCUUCUAGUUUGGAAUUUUCUCUUCUAUGUUGGCUUCUAACAUGAGAAACUCAUAAUGGGGAUGAUACGUUCCAAGGACUAAAAAGUAUACUCUAAAGCCAGUCUAAGGAUCGUUGACAGCUGAAUUUUCCCUACUGCUAUUCUGAGAAAAUUUUGUUAAUAAAGAAAGAUUGCAAGUACUCGGGUCAACUUAGUUUGACUGGGACGGAGCGGCCCGAUAGAACUCGGCCCGAUCCGGUCCUAAACUGUGUCUCUCUCUGGCCAAUAAGCGAUUCCCUGGUUCGCAAUUUCAAGCUUCCAAAUUGAUGCAAUGGCCGUCGCCAGCGUCUGUAGCCUCUUCACCGCUGCAACUCGUCUCCUUUGUUUCCCUCUGUGCCGCGGCCGAGAGCUUUGUGAAUGUUCUCGUUCUUCUCCACCUGUUUAGGUUUCAUUUCGAUCAUCGACACAUUCUAGAGCGUCCUUCGGUGAUUCGUGCGGCCAACCACGACCUCAAUCCACUUGAUUAACCCGGUUGCAUCUCUUGCUCUGUUCUCGCAAGUGAGAGGCUGAGAGUGCGCUUCUCUGAUUGUGAUGAAAUUGAUCCUAUUUGAAUCCGUUUCUUUGAUUUCGAACAUCAUGUACUGAUUUAGGUUGAGUUUAGUUGUAAAUUGGAGUUCGAAAUGGCGAUGCUCUGUUCCUCAACCUAUUGACCAUAAUCUGUUCGAUGAAACGUGUCUAAGACCUUGUCAUGAAUUGACUUCAGUGAUCGUCCGAUUCGAAAGCACAUCAGUGAUGUUCACAUGAUAUUUUUUGAUUUGUUAAUCUUUAGACAUGAUAACGAGUAUAUGCCAUAUUUGCCAAGAAUAAAACCGACUCUCCAUUUGUUUUCUCCGUGCUUCUUGUGAUCCUUUGGCGGUCAGUGGUGGUCGCCAGCGAGAGGAGAAAGCUUGCGGUCGCUGGUACAUGCAUUUAUCUUUAGUGAUGAUCAUAGUACGCCCUGUCAAACAGAAUCGAGAUGAUGUCACUUAGCAUUAAUAGCGAUCAUGCCAGCUCGGAUCAUGAAAUUUGGUUGACCCAGGUCACUGACUGGAGCAAUGUUAUGGCCGGUUGCUAUCCAUGUCCUUGCCACUGAGUCUCCGCGCAAUCUCCUUGAGAGCCAAGCUUUGCUUCUGUCCAUGCCUUGCAGUCCAUCCUUGCUAAUUGCUGUGGUAAACCUUACCAUAAUGGUCAUCCAAGUGACCUCCGCUCGUGACAGCAUAGUCAUCAGAAGAUACUGCCAUAGAUUACCGCUAUGGAUCGACGUGCCAAUAGAGCUAUAUCCACUGCGUGUCGUUAAAAUCGGAUCGCCUCAUAGCACCAGGUUAUUUCUGUUCCGACUGAGUUUAGAGUUGAUUGUAUGUUCGGAUUUCCUUCACUGCUUUGUUUUCAUGCUCAGGUUGCCGUGCGUCUUCUUAAAACGAAUCAUGGGAAAGCUAACUGCGUAGAAUUCCAGUCGUUAUGGGGUCGAUACUUUGUCAAAAAUCAUUGUGCAUUACCUGCUUCGCCAUUCCUGUCUCGUCCUUCGGUUAUUGAUUACUCCACCUUCAUCAAUUUCAUUGUCCGGAGGCAGAUAAUCAAUCUAAGAGCACCCACUAAAAUAACAUUCUAUUUGUGUCAUAACUUCUUGCUCCAUUCUCUUCGCAUGAUAUAUUCUACUUCACUGCAUGUUAUUGAGGGAAAUCGAUGUUCGACAAUCGAUAUGAAGUGAGCAACUUAUACUUAUUUUCCGUCUUUAGUUGAUAGUUUCUGCGUAUGACAAUCAACAAAUGAAACCAGUUAAUAGCUGCUUGGAUUUAGUAAAUUGCAGAUUUACUUCUAUCUUGGAAGUGUUGAUAUCAUCGCUUUGUCCCGAUUGUGGAAAGAGUUUUGUUCAUUUUGAGCUUGCAUAAGAAUCGAUGGAAUGCUGAUGGAGCAAUGAGUAGUGCUGAAAUUUCAGAAUUUUGACAUCAGUAUGAUCACCCUGUACUUGUGAACAUACGCCUAUCUUAUUGUGCAUGCUUGGCCACUGCUAUUACUUUUGUCACUCUUUGACUCAUGAGAAAUAUGAGAUAAGAGUGACAGGACCAUCGGAUCAAACACACGUGAUGAGACAUUGCAAAAAUUCUUGUGUCAGAACAUGAUAAUCAACAAAAAGUAACUCCAAUAAGCCAUUCCAUUGACCUAUUCCAAAUCUCCAAAUAAAUGUCAUGCUAAUUUAAAAGAAAUCCUGAACUUAGUAAGCACAAUAGAGUAAAGGAAAAUUCUAUUUUUCAUUCAUAUACUUUCACGCUUUUCUAAUCAUGUCUAUACUUUUAAUUUGCCUAACCAAGUCCAUCUACUUUAACAAACUUUCUAAUCAAGUCUUUCCAACACUAAAUACGACCAAAUUCAACUAAAGUGGCCCUUCGAUGACAACAAUGUAUGAUGUUGAUAAAAUAUGCAGAUGCCCACGUGGACAUGUAUGGAAAAAUUUAGCCAAUGUAGAUGACCUCGAAGUGUGACAUGGACAAAAUAAUGGAUGCCCACAUUAGAAAAUUUUUAUCCAUGUCACACAACGAAGACAUCUGACAGUCACAUCAGUUGGAUUUCGCCUAAUUUGGUGUUAGAGAGACUUGAUUGGAAAAUUGGUAAAAGUAGAAGAACUUUAUUUAACAAAUUAAAAGCACAAGGGACUUGAUUGGAAAAAAUGUGAAAAUACAGGAUAAAAAAAAAUACUGCCACAACUGAUAUAGCUAAUAUUAAUUAUCAAAAACCAACAAUUAAUCCACAGUCAGCAGAUUAACAGAGAGAUAGUGGCAGUAGCUGAGAAAUUACAUUAUAAAUUCAUCUAAUCUGCAUCAGCAGAAGAAUGUCUAACCUGACAAGACAAGUAAGUCCAUUUUGUACCUCAUGAGCAAUGAAAGGAAUGGUCACACUGCGUACUCAAAAUUCCACUGGGUCCAAUCUCUCUGACAUUUAAAAAAAAAAGUCCAUUUCAUCAACGAAUUCUAAUUCCUCGAAUUCUCUCUUUCGCUUACCCAAGUCCCGAAGAAGAGGAGGAGAGAAAACAGAAACGAUGGAAGCCUUACCUGAUGAACCGGAGCUCGGAGACGUCGUCCAUCCGGGGGCCGCAGAACUGGAUGAAGUCGUCGGGGGAGAAGUAAUUGGGGACGGCGACGACGAAGAGGGUGGUGAAGCGGGCGCCAGGCCUCAAGAGGGGCACGUGCGACAGCGUCCGGAACAGGUGGACCAUGCCCCUCCGCUCGGUGAACCUAGGGAUCCCUGGCGGCGGCGAGGAGGAGAAGAAGCCGCCGUAGUCGAUGGCGAGGGGGUGGUCGGUGUCCACCGAGUGGACCCGGAGGAAGAACAUCUUUUCCCCUCCGGGCUUGCUGCGAUCGACGGGCUGAGUCGAAUCGCCCGAGUUGGAGAAGAUUGCAGUACUGCGGAGCAGAGAGAAGAAACUCGCGGGAACUGCAAGGAGGAUAAUUCUUCCUGGAAUUACAACGGUUGCUACUUUCCACCCAAAUAAUUAAAAAAAGAAAAACUAAUUGCUUGUUGAGUUGAGAUUUACACAAUAAACAUAUUUUACUCAUUUCGGGUGUUUGAAAUAAUUAAAAAAAUUAAAUUUGAAAUUGAUCAUACGUAGAUUGCUAUCCGUUUUCAUUGAUAUCAAAUUACUUUUGAUUGAGCAAAUCUAGAAUUAUGUGUAUUAUGGUAAGAAGUACGUUAUGUGAUUGCUUAUGAACAAAAUAAUUUUGUAAUCAUCUCAUUCUCAUUUAUUAUUAAAAUGAUGAUGCAUCUGGAUUGAUAUUGGUAAUUAAUUCUAUGGACAUUGAGAAAGCAAAAAAUGAUAAAAACAUAGAUUGACCCAGCCGUAGAUUCUAUUUCUUUUGCUUCGUCUAACAAACAAAACAUGACUAAAAAAGCUAGAAUACCAUUAGAUAUUCUAAAACUGAAAUGCAAAGGCAGUCGAGUGUUUAUUCGGAGUAAAAAUUGCUAUUACAGGUGAUUAUUAUGCGGGCCUAAUUUGGACCAACAUCAGGAUUAACGUGUUGGUCAAGCUCGCUCAUAAAAUGAAUCACAUAUAAAAAUGUUGGGGCACCACUCAGGCAAAGGUUGGGCAAGCCAAGAUUUUUUAACGUAAGGAUACUAUCUAAGCCCGCCCAUUCUGUCGAGUCUGCAUAAGUUGAGUGGGUUAAUCACUUCUAAUGGUCGCAGUCGUACUACAUUGUGGUUGUAUCGUAAGUCAUGUGACUGGAAUAGCAUCUCAAAACUAGGUGAGACAACUUCUAAAAACUACUAUAAAUUGAUGAAGUUUUGAGGAUGGUGCAAUUUUGAGCAAUUUUUACUGAAUGUACAAUAUACCUUUACAUAAUAGUAGCAACUAUAGAAAAGUUGUAUUAAACAUACUCAAAAGGUCAAUGUUAAGAAAAUUAAUACCAUAAGUACCCAAAUUCUUCCUAGUUAUGCAAUCUACAGUACACAUGAUAACUAUUAUAUUUUUCUUUUUUUAUUUUAUUUUUUAUUCCCAAGAAUAGAACAUAAAUCUGUUUGGUAAUGUAAUUUUAUUUUUCUAUUAUAGAACAAAUUUUUACUCCAAAAAUAUAUUUGGAACAUAAAUUAGAAGUAAAUGUUUUUUACUUUACUAUUUUUGGAAUAAAAGUGAGAAAUAAAAACUCUCAUUAUUGAUUGCUUUUAACACCGCCUACCACCUACCGCCCACCCGCCCGUUGCCCACCACCGGUCACCCAUCGUCGACUACCUAUUGUUGCUCGCCAUUGUCAGUCGAUUACCUCUAGCCCACCAGUCACCACUUGUUGCCACUCAUAAGAGAAAAUUUUAUGUCGUUAUUAAAUAAAUACAAAUAGAUUUUUUAUAUCCUAUUUUGCUUUAGAAACUUAUCUAGGAAAUAUAAAUUGAUUUCUAGAAAAAAAAUAGUUAUUAUUUGUGUCCAAAUAACUAAAAUUUGUUUUUGAUCAAUUAAGCACCUCCACUAUAAAAAAUGUCUUGAUGUUAGACUUUUGUGUCAUGUCAUAUAAUUUUGCUGACCAUCUGAUUUAGGCACAAACAACGAUGUGGAAAGUUAAGUCAUUAUCUAUUUCCAACCCAACGCAAGAAAAAAAAAAAAAAAAAACUUCCCUUUCCUUGCUUUUUCUCUUUUUACUUUCCUUCGUGUUUUUCUUCUUCCUCCUUCCUUCGCCUACUGCCGUUGCCACUACCACCGGCAACCAUACUUAGUGGCCACCAUCUAUAGUCACACUGCUAUAGCCAGUUUUGGGUUGGUGGCAAGGCACAAGGGUUGACGUCUUUGGCGAGAAUAAUGCUAAGAGGAAGAGGGCGAGGAGGUGGAGCAGUUUUUCUUCUUAUGUAUUUCAUUGGAAGAAUGAGGAGACUAUCUAUCAUUACAUUCACCUAAUCAAAACAUCGACUUCAGCAAAAAUCAUGUGAUCUGAUACAUAAAAUCUUAAUAUCAAACCAUAUAGCAAAAGUCGAGACAUUUAAUUUAAUAUAGGAAUACUAGAUUGUGCGAUGAGAAAAAGUUUGGACUCGUGCGAAGUUAUUACAACUAGAAUGUUGAGCAUUUCAAGCUGAGAAAAAAUUCUGAUUAUGUGAAGACUAAAAAACUCAUUGUUUUUUUCAAUCUCUUUCUUUCUUUGUUAAGAUCAGAUUAUGUGAAGACCUAACAAAAAUUUUGAGAAAAAAUGAACUCCUCAAGGAAAACAUGCAUUAUUGAGAGAAGAAAAUGAGAAUGCUAAAACUUUUCUUGGAGAGCCUGGUUUAGGUCGAAAGCCUGGUUUCCAAGUAGCACAUCAAAUUAGGACAAGUUAGUCUUCGAGACUAGUUUUAAAGCGGGCAGUCCAAGUUUGACUGUUUUUUUUUUUAAUGCAUAAGAACCAACCUUUUUUCCAAGAGUUUCAUCUUCACGAAGCAUUCUCACACCAUUACACUAUGUCAAAUUGCCAAUCACAAUUUUUUUUCUCCUUGCUUUUUUUUUUUCCUUUUCUAUGGAGCACAAAAUUCAUUGAGGAAAAGAGGGAAAAAAAAAAGUAACAAUUACAUAGUUGAAAAAGAUCGCUCUUGGCAUAUUGAGAUCUUCUCAAUUAGAGAAGACCAUACAAUCCUUUCAUUUGCUUAUCUUUUCUCUAUCAUCUCUUUGUCCAAAGGUCGAUGACCUUGAUUUUACUUCAGAGAAAGAUCGGGUAAGUUGAUGACGAGACCCACAUGAUUAAUGAUCCAAACAAUCUGAUUUACAUGAUCUGUAAACCUUAGGCUAUGCAUGACACCAACAUAGGUGACGUAGUGUCCGGAGGGUAGAGAGGUGGGAUAAAAUUCAAGAUACGAUAUGAUUUAUCAUAUCCUAUGUUUGGUGCUUACUCAGGACAGUAUAUAGUCGAAUAUAAGAGGGAUAUAGACAAGAUAAAAUUAUCCCAUGGGGGAGGUGGGAUAAAUGUGGAUAUGAUUUCUAAUGUUCAUAAUAGGAAAUUUAUUUUUCUCGAAUAACAAACUUAUUAAAUUAACAAAAUUGAAAUUAUAUUUCAAUAUAAAUAAUAUUUGAAUUCUAAUUUAAGAAAUAAGAAAUAAGAAAUUUAUUUUUAAUUAAUCAUAUUUUAAUUUAUAUAUUCAACUUUAAUUCUAUCUUAUAAUAAACAUUCAAUCUAUAAAUUAAAUAUUUAUAUUUUUUAAUAUAUUUUAGGUAUUUUUGUAUUUUAGGGAUGUUAGUACAGUUUACUAUUUGAUAAAAUUUUAUGAAAGAAUGAUGAAAGGGGAAAAAAGAAAUAAUAAAGAAAAUAAUAUAAAAAAGAGGAAAAAUAAAAUAAAUAUAAAUUAAGGAAUAGUGUUACGAGAGAUUUUCAUCAUCUCCGUUUAUGAACAUUUAGGUUCAUUUAUAAUGAUAUGUCGUUUAUAUAUAAUAAAAAAAAUAUAUAUGAAAUGAUGUGAAUAUAUCCGACUUUAAUACUGCGAUUCACCAAACAAUAGAUAUGAUAUAAAAAAAUUCCAAGAUUUCAUAUCAUAUUCCUAUCCAGUCCUAUCCCGGUUAGAAAUCCGAACGACCAAACGUAUAUAGUAUGGCUUUUUCCUUUCCCCAUCCCUUGUGCUACAAGCCCAUUAAUGACUCGGUUCCCUCCUUUUAAACUUCCACACCAAACACAUUAUCUCCCUUCGACCUUAUGACGCAGUCCCCUCCUUUUGAACUUCCACACCAAAGACGUUAUUUCCUUUCGACCUUUGACAUAUAUACCUUGAAAUUCCAUGUCUUCUAACCUCAUCUUAAUCCUCACAUCUCCUCCACCAUCAUUCCACAUCUCUAGUCCUUCAUUUGCUUUGGGCUUUUUGAUAGUUUGUUCUCGAGAAAUUUGAGCAAAGACACGCUUUGAUUGGGUAGUUGUCUUUGUGUUCGAUGGCACCUAGUACUAUUUGAAAGGCAAUCGGGCCCGUCAAUGAUUAGAUAAGUGUUCAUAAAAUUCUAAACGCAAGUGAAUGUGUCGAACAAGUACUAUAAUGAUGAGAAAGAAUAUCGUCUCACGGAGAUCGAUGAUUAAUAAACUAAUUAAAUACUAAAAUAUAUUAAUUCUAAAAUUUAUCUAACAUAUCAAAAUAGAAUUGAGAAUAAAUUAAAAACAAAAUUUUGUAGACUAAAUGCAGUAAAUCAAUUUGAUAAUUAUGUUAGAGCAUCCGAUUUCACCAUAACCACUAGAUAUGAAUUUCAGAUUGUUGUGAAUACAAGAACGAUAUCAAGCGGAAUUUCCUAAUCUAUUUACUAUCCUAUCUCUAGGUAUAACAAAUUUACUCAGCUUAUUAAUCCACUAUAUCUCUAUGUGAAUUAAAAUAAACAUAAGUGCAUUAAAAAUUAUGAAUAUUCCCGGCUUAUAAUGAGUCUUUUGGAUCACUUUAUCAACGAAAUCUACACAAAUAAAACGGUAUAUCUCUAUCAACAUUUAAUUCAUGGUUAUAUAUUAUAAUGAGCAAUUGCAUAUUAUCACUUUUCAGUCUCAAACAUGCACAUCAGAUUAUUCAAGUGAUGGUCAGUCACUCGAAAGCAUUACGCACAAUAAAAUAUAGCUCACAUGAAUGAAAUCAAUUGUAAAAUAUAAAAAUCAUGAAAUUCACAUAAUCAUGUUUAGGCUACAUUGUAGCCCUAAGAAAUAAAAAUAUAAAUCAAACCUAGCAUUUUGAAUCAAAGAACAAGAAUUCUGUCAUCACUUUUGUCUUCUCUUCAAAAUACUUGAAAAACUCUCAUAACAAUAAAAAACGAUCUAACAAAAAUCUAGUUGCUCUCUCUGGCUCUUAAUGUUCUCCUCUUCAAAAGAUAUAUCCCAGAUAUCUAUCUCCCAACGCUUGCAGAUAAUAUUAGGGAACAAAAUCAAGAAUUUUCUGAUUUGAUAUUUAUCUUCCACUGCUUUUUUUUAUUUGAAUUCCUGAUAUUUGCCAUUUUUUUCCUUAUCUUCUCCAUAUCUCAUUAUUCUGCAUAAACAAGGAAAAUUCGAAUAAUCAGAAAGAAAUCCAAAUAUUUUCUGAUAGAUAUUGCAUUAAUUGUUGCCUAAAAUAGGUAAAAUAACUUUAUUUUUAUAGAGUUAUCAACAAGCAUUGGCAUAGCCGAGGUCUCAAACAACUUGGCGGUGCAGCUCGAGAUCCUGGUGGUGAAGGCCACUAGCCAUGAUGAGGACCUCGCGGACUAGAGGCAUGUCAGGGAGAUUCUCACCUUCACCGCGCACUCCAAAGCGUACCUUGACACCUGUAUUGCCUUAAUCUUAAGGCAGCUGAGCAAGAUGCACGAUUGGAUGGUGGCCCUCAAGGCCCUCCUACUUGUGCACUGGAUAGUGGUCGACGGCCAUCCCGGUUUCAAAGACGAGAUCAUCUUCACUUCUUGCCGCAGGAUGCGGAUGCUCAACAUGUCGCACUUCCAAGAUGAGGCUUAUUCAAAUUCGGGGGACCAUUCGGGUUUCAUGAGGUUCUACAUUAUGUAUCUUGAGGAGAAGGUCGAAUUUUCGGUGGUUGAGAAGAGACAGGAGGGCGGCGGCUGAUGAUGCAGAGGGGAAAUAUGAAGAGAGAAAUGAAUUUGCUCAACAUGUCGCACUUCAAACGAUUAGAGAAGCCAGAAGUGCAAUCUGAGAGCAUCUGAUUUGAUUCUUAUAUAGCGGGUUUAACCCCGACAAUUUUGGAUGUCACACCUUGAAGGCACAUUCUUCUAAACACUAAAUUUUUCUCCAGACAUUUCCACAUAAUUUGGAAUCAGUUUCCCUUAUAAAUCAGAACAAUAUUGGGUUUCCCCCAUUUUGAGAAGAGUUUCUUGACCUGGGAGUUCUAAAGGAAAUUGAAGCCUAUAUGGCAUAGUUUUAACUAAAUUGUAUUUGUAUCAUAUUGCAACAUACCAUAAUUUCUACAUUUAGUAGCACAUGUUUUAUAGUUGUCAUGACCCUCUCGACUAGGCAAGAAAGAAUAGGUUUUGAGGUAAUGUCAAAGGCGAAGAUUCUUCUAAAUCCUUAUCUCAUGUGACAUUGGUUUUUUAUUUUAAAGAUUUUAAAUUUUAUUAUAAUCUGAAAAUAAGGACCUGGGCCGGGCCCUUGGGCCUAGUCCGGACAUGAGCCGCACGCUGGUCUCACGAAUCUGGGCUAAUGGGUACAAUUUGGGCUUUUAUAUCCAGCCCCCUCCAAUUCUAACUUUACUGAGCCCAAGUCAGAUGACACCCAUCUUAAACCCAUUACCCAUGGUAAAAACCUCUAGCCCACUUUCUCUCCUAACUGCACCGAUUCCAUCUUUAAGCCCAAUUUCUGUUAUAGAUAAAUUAAACCCUAAUCCCACGCUAACCCCAUAUUAUUAUUAUUCGUUUCCCAUUUUUCCUCUUUUCUUACAUCUUUCAUCAUCAUCAUCAUCAUCAUCAUUAUUAUUAUUAUUAUUUAUUCUUCCAGCCCGUCAUCCUCUUCAAAGCAAAUUGAUAAUCUGCCAGCUCAUUCGUAGAUAAAUACAUUAAAUCCACAUAACAUGAGCAUUAUAUUUCAUUGUCCAUUUGUAUUAUAAGAAUCGAAUCUAAAUGCUAACGGACUGACUAGUAGCAAGUAAUAUAUGCGAAAAUUUCUUCCAAUAGAAAUGGAUCAAAAAUUAUAUCACUGACGUGUCUUGGAGACGUUUCAUCAAAUAGUCUAUGGGCAUCGAAGGGAUUGAAUCUAGUCAUGAAAUUGAAGCUGUGUUUUCGUCUAAAAUUAGUGUCAGAACCAAAAGCCAUCACAAUUAAUCAAAUUACAGCCUAGAUCAUCAAGUGAUUUUCACAUGAGUUUACAUGAACGUGAUUGAGUCACGCAUCUUUCCAAAACGGGGUAGGAAAGGGGGAUGAAAUCACCUUGUCAAGGAGGAGUUCUCGGUUUCAGUUACAGGGUCAAGCUUGCACAAAGAAGAUCUGAAAACUGUUGCCCCAUGAGAGUACGCGCUGGCAACGAAGCUUCGAACACCUUACAUCUCAAAAAUUAUUACCAAACCGUGUCCAGUGAAGCAAUUUCAUUAACAGCUGUUGUAAUCUUGAAGGGGCUAUAAUUGUGAAAUAUUUGCCGAACACCUUACAAAAUCUUCAUCACCCAUCUUUUACAGUUCAAGUUACCACAGAAGAGCCUACCAAACAGUCUCUCAAAAAAAAAAAAAAAAAGCUCUUUGUACAUCUAACAUUAAUUCUUUUUACUCUUUCCAAAAUCAUUCACAUAUUUUUAGAUGGUCAUAAUUUGAAUAAGUUAAAUAGUAAUUUCUAUGAGAGUCAAAUUAUUAAUUCGAAACCUUCAAGCAAAGAAUUAUAAAAGAAGAUUGCCAAUGGCAUUGGGAGGCGAUUUGGCAAAAGAAGUAUUUCUAAUAGGUAUAGUAAGUCAGAACUCAACAAAAACGUCAAUGGAAGCGUUUGAUCAUGAAGAAGAAGAAGAAGAAGAAGCAGCAGCAAUACCAUUCGCUAAGGGAGAACUCACGCACGCAGAAGGGGAGGAGGAAGCAGGGGAAAAUGGCUCCCAUCUUCGAUCAUCUCCGGUCACCAUUGCAUAACCUUUUCGCCGCGGUAUCUCAAGUUCCGAUAUAGCCACUAGCUACCAUGGCGUCGAUUAUUACAAGUUAACAACUCCUUCGCUGGUCGCGCGGUCAACCAUCAGUCUCAUGAGGAACACAUUUGCUCAUUUCAUCGAGAGCACCAUUCCAAAAACCAAAAAAAAAAAAGAACAUCGAGCAAGGAAAAUUCAUCUCAAAAAAGCGAUUCCGUUCGAUUCAGUUGGCGAUUUCAAGCGUUCUGAAUUGAUCCCAGUGGCAGUCGCCAGCAUCAACAGCCUCUUCGAUGCCGCGACUCAUCUCCUUCGUUCCCCUCUGUUCCGCGGCUGAGAGCCUCGAAAUGUUCCAGUUCGCUCGGAGCUUCUCCACCUGUUCAGGUUUCCAUCAUCGACACGUUCUAGAGCUUCUUUUAGUGAUUCGUGCGGCCAAUGGUGGCGUCAAUCCGCUUGUUAACCAGGUAGCAUCUCCUGCUCUUUUCUCGCAAGCAAGAGGCCGAGAGUCCGAUUCUCUGAUUAUGAUGAAAUUGAUCAUAUUUGAAUCUCUUUCUUUGAUUUUAAACAUCAUGUACUGAUUUAGCUUGAGUCUAGUUGUAAAUUUUCGUCCGAUUUGAAAGCACAUUAGUGGUGUUCACAUGAUAUUGUUCGAUUUUUCAAUCUUCAGACAUGAUUACGAGUAUAUUCCAUGGUUGCCAAGAAUGAAACCGACUCUUCCUUGGUUUUCUCUGUGCUUCUUGAGAUCCCUUGGUGAUUAAUGGUGGUCGCAGGCGAGAGGAGAAGGCUUAAGAGGCGCUGGCACAUGCAUUGACCUUUGGUGAUGAGCAUAGUAUGCCUUGUCGAACAGAAUCGAGACAAUGUCGCUGAGCGUGAAUCGCAAUCACGCCAAUUCAGAUCAUGAAAUUUGGCCAACACAUGUUAUGGUCACUAACUGGAGCAAUGUUAUGGCUGGUUGCCAGCCGCGUCUUUGCUGCUGAGUCGCCCCACAAUGUCCUCAACUGCACAAUGUCUCGAUACUUUGUUACAAAAUCAGUGUGCGUUACCUGCUUCUCAAUACCUGUCUUGUUCUUUGAUUAUUGAUUACUCCACCUUGGUCAAUUUCAUUUUCCAGAAGCAGGUAAUCAAUCUAGGAGCACCCACUAAAAUCACAUUCUAUUUACGUCAUCUACUUCCUGCUUCAUUCUCUGUGCAUGACAUAUUCUACUUCACCGCAUGCUGUUGAGGGAAAUCAUGUUCGACAAUCAAUAUGAAGUGAGCACGUUAUACUUAUUCUCUGUCUUUAGUUGAUAAGCUUUUGCAUAUGGCAAUCAAUGAAUGAACCAGUUAAUAGCUUGCUCAGAAUUAGUAAAGGAGGAUCUACUUCUUUUCUUGGAAGCGUCGAUGUCAUCACUUUGUCUCCGAUGGUGGGAAGAGUUCAUUGUUCUUUUUGAACUUGCAAAAGAAUUGAUGGAAUGCUCAUGGAGCAGUGAGUAUCCGAAAUUUACAAGUUAUAUGAAUUGGUGUGUCCUGUUGCUGCAUAUGCUGGAGUUUAGUGCUUAUUGAUCAUCUAUGUCUGCUGAACCGUUUGAUUUAUCACUUCAAUCAACAGAAUUCUGAUAAGACACAUGGCAAUUGUGAGAGAUGCCUUGAAACUGGCACUUUGGUGAUGAUAGUGCUACUUCCUGUCAAUUGUAUGUAAUUGUUUUAGGAAAAAACAUUUAUGAUAUUGGAGAAGUGAAUAUGUGUUGAAGGUGCCUUGGAUUUGCAAUAAUAAAACCCUAAAACCCUAGUGAUCUUGGAUCCAUUCAUUGCAGAAAUGGAGAGAUAUAAUUUAUACAUGGACGAUGUGAAUAGGUCGCUGCUGAGCUUCUUGCAUGUUUAUUGAAUUUAAUUUGCAUAACUGGUUGAGGCUAGCAUUUGAGUAGUGCUGGAAUUUCAAAACUGAGAGAAAUUGAAGAAUUUGAUGUUAGAUUAUCUAAGUCAAUGCCGACAAUUAGCAGCAUGUUUGAGCUAAUCAAGUUCUGUCAUCUGAGCAUAUUAAAGUUGUCGCCUAGUAGCGCAUCACUUAGUCCUUUGUAGAGUAAAUGCACCAUUUAGUUAGAAAUUCAUGCGUAAGGUUUCAAAGAGGUGAGUCUCAUGCAAUAUAAUGAGAAUUGAGCUGACAUGUAUGAUGAAUUCGCAGACUAUACCUGCUUCUUGAAUGGUCCCCACUUUGGAAGCCAAUGGAAUUGUAGGCAUUUCCGUUUAAAGUAUUGACUCUCGGGUGUUUAAACUGACUGUUGACUUUUGACUUUCCUUCUCCGCACUUGAUUCAAGUUUUGAGGGAUGCUGCAGAGGUUAGAUUUUUCAGCCUCGGGGUACUUCCUCUGGACGUAGUUCAGUACAGUUUGUCUUAGAGUGGUACAAUUAGCAUCUCAAUCAACUUCUGCUCAAGUCUUGUGGCAAUAGUUUGUUUUCAUUAUAUUCAUUUAGACUGAUUGAAAGUGAAAAAAGGAGAACAUGAGAUUAGGUUGUCGCUUAGAAGGCAUUGUAUAUUCGAGAUGGAGGCAGGUAUCUGAUUUUAGUUAGCAGGCUAAAGGACCAGAGGAACAGGGUUUAGUUUUCUUAGGUGGCUUCUUUUCUUGUUCCUUCUGCGUUAUGCUGAAAGUACUUCUUUUAUUUAUUUUAUUUAUUCUUUUCAAUUUGCGUAAAGAGCACUUGUUAGCAGGUUCCCCUUCUUGUUCUUUCCCUGCAAAAGCAUUAACUUCAUCUUUCUCUUGCACUCCUACUACGAUGGUGAUUUCAGUGCAACAGCACUUAGGCCUUGGAUGACAACAUAAACUUCCCCACGGUCAAUCUCGAUGUUUUGCUUAUUAAACUACGCCCUUUCAGAAUUAAGUUCCAUCUUAUUAAGGAUGACGCAGCGUAAGACUAUUCUUACGGACAGAAUGACUGGUCCUGUUGGGAUUAUUCUCGGACAGUUCCACUUGGGACUGAAGUCGGUUAUACCUCGAGCUUCUAUGGUGUGUUUAAUAGCAUGAACACUAGCAGAUAGGAGCAUGAGAAUGAGCCUUUUUUUUAUGUCAUCUGUAUUCCGAUCACCCUUACCUAUGUACUACGGUAUCUGCCACUGAAGGUUAUUAUCUCUGUAACAUGAGCCUAGUAUAUUGUUAUCGCGCUUUAAACGAAUGGAGAAGCUGAAACGGUGAAAUGAGGGAAGGAGCUAGAAGUGCAAUCCGAGAGCGUCUUGAUUUGAUUCAUAUAUGGCAGGUUCAAUCCUCGAUAAUUAUGAAUGUAGCAUCUAAAAGAGGCAUUCUUCUAAACAUACUUUAUAGUUGUAGCAUAUUAGCAUCUAAAAGUUGGAUGAGACGGCUUUUUAAAAACUGUUGCAACUUUGAAGGUGCUACAACUGUGAUGUAUUUGUUAAAUACAUUAUAUGCAAUCCACAUUUUCAUAGUUGAAACUGCCACAGGAAAGCCUUUUGAAUUGGGGACUUAAAUUAUUAUUCCCAAACACCAGCAUUAUUUGACCGUCCAAAACUUAUCUACAAUUAAGUUCGAAAUUGCUAGAACUCACUUUUUCGAAACUUCAUUUCUCCCCUCUUGAAAUGCCAUGGGAAAGGGGGAGUGAGUAAUUGCCUGCAUCCAUAUCCAAUAAAUUGCAUUUAUCAUAACCAUUGAUCAUAUGAAUAUUACAUAAGCUUUAUAUGUGAGACUUACAUGUGAUAUUGCUAGUGUAAACACCUAGAGGGGGGUGAAUAGGCGCACAAACUAUUUUUCUCAAAUACGUAUGCAACAGAUUGAAAUACGAUCGAUGUAGAGAGAGUAAGGAAGAGAAAAUCAAACACAGGAUUUAUAGUGGUUCGGCUUAUUCCAAGCCUACGUCCACUCUUCCGCACUGACAGCCCACGGGCUGGAUUUCACUAUGAUCAAAAGAGGAGUUACAGCACAGCUUUGCCUUGAUUCCACAGUGUAGAUGUUCUAUCACACCUCCUCAAGGUCUCUCACAAAUAUAGACUCUCUUUUGUAUACAAGUAUUCGCUCAAGAGAUUUAUCUAAACAAAUAGGAGCUUCAGACUUUGGAAUUUUUCUAUCACGCACUCUCUUUUAAACAACUAAGAACGUCUUCCUUAUAUACUCCUUUAUGCCAUCAUACCCGUUGGCACUUUCCAAAGGAAUUCCUCCAAUCUACCCGUUGGAUGGAAUCAAUUAGGAAGAUCGUUCGAGCUAUUAAAGGAACGAGUUGAUAGCCCAUCAAUCCUGUUCGCCCAUACAAUCAGGAUCUCGGUUUCCAUAAGCGAAACCUUCCAAUAAUAUUUAGACAAUCAUCGAAUCUUCAGUCAUUGAAUCAAUCUUGAUCAAUCAAAGGAUUCUGAUACGUCUUCUCCAGCCACGAGAUCUUCUCCAGAUGAUAAGGUUAAAUCCCAAACAAAACAUCCAGUUCGGGAUAACCUUUCUUCAACAGAUCAGAGACUGUCAAUGAGGAUAGACUUUGAGUCUUGAGUCUGGCUGUCCGGAAGUCUUCAGACNNNNNNNNNNNNNNNNNNNNNNNNNNNNNNNNNNNNNNNNNNNNNNNNNNNNNNNNNNNNNNNNNNNNNNNNNNNNNNNNNNNNNNNNNNNNNNNNNNNNAGACUCGCUAGAGAGACCUAGAAGCGCAAGUCGCUAGUAAAGUCUUCCUUCAGCUGUACAACCUCCUCACUCUUGGCAUUGGCCUGAUUCUGAAUAGAGAAGGGCUUACAUCUUUUCAUUUAAUGAACAGGAAGAAGCUUGACCUUCAUUCUUCAAGCUUUGAACUUCGCAUCCCAAGGCAUAUAUCUGACCUUUCAUCUCCAAGAGAAUAUCCAUGAUUCUGCGAAAAUCUGCUCCAUUAUCAGUCUGAGUACUUGCUUCUGCUCGUUCUGAUGGAGUAAAAGCAGACGAUGGUGGAUCAGCAUAAUCUCGCAGGUUUGGCGAUGAAGCUUCAAGACCUUCCUUUGGAAAUUGAGAUGCAUAAACAUCUUCUAGGUCUGCAGGCGAACGACUGACUCCUUCACUUUCAUCUGGAAAUGAAGAUGUCACUCUUUUCUCCUGAACUCCCCCUGUUUUCAUGCCUACAGGUGGAGAAGAGAUUUCCUCAGGUUCUCCUUCUCUUCCUUCUUCUUCAGGUCUUUCUUGCUCUGCUUCUUGCUCUGUUUCUCUUUCUCCUUCCUCCUUCUCCUUUGCUUCUCUUUCUUCUUCCUCUUUCUCUGCUUCUUUCGUCUUUUGUUCCGAUUCUUUCUGUGGAACAGGACGACUUAAGUUCUUUAAAGCCAUUGCAGAGAUGGUGAUGUCAUCAUCAUCAUCUUCAUCCUCAAUGAGGAGAGCUCUUCUUUUCUUUGAUGGAGCAGCCAUUGGCUCCUUCCCUUUUCUCUUAGCAGCAGAAGAGAGUUGAUGAGACUUGGCAGGAGUCUUCUCCUUGAAUUUCUCCAAUUCCUUGCUCAGUUCCUCUGUCCUUCAUCACCGCUCUAUACAUGUGAAACAUGACAGUAUGAGGGAGAGAAAACUUCUUUCCACAGAGGAUAGCAUACAUCAACUUUGCCUCAGAGCUAGAAACAUCCGUUUUGGAAGUUGAUUUUGGCCGAAGGCAAUUAAUCACAGUCUUGUGAAGCAAAAUGUUGAAUGCAUUCAUCCUUGAGUAGGUGAUCUUCUCUUCUGUUCUCCUGUCCUUCACCAAUUCAAGUGUGGCCCGAGCAAUGGAAACUUUAAUCGGUUGAUAUCUGCCUCUCUCAACUUCUAACACAUCAGCCAGCAUAUCCAUAUCUACAACAUAGUCUUGUUCUUUGACAUUGAAGGAAAAUCUAUUCGCAUCUAAAAAGCUAAGAUUUGAAUAGAAGUAAGCAGUCAAUUCAGCAUAAGCCUCAGUUGAGUCAGAACAGAACUUUUCAAGUUGAAGAUAAUUGAACUUUUCCCUCAAGUUCACUUUCACAGCAUCCAGAAAAUCAAAGUCCACACUCCUAGGGUUUAUUACCCCACGCUUCAGCAAUUUCGAGUACAAGUCCUUUUGUUCCUUUGAUCUGAACAAAUCUCCCCUUUUUCCUUGAAUUUCAGCCGCAAUACCCAUUUUCGGUUGAAAUAAACUGAACAGAUUGUCAUCAUCAUUUCCAUCUACAGGAUUUGGCCCCCAGUCACGAGGAUCACUUGGGAUAUUCGCAAGGGUUUCCUCAGCCACCCCUUUACGAGCGAUUCCCAAACUUUCCAUUCUUUUCAGAAAGAUAUAUUCGUUCCUAUAUCCUUUUUCUUUAACAAAACUAUCAAUAUAGUUCAAAGGAGUACGAAUUCCUUUUAAAGCACGAUAUAACUUGUAGAUAAAAGCAGGCUUUUGAGUUCUUACGGGGUCUGCUUCCUCGAUGAUUUCUUCCUGUUGAACAACGUCUUGAAGACUAGAUGAUGGAGAGUGACGCUGCAGAGAAUGUUGUGGGCUCGGUUGCUGAUCUGGAUAAACUUCAUCUUCAGUAAGAUCGAAGUGCGUAGGCCCCUUACUCAUUCUCUGUGGUCCCCUGCUUGCGAUUCUUGACGAUUUUCGUGAAGAAGACAUCUUUAACAGUGAUUGGAAGAUUCCUCGCUUGACUUUCCCAGAAAAGAUGACAACUUUUUGAAGAUUUAGCGAUGAAGACAAACGGAAGUGGAGGAUCGAUGCUUUCUAGGGUUUUGAGAGUAAAGUGAAUAGACAAGUGAAGAGUAAUCGAUAGUGCUCGUUCGGUUAAAAGGAAGAGUAAACGAAUCGUCACAAAGGAAAUAAAAAUAUGCCUUUUCAAAAUAACUGAUUUUAUCUGUAAAAAUAGUUAUUUCAAAAAUAACUUCCCUUUUGAAAAUGAAUCGAUGUAAUAUAUACGGCAACAAUUUAAACACAGUCUGAUGAUCGUACCUUUUCAAGAUAAGAUUGGAGAGAGAGAAAGACUUAUAGUCUGAAGGUCGAGACAAGACUGUUGAUAAAGUCUUGUAAGCCUGAGUCUGAAGGUCUUUAGACUUUGAUAUCCUCAUACCUCAAAAUAUUGAGUCUGGUCCGUAUAGACUCAAAUUGAUUUUUCUCCAAAGGCUUCGUAAGUAUAUCAGCCAGCUGAUUCUUUGAGUCAACAAAAAGAAUUGAAACAUCUCCAUUUUGAACAUGAUCUCUAAUAAAGUGAUGUCGAAUUUCUAUAUGCUUCGCUCUUGAGUGGAGAAUUGGAUUUUUGGUGAGGUUGAUAGCGCUGGUGUUGUCGCAUUUAAUCUCCGUGCAUGAGUCUUCAAUUGCAAAAUCUCUUAGCUGUUGUUUUAUCCAUAGAAUUUGCGAACAGCAGCUUCCAAGAGCGACAUACUCUGCUUCAGUUGUUGAAAGAGACACAAUACUUUGUUUCCUUGAAAACCAAGACACUGUUCUGUUUCCAAGCAACUGGCAAGUUCCUGAAGUACUCUUUCUAUGAACUCUGCAACCGGCCAGAUCUGCGUCUGAAUAUCCCAGAAGUUUAAAGUCUCCCUUCUUAGAAUACCAAAGACCGAUGCUUGAUGAUGAAGCGACGUAUUUAAUGAUGCGUUUGGCAGCGCUGAGAUGGGAUUCUCUAGGAUCUGAUUGAAACCUAGCACAGAUGCAAACACUCAACAAAAUAUCAGGUCUAGAGGCAGUAAGAUAGAGAAGUGAUCCAAUAAUGCUCCUGUACAGCAUUUGAUCAACUUUCUUCCCUUCUUCAUCUUUGUCUAUCUUUAAGGAACUUGACAUUGGUAUGUCGGUCUUUUUGCAAUUCUCCAGUCCAAACCUUUUGACAAGAUCAUUAACAUAUUUUUCUUGAAAAAUGAAAGUUCCUUCCUUCAAUUGUUUUAUUUGAAGACCAAGAAAGAAUGUUAAUUCUCCCAUCAUACUCAUUUCAAACUCAUCCUGCAUAGACUUUGAAAAUUUCUUGCACAGACUUUCAUUAGAGGAUCCAAAAAUAAUAUCAUCCACAUAUAUUUGAACAAGUAAGAAACUUUUAUUUUCCUUCUUGAUAAAUAAAGUCGUAUCUACUUUACCUUUAACAAAACCAUUUUGUAAUAGGAAAUUACUUAACCUGUCAUACCAAGCCCGAGGUGCUUGCUUUAAACCAUACAAAGCCUUUUUCAGUCUGAAGACUGAGUCUGGCUUCUUUGGGUCUUCAAACCCUGGCGGUUGUUCCACAUAAACUUCCUCAUGGAUAAAUCCAUUUAGGAAGGCGCUUUUGACAUCCAUUUGGAAUAACCUGAAAUUCUUAUAACAAGCAAACGCGAGUAAUAGUCGAAUAGCUUCUAACCUUGCCACUGGAGCGUAAGUCUCAUCAUAGUCUAUUCCUUCUUCUUGCGUAUAUCCCUUGGCCACGAGUCUUGCUUUAUUUCGUACGACUUUCCCUUUCUCGUUCAUCUUGUUUCUGAACACCCAUUUGGCUCCAAUAACAGUUUUUCCUUUUGGUUGGGAUGUCAAUUCCCAAACAUCAUUUAUGCUGAACUGUCCGAGUUCUUCUUGCAUAGCUUCAAUCCAGCUUUCAUCAGACAAAGCUUCUUCUAUGCUCUUUGGUUCAAUUUCAGAAACGAGUGCCACAGCACUAGACUCUUCUCGCCUUUUGGAUCUUGUGCGAAUUCCUUCAUUAAUUUCGCCAAUUAUAAGAUAUUUGGGAUGACUGGACUUAUGCUUCCAGUUACUCGUUGAUUUGUCUGGUAGAUGAUCUCUUUCUUUAUUUGGAUCUUCACUAUCAACCUGAUGCUGGUUUUCCAGAGUCUGAGAUGCUUCUUGAGUUGUAGACUUUGGAGGGUCUGGAGCAGGUUCAGACUCUUCUUGAUGAGUCUGUCUUGAUUAAUCUUGCAUUGAGUCUUGAAAUUUAACAUUCAUUGACUCCUCUACAGACUGGCUCUUCUUGUUAUAGACUCUAUAAGCUUUGCUUGAUGUAGAAUAUCCAAGGAAGAUACCUUCAUCUGAUCUUUCUUCAAACUUACCAACUCGAUCUUUUGCAUUUUUCAAUAUAAAACAUUUGCAACCAAAUACAUGAAAGUAUGAAACAAUAGGCUUCUUUUCUUUGAAUAACUCAUAAGGGGUUUUCUGAAGAAUAGAUCUUAAGAAGACUAUUGAUGAUAUAGCAAGCUGUUGAAACAGCUUCAGCCCAAAAUCGAGAAGAAAUUUUACUUUCUUUCCACAACUCCAUUUUGCUGAGGAAUAUAUGGAGAGGAAAACACAUGCUUACAGCCAGAUUCAUCACAGAAUUUUGUAAAAUCUUGAUUUUCAAAUUCACCUCAAUGAUCUGUUUUUAUACAAGAGAUUACACAUCCCUUUUCAUUUUGAACCUUUUUAGCAAAUUUUUCAAAAUACGGAAAGGUUUCGGACUUACUUGAAAGGAAAUAUACCCAAGUAAAACGGGAGUAAUCAUCAACAAUUACUAGGCAAUACUUCUUACCCCCAAUACUCUGAGUUCUGGUUGGUCCGAAGAGAUCCAUAUGCAGCAACUGUAGAACAUGAUUAGUAGAGACAUGAUUUAUUGGCUUAAAAGAAUUUCUUACCUGCUUUCCUAGAAUACAUGGAGUACAUGAAUCAGUCUUUUGGUAUGGCAAUUUUGGUAGACCUCGAACAAGCUGCUUUGAUGAGAUUUUGGCUAAUUGCUUCAUAUUGACAUGUCCAAGCUUUUUGUGCCAUAAGCUUGCUUCGUCUUGAAUUGAGAUAAGACAUUGUGAUUCAUUUGGUUUCACAUCCAGAAGAUAAAUAUUUCCAUGUCUUCUACCCAAAAAAGAUUGAGUAGAGUCUUUACUGAUUCCAGAACAUGUUCCUUCUUGAAAAAAGAUCUUGAAACCAGUAUCACACAAUUGACUAAUGCUGAGAAGAUUGUAAUUGAGUCCUUCCACUAAGGAAACAUUACUUAUUGUGAGAGUUCCAAUUUUCACUGUUCCAAAUCCCACAAUACUUCCUUUGCUGUUUCCUCCAAAUGAAACUUUUCCACCAUUUACUUGAGCAAGUUUUAUAAAGCAAUUUGAGUCUCCUGUCAUGUGUCUUGAGCAACCGCUGUCAAGAUACCACUUUACCUGUUUCUUGAUGGAGACCUGCAUUUAACAAAGAGUCUCAAGCUUUCUUUGGUACCCAAAUUUUCUUGGGUCCUUUGGUGUUAGUAAGAUAAACAGUAUUAGCCCAUACUUUCUUAAUAGGUUUCCAUACCAUAGGACACUCUUUUUCAAAGUGAUCCGGACUGUUGCACUUUGAACAUUUAAGAGAAUUUCUUCCUACGGGUUUAACAAAUACUUUCUUGAAGUGAUUUUUGUAAACCUCACUUGAAAGCCUUUUCUUGAUUCUUUCUUUUACUUUAGGAAAAUCAAUUAAGGGAAUUGUUUCUUCUGUCAUACCUAGACCAGAUUUAUUGAAGUAAGGUCUUUGUGCUGAAAGAAUUUUCUCAAGUUUUUCAAAUCCCAUAGAAAAUUUCUUUGAUAUAUUAGAUAAGUCUGUUUUUAAAAAAGUAUUUUCUUUUAAAAGAUUUUCUUCAUUUUCUUUAAGAUUGGAAACAGACACGUCUAGACUUUUAACUCUUUCUUCUAAAACAUUUUCUUUUAGCUUUAGAGCUGAGUUUUCCUUUUUUAGUUUGGAAAUUCUUUUGAGAGAAGUCUUAAGACUAAAGCAUAAUUCCUCAAUAUAUUUAGAAACUUUGACAGGAAUUUUAAAGUUACUUACCUCAAAUUCACUGUCUGAGUCUGAUCCUGAGUCUGUUCCAGAGUCUGAGUCUGAUUGUGCCAUCAGACAUAGAUUGGCGUAUUCAUUAUCACUUUCUUCACACUCAGUAUCACUCCAGGUUUCAGCUUUGAGAGCUUUUCGAAAUUUUUCAGCUUUUCCUUUCUUUUUCUUCAAAAGAGGACAGUUGGGUCUGAUAUGUCCCUUUUUCUUGCAUUCAAAGCAGACUACAUCUUUGUUUGGUUCCUCAUCAUCAACAGACUUGGUCUGCUGUCUUUGAAAGCCUUGUUUUUUUGAGUUGAACCUUCUUCCUUUUCUGUUUAGUUUUCUGAAUCUUCUUAUCAUGAGAGCAAGCUCCUCAUCGUCCAUAUCUUCUUCAGAAUCUGUAACAUCAGAAUCAUCAUUUGAUUUUAAUGCAAUAGAUUUCUUACCUCUUGGAUCUUCAUCUUCAUUGAUCCUUUCCACUUCAUAGGACUGAAGAGUUCCAAUAAGCUCAUCGACAGAUAGUGGCAUAAUUCUCUGCGUCUCUCUUAUCGAAGUCUUUAUGUGAUUCCAAUCCUUGGAGAGUCCACGCAGUAGCUUGUUUACCUUCAUGGGAUCAGAAGUUGGUUGACCUUUAUUUUCAAGACCAUUCACAAUAUCUGUAAAACGACUAAACAUGUCAGAUAUUGAUUCUCCUGGUUUCAUUCUGAAGGCUUCGUAUUGACCGAGAAGAAUGUUGAUUCUUGUUUCCUUCACUCGAUCUGUUCCUUCAUAGGUGAUAUGCAAUCUGUCCCAAACUUCUUUUGCUGUACCACAAGAAGAUAUUCUAUUAUAUUCAGUUGGUGAUAAAGCACAAUAUAAGGAAUAAAUUGCUUUUGCAUCGAGUGUCUGUCUCUUGGUUAUUUCUUCUUGAGACAUUCCGCUGGAUUCUUCAGUUUCUUUUCCUCUUUCAGAGACUGAUGCAGUGGUAGGAGUAAUUCCUUUUUUUACAACGUCCCAUUCCAGAGGAUCCUUUGAUCGUAGGAAAGCUUUCAUCUUGUUCUUCCAGAUGUUGUAAUCCUUUCCAUCAAAGUAAGGUGGUCUGGUAUUGCUUUGCCCUUCCAUCAGCCCUGGUGAAGUAAAACACUUCAAAUAAAGUAAGUACACAGGCUCUGAUACCAAUUGAUAUUGCUAGUGUAAACACCUAGAGGGGGUGAAUAGGCGCACAAACUAUUUUUCUCAAAUACGUAUGCAACAGAUUGAAAUACGAUCGAUGUAGAGAGAGUAAGGAAGAGAAAAUCAAACACAGGAUUUAUAGUGGUUCGGCUUUUUCCAAGCCUACGUCCACUCUUCCGCACUGACAGCCCACGGGCUGGAUUUCACUAUGAUCAAAAGAGGAGUUACAGCACAGCUUUGCCUUGAUUCCACAGUGUAGAUGUUCUAUCACACCUCCUCAAGGUCUCUCACAAAUAUAGACUCUCUUUUGUAUAUAAGUAUUCGCUCAAGAGAUUUAUCUAAACAAAUAGGAGCUUCAGACUUUGGAAUUUUUCUAUCACGCACUCUCUCUUAAACAACUAAGAACGUCUUCCUUAUAUACUCCUUUAUGCCAUCAUACCCGUUGGCACUUUCCAAAGGAAUUCCUCCAAUCUACCCGUUGGACGGAAUCAAUUAGGAAGAUCGUUCGAGCUAUUAAAGGAACGAGUUGAUAGCCCAUCAAUCCUGUUCGCCCAUACAAUCAGGAUCUCGGUUUCCAUAAGCGAAACCUUCCAAUAAUAUUUAGACAAUCAUCGAAUCUUCAGUCAUUGAAUCAAUCUUGAUCAAUCAAAGGAUUCUGAUACGUCUUCUCCAGCCACGAGAUCUUCUCCAGAUGAUAAGGUUAAAUCCCAAACAAAACAUCCAGUUCGGGAUAACCUUUCUUCAACAGAUCAGAGACUGUCAAUGAGGAUAGACUUUGAGUCUUGAGUCUGGCAGUCUGGAAGUCUUCAGACUUUAAUUGGCAGAGUCUGCAGACCUUCAUACUAGACUGACGGAAACAUUUUGUCAACUUCAAAACUCUUCACGAGGAUUUCUCCAACAACAUGAUCCAAUUAAUUUUUUUUAAACUUUAUCCCAUCUCUACAAUGCUAGGUUUCCAAGAAAUUAUGGGAUCAUAAUUAAAGGAUUGUGCUCCAUCAUUAGUGAAAAAAAAAAUCUCUCUUUUUACGAAGAAGACAUGAUAAGGGUUUGUAUUCUUGCUCCAUAAGUAAUUGAGUGCCUGAUCUUUUGUAAUCAAAUAUUAAAUUCUUGAAUUUCGUUUAAUGUGGUGCCUCCACUUUUAUUGCCGGGUCAUGUUUUUUUUCCCUGACAUGCUUAUUUAACAUAAUUGCUGACAUGGCAGCAUACACAACGAAAAUCAUACAAACUCAAUUUAAAACAAAGGAAAGAUAUUCCUUUUCUUUUUUCCUUUUCCAUUUCUUUCUUUUUACUCCCUCUUCCUUCCUCGGUAUGCCUCUGGCCCUCGUCGCCUUCUCCACCAUCAAUUUCCAUACCUGCCGCUUGCCACCACCAUCAAUUUCCAAUGUUCUUGAAUCUUGACAUUGUUGCGGACCGUCACGUCCCGUUGAAGAAAAAAGGGAAAAAAGAUUGACAAGUUGCUUGGCCUGUCACAUGUGAGAAACUUACAAACAGGUUUUGAAAAGUAUACUAUAAAAAUUACCAACUACAUUAAUAAUCAACCAACAUUUAUUUUGAUGGAUUAUCAAUGUGUUAAAUUGCUUAAUUUUAUUCAAAAUUGUGAACCUAAUUUGACUGAUUUAUCCAAAUCAGUACAUUAAUGCUUGGGCAUGUCUAUGUGUAAAUUUUUUCACAUUAUUUAGAAGCAUGCACUUGAGCGAAGGGAAUAAUAAUUUUUGCAUCCUAAACAUGAUUGUCCUCCUUUGGUCCCUGAAGUGAUAUUUCCCACGAUCCAAAUCUACAGCAAAUUGGAUCACAUUUUUAAUGCAUCACUUGACCGAUCUCAUCUCAUAACUAGAAGAAAUAAAUUUUGAAAUAUGAAAUCAUGGAUCAAUAAACCGAGACCUCAGUUAAUUUUGGUACAUCUUACAUGAGACCCACAUGAUCUAACAGUCGUGAUGCAUUGAACUAACUUGAAGCCAAUGACUCUAAUGAUUUAUUGAACUUGUUUUAAUUAAAAUAAAUUAAAUAACCACAGGUUGAAGAGAAUCCAGCAUGUGAAAGUGAGUAGUGUGUGUCUACCAGAAGAAUCUAUCCUGCACGAGAAGAAAGAUCUAUCUCUUGUGAUGUCCAGUGACUGCCUUUCAAUUGUGAAGUGCAUUAUGGGAUGAGAAGAAAGCCCAUGAGAUAUUGGGGACAUGACUGCCAGGCCUUGCCAGCUCAAUUGGAUAAGGUGGAAGUUGUCUGUUGUCCUACAAGGCUAAUCAAUUUACGGAUUGGUUCACUAGUACCCAUUGAAAUAGAAGUCUCCCUAACGAUUGAUGAUCCUUACCCUCUCGGCCCAUUUGAAAUAUUUUGUAUAUAGAAACUUAUUUCUCUUCCUUCAGUAGAGCCUUUAUGAUUGAAGGAAUGAAUGUGCUUUCCGACAAAAAAAAGAAAACCAAAAGACAUAACAAAAGCGAUUUUUCAUGAGAUAACUUUUUUAUCGAAAAAUUGAAUAAAUAGUUCCCUACCCAACUACACCAGUGUUUACAAUUGUAAAUAAUUUUAAUCACUUAUUUUAUUUUUGGAGUGGCGCAUCGUGAUUCCAUCGGCUGAAGUAAUGUAUCAUUAUUUUGAAAACCAAUAAAUGAUUAGUCUGUUGGGUUGGAAUGGGAAGAAAAUAGUCCACUCUAGUUGAAAGAAAACGCGAAUGCAAUAUAUCUUUGACCGGAAGCCAAGUUAAAGAAGUCUCAAAAUGCUUACCACGAUACAAAUUGCAAUUAUAGGUGUGACCCCCCUAGAUUCGGAGCUCAUUAUGGGCUUCGCACAUAUAGGCCCCAUUGAUCUUUCUUUAAUCUAGAUAAAUUACUAAGGGUGCGUUUGUUUGUGUUUCUGUUUAAAAAUUGUUUUAGGGAACAGAAAUAGAAAAAAGUGUUUCUGUUCCGGGGAACAAUUUUUGAACAAAACAACGCGUUUGGUAAACUUGUUCCGGGAAUAAAAAAUAAAUAGAAACAUGUUUGGUAAAUUUGGAUAAUUUUUUUAUUUCUUUUAUUUUUUCUAUUUUUUUUCUUUUUUUUCCUUUUUUUCUUUUUCAUUUUUUUUUUCUUCUUUUGGCCGGUCGCUGGCCAAGGCCUUGGCCGGCGACCGGCCGGCGAGGGUCGGCCUCGCCUUGAUCUGGCGAGGCCGAGCUCGCCCAGCGGCGGGCGAGGCACGGCCUCGCCGGGCCACCGCCAGGCGACGCCGACUCGCCCAGAUCCGGCGAGGCCGAGGCUCGCCGUAGCUGGGUGAGGCCGCCGGCCCUCGUCGGCCGGUCGCCGGCCAUGGCCGAGGCCGACGACCGGCCAAAAGAAAAAAGAACAAGAAAAUAAGAGAAAAAAGAAAAAAAAAAUAAGUGUUUCUCAAAAGUGUUUCAGAAACAAGAAACACAAAAUUUGUGUUUCUUGUUUAUGUUUCUUUUUUGUUCGUGGGAACAAAAGAACAAAAAAACAGAAAAAGUGUUUAAAAACAAAAAAAAAGAAAUACAACCAAACGCAGCCUAACUCAUUUAUAUAUAUUUCAGGAUGAUGAGGAAAUCUACCGAUUUCCAUUUUUCCAUUGAAAUAAAAAAUUUGGUUCAUUCACUUUAAAUAUUUUGCCUUCUAGGCCAGUAAAAGUUCAGGACCUCAUCAAUUUCAACAUUUUUUGCUACACUUUUUAAUCCUGAAAAGACUGAACCAAUAUUUGUAGUUUGUCUAGAUAUUUUAAAUGACUAACAGAACUUUUCUUUGCCUAGAUUACAUCCAGGAUUUCAAUUUUUUUAUUUUUCUCUCUGGGAGGGAAUGAUCCAUCAAGCAAGCCCUCCGAUUAUUAAAAGCACCGUUAGGAAAAAAAGGAAAAAUACACUCUACUAUGCCAGAAAGUCGAAUUGCAUAGUGAGGAUAUCUGUUGAAUUGAUGUUUGUUUUCCCCUUGGGCUGUUGAAAGAUUGGACUGGGAGUCGGGGUUCUACUUCAACACGAGGGACUUCGAGGAUUCGGCACCGAACGGAGAGUGGGACGAUGUGGAAAAGUAUCUAUCUGGGUUCACGAAAGUAGACAAUAAUAGAUACUCCAUGAAGAUUUUCUUCAAGACUCAGAGCAGAAGUAUCUCGAAGCUCUGGACAAGUAGAUCGAAAGUUUUUGGACAAUUGAUGGGUUCGACUUGUUUAGGGCUGUGUUAGCUCACUGGGCAACAAGCAUUUUAAUUUUCUUGGUUGUUGGUCUUGCAUUAUUGAUGAUUGCAGGAGGGAUCGUGCUAAAGCUGUGGAAAUUUUAGUCAAGGACUUGAAAGUAUUUGCUGCAUUCAAUGACGAUUUGUUAAAGGCGCAGUUACUGACGCUGGAGAACUUUAGGUACGAGGUCUUGCGUUGAAGAAUCUUUUAAUUUGUUGCUGACAGUUUUUCUCUAGUUGACCUUUUGUCUUUUGCUAUCAUCACAUUGGCAUUAAACGUAUAUCCUGCUUGCAGAGAGAAUGAGCAACUAUCAAAGUAUGGUGAUACCAAGUCAGCUCUGAGUAUAAUGUUGGCUGAACUGAAGAAGUUGAUAGAGGCUAACCCCCCGGUUCGUGGUAAGCUUCAGUUUCCCACAUUGAAGAACUCAAGAUUAUGCGCGCAUUAAUAAAUCAAAGGUGGUGGGUCCUCUGCUAGUAUCACUCCAGGGUUUAUUUGGCGGCUAUGUACCGCUGCAAGGCGACGAACGGCUGACAGGGUUCCCUGGGUAUCAAAAAAAAAAAAAAAAAAUCAAAGGUCCUUGCUGUCCUAUUGCCGUAUGUAUUUUCUUGACUAAAGUAUCGUCAUACCGACUGUUUCAUGGCUUCUGGAAGUUUCAAUUGGCAGCAUCAACUAUGCAAGAAACCUAGGCCUAACCUUGACACGAAGACUAUUUGUAGACUGCACUUGUGGACAACCAAAUGGUGCUCGGGUGCCAUCCCCUCUUGCUAAUCCUUUGAUGGGUGCCGUCCCCAAACCAGGGGCCUUCCUACCAUUGACCGCUCUUGGUGUAAGUCUGGAGGAGAAUAGUUAGUCUAUUUCCUCGGUUAUUUUUCCAUAUAGAUGUUGGCAACUCACGUUAGUGUGUUUUUUAUUUUUAUUUUUGGUGCAUUCCAGAACCUUUAUUACAGCCCUCCCAGCCUCCUCUGGCCGCUCUUCCAACAUCUCUUGCUGGAUGGAUGGCAAAUCCAUCCUCGGUUGCUCGCCCCUCAGCAUCUGCUGGACCAAUACGUUUGACUGCGCAAAAUAAUUCAGGUACAUGAAGCUGCUCUACAAUGUCAAUUUCAAGUUCAUGGCUACCAAGGCCACAUAUCUAGGUUUAUGAGAAGUUGCAAUAUUGGUAUUUUGUCGGAACAUAUAACAUAUUAUUUAGGAUAAUGUGAUGCUUUAUUAUAUGCAGACUAGUGAAAUUUCAUCUUGUAGUUUCCACAAGUUCAAGCUGUUAAUUUGACAUUCUAUUUACUUUUUGCAUUGUGAUAUAGCUAUUUUAAAGCGUCCCAAGACUCCUCCUACUAACAACUCAGUCAUGGACUACCGAAGAGCAUGUAAAAUGUUUUUGGUUUUUUCUUUUCUUUAAUUUUUUAGCUGCAUGAUGCUUGCUAGCCCUCUAUCCAAAAACAAGAAAGAAAAUAAAAUAAAAUAAAAACUAAAAAAAUUUAAAAAAAAAAAUUUUAAAAAUUUAAAAAUAUUUAAAAAGUUCAUAUAAGCACCGGUCAUGCCAUGUAUGAUGACCAAUGUCUACAUUAGUAAUUUAAUUUCAAGUCUAAAUUUGUCGGAUGAACUCAAUUUGCAAAAUGUGAAAAUGUUUAGGAUUAAAUUAGCAUAAUUGAAAAGUUUAUGACUGAUAUUGACAUAAGUGUAAAAUGUUUAAGAUUUUUUCGAUAAUUUUCCCCCAUAUUAACAGGUCUCCUUUUUUGUUAGAUUCUACUAAGGAACAAAGAAGCAGUUGCUAAUGGUGGCUGAUGAUACAAUAGUAAAAAACCAAAAUAAUUGGUCAAAGUCAUGAUAUUGUAAUGUCGUUGGUUCAUAAUAUUUUAUCACUAAUGACAAACACCUAUAGAUGAACAAGUAAUAAUCUUUAUCAAGAAGUUAGAGAAAAAAAGAGUGUUAACAUGAAAUAAGAGGUUCGACAAAAUAAAAUAAAAAGGAAAAAAGUAAUGCUGGAUAGUUAUUCAAUCGCAGAUAACCCGUUAGCUGAGAAAUUCUAAACGUGACAUCGAAAGUAUAACAUUAAUGUAAAAUGUCAAAAACAAAAACUAUUUAAGGAGUGCGAGAAAAGUGAUUGGGGAUGAGGAGGUGAUAACUAGAUAAUCUUUAGGCAUGAUAUGGCAGGAAAAGAUCUAGUUUGAGAAUCAAGGAAAAUUUAUUAUGGGAAGGAGUCUUUUUUGUGCUUUGAAAAUAAUAAUCCAACGAGUGAUUUUUUUGUGACUGGCUCUUGUAUAUUAGCACCAGGAGCAUUUGCCAGACAGCUUUCUUUUUAAUUUCUCUUAUUAGUGGAAAAGCAAGUCAAGUCAAGAAGCACCUAUGUAGGAUGGUUUCACGCACCUUCUGCAUAAUGCUGUCGAAAUUACAGGGGCAAGGAUUAUCCAUUGGUAUUCUUUUCUAUUUCUCUUAUUAAUAGAAAAAGGCAAGUCUAAGUGAUCAUAUUGCCGUUUAGUUAGUUCGUAAUAUCCAAUCAAUAAUUAAACAACUUUAACGAGUUUUGUCGUCAGUUUUCUUUUUUGUUUCUUUUAUUAAUAAAAAAACAAGUCAAAUCAAGCAUGCUGGAUCUCAAAGUUCAAUUAAAACUUCACAUGCACUUGCUAAAAGUUUCACAUCUAUGGAAAUCAUUGUUCACGUGUUAGCACAAGAGGUUUGAACAAAGAUGGUAUGGUAUUAACAUGUAUUCCCAAAUAUGAACUCACGAUUCCACCUACUCAAAUGGGGCCAACAAUAAUGCCUUGUAAAUUUGUGAAAAGGAAAAAGAAGGGUCAAUCAGAAUUAUCUCAUUUACGUAAUGAGAUCAAUUUAACACAAGGCCGUAACUCAAUUAGCUGUUCUAUUGUGCAAAUCCAAAUUUGCUCAAGCAAGGAAAAAAAACUGUCAUAUAUUCACUAUGAAUCGACUUUUAAUUGCCUCGAUAAUUCAAUAUCAAUGUACUAUAAGUUCUCUAGAUUUUUAAUAUACUGAAUAAGCUAAUAUGCUUGUAGCUCCAUUCAAAUUGGGAUAUAGAGUUUCCUCCAAUUUUCAUCUCUGAUAAAAUGUCCGCAUCUAAUCUUCAAUUGGCAUUAAACAACACUAACGAGGUGGCUCUAAGCAUGAAUUUGAUGCCCGUCUUAUGAUUUGAUGAUAAAAUAUGUAUCUUCUUCCCAACUAUAUGCUAAUGCUCAUAUCAUCAUCAUUGGACGCUAUCGCAAUCUGCUUGUUAUUAAAUUAGUUGGUGGAGAAUACGCACUUUCUGCAUAAUGCAGCGGAAAUUGGGCGUCAAUAAUCAUCCUCUCCAUGCAGCAUGUGUCUUGGGCCGUUGGACGGCGCAUUAUGGGCUUUGAACAUAAAGGCAGAUCAAUUUUUUCAAUACUUGAACAUUUUCAAUCUAAACAAGUGACAACCCCAUUCACAUAUAAUUCCGGAUGAAGAGGAAACCCUACCUAUGUUGAACAAAUUUUCAAUAUUCAUUUUAAUAAUGGAAGUUUGGUUCAUUCACUCUAUAUAUUUUGCCUUCAAUGCAAGUAAAAGUCUAGAACCUCACUAAUUCCAUCCUUUGUUGUUAGAGGUCUCGAUCCUCCAAAAAACUUUGGACUAAUGUUUAUCUGUACAUGAAUUUUUUGCCCCAAAGGAAUUUAUCCAUCAAGAAAGCCCACAAAUUAUUGAAUGCACCAUUAUGCAAAAAGAAAAGGAAAAAAAAAAGAAUAUAUUUUACAAUACGAAAAAGUUGCAUUCAUAUUCUUCCCUGAAUUAUAUAUAUUAUCUUUGCUGUCUAAUCUUUGCUAUAUGCGUAUACUUGUUUAUUUCUGGUCCAGCCUGAGGAUCUUAAACAAAGGCCGUGGUUAUUGGAGCCCCUGUUCCACGUAGAUAAAACAGAAGGGUUAACCGCGGAGGGAAUUUGUAACCCAAUUUGGUAAACACCUCCCCUGCCUGAUCCUAGCUCUGCUGCACUGGCCUCUCGAUGACUGCCAGUCCAGUAUCUUAGAAAUGAUGGCAGCUAGUACAAAUUCUUCCACAGGGAAACACGUAACAAGUAAACUGUGGGGCCUCAAUGUCCAUCAUAUUAUCACAUCUCUCUGUUUUUUUUUUUUAGAUAAAAAUUAUUUAAGGAGUGAGAUAAAAAUGACUCAGGGGAGGAGAGGGUGACUAGAUAAUUUUUAGAUGUGAUAUGGUAUGGAGAAAUUUUGAGAAUCGAGAGAGAUUUAUUUCGGUAUUUUCUUUUCCAUAUUUCUUAUUAAUAGAAAAGGCAAGUCUAAAUCAUCAUGUUAUCGUUUUGUUGGUUUGUAAUAUCUAAUCACUAAAUUACAGACAACUUUAACGAGUACCAGUCGUUCUCGUUUCUAUUUUCUUUUAUUAAUAGAAAAGCGAGUCAAGUUAGGCAAGUUGAAUCUCAAAUUUCCAUCAACGCUUCACCACUAGAAGUUUCACAUCUAUGGAUUUCAUCAUUCACAUGUUAUUGUAGGAAAGCAAGUCAAGUUAGGCAGUGUGAAUCUCAAAUUUCAAUCAACGCUUCAUUGCUAGAAGUUUCACAUUUAUGGAUUUCACCGUUCACAUGUUAUCGCAGGAUACUAAUUAGGAAGUUUGGUUUAUUUAAGGUUUGUUCAGAAAUAGUAUGGCCUUAACAUGUAUUCCCAGAUAUGAGCUUGCAGUUCCACCUACAAAGGAGGGGGAGUACGUGGAGGAAAAAGAAUGAUUGAAUAUAAUCAUUUCAUUUACGUAACGAGAUGGAUUUAGUAUAAUACUUCAACUAAAUCAAUUAUUGAUUGUGCAAAUACAAUCGUCAUAAUUGUCCAACUUGGCCAAGCAAGGACUAACAGACCUUCCCUUAUGAUAAUCCAAUAUCCAUAUAUUGUAGAUUCUCCGGACUUGUUAAUAUAGUAUAUUUGCUAAUAUACUCGGGAUAUAGAGUCUCACCCAAUUCUAGUGUCUGGUAAAUUAUCUACAUCAGAUCUUUGAUUGAUCUUAAAUGACGUGUAACAAUGUGACUCUAGGCAUGAAUUUGGUGGUACGCCUCUGAUUUUCUUAUAAAAAUAGGGCACUUCUUCAAAAUUAUAUGUCAACAUGCAUGCGAUGAUUGUUAGGCGCUAACAUGGGAGAGUAAGGGACUUUUGUGAUAUUAAGUCGGAUUUGACAUCGAUCCUGCACAUCAAUCCUGCAAAGAGAGAAAAAAGUGGUUCUUGCAAUUUGCUUUUUCAUAUUGAAUUAGUUGGUGGGGAAUAUGCUUAUCUACUCGAAGCAUCGGAAUUGAUGUUCGUUUUUGCUUCUAUUUUUUUAUUAAUAAAAAAAGCAAGUCAAGUCAAAAAGCAUGCGCACCUUUCGCAUAAUGGUGCGGAAAUUACGCAUACAAUAAUUACUCUUUCUGCGUUGCAUGCGUCUUGGAUCGUUAGAUGACAACUUAGCAUUGUGUGCUUUUUUGGAGGAAUCUCUUUUGAAAGAGAGAAAAAAAGGGAGGCUCUGGAUUGAAAAUAAUAAACGUUCCUUAUCCGAAUAUUUAAAAAAAGUGUUCUAUUGACAUUUGUGUCAUGAUAUGUUUUUGAGAUUGACUCAUGUCUAUUAGCACUAGGAUCACGGGAGUCUUGCCGGUUAGUUUUCUUUUCCUUUUCUUUUAUAUAUAGACAAAAAAGCAAGUCUAAGUCAAGAAGCACUUGCAUAGGAUGGUUCUACGGGUGCGUUUGGAUGGGCAUUUAGAAAGCCCAUCCAAGCCCCAAAGCCCUUUCACCCCAAAUUUGGGUGUUUGGCAAAGAUUCCCAAGGGGCUUUCAAGUGAAAGUUUACCCUUGGGAAUGCUGAAGGCUUUAAUGAAAAUAUUGAAGUUCCCUAUUCUACCCUCAAAACUUUCUUGAAAACCCACCGUUGCCCCUGCAUUUAUUUAAUUUUUAAAUGAAAAAGGAGCAGCCCUUCGCCGGACCGGCGAAGGGUUUAGCUAAGUUUUCAAAAAAAAGAAAAAAGAAAAAUAUAUAUAUACAAUACCCAUCAAAGCCCCUUGUGAAAGUUUUUUUUACCAAACGCACAUUCAACUCAAAGUCCAUUUGCAAAUUUUUUUUACCAAAAACAAUUGCAUUUUCCCCAAGUAGCUUUGGGCUUUCAGCAUUUGCAUUGGACUCAAAGUCCAUUGCAAAUGCUAAACCAAACGCAACCUACGCACCUUCUACAAAAUGCUGCGGAAAUUACGCAUACAAUGAUUGCCCUUUGGUUUUCUUUUCUAUAUCUUUAUUGAGAAAAAAAAAAGGUGAGUCAAGUCAAUAUCGUGCUUACUUUAAAUAAAAAAAUCUCAUGCACAGUUCUACGUUGCCUGGCAUUGUUCAAGCACGCACAGUAAAGAGCGUUGCGUAUUGAACAUCGAAGGUUGAGAAUUGGUGGAGAUCACAGAGGUGGGCGAACAUAUAUAUAUUUCCUCUACACAAUAUAAAUGACUAAUAAAUUUCUUUUUCCCAUCCCGAUUACAUCAGUAUUCUGAAGUAUUGCAAUCUUUGUGUGCGAUAAAAUAUAUUUUACAGUUGUAACACCUGAAACUAUUGUAACUUUAGAGGUAUUGUGACUGUGAAAUUCACUAAAACACAUUAUAAAAGUUGCAAUACACGUUUUCAUCAUUAUGGACUUUGCACAAAUAUUCACUGAUAAUCAUAUUAUAUCUUAGGAUGGAGAGGAAACCCUAGCAAGGUGGACAAAUUUCGAUUAUUUGGAAUGUUGGUUCAUUCACUCUAAAUAUUUUGCCUUUCAAGCCAAUAAAAGUUUAGGACCUCACUAAUUUCAUCGUUUGCAGCUACACUUCUUGAUCCUCGAUAAACUUUGAGCAUCCAUAUAUCUUUUCUCUAGAUGACAUAAACAAUUUAGAAAGUUUCUUUUUCCCUGCUUACAUCCUAGGUUCCAAUUUUUUUUUUCAAGGACGGUUUUAUACAUUGAUCACAUGCACUAAUUAGUAAAAGCACCAUUAGGAGAAAAAAAUAAACUUUAUAAUGUAAAAGAAAUUGCAUUUCAUGUUCUUCCCUAAACUUUAUUUUGCUUUCUUUUUGCUAUUUGAUAUUUAUUAUAUGCAUAUACUUGCUUAUUUCUUCCAAAAUGAAAUAGUAAUAGGUAAAUUGUUAUACUUGUGAACUACAAUAUCCACUACUUUAUCACUUUUUUAUUUCCAUUUGUAUUUGAGGUAGUACAUUAAAGAUGCUAACAAAAUAGAUUCUAAAUAGGAAACCAAAAAAAAAAAAAUGAAACAAUUGGUUAUGAUGCAAUAUUAUAUAGCAAAAUAAUUGGUCUAGGUCAUGAUAGUGCAGUAUAUUUGGUUCAUAAUAUCCAAUCAGUAAUUAUAAAUAACUAUAACGAGUAUGAGUCUUUCUUUUCCAUUUAUUUCAUAAAUAUGAGGAGGAAAAUAUAUUUAUUGGAUCAAGAAUAUUAAGAGAGAGAACAGCUCUUACAUUGCCAACAAAGCAACGUGGCUAAAAAGUUGCACAAUACCUUAAGAUUGCUUCAUUUGCAGGACCUUCUUUAUUAAAGAAAUGUACACGUACUAAUGGCUAAGAUAUUAAGUAUAAUACUCAAAUAUAACCUUGUUUAAGUGAUUAUGACGACAAAGACAGUGACAAAUAUACUCUAUCCAAUAAAUAAAUGACCAAUAAAAAAAAGACAAAACCUAGCUUGCCCUCGAGUGUUGUCGGAAUAUUCUUGCAUGUAAUGUCGAUGAAGCCACAAGAGACGAAGGAAAACGAAAGCCCCAUGCGUGCUCCACUACCAGUUAAAAAAUAGUUCCAAAGCCCCGAUAUUAUAAUCAAGUCGUGCUGGAUCUCACAUUUCAAUGAAAGCACAUGCAUAGGAUCCCCGCACCUUCCGCGUAAUGCCCCGGAAAUUAGUUAUUAUCAAUGAACAAUAUUUUCUUUAUUUUUAAGUACUUUCUUUUUUUGGUCAAAACAUUUUAAGUACUUAAAAUGGUCCAAAUUUGAAAUUCAACACUCAAAAUUUUCUGUAAUUGUUUUAUAGAUUUAUCUGAAUGGGCACGUACUCGCAGCUUAUAUUUUCAUAAAUGAAUUAAAGUUUAACCUUGAAAAAAACAAGUUGAGUCAAGCUGAAAGUUCAGCUAUAGUACAUAAGGUUCAACUUGAAAUUACUUGUACAAUCGUUUUACUUUUAAGUCGUUGGAGUAAUGUGCUGAAUAUAUUUUAGAUCUCAACAAUUCGUCUAGUUUGAUUUCUAACUUUUUCUCGACGACCAAGCACAAGUUUGGUAUGUAAAUCCGUAAAUCAACAAUUUCUCCACUAAUGCAAAGGAUUAGGCAAGACUCAAUUCCCCAAAUACGAAACAGUUUUAUGCGUAUAAACCUGAGGAACCAAACACAUGUUGUGUACCUAGUCCCCAUAUACCAAUUUUUACUUUCCCUUCUCUGGCAAUCCACAUAGUCAAACUUUUGUUUAAUAUAAACUCCUUAAAAGAUUCAAAAUAUGUAAAUACCGUUACGUAGAUAAUUAUACAAUUCAAUCUGCAAUUUAACUUAAAGUAUAUAUAUUAUUUUUUUAAAUAUUAAACAUCUAUUAUACUAUACCAAAAUUAUCUUAUAUCUUGGAAGAAGUAAUACACCAGGCCAAAAUAUGGAGCCACCUCAGUUACCGUCGAGUCCACGUCUGGGUGGCCAUGCAGCGCUGUCGCCGAGGUCCGAGGAGCGUUGGAUUUUCCUAUCUCCUUUUUCGAAAGCCAAAAGUAAUCACUCCGAAAGUCCAACCCCCAUCUCGCCGCGGUUGGGGAGAACACGACUCGCUCGGUCCGCGCGCCACGUGAGAUCGAGGGGCAAUCCGGAGUGGCAGAAGAUAUCCUCGAGAUCCGAGGAGGGAACCCCGCUUAGGCUUCGGUUUCAGAGCAGCUGACCGUCGUAGCGGUCAAGCCAGUAUGUGCCGUAGUUGAAAUCUUUAGCAACGUCAUUGAACCACGCAAUAAAAUCCAAGGAAGAGCCUUGGCACAUCAUCAGCAUGGAAGAACAUCAUAUUGACUUAAUUUAAAAAAGAAAGAUUGACGAAUCAAGCAAAAGUUACUAUGCACAUACAUCUCUUACAGGGCACUUUUUCAUCUUCUAAUACAUACUCUAGUUCAAAGGUAAUUUUUUGCUACAAAUUUACAUUGACAGAGCAUAAUCACAAUCGAUCGAAUAUCACUUGAAAUGCAAAAUAUGACCAUGCACCAUCUUAUCCAAGAGCUAGGAGAAGUUUGAGGUCAAAGAUCAGCAUUUUGAUAUAAUUAUGACCACCUUAUACUUGUAAGCAAUAAGCAUUCGAGUUCAAUACCUAAACUCGAUAUUUUAUGCUUGGAUAGUGCUAUUACAUUUGUCACCAUUUGAUUCACGAGAAAUUUGACAUAGGAGUGAUUGGACCAUUAGGCCUAAUAAUCAUGAUGAGACACAACAAAUAUCCUUGUGUCAUAGUAUGAGAAACAACAUAAAAAUAAGUCUAAGAAACCACACUGUCGAUCUAUUCCAAAUCACCAAAGAAAUAUCAUAAUCAGUUCAAAGAAAUCCAGAACUUUGUAAGCACAUUCGAGUAAAGAUCCAUCAUAAGUCUAAAAGAAAAAAAGAAGAUUUUUUUGGGUACUUUCAAUUCUAUAUUUUCACCUUUUCUCUUAUUACGACCCCAUCCCUUAAGCUUGUCUAGUUAAUUUUUUUUUUUUUUUUUUUACUUUCACAAAUUUCCUAAUCAAGAUCCAACCAAAUUUAGCUGACGUAACUGUUGGACAACGCCCUAGUAUGAUGUAGAUAAGAUAUGCGAAUGCCCACGUAGACAUGUAUAUAAAAAUUUAUCCAAUAUAGACAAUAUCAGAAUGUGACAUGGAUAAAAAUUAACUAAGCUGUAUGCUAGAGUAGAUGUUUACAUUAGAAAAUUUUUGGUCAUGUGACACAACGACAUCAUUUGAUGUGUUAUGCCAGUUGGAUUUGGUCUGGUUUUGUGUUAGAGAGAUUUGAUUGGAAAAUUUAUGAAAUUCGAAGAACUUGAUUCAACAAAGUAAAAGUACGGUAGAGAAAAUGUGAAAGUAGAAGAUAAGGAGAUUUGAUUUCAAAAAACCAACAGCAAUCCACAGUUUGCAAAUAUCAGCACAAUGGUGGCAGCAGCUGAGAAAUUAUGGUCUAAAUUAAUAUAAUUUGCAUCAGCAGAAGAAUGCCUAACCUGACAAGACAAGUAUGUCUACUUUGUAUUACAUGAGCAAUGAAUGGAAUGGUCACACUGCAUACUCACAAUUCCACUGGUGUCUGGUUCCAAUCUCAAAGACAUCAAAAGCCGAGAAAAGGUCACAACUAUGAAUCUCUCUAUGAACUUGUCUCAUCAUAAGCGUCAAGAGGGAACAAAAUCUUCAAGCCAAACGAAUAGCUGUGAGGGAAAUAUAAUCGGCAAUGGAUGUUGACACCUAAAUUUUGAUCAUCCAAUUAGUUAUUUAUUGCAUAGAAAAAUUAAAAAUCAACCCCAGCCCCUAAAAAAAAUUAGUUAAUGUAGAUGUUAGGAGCAUUCUUCAUUGAUUAAUAGUAAGUCCACAUAUAAUUACAUUUUGAUUGGACUGGUGCAAGGAGAUUUGAACUUAAUCGAGUUAAUUAGACUAAGCCUGCGGGAAUGAGAAAUUCAGCCUAAUCCAUUUAUUUCCUUUGCUCGACCAGACAUCAAAUAUGCAGCACAAUGACUUCAGCAAGAAUGAAGGAGCAAAUAUUCGUUACUAAGAAAUAUAUUCUGAACAAUUUUUUGGGAGAAUUAACUGGCCAAUUCUUUUCAUUAUUAAAGAUGCACAUCAUGCUGAAAGUAGGCAAGUUAAUUUUUUUUAGUCAAAACUGGAAGUAAUUGAACACUAUUUGAAAGGAAAAAAAAAUAGAAGAAAGAAAAAGGAAGAAAACAGUGAAGAAAGAAGGAAAUUCACGGCCUGAGUAUGAUAGACCAAAGAGUAAUAUACGCACUCACAAGAGAAAAGUGGAAUUUGGUUAGCCCGAAAGGAGUUCUCGCCACUUAUAAAGAGAUGACACUGCAACACAUAGAAGAGAAGGCAAAUGAGGGAGACAAAAUGCUCGAUAAAUUCACGUUCGCAAUUAACGAGAAGUGUGGGCAAUACAUAAAAGAGAACUCGAGUUCUUUCUGUGCCUCGAAAAGCAAGCCCCUACACAGUAAGUGUGUCUAUGUUUUGAUGUUAGGAUUGGGAGAAAACAUGUGGGUUCAACGACAUUGUAGAUUGAUUUACAUGUCUCAAAAGUCAUUAGUUGGAAUUAAAAGUGGACUGUAAUAUACAUGUGAAGAUAUUCGAAAGAUAUACUUGUAAGAAUCAACAAGGUAGAGAUGAUAUUUGGGGCACUCAUGAAAAAAAUUGGAUUGAACAGACCAAAAUAUUUUAGAUAUUUAUAGCAUAAGUUUUGUCAUAUUGAUGCAUUUCGUUAAUCAAUUAGUUGGUUCUUGAGGAGAAGCUUCAAUUGCGUUCACUUACAAUUCAAGAACUAUAGAUGGACGCUAAAUGAUCACUGGCACUUUUUUUUUUUGGUAAAAGUAAGCAACAUUUUUAGGGUUGCAUAUUCCACUUUUUUUCAAACUUCCACACCUUUAAAAAUAUUUCGGAAAAUAAAUAAAAAAUGGGGGGAAGUUAGCAAUUCAACAUGAAGCCUUAAAAACCAUUAACUUAAGGGGAGAGAUAAAAGUGAUUUGAGUGGAGGGUAAAGAUUGGAUAAUGUUUAAAAAUGACGUAGCGUGGGGAAAUCUUGUAUGAGAAAAUUAUUUCAAAAGAGAUUAAUUUUCGGAGUUACUUUCCCAACGAUAAAGCAAUGCGUCCUAUGGGCUUUAAUAACAAAAUCCUAUAUAUUCCCACGACUGACAUGCUUUUGUCAUUGACUCAUGUCCAUUAGCAGCAGGAGCAACGUGAGUGUCGGUCGUUAGUUUCCUUUUUCUAUUCUGUUUAUAAUAGAAAAGGCAAGCCAAGUCAAGACAAAGCUGGAGGAUCCCAAAUUUCAAUGAAAGCGCCUGCAUGCACCUUCCUCGUAUACUGCUGAGAAUCGGUGGAAAUCACAGCUGGAGCCCAUGAGCAUCGCUCCUUAGGGUGCGUUUGGCUGCACCCUAUUUCUGUUCUCAAGAACAAAAAUUUCUGUUUUUUUGUUCCUGGGAACAAAAAAGGAACAGAAACGUGUGGGUGCGUUUCUGUUCCUUUUUUGUUCUUUUGUUCCCAGGAACAAAAAAGAAACAGAAACAAGAAACACAAAAUUUGUGUUUCUUGUUUCUGAAACACAAUUGAGGAACAAAAAAGGAACAAAAUUGUGUUCUCCUGCUGCGACCCUCUCCUCCUGCAAGCGUCUCCACCGUCGUCUUCUCCGGCGCCUCCCACUCUCCGGCGCCGACAGCCGCCUCUGUCUCGAGACCAUCCGGCUUCUCCACUGUCGUCCUCUCCGGCACCGAUAGCCGCUGCAAGCGUCUCCACCUGUGAGCGGGUGACGUAGCUGGGUCGCGGGUCGCUGGGCGGCGACGGCGGCUGCGGUGCGGGGCUCGGCCGUGGGGUCUCGAGCGGCGGACGUCUACGAGCAGAGUGGCGAGGACGGCCGGUCGAGUCGUGGGCCGGCGCGGGGUCGAUGAUCGAGCGGAUCUCGAAGUCGUGGGUCACGGCGCGGUGAGAUCUGAUGCGGCAGUGGCGAACGAAGGCUCGAGACCUGCAGAUGCGUCGAUCGGGCGUGAGGCGGAGGGGUGGUCGCCGAUGCGGUGGCGGCGAGGAGGCGUCGAGCGCGGUCGCCGAUGCGGUGGAGGGAGACGACGGUGUGGCUCUGGGUCACCGUCAGCACGGCGCGGCGAGGCCUACCUCGCGCCUGGCUGGGCAAGCUCGAUCUCGCCCAGAUCCGGCAAGGCCGAGCUCGCCCAGCGGCCGGCGAGGCCGCCGGCCCUCGUCGACCGGUCGCCGGCCAUGGUCGAGGUCGGCGGCCAGCGACCGGCCAAAAGAAGGAAAAAGGAAAAAGAAAAAAGAAAAAAGAAAAAAAGGAAAAAUAAAUAAGAAAAAUAAGAAAGAAAAUAAAAAAUAAAAAUAAAAAUAUUAAAAAAAUAAAAGAAAUAAAAAAAUUAUACAAACUUACCAAACGUGUUUCUAUUCUUUUUAUAUUUCUUAAACGGAUUUACCAAACGCGUUUUUUUGUUCAAAAAUUGUUCCCUGGAACAGAAAUAUUUUUUUUUAUUUCUGUUCCCAUAAGCAAUUUUUAAACAGAAACGUUACCAAACGCACCCUUAGUUUUCUUUUCUAUUUUUUUUUCGUAAAUAUAAAAGUCAAUUUACUUUCAUUAAUAUAAAAGGGAAGACGUGCUGGAUCGCAAGUUCCGAUCAAAGCAGUAGGAGCAAGUGAGUGUUGCACGUGCUUGCAUGUGCGCACGUGAGUAUUUUUGCUCUUUCGGUUCCGCACGCCUUCCGCUAAAUGCCGCGGAAACUACCCAUGCAAAGAUUGUUCUCUUGGCGGCAUGCCUCACAGCAGUUCGAUUAGCAUGCAGAGUCUUGGACCGUUAGAUGGCAAGAACUCAGCAUUAUGUACUUUGCACAAAUAGCCCCGGUCGAUCUUUCUAUGCUUCAACAGUGUUUAUCUAAAUAAUUUGACUAACCAAUGCAUAUAGAUAUAUAUAUUCCCGGAUGGAGAGGAAACCCACCUACCUAGAAAAAUUUCCACCGUAUCGAUGAAGCCUUCACCAUAAGAGACGAAGGAAAGCGAAAGCCCCAUGUGUGCUCCACCAUCAGUUAAAAAAUAGUUUUCACGCCCCGAUUUUAUAAUAUAGUCGUGGUGGAUUUCACAUUUCGAUGAAAGCGCGUGCGUAGGUUCCCCACACCUUCCGCGCAAUGCCGUGGUGAUUAGUUGUUAUCAAACAACAUUUUCUUUCAUUUUAAGUACUUUCUUUUUCUGGUCAAAACAUUUUAAGUACUUCAAAUAAUCCAUAUUUGAAAUUCAUUACUCAAAAUUUUCAAUAAUUAUUUUACAGUUUUAUCUAAAUGGGCACGUACUCGCAGCUUAUUUUUCACAAAUGAAUAAAGUUUAGCCUUGAAAAAAACAAGUUGAGUCAAGUUGAAAGUCCAGCUACAGUACAUGAGGUUCGACUUGAAAUUACCUAUGCAAUCGUCUUACUUUUAUGUCAUUGGAGUACAGUGCCGAAUAUAUUUUAGAUCUCAACAAUUCAUCUAGUUCGAUUUCUAACUUUUUCUCAACGGCAAAAGCACAAAUUAGGUACAUAAAUCCAUAAAUCAACAAUUUAUUUGAAAGUCGAGUUAGCACAUAAGGUUCGACUUGAAAUUACUGAUGUAAUUGUUUAGUUUAAGCCAUUAGAGUACAGUGUUGAAUAUAUUUUAGAUCUUAACAAUUUAUUUGGCUUGACUUCUAGCCUUUUAUUAAUGACAAAGCACAAAUCAAGUACGUAAAUUAAUAGAUCAGCAAAUUCUUCACUAAUGCAAAGUAAUGGGUAAGAAACAAGUCCCAAUGAGAGUUUAUGCUUAUAAAUGCAAAAAAACCAAGCACACAUUGUGUACCUAGUCUUCAUAUACUAUUUUUUACCUUCUAUUCCCUCACAACUCUCAUAGUCGAACUUUUAUUUAACAUAAAUCACUUAAAAAGAUUUAAAAUAUGUAAAUACCGUCACAUAGAGAAUUAUAUAAUUCUUUUUGUAAAUAAACUUGAAGAAUAUACUUAUUUUUAAUUUUUUUUAAAUGUAAAAAAUCAAUUAUAUUUUUAAGUGCAACCUAAACUUUUAUCAAAGGGUCGCACACCAAAAAUUUUCUUUUAUUUUGAAAGAGGCAAUACACCUCAUUAGUAAUUAGGGAAAAAGGCCAAAAUAUGGAGCCGCCUCAGUUGGCGCUGUCGAGGAGCGUUGCACGGUCCCCGUCUCCUUUUUCAAAAGCCAAAAGAAAUCGCUCCGAAAGUCCAACCCCCAAGUCGCCUCGGGCGGGGAGAACACGGGAACUUGCUCGAAACGUGCGCCACGUGAGCUGGCGGAGGGCAAUUCGGUACAUUCGGAGUGGCCGAAGAUAUCCUCGAGAUGCGAGGCGGGGGCCACAGGUGGGCUUCGGUUUCUGAGCAGCUGGCCCUCGCAGCUGUCAAGCAAAGUGGAGAGGAGGAGCGCCGUGGGUCCGCUUGAAGAGACAACUUAGGCAGAAUCCACGAAGCAAAUGUCCUGCUCUGUUUUCGUGGAUAAAAGGGUCUGGGACGUUGGACGUUAAUAACUCAGCAUCGUUCGAGCAAGCGCGGGAGAGAGUGUUGAGUGGAGUUAAUCCGAAGUCGAAGGCUGAGAACCGGCAGAGAUCACGGCAGUGGGUGGAUUGUGUUGUUUGAACACUUCUCAGGUAAUCGAUUGCUCCAUUUUCCUUUGACGAGUUUCGAUUUGAGUUCUUAGAGACAAUUCUGCAUUCCGAGAUCUGGAGUGUGAAAUCUACCUUUUUUUCUUUUCAAGACUCUGCUCGAUCAAUCUCCUUUUUGAUCAAUUAGACUUCAUUUUUGUUUGAAUGUAGUUACGAAAUGAGCCUUGACAGAGAUUUCAGCAAUUCCCAGUUGUGGGAUUCCGUAUAUUCUCAUCUCUGUUUCUUGCUUUCCUUUGAGGCUCUACUCCAUCAAUCUCUUUUACUGCCUUUGUAGGUGAUUACGAAGGCGGAGCCUAAAAGAUUCAAUAUGUGGGGCGUCUUCCUCGAGCUCUUUUAUUGCCUUUGUAGGCUAUGCUCCUCCAAUGGUCUCGAGAUGGAAAGAAAUGAAUCCACUCAUUUAGAAGAUCCGAAUUCCAGGGCUUCUUCCUCAUCAUCCUCUCCACUAGUAGGUGAUUAUGAAGGUGGAACCAAAAAGACAGAAGGAAAUGAUUAUGAAGUGUUCUUGAGCUUUAGAGGGAGGGACACUCGCAAAGGUUUCACUGAUUAUCUCUACACCAGCCUUGUCGAUGCAAGAAUUCAUGUGUUCAGAGAUGACAAUGAGCUUCGUGUUGGUGAGGAGAUUGGACCGGAACUUCUCCGCAGUAUUACACAAUCUAAGAUCUCCAUCCCAAUUAUUUCAGAGGAUUACGCUUCUAGCAAAUGGUGCCUUCGCGAGCUGGCUCAUAUAUUGAAAUGCAAAAGAAACAGAGGGCAAAUAGUGUUGCCCAUAUUUUACAAAGUGGAACCCUAAAAAAUGCGGCAUCUUACAGGGAGAUUGGGAGAUGCUGUCAAUGCGCAACAAAAUAAUAUGGAUGAAAUGAUGGAAUGGGAAGAAACGCUCAAAGAAGUUAGUUCCUUGAAAGGAUUGGAGUCGGAGAAAAUUGAUAACGGGUACAUUAUUCUCCACCACAAUAUUGUUUACUUUCUCAUAACUAGAUCUCACUUGAAAAAGAAUAUAAAUAUUUCCAUAAUAUAUUGAAAUUUUUAUUGUUAUUUGACAGGCACGAAGGAACAUUAGUUAAGAUAGUUGUUAGAAAAGUUAUGAGUGAGUUAAAAGGGCUGUUUUUGCUAAAUGUUCCCAAACAAUUGGUGGGAAUUGAUGAUCAUGUGGAACAUAUUAUGAGCUACAUAGAUGCUAAUUUUAGUGAUACAAAUAUGAUUGGAAUUUAUGGAAUGGGCGGCAUCGGUAAGACAACACUUGCUAAGGUGUUAUACAACAAGCUUUGUAAUCAUUAUGAGUCUCGUAGCUUUGUGGCAGAUAUUCGAGAAACAUCUAAGGUCAAGGGUCUUGAAUGCAUACAAAAGCAGCUCAUUUUUGACAUAAGUGGAGACUCGCGUGAUGUGUCUAAUGUCGAUUAUGGAAUCAGUAUCCUUAAAUCUCGAAGUACAAGUAAGAAAGUACUCAUUCUUCUUGAUGAUGUGGAUGAUAAUACUCACUUGAAUGCUUUGAUCGGAGAAGGUAGUUGGUUUAAAGCUGGAAGUAUAGUCAUAAUCACCACUAGAGACAAGAGUAUUCUUGACAAGGCAAGGGUGAGACACAAGUAUCAACUCAACAAGUUGCUUUCGGAUCAAUCAUUGGUUUUAUUUAGUAGACAUGCAUUUAGAAAGGAUUCUCCUCCGAGUGAUUAUGGGGUUAUCUCUCGUGACAUUGUAUCUACUACUGGAGGGCUUCCUUUAGCUCUUGAAGUUAUUGGUUCGUUCUUAUGUGAAAAGACAAAAGAAACAUGGAAAGCUACAUCAAAAAAAUUAGAGAAAGUGCUUGAUAAGAAAGUGCAAGAAAAGUUGAGAAUAAGUUACGAUGCACUAGAUUUUGAGGACCAACAGAUUUUUUUGGAUAUUGCAUGUUUUUUUAUUGGAUCAUCUAAACAAAAUCCGACUUACAUGUGGGAAGCCUGUGGUUUUUUCCCGGGGAAGGGGAUUGAAGUAUUGAGUCUUAUGUCCCUUAUUAAAAUUGAUGAAGACGGCAAUCUAAUGAUGCAUGAUCAACUGAGAGAUCUUGGAAGGGAAAUUGUUCGUCUAGAAAAUCAAAGGAAACCUCAAAAGCGCAGCAGAUUGUGGAAAUAUGAGGAUGCCAAAGAUGUGAUCCUUAGCAACAAGGUAAGAGUUUUUCUCUGCUUGUCUUAAUCACUGAAUGUGAGUCCAUCUUCUCUUUCUUGUCUGAAAUAAUAAUUAUAGUCAAUCACAAGGCCCCAAAACUUGCUACAUGUACCGGCAAAAGAGCUCUUUAAAUGAAGUGCUCUUCUUGCCAUACUUUAGGACAUAAUUGAUGAGUAAUUUCUUGAUUAUUAAUGAUUGAUAUUUUUACCUGGUAAAAUUGUGAUGACGAUACUCACCCUUUGCUAACUUCAAAGCAAAAACAAAGCUACAAUUUAAUGUUUAACAGAGCACUUUUGAAGAAAAUCAAAUAUCUGUAAAUUGUUGGGGCCAUGCUUUUCCCACAUAUUUGUUCGAUGCACGAGUUUGAUGUUUGUAUUCUUAUUUUGAUUUCUUUUAAGGUCUUUUUUUUUUCCUUUAACAAUUACCGAGACUUCCUGUGAGUUGUUUGUUAUGAUGAAUGAGACCAUUCAUUAGUGAUGGUUAGCUAUCCUGAUUCUUGGAUUAUGCAAGUUGGGUUAAGUAUAGAUUUAGUCCCUCUAAUAAUACUAUUUGUAAGAUUUAAUCCCCUUUCUUUUCUUUUCUUUUUGGCUCAAUAUCAUCUUCUAUCUUUCACAGUUUGUGCAAUCGAGUCCUUUGUAGUCAACCGCUAGUGAACAUCGUCAAUUUGCUUAUGUAGCUUUCAUAUACUAUAAAUAAAUAUGGUUAUAAUUAAUAUAAAUCUAAGUUAUAAUUAGAAAUCUAACAUUGAUAGAGUGAUUGGGUAAAAAGGACACGAAUUUAGGGAAUAGCUAUUACUGCAAAUAAAUAUUGUAAUAGACUAUAAUAGCCAUUACUGUGAUGAAACGAGCUCUAAUAGUCUUAAUGUGUUGUAAUAAUACAUUGCUACAUAAUGUAUAUGUAACUAAGGCUCAGUAUAUGUGUACAAGUGGAUGGUAUAUAUUAUGUGGUAAGAUCUUUGGUUCAAAAUAAGACGAUAGAAAAAAAAAAGUAGAAAUUUUCCAAUAAACAAGAUUAAUAGAGCCAUAAAUAUUUUACUUAGAUUUUUAACACUCAAAAUACUUUAAGCUUCUGCUUCGCACUCUAAUCUCAAUAUCUCGAUCUUCUCUAUUAGGUCUCAAAUUUGACAAAUUUGCAAAAAUUAGAGGUGGUCAACGACUUACACUAAUGAUCUAAACUACCACACUCGACUUAUAGGAAACUCCAUAAAAUACGAAUGGAAUGCCAUAUCUCUUUGAUCCAUAUCUCUCUAGCUCUUCCCAUUUAUGUCUUUUGAUUGGCUUGAGGAAUGAGCUGGACAGGUGUCAAAUGGUUGAUGAAAUAAUUGGCAACUAAUAAUUCCUGUAACACAAUCAUGUAACUCACCAGCUCACAUUCUUCUUCCAAUCCAUGUGUAUUUUUUUUCUUUUUUCUCUUUUUUUUUUAAAGCUCCUCCAUAAAAGGUAGUCUAAUCAUAUCGAGUUAAUCACAAUAUUUAAACCAACCAAAAAAAAUCACAAUAUUUACAUUUUACUUAAUCCUCGAAAAUACGAGUUAUUACCUUACAGUAGACUUUGGCUACUAUUACAUUAUACAACACUUGAAAAAUAGAGAAUCUAAACAUUCUUUUCUUGCAUUAUAAAGAAGUUGUCACCAAAGAAAAAAAAGCAAAAGAUGCUAGAUAAAAAAGUAUGUGUCAUUAAGAAAUAAAAAUAAAGAAGUGGAAAGACAAAUGGAAGUAACUAAGGAAUACAAAUAGAUAGUAAAAUAAUGUAUCGAAGGGGACACAAUAUGAAAGUUCAUUCGAUUAGCAUAUUGUGCUAAUUAGUAUAUUAUAAGUAACUUUCAACAUAAUAAGUGAUAAUGAGUUAUCAAGAUAACAUAAUCACUAUUUCAUUGCCUAUAUACCUAUUUUUCAUAUAAUAUAUAUCAAUGAUACAAUAACUGAUCAAGAUAACAAAUAUUCAUGAUCCCAACAAUUUCAUGGAAGAAUGUCAUUAUGAUAUCUCUGUAUACAUAGACAAAUCUGAAAAUUAAUUCUCAAGUCACAAUUUCCAUGAAAAGUGUACACGAGAAUUUUCAGAGGUGAAAUUGUAGAUUUGUUUACAACAUUAUAUUAUACUUAUAUAUAUAUAUUGGCAAUGAUACGUUUUUAACAAUACUUUUAUAAUUUUAUUUGGGAGCUAUGCAUUUUCAACAAAACAUAUAUCCUUAAUACCAUAAUUAUAAAAAAUUUAAUGUUGAAAUAUUAUCAAAACUAAAAUUUUUAAUAUGAUGCUUAUUAACUUCGAAAUUAAAUAUUUCAACGAUACAUACAUGACCUUUUUUUCAUAUAGAGAAUCAUCGAAGUUUACAUUUGAAUGAUAAAAUAACAUUUCAGUUACAACAUUUUUAGAAAUUUAUAAGAGAAUGAUAAAUAGUAAUGAAACUAAACAAUUUCACAACCAUAUGCUUGCACAGAAGUAAGAAUUUAACAUAAGAUAAUUAUUCUUCAUUUAUGAUCUGUCUCUUAGCAAGAUCUUAUUAAUCUAUUGGCAAGAUUGAUCAUAAAAUUAGAUGACUAUUAUUUCUUUGUAACAAAACCAACAUGAAAUGAAAAGUUAGCAUCAAACAUAUGUAGCAAUAAAAAGAGAAGUGAAAAUCCUAUAUUUAACAUUUGAUAUGUUUUCUUCCAUAUACAAUGAAAAACACUCAUUGAAGAACUACAUGAUAAGAAAGGAAUGUAAACGUGCGUACUUCUUGGGAUGGAAUUCUUGCUUUCAUUUUGCUAUUGAGAAACAAGGUACAAGAGAAAAAGAUGGUGAUUCUACAAUUGGGAUUCUUUAGUAUUGAUGCAUGUUUUGAUGGUAAGUUUGAUAGAUGCAUUUGAAGUUUUGAACCAUAAAAGACAUGUUGUUUCACAUAUAAAGGAUAUGAUUUACGGUUUUGUUAUUUCCCAUAUAAAGGGCACGAGAUUUUGAAGUAGUGUGUGCAUGAAGAGAGGCCUUCUCUAUUAAUUUUUAAAGGAUGUGACUUUUGGGAAUUUAAAAGGUGCAAAUUGCCGAGGGCAUGGAGGAGGAAAAGUUUGGGAAGACCCUCUAGAGCUUCACAUUUUUACAUAGAUUACCACAACUCGUAAUGUUAUGAAGUCAAAAAUGAGAAGCUUAAAUCAUAAUAGUAUGACAACAUGUUUGAAAUGAAUAUAUCUUUUCUCAUUUAUAGUUGGUUCUGAUCCAUUAUUCAAAACUACGAUUUACGUUGUUGCCUAAUUGUAGGGCACUAGUAAGAUUGAGGCCCUUUGUCUUGACUUAAUUUAUGGGACGAGAAGCUGCACAACUGAAGUAUUUAAAGAGUUGACCAAUUUGAGGUUCCUUCAACUACAUGGUGCAAAUCUCAAUGGAAAUUUUCAGAAUUUGCUUCCUCAAUUAAGAUGGCUUGAGUGGACGGGUCAUCACUCGGAUUUUGAAUUGACCAACUUUCGUCUGGAGAAAUUAGUCGUGCUCAAUCUAUCAUGGAGUCAGACUUUGGAGGAUUGGAGAGGAUGGAAUCCACUAAAGGUAAAAUAUAGAGAAUGCAUAUCUCUAUAAAUAAUCACGUGUUGUCGAUGGGCGCAAUUGCACCAAGUUCUCCUUUAUUUCUUAUGAAAAUCCUUUCUCAUAUUAUGGAUUUUCCUCUAAGCAUAAUAGGAAUUAUAGGCACUUAAAUAUGUUAGAAGCUUUUGCCUAUUAAUAUUUUAACAACUAGUCAUGCUUAACAUCAGACCUACUAACAAUUUUUUUUUUAAUUGUAUUAAUUAACAUCCAUCAAAAAUAUAAUUACAAUACUGUGCCCAUGUUACUUUUAAUCUAAAUGGUAUAUGGUUUCUAGUUAAUUUCUCCCCAUGCAAAAAUAUGUCUUUUUAACAAUUGUUGUUGUAUAUAUGGAUCUUCUUUCAUGGAGAAACAAAAACCCUCAUAGUGACUUGUGUUUUACAUUCAUACUAAAAUUCUAAAUUCAUUGUUACUUUUAGAGUAAUGGAAGUAAUUUGUGAGCUGCUCUGACUUGUUGCACACAAUAUUUAUUUAUUAUUUUUGUUGAUUGUUGAAGUCACUGUACAACACAUAUAUAAAGUAGUAGUGUUCUAUGAGUAAUAAAAUUAUCCUUGAGAUGGAAUUUAAAUAUUUUUAAUACAACACCUUUUUAUAGCUUCUACAUAUAGCAUUUAAUAAUUGUUUUUCAUAAUUAAAGUGACCAUUUCUCUUUAAUUUCAUACUAUUGAAGGAAAACAUGGCACCAAAUGAAUGCAUCUCUUUUCUUGAUUUUGUCAUCUUUAAUUUGAUAAUAAAAUUUGCGUAUCUCUAAUUGUGCAUAACUUCAAAAAACUAAAUAUGAUAUUUUUCUAUGAAAUUUUAUUUGCAAAUAAUUGUAGUUAGCACUUAUAUAUCCCUAAUGUUCUCUUUGCAAUGAUAUGCUCAAAAACAUUUAUAUGUUGGCUUAGUGAAUACACUACUAAAAAGAAACAUUUAAAAUUAAAUAAGAUAGCUAUGGAGGAGUAGGGAGCAUGAGUAUUCAUUUUCAUCCAAUCUCAAAGUGGAAUCCUUUCUUUCUUUCAGAUGGCAAUCGAGCUCAAAGUUCUCAACCUUUCAGGUUGUGCUUUGAGAACAACUCCCGACUUGUCUGCUUUCAAGAGCUUGGAGAUUUUGAUACUUGAACAUUGUCAUGGUUUAGAAGAGAUUCAUCCUUCUAUCGAGGACAUCAAGACCCUUAUCUCCUUGAAUGCCAAUAAUUGUCAGAAUUUGAAGGAGUUACCGCUAGGAGUAGGUAAAAUGAAAGAAUUGAGGAAGCUUCUCAUAAGUAAAACUAAUAUACGACAGAUUCCUAUUUCAAGAGGUUGUUUGACGAAGCUGGAGACUCUAUAUGCCUCAUAUUGUAGACUACUUGCUCGACUUCCAAAAUCCUUGGGUUCCCUUAUGUCAUUAACUCAGUUAGACCUAUCAAACACAAAAAUUGAAGAAUUACCCGAAUCCAUUGGAUCUCUAAAGAAGCUCAAGACUCUAGAUGCCUCUUAUUGUGCAUCGUUAGCCCACAUACCCAACUCAAUAGGUGAUUUAGAGUCUCUGUCUCGCCUUGACCUGGGAAAUUGCCAAAAACUUAUUCAACUUCCAGACUCCAUAGGCUCUCUCGUGUCUCUAUCAUGGUUGUCAUUGUCGGGAUGCCGCUCGUUGAGACAAAUCCCAAACUUGAUCGGAAAGUUGACAUCAUUGACCGAGCUGUGUUUGAAAUCUAUGGCCAUCGAAGAAUUACCCGAAUCCAUUGGAUCUCUAAAGAAGCUCAAGACUCUAGAUGUCUCUUAUUGUGCAUCGUUAACUCACAUACCCAACUCAAUAGGCGAUUUAGAGUCUCUGUCUCGCCUUGACCUGGGAAAUUGCCAAAAACUUACUCAGUUUCCAGACUCCAUAGGCUCUCUCGUGUCUCUAUCAUGGUUGUCAUUGUCAAAAUGCUACUCGUUGAGACAAAUCCCAAGCUUGAUCGAAAAGUUGACAUCAUUAACCGAGCUGUGUUUGAAAUCUAUGGCCAUUGAAGAAUUACCUGAAUCCAUAGGAUCUCUAAAGAAGCUCGAGACUCUAGAUGCCUCUUAUUGUGCAUCAUUAACUCACAUACCCAACUCAAUAGGCGAUUUAGAGUCUCUGUCUCGCCUUGACCUGAGAAAUUGCCAAAAACUUACUCAACUUCCAAACUCCAUAGGCUCUCUCGUGUCUCUAUCAUGGUUGUCAUUGUCAAAAUGCUACUCGUUGAGACAAAUCCCAAGCUUGAUCGAAAAGUUGACAUCAUUGACCGAGCUGUGUUUGAAAUCUAUGGCCAUUGAAGAAUUACCUGAAUCAAUUGGAUCUUUAAAGAAGCUCAAUAUUCUAGAUGCCUCUUAUUGUGCAUCGUUAGCCCGCAUACCUAACUCAAUAGGUGAUUUAGCAUCUCUAUUUGAGCUUGACCUAACAGGAUGCCAACAACUUACUCUACUUCCAGACUCCAUAGGCUCCAUUUUGUCUCUAAGGAAGUUGUUAUUGUCGAGAUGCCACUCACUGAGACAAAUCCCAGACUCGAUUGGAAAGUUAACAUCAUUAAUUGAGCUGCAUUUGAAUUAUACGGCAAUUGAAGAAUUACCUAAAAGCAUUGGGAAUAUGCAGAACUUGUGGAUGUUGGACAUUAGUGGAACUCCUAUAAUUGAAUUGUUUGAUGUCCAAGGAAUAGUGGCAAAACUUCAAGGGCUGAAAGCUUUGGGAUGGAAAGAUCUGGAAGGGCUACCUAGUAAUAAUGGCCAAUUGGUUUUGCAGCACAAUCAUGAUUUAGACAUGCACAAAAAACUAUUAGAACUGCGCUCUUGCAUACUAACUCUAGGUAUCACCUACCAGAUCCCAUAAUUGCUGAAUCUUUCUCAACUAAACUUUCUCAAGAAACUCACUCUUUCUAAUUGGCUUGAAUGUCUCUCAAACCUUUUUAUAACACGUUGUAUUGAAGUUGUGGAACUCGAUUUUGUAUUUUCCAAAAGUUCAAGCUGUUAGUUGGGCAUUCUAUUUACUUUUUGUCUUGCGAUACAGUUCUCUUAAAGUGUCCCAGGACUCCUCCUGCCAAUAACUCAGCCAUGGACUACCAAAUAGCAGAUUCUAAACAUGGUUUGAAGAGAUCAAGACCUUUUGGAAUCUCAAAUGAAGUACUUAUUUCAUCUUGCUUUUUCUUUAUCAUUCUUCAGUUAUUAAAGGAUGGUUCCAUCUACAAAGAGAAGUAUUUUACUAAGCGAUCAAUUAUCUAUUAUGUAUGGAAUGCUUUUCUCAACAUUCGUAACUAGAUCUAUCAGACUUGUUACAUGUACUUCUUGCUAUUUUAAGUCUUUUGUUCAUGGAAGUAGGGAUUUUUAGUUUUCCUGAAUUAUAAAGUGAAGCUGGAAUAUAUCGGCCAUUUUUUUUUUUUGUGUUUAUCUUUCUUUAUUAUCUUUCUUUGCAUGCUAUUAAAUGAAAACCUUCCGAAAGCGCACUCACUUUUGUGUUGUUGCGGCAUAUGAUCAUGCAUGGAGAAUCUUUAGGAGUGUGGGGGUAAUCCCACAUUGGUUGUGGAAUGGGAAGUUGGUUAGUUUAUAAAUGUGAGGGAAAGUCUCAUAUUUUAAGCUAGCUUUUGGGGUGAGAUAAGCCCAAGACCACUCAACAAGGAGGAACUUUUGGUUUUGAGGUUUCUAGAUACCCCUAACUCUCAUGAUGUUAACCUAAUGAAACAAUUGAGAAUUGGAAGGAUUACAAGAAAGUCUGAUGGAGAGAAAAGGAGUAAAUGGGCUAAGGUAGUGAAUUUGUGUCCGCUUGUCUUAAUUGUGUCCGUGACUAUGUCAAUUCAUCAUGACUUCUAUUAGACAUGUCAAACUGUUGAAUUAGACAAAAACAUGUAAAUAUCUUGUUGACCACUUGACUAAACGUAUGGUGAUGUGUCAUAGCAGGUUGUGUCGGUGUUUUUCGUGUUUGGUAUUGUCAUCUAAAUAGUCCAUGUCAAUAUUGGUAGCAUUAAUGAGAAGUGCGGACUAGGUAGGUGUUGAUUACAUCUUCUCCCAUCAUGCAUGCAUUGUGCUUAUGUAUGCUAGUAAAAGAGCGGCUCUCAUAUGAGUUUUUGCAUCUUUUGAGUGCCAUGGUUUUAAUCAAUUUUCUAAAGGACUCAUUGGUUUUGUAAUCUUUAUAACCUUCUAUUAGGUGAAUAAUUUGCCAGUAAAAAUUCUGCCUACCACAUACGACUGCCAGAGCCUCGAUCAGAGUUCUUAUUCUUCAGAUGACUUGCCCAAAAAUGUAGUCAUUACCCUAAGUCAAGGUUCACUUGUUAAGAGUAUGGAUUUCCAUCCAGUGCAACAAAUUCUGCUGCUUGGUUAGCACUUUCUUCUUACUCUAUGAAGAAUAUGUUUCGUGCUUUUCUUCAGUUGGAUAUACUUGUUCCCGUUAGAGGCCAUAAGUUUGUACUUUGGUGCUUGGAAGAUUGCUUUUUGUUGUUCUUUUGAUGCUAGCUUCAACUAUUUUAAACCAUGGAAUAUGAUCCUUCAAAUUUUCUACAUCAAUAAUUUUUAGUGGGAACAAAUACGGGCGAUGUCAUAGUAUGGGAAGUAGGCAGCGGUGCAAGGAUUGCUUUGAGAAAAUUCAAGAUUUGGGAUUUGGGAACAUGUUCAAUGGUGUUGCAGGUAUAGAAGUUUAAUUCUAAAUAAAAUCAUGGCAUUUUGUUUUUAGGACAGGUGAUUAAGGGUUUUGAUUCUUUAUAGGCUUCUCUGGCCAAUGACUAUACAUCAUCCGUUAACCGUGUAAUAUGGAGUCCUGAUGGAAUCCUUUUUGGUAUGUACAUAUGUCACUUCUACCUGUAUAUCAACUUAAGAAAUUGGGCAAUACAUACUUGCAAAUUGAUGAAAAAACUAAAGUGCUGAGAACCAGACUUCAUUACAAUAUAUUUGGGAUAAGUGUUCUAGAAGUCCUACAACUUGUCACAAAAAUGCAUUCCAGUCCUAAAACUUGCAAAAAGUGCAUUUAAGUCCUAAAACUUGUCAAAUUGUUUCAAACGAGUCCUAAGAUCGACGCCGUUAGCCUUUUCUGUUAAAAAUGCUGACGUGGCAUUUUAAAUAAUUUUUUAUUUUCCAUGUGAAUUUUUUAAAUUAUUUUUAAAAAAAAUUAGAUUUAAAAACUAAAAAAAUCAAAUUUAUUCAUUUUAUCUUAUUUUCACCAAAAACUUAAAAAAAAGUUAAAAUAUUUAUUAAAAAAAAAUUAAUUAAAAAAUUAAUUUUUUUAAUUAAAAAAUAAACCUGGAAAAUAAAAAAAUUAUUUAAAGUGCCACGUCAGCAUUUUUAACGGAAAAGGCUAACGACGUCCAUCUUAGGACUCAUUUGAAACAAUUUGACAAGUUUUAAGACUUAAAUGCACUUUUUGCAAGUUUUAUGACUGAAAUAUAUUUUCAUGACAAGUUGUAGGACUUCUGGAACACUUAUCCCCAAUAUAUUUAGGAAGAAGUGUCCAUAUGUUGCUAUUACUAAUGAUUUGUGGUAUUCAUUUUAGGUGUUGCUUAUUCCAAACACAUGGUGCACAUCCACUCACAUCAUGGUGGUGAUGACCUAAGGAACCACCUUGAGGUUUGUUGCUAAACAAGGAGAAAAAAAUUAAGCUUCUUAGUUCUACUGACAAUUGCCACCUAAACUAAUGUCUGAUACAGAUUGAGGCUCAUGUUGGAAGUGUUAAUGAUCUUGCCUUUUCAAAUCCAAACAAACAGUUAUGCGUUGUGACCUGUGGAGAGGACAAGUUGAUCAAGGUAUAUUCUAAUUGUUUUCCUCGGUGUUGUUGUGUUCUGCUGUUUGAUCCCUUUUAAUCAAGCUAGUAGUUAUGUAGGUAUGGGAUGCAAUGACUGGGGCUAAGCAACAGACUUUGGAGGGUCAUGAAGCACCUGUGUAUUCUAUUUGUCCACACUACAAAGAAAGUAUUCAGGUACCUGGUUAUUUGGUGUACUAACAAGGACACAUCGCAAGCAUGGCCAAUCGACUGUACCAUAGACUAUACACUGGACUUCUAUUUUCUAAAACUUGGUUAGGUCGAAAAAUUUGGUUCAAUUUGUAUGAGAAGUGUGAAUCUGUGUUUUAAUGGACCUUGUUCAUUCCAAAUUUUGCAAGUCUUCCAAUUUUAACCUGUCUUGAUUCGAAUGUGCUUGUUAAAAUGGUGACACGGUCCAAAGAUUAAACUGCAAAUUUGAUUCUUUUAGGCAAUGCUAUUAAGCAUUAACAACUGGGUAAAGGUCUUCAGAAUAAUGACAUUUCUACUUAAUUAUGUGUUUAUUGGUUAAAUUUAUAAUAGAAGGCUAUUUAUUGUGUUUUAGUGGAGCAACAAUUGGUGAUGUUAUUUUCUUCAUUAUAAUUUUUUUAGAACAUCAAUGGCUUUGUACACUUUAUUACAAAGAUAGUAUAUGAGAUCUCAUCAUUCUAGGAUGAUAUGUUUUAUUAAUUUAAGUGGAUGUACUCUAUAUGUGCAUGGUAUUGAAAUUGAUCAUAUAAUAUUUUUCUGGUGUAGUUCAUCAUCUCAAUAGCAACAGAUGGGAAAAUUAAGACUUGGUUUCAUGACAAUAUGAGGUCAAGAGCUGACUAUGAUGCUCCAGAUCAUUGUUCUACCAUGGUGGCAUAUAGUGCUAAUGGAACAAGGUUCAGAGUUCAAGUUUGAUUUCAUCUCGUGUCUUUCUUUCUAACUGAAAUAACCUAUUUUAGCGAUUUUAUUUUGUUGUAGGUUGUUCUCAUGCGGGACCAAUAAAGAAGGAGAGUCGUACUUGGUUGAAUGGAAUGAAAGUGAAGGGGCUGUCAAGUGUACCUAUCAUGGACUUGGAAAGAGAUCUAGUGGAAUUGUGCAGUUUGAUACCACUAAAAAUAGGUUUUUGGCUGCUGGUGAUGAGUUCAUGGUCAAAUUUUGGGAUAUGGAUGAUAGUAAUCUACUCAUGAGUAUCGACGCUGAUGGUGGAUUACCGGUAAUUCGUUGUUGUUAAUUUAUUCUGACUGAAUUAGACGAACCUUUCUAAUUAACUAACUCUUUAAAUUUGUAGGCUUCACCUUGUAUUAGAUUUAACAAUGAAGGAAUUCUAUUAGCUGUCUCAACAAGUGACAAUAGUAUCAAAGUUUUAGCAAAUGCUGAUGGGAUUAGGCUGCUAAGGAUAGUGGACAAUUGGCCUUUUGAUGCUUCUAGAAUCAUUCCUGGACCUCUCACGAAGGUAAGCUUUUUCAAAAGUACAUUGACUUCAUAAAGAUGAGCUUGCUAAAUGUCUUGAAUCUUGUACUACCACCAGCAAUCGCAAUAUUUGGUUACGGUAAUGCUGCUGUGGGGGCAAGCCUAGGUAAUAGGGGGGUUCCAAUUGCAAUAUUAAAAUGUUUGAUCCAAUUUCUAGAUGUGCAUUUGGUGGAGAAGUCUAAAAAAUCCUACAAAAAAAAAUGGCAAAAAUGUCUAGACUUCACUAAAGUUUUGUGUAGACAAAUCCAUAAAAAUUAUCUUUACAACAUGGCGGAGAUAGUUACCUUAGGAAAUAGGUUGGAAUAUAAAUGAGAAAUAAUUUUUUUCUACAUUUCUAUUUAUGAAAUAUAAAUAAAAAUUAAAACUUUUCUACCUAUUGGCCACUCGUUUGCCUGCUGCCCUCCUCCACCAGUCACUAGCUGCCCGCCACUAGAAAUUUUAAGGCCUAUGUCUCUGCUCAGUUUUUCGUCCAUCAAAUAAAAAAAAAAAAUUCAUUUAUGAUUAGAAAUUAUUCAUAAAAAUAGAAUGGUUGUCAUUUGUGCUUAUGGUACACCAACUAAAAUAAACCUCUACCCCUUCGUUUGUUUUAUCCACUGAAUAAUAACAGCUUUUUUUUUUUUCAAUCCUUGUGCUCCCUUGCUGCCACUUUCAUAAAUCUCUAUCCAAUUCUUUCACAUCAGCAGCAGCAGCAGCUGAUGUCGGGACCAUUUUCCCCUCACAUCUAGUCAUAUUUUAACACAUUUAUGUGGAUUUCGAAUUUAAAAAAAAAAUUCCUUGAUUUUCUAUCGGCCAUGGACCUCAGACUAGCCGGCUGCCACCCUUGAACACCACCACGCUGGAGGUCAAGCUCCAAGUGUAGCCGAGUCGUGGCCUCGACGUCGCACUAGAUCUGGUCCGCCUUCACUUGCUUGUGAAAGUGCUAGUAUGAACACCUAGAGGAGGGGUGAAUAGGUGUAAAAAUAGAUUCUGCAAAAUACAGUGAAAACAUUUACUUUUAACCUGAGUCUGAAUAGUAGCAGACUUUGAGCAAUAUCAGACUUUAGCAGUUAAAUAUAAUUACAAACAAAAUAAAGGAGUUCAAGGCAGAGAAUAAGAACACAGAGUUUAUAGUGGUUCGGCUUAAUCCAAGCCUAUGUCCACUCUCCCGCACUGACAACCCACCGGCUGGAUUUCACUAUGAAUCAAAAGAGUUGUUACAGUAUCACAUCCUUGAUUCCACAGUGUAGAGAUUCCGCUACACUUUCUCAAGGCCUCACAAAUGUCUAACUCUCUUUUGAGUACAAAUUUACGCUCAACAAUUGAAUCAGCAAAGAACAAGGAAUUUCAGACUUUGGAAUUUAUCUAUCACACACACUCUCGAAUAACUAGAGCAUCUUCCUUAUAUACUCCUCAAUGCCUUCAUAACCGUUGACACCUUCCAAAGGAGUUCUUCCAAUCUACCCGUUAGACAGACUCAAUUAGAGAGAUCUCGAGUUACUUAAGGAAUGUGAUGAUAGCCCACCAAUCUUGCUUGUCCAUACAAUCAGGAUCUAGGUUUCCAUAAGUAGAAUCUUCCAAGUAUACUUCGCCAAUCAACGAAUCUAAAUUAUUCGAAUUGAUUUCAAAAUGAAUAAUAGAUCUUGAGAUGUUAUCUCCAGCCAUGAGAUUUUCUUUAGCAGCUCGAAACAAAUCCUUAAAGAAAUACUUGAUUAUGGAUAAGUCUUCUUCGUCGAUCUAGAAACUGUCAAUGAUGGUAGACUUUAAAUCUUGAGUCUGGCGGUCUACGAUCUUCAUACUUUGACGAAAGAGUCUGCAAGUCUUCAGACUAGACUGAUGGAAAUGUUUUAUCAACUUCAAAACAAAUAAGAAAGUUUUCUCCAACAAUCUCCCCAUUUUUUAUUGUGACAAAACUUUCCUGCAGAUUUGGAUACUUUUGACCUGUAAGAUAGUACUCAAGCAAACAAGAAUAUCUCAUAAAAGAUAAAUGGAUUAGGAUAAAGAUAGUAUCGAAUCUGCAUACACAGGAAAUAAGUUAGUUCUGUAAAAACAACUAUCUUUGCCAUAAAUACCAACAAUGCUUAAGAUACUACAAGCAUUAAACGAUUAAACAAUCCAAACCAAAAAAAAAAAAAAGUCCAAACCAGUCACAACCAAACAAGAAUUAAAGUCAAAUCCAAAACUCAAAUCAAAUCAAAUCUGCACUAACUUCUCCCUCUUUUUGUCAGCAUUAAAAAGGUAGAGACGAAAAAAAGAGAAUUGGAUAAAAUUAAGAUUGUUUUGGAAUGCGAACAAGCUGGAAAUCUCCCAUCGACUUGACAGUCUCCUCUAGCUUUCUCAAAUCCUCUUUCAGUUGCGCUACUUCCUCAUCCUUGGCAGUUGCUUGAACUUGAAGAAUAAGGGCCUGAACUUGAUUGUGCAAGAAACUGAAGAGGCUUGACUGGCAUUCUACAUAUUCUGAACUUCGCAUCCGAAGGCAUAAAUUUGGCCUUGCAUCUCCAUAAGAACAUCAAGCAAUCUUCAAAAGUCUACUGAGUUGUCAAUUUGAGUGCUUGCUUUAGCAUGAUCAGUUUGUGGAGUAUUGGCAGAUGAUGUCAUUUCAACAUGAGCACCCAGACUUGGAGAUGAAACUUCAUGACCUUCUUCAGGGAAUUGAGAGGCAUAUACAUCUUCUGGAUCGGCAGGAGAACAACUAACAUCAUUACUAGUAAAAGCAAGUGAAGAAGUACCUCUUUUCUUAGCAGAUCCCCCUGUUGCAGUGCCUUCAGGUGGAGAGAAGUACUCUUCAUUCUCUGUCUCUUCUUCAGUGACAUGAUGACCUUGUUCUUCUCUUUCCUCUUCUUCUGCAGUUCUUUCUUCAUCUACUUCUUUCCUCAUCGUUUCCCUCUCUUCACUCCUCUGAUAUGUUUCUUCUCUGUCUUGGUCCUCUCUCUCCUCAAUCUCUAGAAAAAAACACGAUAAGUUCCUUAAAGCAAGAGUGGAAAUGGUGAUAUCUUCCUCAUCUUCUUCAUCCUGCAAGAUGAGUGCUCUUCUUUUAUUGGAUGGAGCUGUCAUGGGCUCCUUGCCUUUCCGUUUUGCAGCCACAGAGUCUUGACGAGUCUUAACAGGGGUCUUCUCCUUAUAUCUCUCUAAAGCCUUGUUUAGCUCCUUUAGACGCAUUUUUGAAACCAUCUUUAGUCCCACCACCAUUUGAUCACAGGUUCGAACACACAGAAUUUUGGGAGGUUGAAUAUUAAAAUGUCUGAAUAGCUGAGUAACAAGUGCUGAAUAAGGAAGUUGGCCCUUGUCCUUCACCAUUGAUCUAUACAUGUGAAACAUGAUAGUGUGUGGUAGAGAGAACUUUUCACCAACGUUGAUAGCAUACAUAAGCUUCGCUUCUAAAUUGGAGACGUCAGUCUUUGAUGUCAAUUUAAGUCUAAGACAGUUAAUCACAAUCUUGUGAAGCAAGACAUUUGAGGCAUUCAUCCUCAAGUACGAAAUUUGCUUAUGCCAUUCCAUCCCGAAUAAGCUAUACAUUCGCACGACCAACAGACACACUAAUUGAUUGGAAUACCCCUCUCUUUACUCCAAUCACAUUAGCCAGAGUGUCCAUAUCAACCACAUAAUCAUGGUCUCUAACAUUGAAGGAAAAUCUAUUCUCAUCCAAAAAGCUUAGAUUAGAAUAGAAAUAUGCAGUAAGUUCUGGAUGAGCCACUAUUAUCUCAUAGCAAAAUCGUUCAAGUUGAAGUAAAGUAAAUUUCUCUCGCAACUUCACGUUUAGAGAGUCAAGAAAAUCAAAAUCCACACUCCUUGGGUUCAUCACCCCUCGCUUCAGCAACUUAGAAUAGAGUCGCUUAUGUUCCUCAGAACAAAACAGAUCUGUCCUUUUUCCUCAAAUAUUCGCAACAACACCCAUUCUAUGCUUAAAAUGAGUGAACAUUUUUUCAUCAUCAUUUCCAUCAGGUUGACUAAGUCCUCCAACACAUGGAUCACUUGGGACAUUCGCAAAAGCUCUUUCUGUCGAGCCGGCAGGAGCAAUUCUCAAACCUUUCAUCGUUCUUAAGAAAUGGGUUUCAUUUCGGUACCCAUUUUCUUUCAAAAAUUCAUCAAUAAAGUUCAAUGGAGAAACUCCAACCUUUAAGGCAAAAUAGAGUUUGAAGGUAAAAGCAAGCUUUUGAGUUCUUACAGGUUCGGCAUCCUCAAUAAUUUCUUCCUCUUCUUGCUGUCCCUGAAUAUUCUGUUGUCUAGCCUGAGGAGAAUGGCAUGGUUGAGAAUAUUGUGGACUCUGCUAAUGCCUUAGAGAUUCUUCUUCCUCGGUCAGGUCAAAAUGCGUAGGACUCACAUGCAUAUGCUGUGGUCCCCUGCUUGUAAUCCUUGAUGACUUUCUUUGGGAAGCCAUUAUCAUAGUCUUUGAGAGAGUUUCCAAACUCGAUUUGCGAGAAAGAUGAUGACUUUAAGGAUUAAACCAGAGAGAAAAAGUAAGAAAGUGAAGUUCUUUGCUUCUAGGGUUCGUGAAGAAGACGAUCAGUAUAUAAGGCAGUCAAAACGAGGUAUAUGGAUCGUCGUAAAAGGAAAAAAUAGAAAAUGCCUUUUUAAAAAAAACUGUCUUUUUGAAAAUAGAUAACUGUCAUUUCAAAAAGAUAACUUCUUUUUCGAAAAUGAAUGAUUGCUAUAAUUACGAAAACUUGGAAAGAUAACAUCAAUCAAUUGCAGAUUAAUAGACAAUCGUACCUUUUCGAGAUUUUAUCCGAAUGAUAAAUUUCUAAAACUGAAAUAACUUACAGUUGUGAUUCUUGAUCUUCUGAGUCUGAGCAUAUUUAGACUUUUAUCCCUGAGUCCGAGCUUCUUCAGACUUUAAGAUAUUAAGUCUGGAACGAAUAGACUCAAAUUGACUCUUCUCCAGUGGCUUUGUAAAAAUAUCCACCAGCUGAUUCUUUGAGUCAAUAAAUUGAAUUAAUACUUCUCCAUUUUGAACAUGGUCUCUAAUAAAAUGAUGUCGAAUAUCUAUAUGCUUUGCUCUUAAAUGAAGAAUUGGAUUUUUGGUGAGAUUAGUUAUGCUGGUAUUGUCAUAUUUGAUCUCAAUGCAUGAGUCUUCACUUCCAAAGUCUCUUAGCUAUUGUUUUAUCCGUAAGAUUUAAGAACAACAACUUCCAAGAGCCACAUACUCUACUUCUGCUGUUGAGAGAGUUACAGUACUUUUCUUCCUUGAAAAACAAGAUACUGUUCUGUUACCAAGCAGUUGACAAGUGCCGAAGUGCUCUUUCUAUCAACUCUGCAUUCUGCUAGGUCUGCGUCUGAGUAUCCAAGGAGAGUAAGUCUCCUUCUUUAGGAUACCAGAAACCCAAAUUAGAGGUUGUUACAACGUAUUUGAUGAUGCGUUUCGCAGCACUUAGAUGAGAUUCUUUGGAAUCUGAUUGAAAUCUGGCACAAAUGCAAACACUAAAUAAAAUGUCAGGUCUAGAGGCAGUAAGAUAAAGAAGUGAACCAAUGAUACUCAUGUAUAGCUUCUGGUCAACUUUCUUUCCUCCUUCAUCUUUGUCCAACUUCGAAGAACUUGACAUUAGUAUAUCAGUCUUUUUGCAAUUCUCCAAACCGAACUUUUUAACAAAUUCUUUAGUAUACUUUUCUUGGUGAAUGAAAGUCCCUUCCUUCAAUUGUUUUACUUGAAGUCCGAGAAAGAAGGAUAGUUCACCCAUCAUGCUCAUCUCAAAUUCAUCCUGCAUAGACUUAGAGAAUUUCUUGCACAGAUUUUCGUUAGGUGAUCCCAAAAUAAUAUCAUCAACAUAAAUUUGAACAAGUAAAAAGUUUUUACUUUCUCUUUUAAUAAACAAAGUAGUGUCUACUUCACCUUUAACAAAGACAUUUUGAAUUAAGAACUUACUUAACCCGUCGUACCAAGCUCGAGGUGCUUGCUUUAAACCAUAUAGUGCAUUUUUCAGUCUGAAUACAAAGUCUGGUUUCCUUGGGUCUUUGAAACCGGGAGGUUGUUCCACAUAGACUUCCUUUUGGAUAAAUCCAUUUAGGAAUGCACUUUUGACGUCCAUUUGGAAUAAUCUGAAAUUUUUAUAAUAAGCAAAAGCAAGUAAUAAUCUAAUUGCUUCUAACCUUGCUACUAGUGCGUAAAUCUCAUCAUAGUCUAUCCCUUCUUCUUGCAUAUAUCUUUUGGCCACAAGUCUUGCUUUGUUCCUUAUAACUUUUCCCUUUUCGUCUAUCUUGUUCCUAAAAACCCAUUUGGCUCCAAUAACAUAUUUAUCUUUUGGUUUAGGAGUCAAUUCCCAGACAUCAUUAAUACUGAAUUGCCUGAGUUUUUCUUGUAUAGCUUUAAUCCAGCUUUCAUCAGAUAAAGCUCUUCUAUACUUUUGGAUUCUAUUUCAGAAAUAAGAGCCACAACACUAAACUCUUCACGCCUUUUAGAUCUUGUACGAAUCCCUUCAUCAAUGUCACCAAUAAUGAGUUCUUUGAGAUGACUAGACUUGUGCUUCCAGUUGCUGGUUGGUCUGACAAACUGCUGAUCUUUUUCUUCAUUUGAUUCUUCAUUGUUCAUUCGUUGAUGAUCAUCUGAAGUCUGAGCUACUUCUGAGGAUUUAGAUUUUGUAGAGUCUGAAGUAGGUUUAGAUUCUUCAGGUUGAGUUUGGAUCGAUUGAUAUUGAAAUUUGACAUUCAUUAAUUCUUCCACAAAUUGAGUCUUUUUGUUAUAUAUUCUGUAAGCUUUGCUGGUGGUUGAAUAUCCAAGAAAGAUGCAUUCGUCUGAUUUUUCUUCAAACUUAUCAAUUUGAUCAUUUGCAUUUUUCAAUAUAAAACAUUUGCAAUCAAACACAUGAAAAUAGGAAACAAUUGGCUUCUUUCAUUUGAACAACUCAUAGGAAGUUUUCUCCAUAAUAGGCCUUAAGAAGACUAUUAAUAACAUAACAUGCUGUAGAAACUGCUUUAGCCCAAAAACGAGAAGAAAUGUUGUUUUCAAUUAAAAGUGUUCUAGUUAUUUCUUGCAACAAUCUAUUUUUCAUUUCCACAACUCCAUUCUGCUCAGGGGUGUAUGGAGAGGAAAGCAUAUGCUGAAAACCAGAUUCAUCACAAAAUUUAGCAAAGUCUUGAUUUUCAAACUCACGUCCAUAGUUUGUCCGUAUACUUGAAAUAGCAUACCCUUUCUCAUUCUGUACUUUCUUAGCAAACUUUAUAAAAUAAGAAAAUGUUUCAUACUUACUUGCCAGGAAAUAUACCCAAGUAAAUUGUGAAUAAUCAUCCAUUAUUACUAGGCAAUAUUUCUUUCCACCAAUGCUCUGAGUCCUAGUUGGUCCAAAGAGAUCCAUAUGUAGGAGCUGCAGCAGACGAUUAGUGGAAACUUGAUUUAUUGAUUUGAAAGAAUUUCUAACCUAUUUUCCCAACACACAUGGUGUGCAUAAUUCAGAUUUUUGGUAUAUCAGAUUGGAUAGUCCACAAACGAACUUUUUUGCAGAGAUCUUGGUUAUUUGCUUCAUGUUGAUAUGGCCAAGUUUUCGAUGCCAGAGAUUAGCUUCUUCUUGAAUUAAAAUUAAACAUUGGGAUUUUUCUAGUUUGAUGUCCAAUAGAUAGAUGUUCCAAUGUCUUCGCCCCGUAAAAGUUUGAAAGAAGUCUUUACUGGUUCCUGAACAUAUUCCUUUUUGAAAAUUGAUUUUGAAACACGUGUUGCACAGUUGGCUGAUACUCAGUAAGUUGUAGUUGAGUUCUUCCACUAAGGAAACGUUGUUGAUUGUAAGACUUCCAAUCUUUACUGUUCCACAUCCAACAAUUCUUCCUUUGCUAUUUCCACCAAAAUAAACUUUUCCACCAUUAACAUGCAUAAGCUUUAUGAAACAACUUAAGUCUCCCGUCAUAAGUCUUGAGCAUCCACUAUCCAAGUACCAUUUGACAUUUUUCUUGAUAGUGACCUGCAUUUAAAAAAGAAACUCAAGCUUUCUUUGGUACCCAUACUUUCUUGGGUCCAAUGGAGUUAAUGCAAUAUACGGUCUUUACCCAAUCCUUCUUAAUAGGUCUCCAAACCAUAGGACAUUCUUUCUCAAAGUGUUCUGAACUAUUGCACUUAGAACAUUUAAGAGCACUACGGCCAACAGGUUUUACAAAGACUUUUUGAAAAUGAUUUCUAUAAAAGUCUUUUGUAGGUCUUUAUUUGAUUCUUUCAUUUACUUUUGGAAAAUUAAUUAGAGGAAUGGUUUCAGAAGUCAUUCACAAUCCCGAUUUGUUAAAGUAAGGUCUUUGUACUGAAAGAAUCUUUUCUAAUUUCUUAGACCCUAUAGAAAACCUUUUUGAAACACUUGAAAUAUCAUUUUUCAAAAAUGUGUUUUCUUUUGAAAGAAAGUCUGCAUUUUCUUUCAAAGUAAUAAGACUUUUAUUUAAAUUUUCGACAUUUUCUUUCCAAACAAUCUCAUGUUGCUUUCAAAAAUGUGUUUUCUUUUGAAAGAAAGUCUGCAUUUUCUUUCAAAGUAAUAAGACUUUUAUCUAAAUUUUCGACAUUUUCUUUCCAAACAAUCUCAAGUUGCUUUAGUGCAGAAUUUUCCCUUUUUAGCUUGGAAAUCCUUUUGAGAAAGGUUUUGAGACUAAGACACAGUUCAUCAAUAUAUUUAGAGACUUUAAUAGGAAUUUUUAAAUUACUUAUCUCGAUUUCACCGUUUGAGUCUAUAUCUGUCUCAAAGUCUGAAUCUGAUUUUGAUUUUUUCAUUAAACAAAUAUUAGCAUAAUCAUCAUCACUCUCUUCGCAUUUGGUAUCACUCCAAGUUUCUACUUUAAGUGCUUUUUUGUAUUUCUCAACUUUUCCUUUCUUUUUCUUCAGUAAGGGACAGUUGGGUCUGAUGUGUCCGUUUUUCUUGCAUUCAAAACAAAUCAUAUCUUUAUUGGAUUCAUCGUCCUAAGCUGAUUUAUUUUGAGACUUUUGAGAACUUUAUUUCUUCCAAUUGAAUUUUCUUCCCUUUUUGUUUAGUUUUCUGAACCUUCUUAUCAUAAGAGCAAGCUCUUCAUCGUCCAUAUUGUCUUCAGAAUCUGUAACAUCAUAAUCAUCAUUAGAUUUUAAAGCAUUAGAUUUUUUACCUUUGGGGUCUUCAUCUUCAUUGAUUUGCUCCACUUCAUAAGACUGAAGAGUGCCAACCAAUUCGUUAACGAAGAGUGGCAUGAUCCUUUGUGUCUCCCUUAUUUAGGUCUUUAUGUGAUUCCAAUCUUUUGAAAGUCUACGCAGCAGUUUGUUAACCUUCAUGGGUCUAGAGAUUGGUUGACCUUGAUACUCAAGACCAUUCACGAUUUCUUUAAAACGACUAAACAUGUCAGUGAUAGAUUCUCCCGGUUUCAUCUUGAAGGUUUCAUAUUGACCGAGCAGAAUAUUGAUUAUGGUUUCUUUCACUCGAUCGGUUCCUUCAUAGGUGAUGUGUAGCAUAUCCCAAACUUCUUUAGCUGUUUCAUAAUAAGAUAUUAUGUUAUAUUCAAUGAGAGAUAAUGCACAAUAUAAAGAAUAAAUUGCUUUUGCAUCAACAGCUUGUCUCUUGGUUAUCUCUUCUUGAGUCAUCUCGCUAGCCUCAACAACUUCUUUUCCCCUUUCUAAGACUGUUGUAGCUUUAGGAAUGAUUCAUUUAUCUACCACAUCUCAUUCCAGAGGAUCUUUUGAUCUUAGGAAUGCCUUCAUCUUGUUUUCAAUAUACUAUAUUCAUUUCCAUCAAAAUAAGGCGGUUUGGUGUUGCUUUGCCUUUCAACUAAACCUGGAGCCAAAAUCCUAGUCAUGGAUCAUUAACUCUGAAGUAAAAACACUUCAAUUUAAAUGAGUACACAGGCUCUGAUACCAAUUGAAAGUGCUAGUAUGAACACCUAGAGGGAUGGUGAAUAGGUGUAAAAACUGGAAAGCUAGUACGAGCACCUAGAGGGGGUGAAUAGGUGCGAAAACAGAUUUUGCAGGGUAAAGAUUAUAAUUUACUUUUAAACCGACUAUGUUAUGCAAUAGAUUAUGAAAAGGAAAUUAAACUCUAACAAGUAAUGUUACGAUCAAAGUAAAGAGCUUAUGGAAGAGAAUAAGAACACAGGGUUUAUAGUGGUUCGGCUUAAUCCAAGCCUACGUCCACUCUUCUGCACUAACAGCCCACUAGCUGGAUUUCACUAAAAAUCAAAAGAGUUGUUACAAAAUAGCUCUUCAUUGAUUCUACAGUGUAGAGACUCUACUACACUUCCUCAAGGUCUCACAGAAGUAUAAACGCUCUUUUAAAUACAAGUUUUCGCUCAACAAUUGAAUUUGACAAAGAACAAGGAGCUUCAAACUUUGGAAUUCUUCUAUCGCGCACACACUCGAAUAACUAGAACGACUCCCUUAUAUACUCCUCCAUGCCUUCAUACCCGUUGGCACUUUCCAAAGAAGUUCUUCCAAUCUACCCAUUAGACAGAAUCAAUUAGGGAGAUUUCGAGUUAUUUGAAGAAUAUGACGAUAGCCCAUCAAUCAUGCUCGCCCAUACAAUCAGGAUCUAAGUUUCCAUAAGUAGAACCUUCCAAGUAUGCUUCGUCAAUCAACGGAUCUAAAUUACUCGAAUUGAAAUUAAAAUGAAUAACAGAUUCCAAGAUGCUAUCUCCAGCCGAGAGAUUUUUUUCAGUUGAUAGAAUCAAAUCCUUAACGAAAUACUCAGAUCUGGAUAAGCCUUCUUCAACGGUCUAGAAACUAUCAAUAAGGAUAGACUCUGAAUCUUGAACCUGGUGGUUUGGCAAUCUUCAGACUUUGAUUAAAGAGUCUGCAAGCCUUCAGACUGGACUGAUGGAAACGUUUUGUCAGCUUCAAAACACACAAGGAAGUUUUCUCCAACAAAAACAGAUUCUCCAAAAUACAGUGAAAACCUUUACUUUCAACCUGAGUCUGAAUAGCAGCAGACUUUGAGCGAGAUCAGACUUUAGCAGUUAAAUAUAAUUACGAACAAAAUAAAUGAGUUUAAGGAAGAGAAUAAGACGCGGAGUUUAUAGUGGUUCGGCUUUAUCCAAGCCUACGUCCACUCUCCCACAUUAACAACCCACCAGCUGGAUUUCACUAUGAAUUAAAAAAGUCAUUACAGUAUCACGUCCUUGAUUCCACAGUGUAGAGAUUCUGCUACACUUCCUUAAGGCCUCACAAAUGUCUAAACUCUCUUUUGAGUACAAAUUUAUGCUCAACAAUUGAAUUAGCAGAGAAUAAGGAAUUUCAGACUUUGGAAUUUAUCUGUCGCGCACACUCUCGAAUAACUAGAGCAUAUUUCUUAUAUACUCCUUUAUGCCUUCAUAACCGUUAGCACCUUCCAAAGGAGUUUAUCCAAUCUGCCCAUUGGACAUAAUCAAUUAGGGAGAUCUCGAGUUACUUAAGGAAUGUGAUGAUAGCCCACCAAUCUUGCUCGCCCAUACAAUCAGGAUUUAGGUUUCCAUAAGUAGAACCUUCCAAGUAUACUUCACCAAUCAACGGAUCUAAAUUACCCGAAUUAAUUUCAAAACGAAUAAUAGAUCUUGAGAUGCUAUCUCCAACUGUGAAAUCUUCUUUAGCCACUCGAAACAAAUCCUUAAAGAAAUACUCGAUUCUAAAUAAAUCUUCUUCGUCGGUCUAGAAACUGUCAAUGAGGGCAAACUUUAAAUCUUGAGUCUAGUGGUCUGGUGAUCUUCAGACUUUGACGAAAGAGUCUGCAAGUCUUCAGACUAGACUGAUGGAAACGUUUUGUCGGCUUCAAAACAAAUAAGAAAGUUUUCUCCAACAGCUUGAAGCUCGUCCAUGGCCCCCUCCGAAUCUAGUCAAGCUCGACUUCGCGCCAGUCUCCAGAUAUCAUUUGCCUUAAAAUGGUUCGAGCUCGGCAAUUCCUCCAUGACCGAUGAGAAGCUGCUGAGAUCUCAGUCACAACGUCGAGCUUGGCCACCAUAGAAGGCCAUCACCUCUAGAUCUAGAGGCUAAGUGGCAAUGGAGGCCGAGCAUCCAGAUCUGACCUUGGCGAAGGUCAUGAUAUGACCUCGAGUUGCAGCAAUGACCGCCGUUAGAGGUCGCUUUAAGAGAGGGCGUUAAAAGUUGCAGACAGCCAUGGACAGAGCGUGUGACAAGAAAGGAGGCAAAAAAAAAAAAAACAGAAUAAGCAAAGAAUGGCGGGUAACAAAAAGAAAAUGAAGCAUCUUUUACAAGCUUCUCAACAGCAUCACAGGGAUGAGACGCGCCAACGUCCAUGGACGGCCAUGGCAGAGCCAGGUUCGCGAAUGACGCCAAUGACCAUGGACGGCCAAAUUGGGAGAGCCAGCGGCAUCACCUAGACGAGUGAUGUCGACGGCCAUGGUCGGCCAGAUCUGAAGAACCAGCAGCAUCACUGACGCAUCACCGGCUAUGCCAGCUCGUCCGAGGUCAAGUAGCUGGCUUUAGACAAAUGAGGAAGAUAAAGCUUGAGGAAACAAUUCCACCAGACAAAGAAACUCCACAUCAAUAUUUUUUAAUUUAAUUCAAGACACGUAAACUUUUUUAAGUGGAUAUCAAGGAAAAAAAUGCUCGCCCCAUCAGCUGACGCGGGGCUGUGAAAUCACUCAAUAUUUUCCCCUUUCCUCACACAUCUACACACACUGGCACAUAAAACUAGAAAACCAUCAGGCAACAAUGGUAGGUAUGGUAAGUGGUAUCAUUACUGCAUUAGGUCGUUAAAUUUUUUUUAAGGAGCUUUAUUUGUUGCUUAUUUUAUUACUUAAAUGAUGCCAUAAUUGCAUUUGUAUGUGCAUGUUUAUUGGACGUCUUUCAAUGACAUCCUCUCUUUUGAGCUCUACAGGACAGUGAGAGCAUGGCCGAUGUGAGGCUUGGAAUUGCUGAUGACUCAGGAGACGAAUCACGAAAUUGGAAACCGACAGAAAUCAAUGAACCAUCACAAUGCCGGUCCAUAAGGCUGCCUGAUAACUCUACGGCUAUGAGGGUAAAUGAUUGCCAGAUUAGGACGUUCUUAUGCAGCAUUUCUUUUCCACAUUAAUCUGUCAUGUUUCUACUAGAUAAGCACAAAUUUGAAUGGGGGUCGCAUUUAAUGCACUUGCUUUACUAGUUUUAUUCACAUGUGGUCCAAUGAUUUAUCUCUUAAACCCUGGCACUCAAUGACUUCGUCAUAUCUUCAUUUGGCAUUUUAUAGUUGACUGAUUGUUUCAACUAUACAAAUAGGAAAGGAUAAGAUCAACAUUAAUAAAUCUGUGAUUAUGGUGUGGCAAUUGUGCUGGAGUUAUGUUGGCUGUGGAGGUCAUGAAUUUUACAAUAACGUUGAAUAGCAAGAUGGAUGAUUCCUGAUCUAGAAUGUGAUGGUAUAUUUGCAUAACGAGACUUUUUUAUCAUUUGCUUGGAAUAUGGAUUUUUCUGUGGACUUUCAUGCAGUUACAUGUGGUAAAAGACACAGAUUCUUUACGGGAUGAAUUUGGUGCUUUUGGGGAAUGCUAAGCUUGUGAAAGCUAUUUUGAGCUUGUCAGUUCCCAGAAACUUUGAGUGGAAAUUUACCUGCUGAAUCUAAAUAUACAAAACCCUAGAGGCAAAAGAAUAGAUAGACAUUAGACAGCUAGACGGUUUAAGUCAAGGUUCUACUUUUCUUUUUGUAACUGUUUCAACUGGGUUUAGAUGUCAUGUGCAUUAUAUGCUUUAUUCAUAUGUAAGUACAUAAAUAUGUGCAUGCGCGCGUGCGCCUAUGCUGAUAAAUAUGCAGGCAGCGUCACCAAGUGUCUCUUUGCAUGGAUUUCUGCGUCUAUCAAUUAGUGCCCAAUUCUCUGGCAUCUUUCUUCUGCAUUUUGUUUUAACUUUCGGUAUUACAUUUGAUUGCCGCCACUGAAGCUGGUAAAACGAAACAGGUCCCGAGAUUAAGCUAUACAAACUCAGGUCGUGCCAUUCUGGCAUUAUCAUCGAACGCUGUACGUAAGCUCUGGAAAUGGGAAGAAAGUGAUCAAAACUUAACGGGCAGGGUAAGGAAUCUGGAAUCUCCCCACACCCACACACCCCCCCCCCCCCCCCAACGGGGGCCCCAAAAAAGAGGCAAAUUCUUUUGUUGUUUAGCGUAUUGUUAACUACAUUGAUUCUUCUUUUCGCAGGCUACAACUAGUGUAGUACCACAGUUAUGGCUACCACCUGGUGGGAAUUUGAUGACCAAUGAUACAUGUGCAAAUCCUGAAGAUGCAGUUCCGUGCUUUGCACUCUCAAAGGACGAUUCUUUGCUAAUAUCGGUAUCAGGGGGGGAUAUCUCUCUGAUCAAUAUGAUGACUUUAAAGGUGAAUAUAUUCCCAAAGUAAUGUCUGCAUCCUCUUGUCAGUUUUGUAGCACUAUCCACAAGGCACAAGAUGAUAAACUACCCCUUUGUGCUGAAUAUGCGUGCAAUAUUUCCUCUCCACAUUUUUAUGGGAGCUAAAAUUAAUUGGUUCGAUCAUGUAUAAAAAUGUAUCGAGCUCUAAUUGUUAGGAGGCCCAUGAAAGCAAUUGCUCUGAUUUUCAUGGAGAUUAUCUUUUCAAAAGUGCAGCAUGUCCCUUUUUACUUGCUAAGCGAGAUAAGGGCUUUUCUGUGUCUUCGAUGGAAUCUUUUUGCUCUUAUUGAUUAAAGAAUUCAAACCAUCCAGAGAUCUAUUGGUCCAACUUGCUCUCUCCCUUUCCUAAGAAGAAAGAUGUUGUUGAGGCAAGUGCCUCUUGUCACGUGUCCCACUGUUAUUUAUAAAGUUGUUACUAUUAUCCUGCCUGCUGAUAUGCAGACGGAGGACAAAUUUACACUCCCGCCACCACCAAACAAUGACAUUAUUGAGAUAGGAAUGGAGGACUCCGCUAUUCAAAUUUACCGUGCUCGAGUUGAUGAGGUGAGACCUAUUUUCAUGGUCAUUGAAAGUUAAUGUUAUGAUUAUCCACAACAAAGUUAUGGAUAUUGACUAUCUCACUUUCUCAGAUCGAGAAAAAACUAAAAGGACAUCAGAGAAUAAUUAAAGGCUUUACCUUCUCAACUUCCUUAAAUAUUCUCGUGUCUUCUAGUGCUGAUUCUCAGGUACCAAACUGCUGCCUUUUUACUUACUAAGUGAGACAAGGGCUCUUUGUCUUCAAUGUAAUCUUUUUGCUCUCACUGAUUAAAUAAAACAAGACAAGAGCUUUAUCAUUCCAGAAAUCUAAUAUUCGAAGUUGCUCUCUCCCUUUCUCUAGAAGGGUGAUGCCAUUAAGGCAAGUGCCUCUUGGCACAUAUGUCCCACUGUUACUUAUAAAGUUACUAAUACCAUUCUGCCUGCCAAUAUCCAGAUGAUGAUAACAUUUUUUCCCCAUCCACCAUCUGCAACGGUUCUGGCGUUCCAUCCUCAAAAUACUUUAAUUAUUGCAAUAGGAAUGGAGGACUCCUCUGUUCAAAUUUACAAUAUUGCAUCAAAUCAGGUGAGACCUAAUUUUAUUGGUGUUGAAAGUUAACCUUGUUAUUAUCCGCAAUGAAUUUAUGGAUAUUGACUGUUUCACUUUCUCAGUGUGAGGCAAAUCUAAAAGGACAUCAGAAAAGAAUUACAGGCCUUGCCUUCUCUAAUAUUUUAAAUGUUCUCGUGUCUUCUGGUGCUGACUCUCAGGUACAAGACCACUACUACAUCUUCUUUUCCAUGUAGGCAUGCCUAUGUUUUGGGCAAAGAGAGCAAUGUAGUUUAACCUGCUCCAAAAAAUGGGUUGAUGUUCACUCUGGAUAUAUUGAUGCUUACGCCUUCAUCAUACGUCAGUUCACGAGGCAUCCUUAACUAGGCAGAAUAAAUCCUUCCAGAAAACUUCUUCUUUUGUGGUGACAAAUUAAUCCCAUCCAAUAAAGUGGGAAAUAAAAAAUCUAUGCUGUCCUGUUGUUGCUUACAACUGAUGCUUGGUGUUAUUCUGAUAUAAAAAUACGGCAUAAAAUUUUAUUGUUUCGUUUGUCAAUCAAUGUUGAUGUUCCCUUUGAUAAUUGUCAAUUGUUGCUGCAGUUGUGUGUUUGGAACACUGGUGGAUGGACGAAGCAGACUAGUAAGUUUCUGCAGAUGCCAAAUGGGCAAGGAGCAGCGCCUCUUGCUGAUACUCGUGUUCAAUUUCAUGUGGAUCAAAUACAUCUGCUGGUUGUUCAUCAAACACAGAUCGCCACAUGUGAAGCUCCUAAACUAGAACGCCUCAAGCAGGUAUUGAAGAUUUUUUUUUUUUUUUUAUUGUGCACGAUCCAAUCUCUCAUCUCAUCUUGAUUGCAUAAAAAUUAUCGAAAUAUUGGGUAGUAUGAGUCGCUUCGUGCCAAAGGUGCUUUUUUUAAUUCAUUGUUGAUCGCAACUAGUGGGACACUCGAGAAGCUAGCGCUCCAAUCACAGAUGCUACAUAUUCAUGCAAUGGCCAAUCAAUAUAUGUGAGCUUUGAAGACGGGAGCAUCAGUGUUCUUUCUGCUUCUACACUCAGAUUGAUUUGUUGUAUUAAUCCUGCCGCUUAUAUCCUUCCAAAACCUAGGUAAGUUGGUUAUUGCUGCUCACUUAACCUCAUUCCUUUAUGGAAAAUGGCAAGUCUCAUUUGCGAAGUUCCAAUAGUCUUGCGAGUUACUCAUUCCUCACUGAUGUAUUUGGCAGCUUGAAAGUAUACUCACUAGUCAUCAUAGCACAUCCAUUGGAACCUAACCAGUUUGCACUAGGGCUUACUGAUGGCAGCGUCUAUGUGCUUGAGCCAUUGGAAUCUGAAGGAGGGUGGAGUGGUUCUCCUCCUGUAGAAAAUAGUGCUGGGCCUAGCACGACCUUUGGUGCAACUGAUUCAGAUCAACCCCAAAGGUAGCACAGGCCAUGUCUCUCCCUGUGAAACUUUUGAGCAUUACAAUGCUAAGCCGGCUUUCCUCCACUGUACUUGAUUCAAGUUUUGAGGGGAUGCUACUAAUGGUAGAUUUUACCUCCUUGGGGUACUUCCUUGGGACAUAAUUCAGUACAAUUUGUCCUAAUCGACUUUUGCUCAAGUCUUGUGGUGAUGACUUGUUUUGUUACAUUCAUUUAGGCUGACUGGAAGUGAAAAAAGAAAAAACAUGAGGUUAGAGUGUUGUUUUAAAUACAACAAAUUGGAGGUAGAGAGGAUAUCUCACUUCCUACACAACCAGAAACUUAAGGACUUGAUUACAUACACUAGUUAGUCAACUAAUGCAUUUUUAGUGUCUAAACUUAAUUAAUUUGUAAACUAAGUGUCCACACAAUCUUUGACCAUUUUAUUAACCUAUGUUACUAAAUGAUGUCCAUGCAUGAGUGCAUAAUCAAUUAAAAAGUAAACGAUCACAAUUAAUAUGAUAGAAGUAAAUCAGAAAAAAGUAGACCCAAAUGGAGUAUCAAGCGAAGAAUCACAUUUAUUAAGCCUCUGGGCAGCAACCUGUGAUGAAUUCAAAUUGAGUCCAAUUCAUCAAAAGAGUGCUCUACCUAAACCUAAAUUAAAUUAAAGUCACUUACCAAAAACCCCCCUAAACUAUAUGUAUACUAACUAAAGAAACUAAGCUAAAUCUAGCAUCACAACUUAAGACCUAAUCAAGGUCUCUGUUUCAAGCAAUUUUCAGUUUUUCAUUUUUUUAAAAUAUUUUAAAAUUAAUUCUUAUCAUUUUCUGAAAAUAGGGACCCGAGCUCUGGCUAUGAGCAGCGCGCUGGUCUUACGAAUCUGGGAUGAUAACUAAUAAGCACAAUUGGGGCUCUUAUGUUCAGCCCCAUCCAAUUCUAACUUUAGUGAGCCCAAUUCUGAUUAUGCCUAUUCUAAGUCCAUUACCCAUAGUAACUACUCUAGCCUAUUUUCUCUUCCAACUUCACCUAGUCCAUCUUUAAGCCCGAUUUCUAUUAUAGAUAGAUUAAACCCUAAGCCCACUCUAAACCCAUCUCAUUAUUAUAUUUAAAACAAUUUUCCUCUUUUCUUACAUCUUUUCGUCAUUUUCUUUACUAUUAUUUUCUUCUUCCUUCUUCCAGCCCUUCGUCCUCUUGGGCAAGUCAAGAAUCUAACCAGCCAUUUUCUCACCGAUGAACUCCAUAGAGACUUCACAAAAACAUAUGCAAAAUUAUAGAAUGAAAACACGAAAAAAUUUUGUCCUGAUUUGAUCUAGAUAACAAUGAAUUUUAAUAAGAAUUAAAUCCGAAUGCUAAUGGACUGACUUGUAGGUAUGCUAAAAUUUAUUUAGAUUGAACUAGACUAGGAAUUAUUUCACCGAUGUAUCUUAGAGACAUUUCAUCAAACGGUCUAUGUGCACCAAAGGAAUUGAAUCUUGUCAUAAAUUGAAGUUUUGUUUUCGUCUAAAAUUAGUAUCAGAACUGUGAAGCCAUUACAAAUCAUCAAAUUACAACCUAGAUCGUCAGUGAUUUUCACAUUAGUAACCUGAAAGUGGUCCAGUCAUGCAUCUUUCCAAAGUAGGGCAAGAAAGAGGGGAAUUUAAAUUAUCUUCUCAAGGAGUUCUCGGUUGACAACUAAGGGCUAAUGAACAAACUAAGGGCUAGACAUGGUCUGGUUUCUGGGCAUUUAUGUGUCCGAGUAAUGCAAGUUGGACUUAAUAGAUGUGGAUGGGCCAUGGGCUUGGCUUGGACGAAUUGGAUCGAGCCCGUCGCAUUGAAUAGAUAUCCUUUUAAAUUAGUUGAUGAAUUGAAGUCCUUCGGUUAUCAUAUUUUGUAAUCUUCAUUUGGUUUUAUUUAUUCAUAUCUUUAAUAUAAACCGCCUAAUUGCCGAUUUUCCUUUAAUUGCUGACUAAAAAUCAAAUAUCCACAGCGUGUUCAAGACCUCAAAAUUGGCUGAAGCAAUUUCCUAAGAGUUGUUGUAAUCUUGAAGGUGCUAGAAUUGAGAAAUGUUUGACAAACCCUUCACAAAAGCCGAAAUGCCCAUUUUUCAUAAUCCAAGUAACUCCUAACAUUAAUUAUUCAUACUCUUUUCAAAAUAAUUCAUAUAUUUUUAGAUAGUCAUAAUAUGAAUGACUUAUUUAGUUCUCUUACUUUCACCAAAAAAAAAAAAGAAGACUUAUUUAGCAAUUUCUAUUAAGAGUUGAAUUGUUAAUUUGAAACUUUCGAGCAAAGAAUUAUAAAAGGAGAUUGCAUAUGGCAUUGGAAGGCAAUUUGGUAAAAGAAGUAUUUUAUAAGAGUCAUAAUAAUAAGUCAGAAUUCAACAAAAUGUCAAUCAAAGUGCUUAAUCAUAAAAAAGAAGAAGCUAUACCAAUAUCAAAAACCAAAGAGCUGUUGGCAGAAUCAAAAUUUCCUUCUCAUCUCCUGUCGGUGUAUAAACUUUUUAUUUAGUUCCGAAAAGAAUAAAUAUAAAUGUACGUUUAUUUUGUCACAUAGUUUAACUUAAAAGUACUUUGAUUUGAUAGGUGGAAGCAUCACAACUAAACUGGGUAAGGUCUUUCUUUAAUUUUUGUGAGUAUAUAUUUACAAUGUUAAUAAGUACCUGACAUUGAAAAAUGCUGUGUACAGUGGCUCUCCUUCAUCCUUACGAUGAAUGUCAAUACAACGAAAAUAAUUAACCACAUUCAAGCCAUUCUCAUUUACUUGCAAGCAUCUGCACACAAAGUGAAACCUGCUUAUUUCCAUCUUCGACUGGGCUUCUUACUCUUUCUAGCUGGGGUCGACUGCUCCAAAGGCACUGGUAAUAGGGUUCCUCCUUUAACGCCAUCUUUAUCAUUCAUCUUAUCGAGAGUUUUCUGGGCUCCAAUAUACACCUUAAGGUCUCUGAUCUGUGAAGGAUGACAAGGGACAUGCCACUGUCAACGCACACUAUGCACGCACGCGCGCAGAGUUUUCACAAUAUUAUAUACAAAUUAUUACAGUUUUAAGGCUAAAAGAAAAUACCUGUUCUUCUAAGUCAAGUAUUUGUUCAUCCUUCAACUUCAGUGACAGGGUUUUCAUGCAGAUGCACAGAAGCGUAUGUGUCCUCCAUUCAUGUCAAAUUAGAAGGGAAGACUAAAUUCCUGACAGCUUUAAUUGACUGGAAUCAUAUACUGAAAAAGUGUCGGUACAAUUGACAAUAAUGCUUAUUGAGGAAACUAGUCCACGUAACUUCAAUGAAGAUGGACAAGACGAGUAUACUUCAAAAGGCUGCAUGAAUUUCUCUAUAAAGAAAAUGUUGUAGGCAUAUUAAGGUACUUAAAAGGCAUCUACACCUAUAUUGUUCGACAUGUGAAGCUCAAAUAAGCUUUAAGUCUACCCAGUGUAUCUUCUUUUCCUUUUAUUUUCUAUUUUGUGAAAGUUGGAAAUGUUGACAUAACGCGGUAUGAACAACCAAUCUAAUUUUAAUUGAAAUUAGUAGAAUUUCAAUAUUAAACCGUAUCAAUUAAAUUUUGAACCCUGAACCAUCACAGAAUAAUGUUCAAAUAUCUCCGGUGUGUAAAAAAGUACUUUGAAAUUGGACCACCACCAUGAAGAUUUUAACAUUAAUUUCUGUCGAUAAAGUACAACCUCUAAAGCAGUAGCACUAUUUCUUCAGAGGAAAACAAAAUUACAGAUGGAGCAUAUAUAAACAAAAGAACAAAAUUAUGGAGAGCACUGACACAUGGAACUUUCUCCAUAUGUGCUGCGUUCUCUCCUUUCUCCUUUUCCCCUUUCUGUCUCUUUCUUUCCCUCGUUAGAGUUUGUCCCAUCUUGCCACUUUUUAAAAAGAAUUCAAUAAAAAAACACCAAAAGCUUUUUCAUCUUCUUGCCACAUCCUCCAACUAAAAAUUAACUUAAACUUAAUUAUCCUUCCCAAGUAUGGUGAAAGGAAGGCAUAUUAACCAUGUGAUAAACUCUUACUCAUUAUAAAAUGACUUUCGUUAUUUUGCCAUUUGUUAUGUGUCACAAGUCACGUAUAGUUGCUAUUCACAUAUUUGAAUUAGAAACUGUAUUUCCUCUUUCUUCUUCUAACUUUAACCCUUUUUACCUCACAUCUAAAAGUCCAUGCCAUGUGAACACUUCCUCUUCAAGAUACCCUUCCACUUUUUUCCCAUCUUCUCAACCGUCUGUUUUCACUUCCUUUCUCACGACCAACCUCACUUACAUGAACUAUUACAACAAUGCUGCUUCAUUUUACUGAUUAGUUUUAUGAGACUAUGCAUGCUAUGGUAUUACUUGUCUAGAGAAAUCAGCAACGAAAAAUACCUCUCUUCAAUUUCCUUAACCUUUCUCCGCAUCAUAUCUUGGUUCUUGAUAAGAGUUUGAUUAAGCUGCAACCACAAGGAACGGCAUCCGUUACUGUUAUGAACAAGUGAAAACUAUUGCAUCUGAUUGUAAUAUGAAAAUGAGGCAUGUGAAAAACAAGCAAAACAACAAUCAGCCUUGGCUUCAAUCAGCCCUCCUCUCAAACUUUAAACAUCCAAAAUCACAAAAGGUAAAACAGAGAAGGCUAAAGCCUUACCUCUGCCACGGCCUUCUUUUCGUCACCAAGUUUCCCCAACUUACUAUGGAUGUCUUCAAUCUUUGAAGUCACACCUUUCUCGAUUGCUUCUAGUUUGAAAAUUUAUUUUCUACUUUUGGCUUCUAACAUGAGAGACUCAUAAUGCUAACAGAGAAAAACAAAAGAAUUAAUAGGGGAUGAUAAGUUCAAGGACUUAAAAUGUAUUCUUUAAAGUCAGUCUAAGGAUGCUGGCACUCUAUGUAACAAAAAUGACAAACAUGGGUUAGAAACAGAACAUUACCACCAACAGUAGCAUGGGCAAUUUAUAUAUAAUCUACUGGCUUUUGUACUUCUACUUCCGAUACAACAGGUUUUCAAUUCAGAUACUGUUCCUUCUAAGACUAUUCAUCACAAAAAGUCAAUAAUAAAAGAGUCCUGGCACCUUAGGGAAACUCAAUUCAUUUUCUACCACAGAUAUAUUAGUAAGAAAACAGAAAAGAAAAUAAGAAUACCAGAAGUUUUCCAAUUCUCUCAAGCUGAUGCAAGCCCACUAGUUCUUUUAUACUUCCUAUAUAAGCUCAUUAGACAAAUGCAGUAUGCAAAUCGACAGGUAUAAAAUGUUGUACACUAUAUAAAAGCAAAUGAAGCUGAGAUUAUACAACACGAGUGUAAUUACUUUCCUUCUCGUCACAACAAUUCUGACAAUCCCAUUGAUUUCCAAGAGUAAAAUGAGUUCACUUAAGAAAAAAAGAAAAAAAAAAGAAAAAAAGAAAAUGGAGAAACAUUUUUUGAUCUGAAAUAACUAAACUAAUGUUCUAUUAUGGUUUUCUCCUAAAAUAUGUGUACUUAAAAACCAUUACCUAAAGCAAAAGCAUAAUCGACGCAAGCUUUCACAAGUAAUGCUUAUAACCAUGGCUGAUCAGUCAAUAUAAUAAAAUGUGAAAGACUAAACAGGGAGAAUUGAAAUGGUCUCCUUCUAUGCAUGCUUACUUUUCUUUGCGCUUCCAGCUGAGUUGAAGCUAGAUGAAUAUAGUCGGCGUGAAUCUACAAAAAAGUAAAGCUACAGUGUCAGAGUAAAUGAAGAAAGUCCGACAAUUAUAAUGGAGGUAAUAUCCACUUUGCAGGCCCAAUAAUGAACUUGUGACAUUUGGCCAACAAAAUGAACAUGUGAAGUACAAAAACAGAAACAGAAUCUUUCAUUGUCAUUUGUCAGCACCUAAAACAGUAAAAGCAUCAUGCACCUCGAAACUUCAAACAUGUCACUUAACUGAGUCCAAGCUCCAAAUCUUUGCAGGGAAAGGAGAACCAGAAAACAAAAAAAUUCAAAGCAUACAAAUAAGAGGACACAUGAACCUACUGCUUCGAUUUUGCUGCUGAAGAGCGCCCCACUAAUUUCAGAAUCCUCGCUACAACCGCAGCUACCACAAUCUCCUUCAAGUGAUUCACAGUAUGAAUUCAUCUCCAAAAGCUUGCCGUCAGCUUUUGAUUAAUUAAGCUGGUGAACGUAAGUGUCCCUGACGUAAUCCCAAAUUUGCUGUGUUCUUAGAUCUAGAGAAUAGCAAUGUUGCGUAUUUUUCCAAUGGCUGAUUGCGUGCUUAUCUCUGUAUCUACAAAGCCAGAAAAGAAAAGCUAUAAUGAAGACAGCCUAUCCAAUCACUAAAACUAUAGAGUGAGCGGAAAUUCCAGCACAUCAUGACUGGAUCUAUCACCUUCCACAUCCGACAAAACCACAUAUCAGACAAACCCAAAGAUUUUCCAUUGUUCCACAAAUAAAGCACGAUGGCACCUCAUCUUGCUGUUGGCAUAGACGGCAAACCUGAUAAAGAACAGAAACAGAAUCUUCUUCACAAUCUGUUAACAGACAGGCAUCCCUGAUGAUGUUGCAAAAUGAAACUACAUUUCUGAUCAAGGUAAUUUCUUGCAACCAAAUCAACAUAUGUGCCGUAAUUGACAUCUUUCGCAAUGUAAUUGGAACUUACAAUGAACUAUAGAGUGAGCGAAAAUUCCAGCACAUCAUGACUGGAUCUAUCACCUUCCACAUCCCUUGGGACAUCACCCGCAUGGCAUAACAUCAUGUUGACUUAUUUUAACCAUAAAGAUUGGCAAAUCAAGCAAAAGUUAGCAUGCACAUGUCUGUCGAUAUAUCUCCUACAUGGCACUUUUUUCAACUUUUGACAUUACAUGAGUUCAAAGGUACUUUUUUUGCUACAAAUUGGCAUGGACAGAGCAUAUUAGAACAUCACUUGAAAUGUAAAAUGCGACCGUGAAACAUCUUAGCUUCAAGACAGGAAAUGUUUGAGGUCAAAGAUCAGAAUUUUGACAUCAGUAUGAUCACCCUGCACUUGUGAACAUAUGCAUAACUUAUCGUGCAUGCUUGGCCACUGCUAUUACUUCUGUCACUCUUUGACUCACGAGAAAUUUGAGAUAGGAGUGACAAAACCAUCAGAUCAAACACACGUGAUGAGACAUUGCAAAAAUUCUUGUGUCAGAAUAUGAUAAUCAACAAAAAGUAACUCCAAGAAACCAUACCAUUGACCUAUUCCAAAUCUCCAAAUAAAUGUCAUGAUAAUUUAAAAGAAAUCCUGAACUUAGUAAGAACAAUAGAGUAAAGGAAAAUUCUACUUUUCAUUUAUGUACUUUCACGCUAUUCUAAUCAUGUCUAUACUUUUAAUUUGCCUAACCAAGUCCAUCUACUAUAACAAACUUUCAAAUCAAGUCUUUCCAACACUAAAUACGACCAAAUUCAACUGAAGUGGCCCUUUGACAACAACAAUGUAUGAUGCCGAUAAAAUAUGCGUACAACCACGUGGACAUGUAUGGAAAAAUUUAGCCAAUGUAGAUGACCUUGAAGUGUGACAUGGACAAAAUAAUGGAUGUCCACAUUAGAAAAAUUUUAUCCAUGUCACACAAUGAAGACAUCUGACGGUCACAUCAGUUGGAUUUGGCCUCAUUUGGUGUCAGAGAGACUUGAUUAGAAAAUUGGUAAAAGUAGAAGAACUUUAUUUAACAAAUUAAAAGCACAAGGGACUUGAUUAGAGAAAAUGUGAAAGUACAUGAUAAAAAAAAUACUGCAUGAGCAAUGAAAACCAACAAUUAAUCCACAGUCAGCAGAUUAACAGAGAGAUAGUGGCAGUAGCUGAGAAAUUACAUUAUAAAUUCAUCUAAUCUGCAUCAGCAGAAGAAUUUCUAACCUGACAAGACAAGUAAGUCCAUUUUGUACCACAUGAGCAAUGAAAGGAAUGGUCACACUGCGUACUCAAAAUUCCGCUGGUAUCUGGGUCCAAUCUCUCUGACAUCGAAAGAAAAAGUUGCAAUUGUAAACACUUUCUAUAAACUCGUCUCACUGCAAGGAAUAUAAUCAGCAAGGAGUACUGGCAUGGNNNNNNNNNNNNNNNNNNNNNNNNNNNNNNNNNNNNNNNNNNNNNNNNNNNNNNNNNNNNNNNNNNNNNNNNNNNNNNNNNNNNNNNNNNNNNNNNNNNNNNNNNNNNNNNNNNNNNNNNNNNNNNNNNNNNNNNNNNNNNNNNNNNNNNNNNNNNGAAAUCGACUAUAUGAAAUCUCGCAGCAAACAACAGGUGCAAAAAUUGCAAAUACCUCAGCAGGCGAGAAAUUCUUGCCAUUGAAGGUGCAAAAGAAACCAUCAGCAGCCUUUUGAUCGGUAAGCUCGAUCAGCACGCUGUACCUAUCUUCCAUCCCAUCAUUCCUACAUCAAACGCACAAUUCGCAGCACAACGAUCACUAAACUAUGAAAAAGCAUUUAAAAAAGAACCCAGAUCGAAAAACCCAGUUCCACCGUCGGAAUGCUUCCAAAAAAUUGAACUUUCAUCAUUGGAUACCUCCUAAGGCAUGAUCAUGAGCAAAUUUUCAGUAAUCGAGUCCAUCUCUUAGAUUUUUCGUCAGCGAAUUCUAAUUCCUCGAAUUCUCUCUUUCGCUUGCCCACUUCAUCUCACCAACUGAAAAAACCGGUCCGAAGUCCCGAAGAAGAGGAGGAGAGAAAACAGAAACGAUGGAAGCCUCACCUGAUGAACCGGAGCUCGGAGACGUCGUCGAUCCGGGGGCCGCAGAACCGGAUGAAGUCGUCGGGGGAGAAGUAAUUGGGGACAGCGACGACGAAGAGGGCGGUGGAGCGGGCGCCGGGGCUCGAAAGGGGCGCGUGCGACAGCGUCCGGAACAGGUGGACCAUGCCCCUCCGCUCGGUGAAGCUCUCGUCGGCGGCGGCGAGGAGGAGGAGAAGCCGCCGUAGUCGGUGGCGAGGGGGUGGUCGGUGUCCACCGAGCGGACCCGGAGGAACAACAUCUUUUCCCCUACCAACUUGCUGCGAUCGCCGGGCUGAGUCGAAUCGCCCGAGUUGGAGAAGAUUGCAGUACUGCGGAGCAGAGAUAAGAAACUCGCGGGAACUGAGAGGAGAAUUGGUCACGCGUUCUUCCUGGAAUUAUAAAGGUUGCUACUUUCUACCCCAAAAAAAAAAAAAAAACUAAUUGGUGCAAAAUGAAUAAUUUAUUAUCUAAUACGACUAACUUAAUUUCAAUAAUUAUUUAGGAGAAAUUUAAAAAGAAUUGGGUAUUGCUCGUUGAGUUGAGAUUUACACAAUAGACAUUUUUUAUUCAUUUCGAGUGUUCUAAAUAAUAAUAAAAAAAUUGAAAUUGAUCAUACGUAGAUUGUUAUCUGUUUUCAUUGAUAUUAAAUUACUUUUUGAUUGAGUAGAUCCAAAAUUAUGUGAAUUAUGGUAAGAAGUAUGUUAUGUGAUUGCUUAUGAACGAAAUAAUUUUGUAAUCAUCUCAUUCUCAUUUAUUAUUAAAAUGAUGAUGCAUUCGGAUUAACAUUGGUAAUGAAUCCUAUGGACAUUGAGAAAGCAAAAAAUGACAAAAACUUAAACUGACCUAGUCGUGGAUUCUAUUUCUUUUGCUUUGUCUAACAAACAAAACAUGACUAAAAAAGCUAUGAUGCUCCUACAUAUUCUAAAACUGAAAUGCAAAGGCAGUCGAGUGUUUAUUCAAAGUAAAAAUUGCUAUUACAAGUGAUUAUUAUGCUGGCCUACUUUGGAUCAACAUCAGGAUUAACGUGUGCUCAAGCUCGCCCAUAAAAUGAAUCAUAUAUAGAAAUGUUGGGGUACCGCUCAGGCAAAGGUCGGGCAAGCCAAGAUUUUUUAACGUAAGGAUAUUAUCUAAGCUCACCCAUUCUGUCAAGUCUACAUAAGUCGAGUGGGUUAACCACUUCUAAUGGCCACAGUUGUACUACAUCAUGGUUCUAUCGUAAGUCAUGUGACUGAAAUAGCAUCUCGAAACUAAGUGAAACAACUUCUAAAAACUACUAUAACUUGAUGAAGUUAUGAGGAUGGUGCAAUUUUGAGCAAUUUUUACUGAAUGUACAAUUCACCUUUACAUAAUAGUAGCAACUAUAGAAAAGUUGUAUUAAACAUACUCAAAAGGUCAAUGUUAAGAACAUUGACGCCAUAAGUACCAAAAUUCUUCCUGGUUAUGCAAUCUACAGCACGCAUGAUAACCACUCUAUUUUUCUAUUUUUUAUUUAUUUUUUACUCUCAGGAACAAGUUUAGAAUAUAAAUCCAUUUGAUAAUGUAAUUUUAUUUUUCUAUUUAUAGAAUAAAUUUUUACUCCAAAAACAUAUUUGGAACAUAAAUUAGAAGUAAAUUUUUACUUUUCUAUUUUUGGAAUAAAAGUAAAAAAUAAAAACUCUUGUUAUUUGCUUUUGACACUACCUACCGCCCACCCGCCCAUUGUCCACCAUUGGUCGCCCAUCGUUGACUACCUACUGUUGCUCACCACUGUUAGUCAAUCACCUCCCGCCCACCAGUCUUUGCUCAUUGCCACUUAUAAGAGAAAAUUUUAUCUCGUUAUCAAACAAAUACGAAUAUUUUUAUAUAUCAUAUUUUGCUUUAAAAACUUAUCUCCAAAAUAUAAAUUGAUUUCUAAAACAAAAUGGUUAUUAUUUAUGUCCAAAUAACUAAAUUUUGUUUUUGAUCAAUUAGGCAUCUCCACUAUCAAAAUGUCUUGAUGUUAAACUUUCGUGUCGUGUCAUGUCAUAUAAUUUUGCUAAUGUCAACCAUUUGACUUAGGCACAAACAACAAUGUGGAAAGUUAAGUCAUUAUCUAUUUCCAACCCAACACCAAAAAAAAAAAAAAAAAACAUUCCCUUUCCUUGCUUUUUCUCUUUUUCCUUUCCUUCGUGUUUUUCUUCUUCCUCCUUCCUUCGCCUACUGCUGUUGCCACUACCACCGGCAACCAUACUUAGCGGCCACCAUCUAUAGCCACACUGCUAUCGCCACUUUUGGGUUGGUGGCAAGGCACAAGGGUUGACGUCUUUGGCGAGAAUAAUGCUAAGAGGAAGAGCGCAAGGAGGUGGAGGAGUUUUUCUUCUUAUGUAUUUCAUUGGAAGAAUGAGGAGACUAUCUACUUCCUUACAUUCACCUAAUUAAAACAUCGACUUCAGCAAAAAUCAUGUGAUCUGGUACGGAAAAUCUUAAUAUCAAACCAUAUAGCAAAAUUUGAGACAUUUAAUUUAAUAUAGGAAUACUAGAUUGUGCAAUGAGAAAAACUUCGGACUCAUGUGAAGUUAUUACAAACUAGAAUGUUGAGCAUUUCAAGCUAAGAAAAAAUUCUGAUUAUGUGAAGACUAAAAAACUCACUGUUUUUUUUUCAAUCUCUUUCUUUCUUUGUUAAGAUCAGAUUAUGUGAAGACCUAACAAAAAUUUUGAGAAAAAAUGAACUCCUCAAGGAAAACAUGCAUUAUUGAGAGAAGAAAAUGAGAAUGCUGAAACUUUUCUUGGAGAACCUGGUUUAGGGCGAAAGCCUAUUUUCCAAGUAGCACGUCAAAUUAGGACAAGUUAGUCUUCAAGACUAGUUUUGAAGCGGGCAUUCUAAGUUUUAUUUUAUUUUAUUUUUUUAUGCACGAGAACUGACCUUUUUCCCAAGAGUUUCAGCUUCACCAAACAUUCUCGCACCAUUACGCUGUGUCAAAUUGCUAAUCACAAAUUUUUUCUCCUUGCUUUUUUUUUUUUCCUUUUUUAUGGAGCACGAAAUUCAUUGAGGAAAAGAGGGAAAAAAAGUAACAAUUACAAGUUGAAAGAAAUUGCUCUUGGCAUAUUGAGAUCUUCUCAAUUAGAGAAGACCAUGCAAUCCUUUCAUUUGCUUAUCUUUUCUCUAUUGUCUCUCUAUCCAGAGGUCGAUGACCUUGAUUUUGCUUCAAAGAGAUCAAGUAAGUUGACGAUGAGACCCACAUGAUUAAUGAUCCAAACGAUAUGAUCUACAUGAUCUGUAAACCUUAGGCUAUGCAUGACGCCAACAUAGGUGACGUAGUGGCCGGAGGCUAGAGAGGGAGACUAACAAUAGCUUUUAGGGUGGCCGAAGGUUUAGGAUCAUGGUAGAAGGGUAUAUAGCAUGGCUUUCUCCUUUUCCCAUCCCUUUGGUGCUACAAGCCCAUUAAUGACGCGGUUCCCUCCUUUUAAACUUCCACACCAAACUCGUUAUCUCAACUUCGACCUUAUGACGUGGUUCCCUCCUUUUGAACUUCCACACCAAACACGUUAUUUCCCUUCGACCUUUGACAUAUAGACCUUGAAAUUCCAUGUCUUCAACCUCAUCUUAAUCCUCACAUCUCCUCCACCAUUAUUCCACAUCUCUAGUCCUCCAUUUUCUUCGGGCUUUUUGAUAGUUUGUUCUUAAAAAAUUCGAGCAAAGACGCGCUUCGAUUGGGUAAUUGUCUUCAUGUUCGAUGGCACCUAGUACUAUCUGAAAGGUGAUUGGGGCCAUCAAGGACCAGACGAGCAUCGGCAUAGCCGAGGUCUCAAACAACUUGGCGGUGCAGCUCGAGAUCUUGGUGGUGAAGGCCACCAGCCAUGACGAGGACCCCGCGAACCAGAGGCAUGUCAGGGAGAUCCUCGCCUUCACCGCACACUCCAAAGCGUUCCUCAACACCUGUAUUGCCUUGAUCUCGAGGCAGUUGAGCAAGACACGCUAUUGGACGGUGGCCCUCAAGGCCCUCCUGCUUGUGCACCGAAUAGUGGUCGACGGGCAUCCCAGUUCGAAACGAGAUCAUCUUCACUUCUUGCCGCAGGAUGUGGCUACUCAACAUGUCGCACUUCCAGGACGAGGCUCACUCAAAUUUGGGGGACCAUUCGGGUUUGGUGAGGCUCUACGUUAUGUAUCUCGAGGAGAAGGUUGAGUUUUUGGUGGUUGAGAAGAGACAGGAGGGCGGCGGCCAGUGACGCAGAGGGGAAAUAUGAAGAGAGAAAUGAAUUUGAUCAUGACAGGAGGCCAAGUCCUGCAAAGAAAGAGAUAGCGUUGAUCAAAGAAAUGAGGCCCGAGAGAGUUUCAGCCAGGUUGAAUCACCAACUGAGAAUUCUCGAUCGGGUUUUGGCUUGUAGGCCAGCCAGAGCGGCCAAGACUAGUUGGUUGUUGUUCAUUUAACUAGUAGGUUCCUCGAGAAGCUAGCGGCCCAAUCACAGCUGCUACAUAUUUAUGCAAUGGCCAAUCAAUAUAUGCGAGCUUUAAAGACAGAAGCAACGGUGUUCUUACUGCUUCUGCCCUCAGAUUGAUAUGCUGUAUAAAUUCUGCUGCUUAUAUCCCUCCAAACCCUAGGUAAGUUGGUUAUUACUGCUUAGUUAACCUCAUUCCUUUAUGAAAAUGGCAAGUCUCAUUUGCGAAGUUUCAGUAGUCUCACAAGUUAUUCAUUUCUGAUGUAUUUGGCAGCUUGAGAAUCUACCCGCUAGUCAUUGCAGCACAUCCAUUUGAACGUAACCAGUUUGCACUAGGGCUUACUGAUGGCAGCAUCUAUAUUCUUGAGCUGUUGGAAUGCGAAGGAGAGUGGGAUGCUUCUCCACCUGUUGAAGAUAGUGUUGGGCCUAGCACGACCUCUGGCACAACCAGCUCAGAUCAAUCGCCUUUGUCCACGGUUGAUGAGGCUAGCUUUCCCCAGAUUUGGGCAAUGCGGCUUCACCCGCGGCGACAACGGCCACCACCAUGUGAUCUAGGCAUGGCCACAGUAAAAAAAGAAAGAAAGAAAAGAAGGAGCGUCAUCAUAAGGAGUUUUAAGCUCAUCUCCCCCCACACACUUUUGGUGGAGGGCUAAACCCCCACGCGCGUGGUUGAAUUACAAGCCUAUUUAUAGUGGAUCGUUCUGGUUUGCAAGCUGCACGCUUGCUUGCACAUUCUUUGUUCACACUAGUUGACUUCAAGUUGCAUUUUCAACUUUGCUUCUUCUGACAGCCCACGAUCUUCCCUUCUUCAGCAGCCAUUCUUGAUUUUUUUUUUUUUCAAGGUUUCCACGAGCUGUCCAUCACCUAAGACUUUCUUCAAAAUUACGUUAGUUGAUCACUUGUUGAGAAUGCUAGAGAAUUUGGAAGAUGAAUUGCAAUUUCCAACAAAAGAAAAAUAGAAGAAAAGGAAAAAGAAAAAGAAAUGUCCACAUGCCUUACUAUGUAGAAAGACCUGUGUUUAUAUUAGUGAUUUUCAAUUAAAAUUUAGCUAAAUGGAUUAUAUUGUUAAAUUGUCAAAAAGUUCGUGACUAAAUUGAUCAAUUUCUUUGCAAAUGAACACAAGCAAAUGAGAGUAUGAGAAUGAGCCUCUUUUUCGUCUCAUCCAUGUCCCAAUCAUCCUUUCCUUAUGGUAGUAUGCUAUCAGCCUCAAAAGACUGUGAUUUCUCAUCAAGUGAGCCUCUAUUGUCAUAGCAAAGUGCUUGCACUUCAAAUGAUUAGAGAAGCCAGAAGUGCAAUAUGAGGGCAUCUAAUUUGAUUCUUAUAUAGCGGGUUUAACCCCGACAAUUUUGGAUGUCGCACCUCGAAGGCACAUUCUUCUAAACACUGAUUUUUUCUCUAGACAUUUCCACAUAAUUUGGAAUCAGUUUCACUUAUAAAUCAGAAAGGCAUUGGGUAUCCUCCGUUUUGAGAAGAGUUUCUUGACGUGGGAGUUCUAAAGGGAAUUGAAGCCUAUUUGGUAUAGUUGUAACUAAAUUGUAUUUGUACCGUAUUGCGAUAUACCGUAAUUUCUACGUUUGGUAGCACAUGUUUUAUAGUUGUCAUGACCCUCUCGACUAGGCAAGAAAGAAUAGGUUUUGAGGUAAUGUCAAAGGCAAAGAUUCUUCCAAAUACUUACCUCACACGACAUUGAUUUUUUAUUUUAAAUUUUAAUUUUUAUUAUAAUCUGAAUAUAGGGACCUGGGCCGGACCCUUGGGCCUAGUUUGGACGUGAGCUGCACGCUGGUCUCAUGAAUCUCGGCUAAUGGGCACAUUCGGGCUUUUAUAUCCAGCCCCCUCCAAUUCUAACUCUACUAAGCCCAAGUCAGAUUACACCCAUCUUAAGCUCAUUACCCAUGGUAAUAACCUCUAGCCCACUUUCUCUCCUAACUGCAUCAAGUCCAUCUUUAAGCCCAAUUUAUGUUAUAGAUAAAUUAAACCCUAAUCCCACGCUAACCCCAUCUUAUUAUUAUUCGUUGCCCAUUUUUCCUCUUUUCUUACAUCUUUCAUCAUUUUUUAUUAUUGUUAUUCUUCUUUAAUCUUUCAGCCCGGCAUCCUCUUCAAAGGAAACCGAUAAGCUGCCAGCUCAUUCGUAGUUAAAUACAUUAAAUCCACAAAACAUGAGCAUUAUCUUUCAUUGUCCAUUUGUAUUAUAAGAAUCGAAUCUAAAUGCUAACGGACUGAUUGGUAGCAAGUAAUAUAUGCUACUUCAAAUAGAAAUGGAUUAGAAAUUAUAUCACUGACGUGUCUUGGAGACAUUUCAUCAAAUAGUCUAUGGGCACCGAAGGGAUUGUAUCCAGUCAUGAAAUCGAAACUGUAUUUUCAUCUAAAUUCAGUGUCAAAAUCAAAAAGCCAUCACGAAUAAUCAAAUUACAACUCAGAUCAUCAAGUGAUUUUUCCCGCAUCUUUCCAAAACAGGGCAGAAAAUGGGAAUGAAAUCACCUUGUCAAGGAGUUCUUGGUUUUGGUCACUGGUUCAAGCUUGCACGAAGAUCUAAAAAGUGUUGCCCACAAGAGUAUGCGCCGGCAACAAAGCUUCGAACACCUUACAUCUAAAAAAUUGUUGCUAAACCACGUCCAGUGAAGCAAUUUUAUUAAAAGCUAUUGUAAUCUUGAAGGGGCUACAAUUGCGAAAUAUUUGCUGAACAUCUUACAAAACCUGCAUCACCCAUCUUUUACAGUCCAAGUUACCGCAAGAAAGCUUACCGAAUAGUCUCUCUAUCAAAAAAAAAAAAAAAAACUCUUCGUACAUCUAACAUUAAUUAUUUUUACUCUUCCCAAAAUCAUUCACAUAUUUUUAGAUGGUCAUAAUAUGAAUUAAGUUAAAUAGUAAUUUUUAUGAGAGUCAAAUUAUUAAUUCGAAACCUUCAAACAAAGAAUUAUAAAAGGAGAUUGCCAAUGGCAUUGGGAGGCAAUUUGGCAAAAGAAGUAAUUCUAAUAGGUACAGUAAGGGCCUGUUUGGCAACGUGCCAAGAUUCUGAUUUUUUGUUCCUAGAAUCAGUUUGGGACGAGAAUCGCGUUUGGUAAAAUUUUUAUUCCCGGGAACAGUUUUGGACAAGAUUUGAGAAUAAAAAAAAAAUUGAUUCUCUGUCCGAGAAUUAGAAAGAGAAUCGAAAUCUUAUGUCCUCUGCUCCUCUACUCGACGGUCUCUCGUCCUCUCCACUCUCUUGUCCUCUCAUCUCCUCUACUCACAGUCUCACUCUCCUCUGCUCAGUCUCACUCUCUCAUCCUCUCAUCUCCUCUACUCAAUCUCACUCUCUCCCUCCUCAAGAACGGCGACGGCGAGCUCCUCAAGAAUGGCGACGUCGACUGCUGCUUCUUCAUCGUUGAAGCUACUCGUUCAAGGUGAGUUCCCUUCACUCGCAGCUAUGGGUGGUUCUUUGUCUGCGACGGCUAGGGGUGAGCAACGGUCUAGGGUUGACCCUGGACCGACCCUGGACCAGCCCAACCCUGUCGGUCCUGGUCCGGUUCCCAAGGGAACUGGGUCGGUCCUUGGUCCUGAAAUUCCAGGACCAACACUGUGCGGGUUGGUCCUCGGUCCUAAGAGUUUUGGGUCGGUCCAACCCUGGACCAACCCUGUAUAUUAUAUUAAUGUCUGUUAUGUUAUAUUAUAUUAUAUUAAGAUAUUCUAUCAAUAGCACUAAUAGUAAUUUCAAUUUAAAAAUUUUGUUGAGUAUUAAUUAUGUGUCAUUUGUUUUGUUUUCAGGUGUUUAGAAGUUUAAGUGAAUUAACAAGAUGUGAAGUUAUAUAUUCAUGGUUUAUAUUAAGUAUUUUGAACUUUUUAUGGUUUAAUUGUAUUUUACUAAUGAAUUUCAGCUACACUUUGCUUUUCAAUUUGUGUCAAAUGGUAGAAGUUUUUGAAGAGUAGAGUAGUAUUGCAGUUGCUACGGUGAUUUGCUACAUGAUCAAAUGCAGGAAAACGCUUUUGCAUAUGGUUUUAUGAAUAUUAAAGAUAGAUGACUACAAGAACUUUCCAUCUUGUCCCAUAUCUCGAUAAGCGGUUAGCAGGUACAAAAUUUCUAUUAUUGUGUCAUCUUAAAUUUGCUAAAUAUGUAUUGGUAUUUAUAGUUUAGUUGCAUAAUGCCGCAUUGUCGAUGGAUGUGUAAUUUGAAUGUAUAGGUUUGCUUUUUUAGGGAGUAUAAAAAAAUAAGACGAAAAAAAUUAUUGAUCGGUCCCGGGUUAACCCUGGAAUCGGACCGAACCCAUUGCGUCUGUCCGGUCCUUGGUCCCAUGCUUUAUAGGGUCGGUCCUCGGUCCUAAAAAUGAGGACGACACUGUACGGGUUUGAUCCUAGGGGUUAGGGGGGUGGCCCGGACCAACCCGGACCACGCUCCCCCGCUCGCGACGCCCGGUGGGAGCGACCCCCGCGGCCAGCUCGGCUGGCGCUCGCCGAGUCGGCCCCGGGGGUCACUCGCCGAGUUGGCCGAGGGCAAGUGACGCUAAGGGACCCAUGCGCCCGACUUCGUGGGCGCCCUCGCCGAGCUGGCCGAGGGCUAGCGAGCCCAGGCGUCGCUCGCCUUGGGCCCGACAACCCCUCGGCCAACUCGACGAGGACGCCCGCUGAGUUGGGCUAUUGCCAAUUCUUUGCGUAGAGAGUUUAUUGUUGUUUUGAUGUCAUGCAGGGGUUACGUCGGGAUUCACAGCUUCGGUUUCAGAGACUUCCUCUUGAAGCUAGAGUUGCUUCGUGCUAUUGUGGACUCCAGUUUCAAGCACCCAUCUGAAGGCAAACUUCAUACUCGUUGAACUUCUUUUGAUGUUUAUGUAUUGGUCGUCGUCGACUGGAUCGUUUACGUGUUGUGUGUGUCUUUCUUUGUUCUAUCGGUACAUAUUUGGAUAAGAUAUUGUGGAAGCAAAGAGCGGAUGACGGCAGAUGGAGGGAAGGAAAAAGAAAUAGAGCGGGACGGGUCGUAGUUGGGAGUGACAAUUCUAAUGUUCUUGAAUGCCGCAAGUGGGCUGAGAGGUCAAUUGCAAUUCGUGUUCAUGUAUUGGUUUAUGUUGUGAUCCUCCCGCUCAAUUCGGAUUGGGAGUUAUGAUUGUGAUGAGGUGCGAAUAGACAAAGGCUCUAGUGCUGAGUACAUCGGUUUUGAGCUUGGGGAAGUGAUAUUUGUAUUGUGAAUUUGGCUGAUUAGGCAUUUCAGGGUUGGGGGAAGUUGUAGACUGUGUUGUGCAGCUGUAGUGCCUAGUUCAAUGGGGGCAAACUAUACCUGAAUGAUCCCUCAUGUGUACAUUUGGAUGUUUUCAAAGCAUAUGAUUGACGGUGUUGUGUUGUUUUCUGGUUAGUUUUGUUAAGCUAAUGAAUUGCACGUUGUAGGUUUCCAUGGAGUAGCUUUAUGCAAAAGAGGAGGCUCAUGUUGUUUACUUAUUCUCUUUUCAUCACAUUGCAUUGAAUAUAUAGCUCUUUAAGUUCACGAAGGACAUUAGAAAUAUACUGAAAUAUUGUUUUGAGUUGUUUCCUCAAAGUGUUCAUCUCAUCUGAUUUUUUCCAGGCCGUUGAUUCAUUUUUAGUAGAAAGGUUGUGAUUCAUUCUAAGUAAAGUAAUCCUAUUUCAGGUCAGCUGGAAGUUGUUGGUUUGAAGUUGUGGGUUUGCAUUUGAACAAGAAGCCAUAUCAAGUGAGUUUCAUUGGAGCAUCUUUUUCUUUUUUUCCCUACUUACCCGGUUACACUUUAUCUUCCAUGAUAGUUUUAAGUGUCAUCAAAAUUAAUUUAUAUGAUGCUCAAUUAAGGUAAAAUGGCAUCCCAGAAAGAUGUGUUCAAUGCAAAAUGGACUAAGCCUUUAACCAACUUGUUUGUAAGAUUGUUGGUUGAGGAGGUUCAAAAGGGAAAUCGUACGACUUUUACUUUUAACAAAGUAGGAUGGAAUAACAUACGAGCUGAAUUCAAUAAACAAUUAGGAUACCAAUAUAACAUAUCGCAGUUCAAAAAUAAGGUAAACAAACUGAGAAGGCAGUAUGGUAGUUUUAAGAAUCUCCUUUCACAAUCUGGCUUUGGCUGGGAUAAUGUGAAUGACACAGUUGUUGUCGAGGAUCCAAGUAUUUGGGACUCUCACAUCAGGGUAUGUUUUAAGUUUCGAUCAUUUUGAUAUUACAAUAAAUGUAAGUUUUAGAAUAUUUGAUUAUGUUAUUGACAUAUGUCAUUAUUGUGAAAAUUGCAGGAUAAUAAUGACUGGGCAAAAUUCAAGAAGGAUGGAUUUCCUCAAUAUCCUGAAUUGUGCAUUGUAUUUGGUGAUACAUAUGCUACUGGAGAGCAUGCCAUAGGGAAUGCCGAAAAUGUGACGUUGUUAGAGGAUGGUGGCAAUGGUGGUGGCAAUGGUGGUGGCAAUGCAACUGGUGAUCCAGAGGACUUAGGUGAACACCAAAUUGAUGAGGACAUUUUUACAUCCCAGUAUACUUCCACUUCCAUUCAUAAAAAGCAUAGAUUGGAUAGGACUCCAAAUGUCAAGAGGAGAAAAAAUAGUCCCUCAUUUGAUAUUGCAGACACAUGCAAAGCUAUCCAAGACAUACUCAAAACUAGGUCAAGUCAAUUUGUGAGUGGAUCUGUUAGCUCACAAGUCACACCACCACCACCACCACCUGGAGACCCCUACUCCAUAUCAGUUGUGAUUGAUAUUCUGGUUAAUAUGAAUGACUUGGACCAAGAUACUUACAACAAAGUAGUGGAACGAGCAUGUGGUAGUGCCGUAUGGAGAGAGGCUUUCAUCAAAACACCAGCUGAAAGGAGACAUGGACUUCUUCAAUAUCUAUUGUAGAUGUCGAGAUGUGUUUUAUGGAUUGCAUGUGCUUUCACUUAACUAUGUGAUUUAAUUGUUCAAACUCUUUUGUGUUGUUGUAUGAAUAAUAUGGAUUAUGUGAGAUUUUUAUAUUUGAUCUACUUCUACUUUAGAACUUAAAUUGUUAAGAGCGUGUUUGGAUUUUUUUUUUUUCAUAUUUCUUUGUUAAUGUUAUUAUAUUUGUGUGAUGAUAUAGGUACUAUGGAAGAUGGAUCAAAUAAAAUGUCUAAUGAGCAGGUACAAUCAGUUGACCAAUUCUUGGAUGACGAUGAUCUUGACAUAUUGAUAGGAUGGUUAUGCAUGGUUGCGAUGGAUAUGUCCGUGCAUACGAAAGAACCUAUUAGGGACAGCAAUCUAUCGGGACUGGAAUGGAUGAGAGAGCUUAUUUGUGGACAUUCAGAUAGAAUAUAUGAAGCCUUCAGGAUGUAGAGGCAUGUUUUUUUGAACCCAUGUGAUUUGAUGAGGAUAAGAGGUUGGUUGAAAGAUAGUCGGUAUAUUAUGAUAGAUGAACAAGUUGGGAUCUUCUUAUCUUUGGUUGGUCAUAAUAACUCAACUAGAGAUUUAUGUGAGAGAUUUCAACGUUCAGGACAUACAAUCAGCACGUAUUUUAAUUUAGUGUUGAAAGCAGUUCUCAAACUUGCUAAAAAGAUUAUCAAAUCACCAUCAUUUGAUGUUGUUCCACCGGAAAUUCUUAUGAAUCCUAACCAUGAACGCUAUUUCAAGGUAUAGUUUUCAUAUCAAUUGUGCAUCAUCAAAUACAUGUAGUUCAUAAUUUUUGAAUGUUCAUAAAUCCACAUGAUUUUUUUUUUUAAAUAAAUUCACAGGAUUGCGUAGGUGCUAUUGAUGGCACCCAUAUAGAUGUUACUGUCCCCAGGUCUCAGCAAAUCCCAUAUAGAGGCAGAAGAGGAAAUACCACUCAUAAUGUGUUAUGUGUCUGUUCGUUUGAUAUGAAAUUUACGUUCGUAUAUUCUGGAUGGAAAUGAUCUGCUAACGAUUGUCGAGUGCUUUCGGCAGCACUUGCAACUCCUCAAUUGCAAUUUUCUCGACCACCACCAGGUAUUUGAUUUGUUUAUAAGGAAAAAUUCAUUUUAUGAUUGUUUCGUCAUUGUAUAUCAUAAUUAAUUUAUAUAUAUAUAUAUAUAUAUAUAUAUAUUAUAAGCAAAUACUACGUGGUAGAUUCUGGUUAUGUAGCACAGCCGGGAUUUUUAACUCCAUUUAGAGGUGAACGGUAUCAUCUGAACGAUUAUAAGGGGGAGUGGAAGACGGCCAAGGACAGCAAAAGAAUUAUUCAACUAUAGACAUUCUUCUUUAAGAAAUGUCAUUAAGAGGUCAUUUGGGGCAUUAAAGAAUCGCUUCACCAUUUUGAGACACAUGCCUCCAUUUACAAUAAAAAAAAAAAAAGCAAGCACUUAUUGUAAUUGCAUGUUGUGCUCUUCAUAAUUAUAUUCGUGAUCAAGACAGGAUGGACAAAAACUUUUCCCGAUAUGGAGAUCUGGAGUACCCAUAUGGAACUAGAGAAGUGGAUGAGAGAGAGAGAGAAGUAUAUUGGCUAAAUUAAAAUUAACAUGGAGUAGCUUUAUGAAAUUUAAAAUGGAUUAGAUAUUUAAUCAUAUAAAAGUAAAUAUUAAUUGAAAAUGAGAAAUCACCAUGAUAAAAAAAACUCUUAUUUAAAUAUAAAUAAUAUUGAAAUUCUAAUAAGAAAACCAAAUUUAAAAUAACAACAAUUUUUUAUUUUAUUUUUAUCUAUUUUUUAUUUCUAUAUUUUAUUUUAAUUUCUUCCUAUUCUGAAAUAUAUUUUUGCUAUAUACAGAAUAAAUAUUUAAUUUCAUAUUAUAAUUUAGUAUUUAUAUUUAUUACAUAUUUUUGGGAUAUUUGUAUAGUUUAUGCUAUGGUUUAUUAUUUACUAUUUAAUAAAAAUUGAUUAGUUAAUAUUUUUAUUACUUACUAUAAAAAUAUAAUUGAUUAGUGAAUGGUUUAUGAAAAUUCAAUAUCAAAUUUACAUUCAUCUAAAAAGGUAAUUAAAAAGAAUUAGAAUAUAAAUUUUAUUCCAGAAUCAGAAAUUUUAUUUGUUACCAAAUGUUUCUGUUCUUUUUCUAUUCCAGAAUCAGAAAUUUUAUUCUUUAUCAAACAGCUUAAAAUGCUUAGAAUCAGUUCCUAGGAACAUAAUUAAAAAUAAUCAUUUCUAAUCAGAAUCUAGUCCAAGAAACAGAAUCGUUACCAACCGCGCCCUAAGUCGAAACUUAACAAAAACGUGAACGGAAGUGUUUGAUCAUGAAGAAGAAGAAGAAGAAGAAGCAAUACCAUUCGCUAAGGGAGAACUCACGCACGCAGAAGGGGGGGGAGGAAGCAGGGGAAAAUGGCUCCCAUCUUCCAUCAUCUCCGGUCACCAUUCGAUAACCUUUUCGUCGCGGUAUCUCGAGUUCCGAUAUAGCCACUAGCUACCAUGGCCCGAUUAUUACAAGUUCCAACUCCUUCGCCGGUCGCGCGGUCAACCAUCAGUCUCAUGAGGAACGCAUUUGCUCAUUUCAUCGAGAUCACCAUUCCACCAAAAAAAAAAAAGAACAUGGAGCAAGGAAAAUUCAUCUCAAAAAAGCGAUUCCGUUCGAUUCAGUUGGCGAUUUCAAGCGUUCUGAAUUGAUUCCAGUGGCAGUCGCCAGCAUCAACAGCCUCUUCAACGCCGCGACUCAUCUCCUUUGUUCCCCUCUGUUCCGCGGCCGAGAGCCUCGAAAUGUUCCAGUUCGCUCGGAGCUUCUCCACCUGUUCAGGUUUCCAUCAUCGACACGUUCUAGAGCUUCUUUCAGUGAUUCGUGCGGCCAAUGGUGGCCUCAAUCCGCUUCGUAAACCAGGUAGCAUCUCCUGCUCUUUUCUCACAAGUAAGAGGCCGAGAGUCUGAUUCUCUGAUUAUGAUGAAAUUGAUCGUAUUUGAAUCUCUUUCUUUGAUUUUAAACAUCAUGUACUGAUUUAGCUUGAGUCUAGUCGUAAAUUUUAGUUCGAAAUGGCUAUGAUCUGUUCCUCAACCGAUUGACCAUACUCUGUUCGAUGAAAUGUGUCCGAGACCUCGUUCUGAAUUGAUUCCAGUAAUCGUCCGAUUUGAAAGCACAUUAGUGGUGUUCACAUGACAUUGUUCGAUUUUUCAAUCUUCAGACAUGAUUACGAGUAUAUUCCAUGGUUGCCAAGAAUGAAACCGACUCUUCCUUGGUUUUCUCUGUGCUUCUUGAGAUCCCUUGGUGAUUAAUGGUGGUCGCAGGCGAGAGGAGAAGGCUUAAGAGUCGCUGGCACAUGCAUUGACCUUUGGUGAUGAGCAUAGUAUGCCUUGUCGAACAGAAUCGAGACGACGUUGCUGAGCGUGAAUUGCAAUCACGCCAAUUCAGAUCAUGAAAUUCGGCCAACACAUGUUAUGGUCACUAACUGAAGCAAUGUUAUGGCUGGUUGCCAGCUGCGUCCUUGCUGUUGAGUCGCCCUGCAAUGUCCUCAACUACACAAUGUCUCGAUACUUUGUUGCAAAAACAAUGUGCGUUACCUGCCUCACAAUUCCUGUCUUGUCCUUCGGUUAUUGAUUACUACACCUUCGUCAAUUUCAUUGUCCGGAAGCAGGUAAUCAAUCUAAGAGCACCCACUAAAAUCACAUUAUAUUUGUGUCAUAUACAUCCUACUCCAUUCUUGGUGCAUGACAUAUUCUACUUCACGCGUGUUGUCAAGGGAAAUCGAUGGUCGACGAUCAAUAUGAAGUGAGCAAGUUAUACUUAUUCCCUGUCUUUAGUUGAUAGUUUCUGCAUAUGACAAUCAACGAAUUAAACCAGUUAAUAGCCUGCUCAGAUUUAAUAAAUUGAGAAUUUCUUUGUUUCUUGGAAAUGUUGAUGUCGUUGCUUUGUCUCUGAUAGUGGAAAGAGUUCAUUGUUUGUUUUGAACUUGCAUAAGAAUUGAUGGAAUGCUCAUGGAGCAGUGAGUAGUGCUAGAAUUUCAAAGCUUCUCCUCCGUGAAGUUUCAAUAGCCUCGCAAGUAAUUUCAUUCCUUACCAAUGCAUUUGGCAGCUUGAGAAUCAACCAGCUAGUCAUUGCAUCACAACCCUUCAAACCUAACCAGUUUGCACUAGGGCUUACUAAUGGCAGCGUCCAUGUACUUGAGCUAUUGGAAUCUAAAGGAGAGUCAGGUACUUUUCCUCCUGUUGAAAAUGGUGCUGGGCCUAGCACGACCUUUGGCGCAACCGGUCUAGAUCGACUGCAAAGGUAGUGUAGGCCAUGUCUCUUCCUAUGAAACUUUUUGAGUAUUAAAAUGCUGAGUCGGUUUCGUCCGCUGCACUUGAUUCAAAUUUUGAGAGGAUGCUGAAGAGGGUAGAUUUUACCGCCUUGGAGUACUUCCUCGGGACACAGUUCGUGCUCUCUCCCCUAUCUGCCUUUUUUUUUUUUUUUUUUUUUUCAAAAAACCCAUCUGACUCGGGAUUCUAGAUAUCCUCACGGCUGCUGCUUCGCUCCCUCUCUCUUGGUCUCAUCCUCACGCGCUCCCCGCCUUGUUCCGUCAAGUCGCAGGGUCAAGAAGGAGACAAAUUAGGGCUGGGUUUGUUGAGUUUUUUCAAGCCAAUCUAAUGGGCUCUAGUGAAAAAUGAAAUAAUGGAGGUUUGGUACAAGGAUAUUGAACAAGCUGAGGGCUCGACAUGGUAUUGUUUCUGGGCUUUAAUGGGUCUGAGUUAUGCAAGUUGGGCUUAACAAAUGUGCAUGGCCCACGGGCUUGGCUUGGUCGAAUUGGAUCGAGCCCAGCGCAUUUACUGAAUAUCCUCUCCACUUAGUUGAUGAAUUGAAGUCCCUUUUAUGUUUUUGUCUUUUUUUGCGUUUUUCAUUUUGGUUUUAUUCAGUCAUAACAAAAACUGACUGCCUAAAUUGUCAAUUUUGCUUAAAUUUCCAGCCAAAAAUGAGGGUGUCGACUGUAAGUUACUGUAAUCUUGAUUGUGCUAUAAUUGUGAAAUGUUUAUCAAACGCCACCCAUUUUUCAUGGCCGAAAUUGCUGCAUGAAAGGUGUACCAAAUAGUCUUAUAAAUAAAAUGCUUCAUACAUCUAACAUAAAGCAUUUCUACUCUUUCCAAAAUCAUUCAUAUAUUUUCAGGUAGUCGUAAUAUGAAUAAGUUAUAUAAAAAAUGCUAUCGCAGCUAAACCGUUGAUUCGAAAUCUUCAAGCAAAUAAUUAUGGAAGGAGAUUGCCAAUGCCAUUGGGAGGCAAUUUGCUAAAAGAAGCAUUUCUAAGAGGUAUAAUAAGUUAAAAUUCAACAAAAUGCAAAUCGAUUGGUGGUGCUUAAUCAUGUAAAUGAAAAAGCGAUACUAAUAUAAAUAAACCAAGACUUACUGACAGAAUCAAAAUUUCAUUUUCAUCUCAUGUUGCCAUAUAAACUUGUUAUUUUGUUCCGAAAAAGAGUCCAUUUAAAUGUGUGUUUAACUUGCCACAUAAUUCUCAUUUAGCGGUCAAGCAUAUGCAUACAUACUUAUUUCCAUCUUUGACUGGGCUUGUUACUCUUCUUGGCUAGGGUUGACUGCUCCAAAGCCACGGGUAACAUUAUAUAUCUGUUCUCCCACGUCAAGUAUCUUUUCAUCUUUCAACUUUUGUUUUUUAGUUAAGUCAUCCUUCGACUUUAGCGUAGUGUUAUCUUGCAUAUGCAAAGAAAGCAUAUGCGUGCUUCAUUCAUGUCAAAUUAGAAGGGAGGACUAAGUUUUCAAAUGGCUUUUAAUUGACUGAACUCGUCUAUAAGUCGCAAUGAUGCUUAUAUAGGGAGAUUAGCCCCCAUAACUUGAAUGAAAAUGAACAAGACGAGUUUACUUCAAAAUGCCGUAUAAUUAUUCUCUACAAAGCAAAUGAUGUAUGGAUAUUGAGGUAUACAUUGCUUGACAUGUGAACCUCAAAUAAGCAUUGUGUCUGUCAAAUGCGUAUUCUUUUCUUUUUAUUUUCUAUUUUAUGGAAGUUGGAAAUUUCAACAAAACACAUUAUGAACAACCAAUUGAACUAUUAGUGAAAUUAAUAAAAUUUCAAUGUUACAACAGUAUCAAUUAAAUUUUAGUCUCGAAACACCAUGGAAUAACAUGCAAAUUUUACUAGUGUAUAAAAAAGUACUUUAAACUCGAACAAUCUCUAAAGCAGGAGCACUGAAAGGUUAAAGGGGAAGAAAAUUACAGAUGAAACAAAUAUUAAUGGAGGGACCAAAUAAGAGAGAGUUGACCCAUGGAACUUUUUCCACGCUUGGUGCAUUCUAUCCUUUAUCCUUUUUCCCUUAUCUUGUCUCUUUCUUUUCCAUAUUAGAGGUUGUCCCGUCUCGUCACUUUUUUUUCUUUUUCCAAAAAAAGAAUUACCAAUAGCAACAUCAUCUUCUUGCCAUGUCCUCUAACCAAUAUUUAACUUGAAUUGGGUUUUUCCCCUCUAAAGUAUGGCAAAAGGCAGGCAUAUUAACUAUUUGAUAAGUUUUCACUCACCAUGAAUGACUUUUCAUUUUGUCUUUAAUGAUGUGCAAGUUACUGUUCACACAACAAGUGCUGUAUUUCCUAUACCCUCUUCCAACUUUCACCUUUUUACCUCAAAUCACGGCGUGGUUUAAAAGUCCAUGCUAUGUAAACUCUUCCUCUUUACGUUACCAUCCUCAUUUUUUUCUCAUAUUCUCAAAUGUUUUUCCAACCUUCUCUCUCAUGAUCAGCCUAACUUAAAUGAAUUAUGACCGGCACCAACUGGGGCCACUAGGCCUGCAUGAUAGAACUCAGGCGGGCCCACCCCUAAAUUGUGUCUCUGUCUUUGGCUCUCAUUAGUUAAAAUCCUCGCUUAUCCACAAUAGGACAUAUGGCGCCCAAUGGUUUAAUUAAUUUUCGUGGUAACUGGUAACUGGCGCGGAAGCACAAAACUCUAGUAAACAGAAAAAAAAACAAUCUAUUCUUUCCCUUCUUGAGAAAAGGGGCGGCACAAGAAGGAAAGGUCCCUCUGUUUUUCUCAAGGUUUUUUACGUUGACUAAGGGAAAACUCAUGCGCCCAGAAGGGAGGAAGCAGGGGAAAAUGGCUCCAUCUUCCAUCAUCUCCAGCCACCAUAAUAUCUCAAGUUCCGAUUUAGCCACUUGCCUACCACCGCCCAAUCAUUACAAGUUCCAACUCCUUCGCCGGUCGCCGCCGUAGACCAUCAGUCUCGGGAGGAGCACGUUCUGUUGUCACAAGUAAGAGGCCGAGUGUCCGAUUCUCUUGUUAUGAUUAAUAUCAUAGUUUGAUUUUUUUUUUUUUUUUGACUUCGAACAUUAUGUACUGAUUUAGGUCGAGUCUAGUUAUAAAUUUGAGUUCGAAAUGGCUUUGAUCUGUUCCACAACCAAUUCGCCAUAAUCUGUUUGAUGAAAUGAGUCUGAGAUCUUGUUGUGAAUUGAUUCCAGUAAUCGUCCGAUUUGAAAGCACAUUAGUGAUGUUCACUUGAUAUUGUUUGAUUUUGCAAUCUUUAGACGUGAUUAUGAGUAUACGCCAUAGUUGCCAAUAAUGAAACUGACUCUCCGUUUGUUUUCUCAGUGGUUCCUGUGAUCCUUUGGUGAUUGGUGGUGGUCGGUGACACGAGAAGGCUUGGAGUCGCUGGCACACACGUGAUCUUUGGUGAUGAUCAUAGUACGCCCUGUCGAACAGAAUCGAGACGACAUCCCUGAGCGUGAAUUGUGAUCACGCCAAUUCAGAUCACGAACUUUGGCUGACACAUGUUACGCUCACUAACUGGAUCAAUGUUAUGGCUGGUUGCUAGCCACCUCCUUGCCGCUGAUUCACCCCGCAAUGUCCUCAACUGCACAAUGUCUCGAUACUUUGUUGCAAAAACAAUGUGCAUUACCUGCCUCACAAUUCCUGUCUUGUCCUUCGGUUAUUGAUUGCUACACCUUCGUCAAUUUCAUUGUCCAGAAGCAGGUAAUCAAUCUAAGAGCACCCACUAAAAUCACAUUCUAAUUGCGUCAUCUACUUCCUGCUUCAUUCUCUGUGCAUGAUAUAUUCUACUUCACCGCGUGCUGUUGAGGGAAAUCAUGGUCGACAAUCAAUAUGAAGUGAGCAAGUUGUACUUAUUCUCUGUCUUUAGUUGAUAAGCUUUUGCGUAUGGCAAUCAAUGAAUGAACUAGUUAAUAGCUUGCUCAGAAUUAGUAAAUGAGGAUCUACUUCUUUUCUUGGAAGCGUCGAUGUCGUCACUUUGUCUCCACUAGUGGGAAGAGUUUAUUGUUCUUUUUGAACUUGCAUAAGAAUCGAUGGAAUGCUCAUGGAGCAGUGAGUAUCCGAAAUUUACAAGUUAUAUGAAUUGGUGUGUCCUGUUGCUGCAUACAUUGGAGUUUAGCGCUUAUUGUUCAUCUAUGUCUGCUGAACCAUUUGAUUUAUCGCUUCAAUCAACAGAAUUCUGAUAAAGACACGUGACAAUUGCGAGAGAUAUCUUGAAAUUGGCACUUUGGUGAUGAUAGUGCUACUUCCUGUUAACUGAAUGUACUUGUUUUAGGAAAAAAAACAUUUAUGAUAUUGGAGAAGUGAAUAUGUGUUGAAGGUGUGUUGGAUUUGCAAUAAUAAAACCCUACUGAUCUUGAAUCCAUUCAUUGAAGAAAUGGAGGGAUAUAUUUUCUACAUGGACGAUGUGAAUAGGUCACUGCUGAGCUUCUUGCAUGUUUAUUGAAUUUGAAUUGCAUAAUGGGUUGAGGCUAGCAUUUGAGUAUUGCUGGAAUUUCAAAACCGAGAGAAAUUGAAGAAUUUGAUGUUAGAUUAUCUAAGUCAAUGCCGACAAUUAGCAGCAUAAUCAAGUUUUGUCAUCUAAGCAUAUUAAAGUUGUCCCGUAGUAGUGCAUCACUUAGUCCUUUGUAGAGUAAAAGCACCAUUUAGUUAGAAAUUCAUGCAUAAGGUUUCAAAGAGGUGAGUCCCACGCAAUAUAAUGAGACUUGAGCUGGCAUGUAUGAUGAAUUCGCAGAAUAUACCUGCGUCUCGAAUGGUCCCCACUUUGGAAGCCAAUGGAAUUGUAGGCUUUUCCAUUUAAAGUAUUGACUCUCGGGUGUUUAAACUGACUCUUGGCUUUCCUUCUCCGCACUUGAUUCAAGUUUUGAGGGAUGCUACAGAGGGUAGAUUUUACAGCCUUAGGGUACUUCCUCUGGAUGUAGUUCAGUACAGUCUGUUUUAAAGUGGUACAAUUAGCAUAUUAAUCGACUCUAGCUCCAGUCUUGUGGCAAUAUUUUGUUUUCAUUAUAUUCAUUUAGGCUGACUGAAAAUGAAAAAAGAAGAACAUGAGAUUAGGGUGUUGCGUAGAAGGUGUUGCAUAUUCGAGAUGGAGGCAGGUAUCUGAUUUUAGUUAGCAGGCUAAAGGACCAGAGGAACAGGGUUUAGUUUUCUUAGGUGGCUUCUUUUCUUCUUCCUUCUGCGUUGUGCUGAAAGUACUUCUUUUAUUUAUUUUAUUUAUUCUUUUUAAUUUGCGUAAACAGCACUUGUUAGCAGGUUCCCCUUUCUUGUUCUUUCCCCGCAAAAGCAUUAACUUCAUCUUCCUCUUGCACUCCUACUACGAUGGCGAUUUCAGUGCAACAGCACUCAAGACCUUGGAUGACAAUAUAAACUUCCCCACGGUCAAUCUUGAUGUUUUGCUUAUUAAACUACGCCUUUUUCAGAAUUAAGUUCCAUCUUAUUAAGGAUGACAAAACUGUGGUUACGGACAGAAUGACUGGUCCUGUUGGGAUUAUUCUCGAACAGUUCCACUUGGGACCGAAGUUGGGAUUAUUCUCGGACAGUUCCAAAACUUAUCUACAAUUAAGUUCAAAACUGCUAGAACUCAAUUUUUUGAAACUUCAUUUCUCCCCUCUUGCAAUGUCAUGGGAAAGGGGGAGUGAGUAUUUGCGUGCAUCCAUAUUCAAUGAAUCACAUUUAUCAUAACCAUUCAUCAUAUGAAUCUUACAUGAGCCUAAUAUGUGAGACUUACAUCAUCCAAUUUUUUUUUUUUAAACUUUAUCCCAUCUCUACAAUGCUAGGUUUCCAAGAAGGAUUGUGCUCCAUCAUUAGUGAAAUAAAAAAAUAAAAAUAAAAAACUCGUUUUGUAGGAAAAAGACAUAAUAAGGGUUUGUAUUAUUGCUCGAUAAGUAACUGAGUGCCUGAACUUUCUUUUUAUGUAAUCAAAUAUUAAAUUCUUGAAUUUCGUUUAAUGUGGCGUCUCCACUAUUAUUGCCGGGUCAUGCGUUUUUUCCCUGACAUGCUUAUUGAACAUAACUGCUGACAUGGCAGCAUACACAACGAAAAUCAUGCAAAACUCAGUUUAACACAAAGGAAGAAUAUUCCUUUUCUUUUUUCCUUUUCCAUUUCUUUCUUUUUACUCCCUCUUCCGUUCCCGGUAUGCAAUCUGGCCCUCGUCGCCUUCUCCACCAUCAAUUUCCACAACUGCCGCUUGCCAACACCAUCGAUUUCCAAUAUUCUUGAAUCUUGACAUUGUUGGGGACCGUCACGUCCCGUCGAUGAAAAAAAAGGAAAAAAGAUUGACAAGUUGCCUGGCCUGUUAUAUGUUAGAAACUUACCAACAGGUUUUGAAAAGUAUACUAUAAAAUUACCAACAACAUUAAUAAUCAUCCAACAUUUAUUUUGAUGGAUUAUCAAUGUGUUAAAUUGCUUACUUUUAUUUAAAAUUGUGAACCUUAAUUUGACCAAUGUUUCCAAAUUAGUACAUUAAUGACUGGGCAUGUCUAUGUGUUUCACAUUAUUUAGAAGCGUACACUUAGGUGAAGGGAAUAAUACUUUUUGCACUCUAGACAUGAUUGUUCUCCUUUGGUCCCUGAAGUGAUAUUUCCCACGAUCCAAAUCUUUGGCAAAAUUGGAUCACAUUUUUAAUGCAUGUCUUGACCGAUCUCAUCUCAUAUCCAAAAGAAAUAAAUUUUGAAAUAUGAAAUCAUGGAUCAAUAAUUCGAGACCUCAGUUAAUUUUGGUAUAUCUUACGUGAGAUCCACAUGAUCUAACGGUCGUGAUGCACUGAACUAACCCGAAACCAAUGCCUCUAAUGAUUUAUUGAACUCGUUCAAUUAAAUAAAUUAAAUAACCACAUGUUUCUACUCCAUACCAAAUAAACACGGGGUCCUAGCCAUAAAAGAAUCCUCCUGCUCUUGCAGAGGAAGAGAAUCCAGCAUGUGAAAGUGAGUAGUGUGUGUCUACCAGAAGAAUCUAUCCUGCACGAGAAGAAAGAUCUAUCCCUUAUAAUAUCUAGUGACUGCCUUUCAAUUGUGAAGUGCAUUAUGGGCUGAUAAGAAAGCCCAUGAGAUAUUAGGAACAUGACUACUAGGCCUUGCCAGCUCAAUUGGAUAAGGUGGAAGUUGUCUAUUGUCCCUGCGAGGCUAAUCAAGUUACAGAUUGGUUCACUAGUACCCAUUAAGAUAGAAGUCUCCCUAUUGAUUGAUGAUCCUUACCCUCUCAGCCUAUUUUAAAUAUUUUGCGUAUAGAAACUUAUUUGUGUUCCUCUAGUAGAUCCUUUAUGAUUGAAGGAAUGAAUGUGCUUUCCGAUGAAAAAAAGAAAACCAAAAGACAUAACAAAAGCGAUUUUUCAUGAGACAACAACUUUAUCGGAAAAUUGAAUAAUAGUUCCCUACCCAAUUACACCAGUGUUUACAAGUGUAAAUAAUUUUAAUCACUUAUUUUGUUUUUGGAGUGGCACAUCGUGACUUCGACGUAUGAAGUGAUAUAUCAUUAUUUUGAAAAUCAAUGAACAAUUAAUCUCUUGGGUGGGAAUGGGAAGAAAAUAGUCCAUUCUAGUUGAAAGAAAACGUAAAUGGAAUAUAUCUUUGACCAAAAGCCAAGUCAAAGAAUUCUCAAAAUGCUUACCACCGUACAAAUUGCAAUUAUAGGUGAGUGUGACCCCCCUAGAUUAGGAGCUCAUUAUGGGCUUUGCAAAUACAUGCCCCCAUUGAUCUUUCUUUAAUCUAGAUAAAUUACUAACUCAUUUGUAUAUAUUUCAAGAUGAUGAGAAAACCUACAGAUUUCCAUUUUUUCAUUGAAAUAAUGAAAAUUUGGUUCAUUCACUCUAAAUAUUUUGCCUUUCAGGCCAGUAAAAGUUCAGGACCUCACUAAUUUCAUCCUUUCUUGCUACACUUCUUAAUCCUCAAAAGACUUUGAACCAUAUUUGUAGUUUGUCUAGAUAUUUUAAAUGACUAACAGAACUUUUCUUUGCCUAGAUUACAUCCAGGAUUUCGAUUUUUUAUUUUUCUCUCCCGGUGGAAAUGAUCCAUCAAGCAAGCCCUCCGAUCAUUAAAAGCGCCGUUAGGGAUAAAAUAAAAAAUAAAAAAUACACUCUACUAUGCCAAAAAAGUAGCGUUGCAUAGUGAGGAUAUCUGUUGAAUUGAUGUUUGUUUUCCCCUUGGGCUGUUGAAAGAUUGGAUCGGGAGUUGGGGUUCUACUUCAACAUGAGGUACUUCGAGGAUUUGGCCAGGAACGGAGAGUGGGACGAUGUGGAAAAGUAUCUAUUUGGCUUCACGAAAGUAGACAAUAAUAGAUACUCCAUGAAGAUUCCCUUCAAGAUUCAGAGCAGAAGUAUCUCGAAGCUCUGGACAAGUAGAUCGAAAGUUUUUGGACAAUUGAUGGCUUCGACUUGUUUAGGGCUGUGUUAGCUCACUGGGCAACAAGCAUUUUAAUUUUCUUGGUUGUCGGUCUUGCAUUAUUGAUGAUUGCAGGAGGGAUCGUACUAAAGCUGUGGAAAUUUUAGUCAAGGACUUGAAAGUAUUUGCUACAUUCAAUGAGGAUUUGUUCAAGGAAAUUCAGCAGUUACUGACGCAGGAGAACUUUAGGUACGAGGUCUUGCGUUGAAGAAUCUUUUAAUUUGUAACUGACAGUUUUUCUCUAGUUGACCGUUUGUCUUUUGCUAUCAUCACAUUGGCAUUAAACGUAAUCCUGCUUGCAGAGAGAAUGAGCAACUAUCAAAGUAUGGUGAUACCAAGUCAGCUCGGAGUAUAAUGUUGGCUGAACUGAAGAAGUUGAUAGAGGCUAACCCACUGUUUCGUGAUAAGCUUCAGUUUCCCACAUUGAAGAACUCAAGAUUACAGACAUUAAUAAAUCAAAGGUCCUUGCUGUCCUAUUGCCUCAUGUAUUUUCUUGACUAAAGUAUCGUCAUACUGACUGUUUCAUGGCUUCUGGCAGUUUGAAUUGGCAGCAUCAGCCAUGCAAGAAACCUAGACCUAACCCUGACAUGAAGACUCUAUUUGUAGACCACACUUGUGGACAACCAAAUGGUGCUCGUGCGCCAUCCCCUGUUACUGAUCCUUUAAUGGGUGCUGUCCCCAAAACAGGGGCCUUCCUGCCGUUGAUUGCUCAUGCUGUAAGUCUGGAGGAGAAUAGUUAGCCUGUUUCCUGGGUAGUUUUUCCAUUUAGAUGUUGGCAACUGACGUUAGUGAUUUUUUUUUUUUUUUUUUUGGUGCCUUCCACAUCUUUUAUCACAGCCCUUCCAGCCUCCUCCGGCUGCUCUACAUCACUUGCUGGAUGGAUGGCAAAUUCAUCCUCGGUAAGUCACCCCUCAGCAUCUGCUGGACCAAUAGGUUUGACCGUGCAAAAUAAUUCAGGUACAUGAAGCUGCUCUAAAAUGUCAAUUUCAAGUUCAUGGCUACCAUGGUCACAUAUCUAGUUUUAUGAGAAGUUGCAAUAUGGAAGGUAUUUUGUCGGAACAUGUAAAAUAUUAUAUACGAUAGUGUGAGGCAUUAUUAUAUGCUGACUAUGAAAUUUGAUCUUGUAGUUUCCACAAGUUCAAGCCGUUAGUUUGGCAUUCUAUUUACUUUUGGCCUUGUGAUACAGCUAUCUUAAAGCGUCCCAGGACUCGUCCUACUAACAAUUCAGCCAUGGACUACCAAACAGCAGAUUCUGAACAUGUUUUGAAGAGAUCGAGACCUUUUGCAAUCUCUGAUGAAGUACUUAUUUGUUCUUGCUUUUGUCUUUGUCGUUAUUCAGUUAUUACUGGUUGGGUCAAUCCACAAAAAGAAGUUUUUUGCUGGGUGUUUUGCUGGGUGAUUGACAAUCUGAGAUGUCUGGGAUGCUUUUCUCAACAUUCAUCAGACUUGCUACAUGUACUUCUUUUCUUUUUAUGGAAGUCGGGAUUUCCAGUUUACUGAAUUAUAAAAUGGAGUUGGAGUAUAUCACUCCUCCUUUUGCAUUUGUAUUUCUAAUGAUCUUUUAAUGCAUGCCUUUGAAUGAAAACCUUCUGAAAGCUCUUUCACUUCGGUACUAUUGCAACAUAAGAUCAUGCAUUGAGAAUCUUCAGGAGAAACAUUUUAGCUUUGAGGUUCCUAAAUACCCUGAACUUUUAUGAUGAUAACUAAUAAUUGGUAUUCACUGGAAAAUGAAUAUAUAAAUUAUAAAAAUUCCAUCUGGAGUUAAUUGAGGAUUGGAAGGAAUCCUAGAGAUUCUGGGAGAGAAAAAGGUGCAAAAGGGCUAAGAUUGGCAAUUUGUGUCUGCGUGUCUUAAUUGUUUUUGUGAUUUGUGUCAAUUCAUGUUAACAUCAUAACCUUUAUCAAACAUGUCAAACCAAUGAAUUAGACUAAGAUAUGUAAGCAUCUCGUCAAUAUACUGGUUGAUCGUAUUGUGAUGUCAUAUUGGGCUGUCUCUAUGUAUUUUGUUUUUGGUAUUGGCGUGUAGAUGGUCUGUGUCGAUAUAUUGGCAACAUUAAUAAGGAGUGGGAACUAGGUAGGUGGGAAUUACAUCUUCUUCCAGCAUGCAUGGAUUGUGGUCAUAUAUGCUAGUGAGAUGGGCCCUCAUAUGACUUUUGCAUCUUUCAAGUGUCAUGGCUUUCAUUGAUUUUCUAUCGGAGUCACUGGUUUUGUAAUCUUUUUGAAUUCUCAUUAGGUGAAUAAUUCGCCUAUAAACAUUAUGCCCGUCACAUACAACAACUUGAGCCACGGUCAAAGUUCAUAUUCUUCAGAUGACUUGCCCAAAAUUUAGUCAUGACCCUAAAUCAAGGUUCACCUAUUAAGAGUAUGGAUUUCCAUUCGGUGCAACAAAUUCAAAUUCUGCUGCUCGGUUAGCACAUUUUUCUUACUCCAUGGAAAACAUGUUCUUGCUUUUCUUCAGUUGAUAUACUUGUUUCCCCUUGUAGGGCAUAAUUUUUUAUUUCUUUUGUCUUUUUUUUCCUGAUGCAUGGAAGUUUGCUUUUUGUUGUCAUUUUGAAACGUUUCAGCUAUGGAAACCAUGGGAUCUGAUUCUUCAUCUUUUCUACAUAAAUAAUUUAGCGGGAACAAAUAUGGGCGAUGUUAUGCCAUGGGAAGUAGGCAGCUGUGCAAGGAUCGCUCUAAGAAAUUUUAGGGUUUGGGAUCUAGGAGCAUGUUCAGUGACGCUGUAGGUAUAAAAGUUCAAUUCUAAAUAAAAUAAGUUUUUUUGUUUUUGGCCAUGUGAUUAAAGGUUUUAAUUCUUUGUAGGCAUCUCUAGCCAAUGAUUAUAUAGCACCAGUCAGCCGAGUAAUGUGGAGUCCCAAUGAAACCCUUUUCUGUAUGUACAUACUUGCUGAUUGAUGGAGAACCUAAAUAGCCGAGAGCUAGACUUCUUUUCAAUAUUUUUGGGAAGAAGUGUUCAUAUGCUGCUAUUACUGAUGAUUUGUGGUGUUCUCUUUAGGUGUUGCUUAUUCCAAACACCUAGUGCACAUAUACUCAUAUCAUGGUAGUGAUGACAUAAGGAACCACCUUGAGGUUUGUUGCUAACCAUGGAGAAAAAAUUAAGCUUCUUUGUUCUGCAGACAACAAUUACCACCUAAGUGUGAGUUUAACUUGAUUUUGACUCUAAACUAAUGUGUGAUACAGAUCGUGGCUCAUGUUGGAAGUGUUAACGAUCUUGCCUUUUCAUAUCCAAACAAACAGUUAUGUGUUGUUACCUGUGGAGAGGACAUGUCAAUCAAGGUAUAUUCUGAUUGUUUUCCUCAUUGUUAUAGGGUUGUGCUGUUUGAUUCCUUUUACCCAAGCUAGUAGUUAUGUAGGUGUGGGAUGCAGUGACUGGGACCAAGCAACACAGUUUUGAGGGUUGUGAAGCACCUGUAUAUUCCAUAUGUCCACAUCACAAAGAAAAUAAUCAGGUACCUGGUUGUUUUGCGUACUAAUAAGGACACACUGAAAGCACGACCAAUCAACAUGUACCCUUGACUAUUCACUGGACUUCUGUUUGCUAAAAGUUGGCUAGGUAAAAUAAUUUGCUUCCAUUUGUAUGAGAAGUGUAUCUGUAGUUUUUAUGGACCUUGUUGAUUUCAAGGGUUUUGCAAGUCUUCCAACUUUUAACCUGUCUCGAUUAGAAUAUACUUGUUAAAAUGGUGACACGGUCCAAAGGUCAAACUGCAAAUUAAAUCCGCAAAUGCUUUUGAGCGUUAACAACUGGGUAACGGUCUUCACAAUGAUGACCUUUCUGCUUUAUUAUGUGUUUAGAAGGAAAAUUCUCUUUUCCACUUCCAACAUUUGUUCUCCACUAAUUUUCUUCUUGAGUUAUGAUUGGUUAAAUUUAUAAUAGAAGGCUGUUUACUACGUCUGAGUGGAGCAGCAAUUGGCCAUUUUAUUUUCUUCGUCUUAAACCUUUUGAACUUUCAUGGUCAUGUGCACUCUAUCACAAAGAGAUUUUCUGAUAAUCCAUCAUCCUAGAAUGCUAGGAUAUCAUAACUAGAGUUUUAAGCGGAUGUGCUCUUAGGAUUCUUAAUUCUAAUCCCUUGUGCUCCUGUCUGAAGAAGCCAUCUAUCUGGGCAUGCCAAUAAAAUUGAUUGUACUUUUUUUUUUCCUCGUGUAGUUUAUCUUCUCAACAGCAACGGAUGGAAAAAUUAAGGCCUGGCUUCAUGACAACAUGGGGUCAAGAGUUGACUAUGAUGCACCGGUUCACUCUUCUACCAUGAUGGCAUACGGUGCUGAUGGAAUGAGAUUCAUAUCAACAACAUUCAAGCUUGAUUUCAUACUGUCAUUUUUUUUUCAACUGAAAUAACCUGUUUUAGCAAUUUUAAUUUGCUACAGGUUGUUCUCAUGUGGGACCAAUAAAGAAAAAGAGUCAUACUUGGUUAAAUGGAAUGAAAGUGAGGGGGCUGUAAAGCGUAAAUAUCAUGGACUUGGAAAGACAUCUGGUGGGCUUGUGCAGUUUGAUGCCACCAAAAAUAGAUUUUUGGCUGCUCGUGAGGAGUUCACGGCCAAAUUUUGGGAUAUGGACAAUAACAAUAUUUUGACAAGUACUGAUGCUGAGGGUGGAUUGCCAGUAAUUCAUUGUUGUUAAUAAAUUCUGACUGAAUUAUCCGAACCUUGUUAAUUACGUCACUCUCAAUUUUCUGGCUUCACCUUGUAUUAGAUUUAACAUGGAAGGAAAUCUAUUAGCCGUCUCAACAAGUGACAACAGCAUCAAAAUUUUGGCAAAUGCUGAUGGGAUUAGGUUGCUAAGGACAGUGGAAAAUCGCCCUUUUGAUGCUUUGAGAGUCACUCCUGGACCUCUUGUGAAGGUAAGCUUUUUUCAAGAGUACACUGAUUUCAUAGGGAGGAACUUGCUAAAUGUCUUGAAUCUUGUGCAGCCACCAAUUGCAGCCUUUGGUUCUGGUAACGCUACUGUUGCGGCAAGCCUGGGUGAUAGGGGUGCUCCAGUGGCAGCAACGGUUGGUACGGUAAGUGGUAUCAUUAUUGCCUUAGGUAGUUAAAUAUUUUAUGGAUCUUUAUUUGUUGCUUACCGUGUUACUUGAAUGGUGCAUUAAUUGCAUUUUUUUCGUGCAUGUCCAUUGGACAUCUUUAAAUGAUAUCCUCUCUUUUGAGCUCUACAGAACAGUGAGAGCAUGGCUGAUGUAAAGCUCAAAUUUGCUGAUGAGUCGGGAGAUAAAUCACGGAUUUGGGAACUGACAGAAAUCAUUGAGCCAUUACAAUGCUGGUCCAUAAAGCUGCCUGAUAACUUAAGAGCUAUGAGGGUACAAAUUAUUGCCACCUCAGGUUGCUUUUAUGCAGCAUUUCUUUUCCAUAUUCAUCUGUCAUGUUUCUACUGUAUAAGCACAUAUUUAAAUAGGUCACAUUUGGUGCACUUGCUUCAUUAAUUUCAUCUGCAUGUGGUCCGAUGAAUAAUUUUUUUAUUCCUUGACACUUGGAGGACUUUGUCAUCUCUUCGCUUGGCCUUCUAUUGUUAAGUGCUUGUUUCAGCUAUAGAAUUGGGAGAGGAUAAGAUGGAAAUUAAUUAAUUUGUGAUUAUGGAGUGUCAAUUGUGCUUGGAGUUUGUUGGCUGUGGAUGUUAUGAAUUUUAUGAUAAGGAUGAAUAGUUAGAUGGAUGCUGCCUGAUUUAGAAUGUAGUGGUAUAUUCACACGAGGAGACUUUUUAAGCUGCUGCUUGGAAUCCAAUGAGGAUUGUUCUGUGGUCUCUUGUGCAGUUACAUGUGCUAAAAGGCGCAGAAUCUUCACCAGAUGAAUUUUGCUUUGUACACGGCAGGAAAAGUGUAUCAUUGUGUGCCGCUUUGAUGCUUGUCGGGAUUGCUAAGCUUGUGAAUUGACCUAUUUUGAGCUUGCCAAUUUCUGGAAACUUUGAGUGGAAAUUUAUCCGCUGAAACUAAAUACACAAACAUUAGAGGUGAAAGGAUAGGUAUUCCUAGAAAGGAAUAGCGUGGGUGAACCACUCUAUUUUUGCAUGUUUACCACACCCGGUUAUCUUAAUGCUGUAGUGAUACAGCUGGAUGGUUUAAGUGAAGGUUCCAUGUUUUGCCUGAUUUUUUUUAUUUUUAUUUUUUAAUUUUGUGAACUGUUUCGACUGGAAUUUGAUGUCAUGUUAAUCAUAUGCUCUAUUGAUAUGUAAACAUACAAUAUGCAUAUAUGCCUAUGCACAAAGUCACUUUAAGAUAAACAUUCAGGCGAACCUGUGCGUCACCAAGUGUCUAUUUGCAUCAAUUUCUGCAUCUAUCAUUUACUGCUGAGUUCUUUAGGGUUUUUCUUUGGGUUUUUCUUUUCCUUUCAACUUUGGGUAAUUUAUUUUACUGUCACCACUGAAGCUCAUAAAAUGAAGCAGGUUUCAAGAUUCAUCUAUACAAACUCGGGUCUUGCCAUUCUGGCUUUAUCAUCGAAUGCUGUACGCAAGCUCUGGAAAUGGCAAAAAAGUGUUCGGAACUCAACAGGCAAGGUAAGGAAUCUUUUUUCUCGAGAUGGGCAUGCUAUUGUAUUAUUUAGUGCAUUUUCAACUACAUUGUUUCUUCUUUUCGCAGGCUACAACUAUUGUACUACCAUAGUCAUGGCAACCUCCAAGUGGGAUUUUGAUUACCAAUGACAUAAGUGAUGCCAAUCCUGAAGAUGCAGUUCCAUGCUUUGCACUGUCAAAGAACGAUUCUUAUGUAAUGUCAGCAUCUGGGGGGACUCUUUGUUCGAUAUUGUUAGCGAUAGGGCGAGCGAUCGAACAAAAUAUAGACGGAAGAAGAAAAAUAAAUCGAACACCGGAUUUACGUGGUUCAAUCGUAAAGACCUACGUCCACGGGGAGAGCAGCAACGAAUUUCACUAUAGAUCAAGCGAUACAAGGAGAUUACACACUCGAGUCAUUCAAACACGCUUUCGGUGUUUCCCAAGCCCCAAUUACACCUAAUAACGCACCCAGUGUUUAGCCCCGAAAUUCCUCGAAAAUAAUCUUUCAAUCUCACGAAGGAAUUACACGCAAAUCUUACCUCAAGAUUUAAUCGACUACAAACACUAAACUUCUUGGAUGUAAUUGCACGAACGAACCCACUUUCAAGCACUCGAUAUUUGGUGCUUCAAGUUUGCUUGCAUCAACAACGGCGGAACAAGCACUCAUGCGGCGCUUCAAUGUGUGGCUUCGCUGAAGAGAGUCCCACGAGCAAAAGUUAUAUAUAUAUAACCGCCAGAGAAUUGCAUGCAUGGAAGAAAACCGAAUAAUCCAAGAUUCGGUCAACAAAGAAGAAAGAUUGACUUUCCUCUUUGGUUCCAAGCGGCAGAGUUGGAUGCUGCUUCCUUCGUAGCCUUUUUUUUUUUUCUUAUUUUUUAAUUAAUUCAAAAAUUCAACUUUUCGCUUGGGGCUUAAACUUGAGUCAUAAAUUUAACAGAUAUGAUGACUUUCAAGGUGAAUAUUUUCCCAAAGCAUAUGUCUACAUCGGGUGCGUUUGGUUCAGCAUUUUGAAAGCCCAUUGGGAAAAUGCAAAGCAGUUUAGCCUAAAAGACUUUAGGCAAAUGCAUUCCUCUUGUCGAUUAUUUGUAACACUAUCCACCAGGCUCGGGAUGAUGAACUACCCCCUUGUGGAUGAGUGAAGUCAAAAUGAUGCCAAAAGUGACUAUUUGCUGAAUAUGCAUGCACUAUUUCCUUUUCACAUUAUUAUGGGAGCUAAAAUUAAUUGAGUCACUCAUGUAAUAGAAAGUAUUGAACUCUAUUGUUCGAGGUCCACGAAAGCAAUUACUCUGAUUUUCAUGUGGAUUGUGUUGUAGAGUCACAACAUAUGUACUUUUUAACAUGUAAGUGAGACAAGGGCUUUUCUCUGUCUCCAAUGGAGUCAUUUUGCUCUUACCGAUUAAAGUAAAAAAGGCAAGAGCUUUUUUCACCCAUCCAGAGAUGUAAUGGUUGAGCUGCUCUCUCCCAUUCUGAAGAAGGGAGAUGCCAUUUGAGGCAAUGGCCUCUGUUGAGAAAAUAUGGCUUCGAAUUGGGUAGAACAAUGAAGUUGGAUCUUUAGAGUACUCAAGUCAGACUUUGAGGCGUGAUAUCACUUUCUUUAAGGAUUUAUUUGCCCCACUACGUUGCUAAUGGUCACCGGCAAAUUUCCUCCAGGAUACAACAAAGUCUCAAACGAAAAUACUAGAUAGCAAUUCUAGUAUUUCUCCAGGGUCUCUCAUGGGAAAACAAUUUAGAAACAAUGGCUGUAGUUUCUUUUUGAAAGAAGACGAAAAAUGGAAGAAGAUAUAUUUCUUUGAUCUCAAAACAAAUGUACUUAUAUAUGUCUUUCGAAUAAAUGCAACUCUUCAAAAGAUUGCAAAAGAACAAAGACAACCUUUCGGGAAAGGUUGUAAAAUGAACAAGUAUGUCUCAAAGGUUACGUUGAAAAGACAUAAGAAAUUCGGAAUUAAAUAAAUAAAAAAUAAUUGUAACUUUUCGUGAACAGUCGCACUGUUUCAACAAGACUUUAUAAUUAAUUUUUUAUAGAAAUAAAUCCGAAUUUUCAAUAAAUAAAAAUAAUGAUCGUUGGUUAGUGCCAAAUCUCGUCCACGUGCGCACUCACAUCUUUUCGAUGUGGGACAGACACCUCUUCAUUUGUUUUAUAAACAAAUUACCAACAAUCCCCCACUUUUGUUUAUAAAACAAAAAACAAAAAUAAAACGUUAAAAAUAUACAGCCAAAAUUUCUGUGAGAUUAAUAUACAUACAUAAAGGUCUCUUUCGAGUUAAACAUUUACUUAGUGCAAGUAUCUCAAAGCUCCAUCAAAGUGACAAGUAGCUCAGCUUUAAACUUAUACUUUUAUAUAAUAGAACCGGACAUACCGCACAUAUACUAACCUCUUGUUUCAGCGAGAAGUUCUAUAUUACUCCGCACUAUUAUGGCCUUGUGCUUGAUCCUGUUUCAUGAGCUCUCUAGAAAGUAACCCUAACUUUCGUAAGAAGCGGCACCACUUCUAAGCUCAUAUAGGUGAAGUAUCUACCAUAUGUUUCUGUUACUAUCAACACAUUACAAAUUUGUAUCAUACUUCAUUAAGAAUUCAAUUCAGCCUACAAAACGUAACAGACGAUACUGACUUCUCAUAUCAGGGCUACGUCAGUAUCAAACAAUCACAUUCAAUAACUUGUUAUUACCCAUUAAACCUUGUAACUAGUGAUGUUCUAGAAAAAGGUCGGGUUACCAUUAUUGGUGAUUUCAAUUAAAGGGUUUCAGCCCCAUUUCUUGUGAGGUCAUUAUUACCAUGUCUCUCAGUAAAGACUUCGUCAAAGCAUCGGCAAGAUUAUUACUUAACCUCACAUAGACAAUUGUUAUGGUACCAUCUUUAAUCAAUUGUCUCACAUAUUCAUGUCUUAAACUAGUAUGUCUAGACUUAUUAUUAUAGGUGCUACUAUAUGCUCUUACCAAAGUAGCCUAACUAUCAUAGUUGAUAGAGAAAUAAGAGGCAUAGGACUAGGCCAUAAUUUGAUAUCUAACAAUAAAUUCCUAAUCCAUCAAUAUCUUUCCCACUUGCUACUAAGCAAUGAUUCAAGUUUCAUAGUUGAGUGAAUUAUGCAAAUUUGUUUCUUGCUCGCCCAAGAAACAACACAUUCACGUAAUGUGAAAAUCCAUCCAGAAGUUUCAUCUCCCAUACUUGUAAUCCAACUAGUAUUGGUGUAUCUUUAUAAUACAACCGAAUAAUUAUUAUAGAACAAUCACAAAAUUUAGGUUCUCUUAAAAUAACCAAAGAAUUCUAAUAAUAGCCUUUCAAUGUUCUAUAUUUGGAUUACUAGUAUAUCUACUCAACUUGCAUAUAUAAAAAGUAAUAUCAGGUCUAGUAUAAUGCAUCGCAUACAUUAAAGACCAAUAUCACUCACAUUAAAAACUCUCCACGAGGAAUCAAAUGGAGUACUCAUAUAUUUGAAAACAAGAUGUUUAAAUCUAUACAACAUCUUCUCCAUGUAAUCACUUUAGCUCAAAGAAUAACCCCCACUAUUUUUUAAUUUUAAUAAUUAAGAUAGUAUCUGUUGAAAAUGAAAGUUAGAUACUUCUUAAUCUCAAUGAUUCCAGUCAUAUUAGUUCCAAAGUCCCUUCAGACAUAACCCCACUUCAAGAAUAUUCCAAGAGGUAAUUAAUCGAAAUUAUGCAUCAUCAAAUUUUCAUCCUCGAUGAAAUACAUACAUCAAAAUAGUAAAUCAAUACAAUUCUACUCUCUUGGCUCAUUUAUGCUAUUCCAUAGAAUCAAAUCUAUGAGGGGUAAGGACAGCAAAUAAAACACAUUAGAACCAAACAAGGAACACCUGAAAACCCAUUUGGUAUCUCCAGAUUGCCUCCAUAAAUAGAGCACUACAUAUCAGCCCAUGCAUGUAACAACAUUCUCUAACAAUUCAGUAAACGCGAAUGAGUAAUCAAGCCGAUUCCAAUUAAUCUUGUGCUUGAAUGCAUGGCUCAAAAUUACUAAAGCAUGAAACAAAUCAAGACCAAAAGUCUAGCUCAAUCACACAAUACCAAAAUUCUACAGACACCUUCCAGUUCCAGUUCAAAAUUUACACACUCGUGUCAAUCUCGUAAUGCAUUGCGAUUGAACUCACCUUUCUUGGUCAACCGCCUACAACAAUCAACAGCCCAAGCAUACACAUGCGUACCAUUUUCUUGUUACUGAAGUCUUAAACAGGGGCAUAUUCACAUCUCUUCAAUUCUAUCAUUAUCCCACAUAUGGAAUUGAACACAUGCCAAAAGAUGACUAAAGACUAAGAGCAAGUACGAAACCAUCAAUGACAAAUAGUGUAGCAGUUUACGUGCUAAACAUGGAGAUAAAAUUAUCACAUAUCUUAGCAUAUAAGCCAAUAAGCAUAAAGCAAUACCUCAGUACAUUCUCAGGUAAUCAUCCAAAACAUCCAUGAAUGACCCAACUCAAUUUCAAAACCAUAAAAAGUCAAGUAUUACCAACCACAGCAUCCACAGGGUCAUGCAAAAGUUCGUUUCAUUUUACAUCAAGAAUCAUGUAGAGGAACAACAUACCUGUGAUAAGCGUCCCGCCAAAAGCAAGGGACAUGAACCCGAGCAUAUCAAACAAUAUGGUUAUACUGCCUUUCCAAGGCCUUAGUGUCCUUUGAAAUCAAUAGUGUAAAAACAUUUUGAAAUGGUUAGCAAAAUAGAAUCAGAUGUCCAGUUGACCAAAGUUAUGCAUUCAUGUGCUGGAAGCUCAGAGCGGCCUCACGAGGAGACAUGGGGCACCCUCCAUGCAGACGGCGCGCCACGCCAUCUAUCUCCUUCUCCUUCCAAUGCUUGACAUCAUACCUCAUAAUCCAAACAAAUCAAAAAUAGAUUCCCUCAAUUCAAUGAAAUUUGAGCAAAAAGAAUCAAAGUCCCCUUCGCUUAAUCAAGCCAAAGACUCAAAUGGUGCCUCCGGUCCAUCUGCUAAACAGUAUCUUUCCCCCGGAAAGUGUACACGUCACAUGGCAAUUUUGCUAGACACGCACCGCCGACAAAUUUUCGUGUCUACCUCAUCGGCCUAUGCUGAUGCGUGUACAUCAUCAUUUAGGACUUGGAUCCAGCAGCAUCAUCUCACCCAUAACCACCAUUAGUAACCACGGGGCAUAAAACAUAAGACAAAGAAAAUGAUGAAUUAGAAAACGCAUUUGAUCAUUGAAAUGACUGAGAAAAUAACUAACAUGACUUAAUUCAAGUCAAAAACAAAACCAACUAGCAUUAGAGAUAUCGUGACAAAAAGUAUUAGCAAAUGGAAAACAUCAUCAGCGCAUGAUCAAACACAAAACUUGGCGAUAGUGUUCGACCACACUUGAACUACUUACACAGAAUAAUCAUCAAGAAAAGUUUCUUUUCUAUUGGAAGAAUGAUCGAACGCACCGUGAGUAUGAAUGAUUUCUAUAAUCACAAGAGAACAAUUGCAAUUGUAUGGAAGUAGAGGCGCUGACCAAUUUGCGAGCAGCCUUUGCAAGAAAUAGUUCCAAUCCUCUGGUCAUUGAUAGAAGCAAUCUUCUGCGCCGUCAUUGCUCACCCAGGAGGAACCCGCAUGGGAUGAACCGGCACCUUUGUUCCCGUUACCAUGUUUGUCCCUUAAACAUGUGCCAAACGGCGGGAUCAUCAAAUGGGUUCGGGUUCCGAAUCCCGUUGUCAGACCAAGGAGUGUUGUCAUUGGACUUCUCAAUGAAUUCCGGAUCGAGGAGCAACAGAUCAUCCUCGAGACUAUGGUUGAGGUUUAGGAGGAGAUACUCAAGAUAGUCAUCGCCCUUCAUGAUCCUUGUCUUCUCGUUCAAACAACGGAACUUCGGAUCUUUCCAUCUCCGCAUCUGCGUACGCUUGAUAUAAAAACGAUGGCUUUUACGUGCUCCGCCAGAGAAAGGCGAUUCGCAGAUUUUUCCUUGCCGGUCUGCGAUCGCAGCAUCGACAUCGAGCAGUGCCUCAUAUUACUCUGGACCGAAGGAUCGCUGAAUCUCCUCCCGAACAACCAAUUUGCAUCAGAGACGGAGUUGGUGGGAUUCAUGGCGACCUGGUUCUUGGCGGCGUCGCCAAUCAAUUUAUCUCAUUUUUCGGCCAUCGAUUCCUUUGUAUGCACAUGCACACCCUUCGGACAUCUUUCUCGGACGAUCACCAUGGACGGAUGUGGGAAUACUCCAAGAUACAGAGAGACAAAGAAUGACAAAAAAAAAUGUGCUCAGAUUUUCGAUCUUAACGACAAAGAAACGUAGGCAAAAUUAAGUCUACGCAAUAAUGAGAUUAUUAAACCACAUCCCCUUCUCAGAUUUACACAAAAUCGCAAAUUACUUGGCAGGGAUGUCUAAAGGGUAUUUUGACAAACUUGUUUAGUGCGCUUCAUCCACUUGACUCCAUUGUUGCGAAAUAAAUCCUUAAAAUUGUUGAGAAAAUAUGGCUUCGAAUUGGGUAGAACAAUGAAGUUGGAUCUUUAGAGUACUCAAGUCAGACUUUGAGACGUGAUAUCACUUUCUUUAAGGAUUUAUUUGCCCCACUACGUUGCUAAUGGUCACCGGAAAAUUUCCUCCAGGAUACAACAAAGUCUCAAACGAAAAUACUAGAUAGCAAUUCUAGUAUUUCUCCAGGGUCUCUCAUGGGAAAACAAUUUAGAAACAAUGGCUGUAGUUUCUUUUUGAAAGAAGACGAAAAAUGGAAGAAGAUAUAUUUCUUUGAUCUCAAAACAAAUGUACUUAUAUAUGUCUUUCGAAUAAAUGCAACUCUUCAAAAGAUUGCAAAAGAACAAAGACAACCUUUCGGGAAAGGUUGUAAAAUGAACAAGUAUGUCUCAAAGGUUACGUUGAAAAGACAUAAGAAAUUCGGAAUUAAAUAAAUAAAAAAUAAUUGUAACUUUUCGUGAACAGUCGCACUGUUUUAACAAGACUUUAUAAUUAAUUUUUUAUAGAAAUAAAUCCGAAUUUUCAAUAAAUAAAAAUAAUGAUCGUUGGUUAGUGCCAAAUCUCAUCCACGUGCGCACUCACAUCUUUUCGAUGUGGGACAGACACCUCUUCAUUUGUUUUAUAAACAAAUUACCAACAGCCUCUUGGUACCAAUGUCCCACUUUUACUUAUAAAUUGUUAAUACUGUCCUGCCUGCUGAUGACAAAAUGACUAGUCCUGUUGGGAAUAUUCUUAGAAAGUUCCACUGCGGACCGAAGCCGCUUACGCCUCGAGCUUCUAUAGUGUGUUGAACCGCAUGAACACGAGCAGGUAGGAGCAUGAGAAUGAGCCUUCUGUGAUCUGAUCUGCAUUCCAAUUACCCUUCCUCAUGUACCACGCACAGAAGAUUAUUAUUUCUCAUCACGAGCCUAUAUUGUCAUCGCACUUUAAACGAGUGGAAAAGCUGAAACUGUGAAAUGAAUGGAGAAGCUGGAAGUGUAAUCUGAGACUGCCUUGAUUUGAUUUGUGUGUAGCGGGUUCAACCUCAACGAUUUUGCAUAAUCAAUAGCGGAGUGGAACUAGCUCGGACAUUUUCUUCUAGCAUUUCGACAUAAAUUGGAAUUAGUUCCAUUUAAAAAUUGGUAAGAUAUUGGGGUUUUCCCCUUUUCGAGGAGAGGUUCUUGAUUAGAGAGUUUGAAGGGAAUUAGAGCUUGUUUGUUAUAGUUGUAAUUGAAAUGUAAGUUCACUGUAUUGUGAAGUGUUGCAAUUUUGUUGUUUAAUAAAAUGUACUUUAUACCGGUAACAUCCAAUUGAAUAAGACGACUUUCAAAAAACUGUCGUAACUUUAGAGGUGAUAUGACUGUAAAUCAUUUGCCAAGUACAUUAUAAAAGCUGCAAUACACAUCUUCAUAGCUAAAUAUGUUGCAGGGAAGUGAUACCAAACAGCAUCUUGAACUGGGGACUUAAAUUAUCGUUCCUGGAUACCAGCACCAUCAUGCCUUCUUAAACUUAUCUAUUAUUAAGUCUAAAAUUGCUGGAACUCACUUAUUUUAAACCUCAUUUCUCCUCUUUUGCAGUGUCAUGAGGAGUGGGGAGGAAAUACUUGCUUACAUCCAUAUUUAGUGAACCACAUUUAUUAUAGCUAUUGAUCAUGUAGAUCUUAUGUGAGCUCUGUAUAUGAGGCUUCAUGAUUCGAUUAAUUAAUUUAAAUUUUAUCUCUUUCCUACAAUGCUAGGUUCUUAGAAACUUUCGCUCUGGAUAAAAAGUUAAGGAUUUUGCCACAUUUUAGUGAAAGAAAAAAUUCUCCUUUAUGCUCGACAAGUAAUUAAGUAACUGAACUUUCUUUUUAUAUAAUGAAGUAUUACUUUCUUGAUGUUCAACGUGGUAUUUCUACUAUUAUUACUAGGUCAUGUGUUUUUUUACCCGACAUGGCUUCGUUAUUUAACAUAGUUGCUGACAUGGUAGCACACUAAACAAAAAUUAUGCAAACUCAAUUUAAAGCAAAGGAAAAUAUUCCUUUUCUUUUUCCAUUUCCAAUCCUCUCUCUUUUCUCCACCAUCAGAGAUCAACACUACACCCCAAGUUUCACCAGAUCCACCAAAAUCACCUCCACCAUCUCCUCCUCAGAAAAAACAAGCCCUCUCCCCAUUUUACAAGCCAAUCCUAAAAUGGGCUAAGAAGCAUUCUUACCCACUUGAGGUUCCAACAGCAACACCACCCACUUCUUCCAUUGCUAAGUUCCAUGAUACAUAUUUUCCUCCUCUUGUCAAAGAAAGCUCAAAACUUUCGUUUCCUGCUCCAGAGGAAUUCAUUGAUCCACAAAAGAGAUAUCGUCAUGUUCCAAAGAUAGCAACCCCCACUGAUGUGGAUGAACAUGGUAGACAGAGAAAGACUUCUGCUGCUGAAGCUGUUCUAAAUUGGCAAUCAGAGACUCUGUUGACACAAAACAAUGCCUUCAAGGCAAUUGAUUCCAAGAUUGGAAAUGUGCAACCAGAUCUCCGAAGGUAUGAUGAAACCACCAAAAAGAUACUUUCUGAGUUCCAGAAAAGGCUUCAUGCCUUGGAAUCAGGACAACAUCUUGGGUAUCAUUAUCUUGAAAGCCCAAAGCCGGAGAUAGAAAAGCUCAAGAGGCAAAUCCAACUCCUCAAAGAAGGAAGGUUUAGACCUUUCGAUCCACUGGCACCUUUUGUCAGAACUGGGUAUUUACCUCCACCACCACAGACGUCUAUUUUUGCUGCCAUUCCAAAAGAUCCCUUCAAAAAAGAACCAGAUAUGGCAGAAAUACGAAAUCGCCUCAAAAACCUGCAGAAGGACAAAGGGAAAGAAAAAAUGCCGCCUACAGAAUCAAGUUCGAUUGUUAUAAGAGAAAGGGCAGAUCAGAUGAUAUUAUCCAAUCCAUUAGAAUCUUUUCUAAAGGACUUGGGUACUCAGGAACCUGGUCAUGCUAUUCAACAGCCUAAUCCUGUCAUACCAGAAAAAUAGAUUAUGUUCCCAGUCGAGCAAACUUCUCCUGAUACUGAAUCAAAUUCAGUAUCUCUUUCCUCCUCCUCAUCCUUCUCAAUUCCUAUAGUUGAUUCUCUCCCUAUUGCACCAGUAACUUCAUCAAUAUUCAUGGCUGAUCCUCCAGAUGAUGAGAUGGAAUCAAACUAUUCUGAGCCAGAAAAUGGUCAGACAAGCAAUUCUGCACAGCAUGUAUCCAUAGCAUCAAAACAGUUUUGCACCAUUGAUGAUAUUCCCUAUCACAAAUGGCCAGAAAGACUUGAAGAAUUUCAUACUUGGUUGAAUACUCAGUCCAUCACCAACCAUGAUAUGAAUGAUGUCCUUUACAAUUUUGUCACAAGGUUCACAGGCAAUCUCAAACUCUGGUGGAAAUUAAUUUCAGAACAAGACCAGAUCCAUUUCCUAAUGUCACCCAAUUUCGGCCAUGCCAUCACUCUCUUAUAUCAUGUCUUUGUGGGAAAACCCACUGAUCUCAUAGAGAUAAAAAGAAGAGAAUUUUUCGAUAGAAAAUGCUGCUCCCUCCAGAAGAAGCAUCUUGAUAAGCAUUAUCAAUUGAUGCUUCAGCUUUUUUAUCAGGUUGGCGCAGAUCCCAAUCUGAAGCAUGUUUUCCUUACUUCCAUCCCUAAAGAACUAUCCCAGAUGGUUGAAAGAUCUUUCUUCGGAAAACAAAGGAGAAUACAAGAUAUUCCCUUGGGAGAAAUCCAGCAAGAAGUCCAUCUAUGCCUCGAAGAAUUAUGCUUAAAACGCCAGAUGCUCCGUACCUACAUCACAGAUGACAAGCGCCUUGAAUCAGCUUGUUCUCUCCAGAAGUUAAAAAUCAAAUGCUCUAAGCAAGACUGUGAUGGUACUUGUGACAAGUAUUCCAGGAAAAAGAAACAUUACAAGAAGUUCUAGGUAAAGAAAUCUAGACAUGGCUCCAAGCAUCUCUGAAAAAAGAAAAAAUGGCGAUACCUACGCAAAAGGAAAGAUCGCACAGGCCACAAGAAGUCAAAUCAAUGCUUCAUAUGCAAUCAGAAAGGACAUUUUGCAAAAAAUUGUCCUCAAGCAAGAAAAGGUCAAAAUCGUCUAAUUCAUCACAUUGAGAAUGAAACAGGUAUUUCUCUUGAAAAUGAUGACAUUGAAUCUUUAUUUUCUGCUGAUGAAGAACCAUCUGAACAAACUCUUUGUGUCAUCCCCUUUUACCAAACUCUCAGUGAGACUGAGUCAGAUUCAGAAUCUGAAGACAUUUUUCACAUAUCCCCCACAUUUCCGGAACUAAGCCUUGACAUAUUUUCAAGUCAAACUCAUUGUCCCCAUUUUCCAGUGAAAAUCCUCACCUCAAAGUUUGCCAAACCAAUCACUGUUAUUGCUCUCAUUGAUACUGAAGCAAGUUGUUCCAUUCUAGAUACUAAAGUCUUGCCUGAAGAAUAUUGGACUCCCUAUGUCAGAUAUUUCAACUCUGCUUCCGGAGAUACUUUCUCCACAACUGUCAGGACUACUCCAGUAACUGUCCAGUUCUUUCCUCAGUGUUCCAUAACCACAAAGAUCUUUGAAUCAAGUCUUCCCAAUAAAGAUAUGAUAAUUGGGUGGAAUAUCAUGACUCAAAUCUCUCAACUUCGCAUCAUCCCUGGAAAAGGUCUUAGAUAUAAAGAUCAAUUCUCUGAGUUCGUCAAUAUUCAGAGACUCUUUUCCAUCCAGAUGAGUCUAUUAGAUCCAAUCAUGCAAAAGUUAUUAGAAUCUUGUUCAGAAUCCCAUUCAGAAUUUGCCCAAAAAUGUUCCCAUCCUUUAUGGAAAAAUCCAGAGUUCUUUGUUCGCCUUCCUUUUAAGAAAAAUGAAUAUAUAAAUCCAACCAAGGCGAGUCACAUGGGAAUGAAGCCAGAACAUCUGGCUUUAGCUCAAAAUGAAUGCUCAGAAUUAUUGCAACAAGGCCUUAUCGAAAUCUCUGAUUCUCAAUGGGCCUGCGAAGCCUUUUAUGUCAAUAAAUGCGCUGAGCAAAACAGAGGGAAAAUGAGACUGGUAAUCAACUACCAACCUCUCAACCUUUUUCUCCAAGAUGAUAAGUUUCCUUUACCAUCCAGAGACUCUCUCUUUGCUGGUCUAACCAAGGCCCAUAUCUAUUCCAAAUUUGAUCUCAAAGCCGGAUUUUGGCAAUUGGGCAUCCACCUUGAAGACAGAUCCAAAACAGGUUUCUGUAUCCCGAACCAGCACUUCUAGUUGAAAGUUCUCCCUUUUGGCUUAAAUGUAGCACCAUCCCUUUUCCAGAAGGCCAUGUGUCGUAUUUUCCAACCAAUCUUGUCAAGUGCAGCUGUAUACAUUGACGACAUUCUGCUCUAUAGUCUGACGAGCAGUCACACUGUCAACUCCUUGAGCAAUUCGCAAAAAUCGUGAAAAAGCAUGGCAUUAUGCUUUCUCAAAGAAAAAUGAAUAUUGCCCAAACAGAGAUUGAAUUCCUUGGUAUGCACCUCAACAAAGGUACAUACUACCCAGGGCCACAUAUUGCUCAAGAAUUAUUGAAGUUUCCUGAAGAUAACUUCACUACAAAGCAAGUUCAGCAAUUUCUUGGGAUAAUUAAUUAUCUCCGGAAUUUUGUCCCAAAUAUUGCAAAGCUCCUGAUUCCUUUGCAAUCCAUGCUGAAGAAGAAUCCCCCACCUUGGGGAAAACUCUAGACUAAAGCAGUCACUGAGCUUAAGGAGAUUAUGUAGAAUCUCCCACCAUUGCAAAUACCAUCAAUAGGAAGAAUAAUUCUUCAAACUGACGUCAGUGAUGAAUACUGGGCAGCCGUCCUAUUCGAAGAAAUUGAUGGUAAGAGACACCUCUGUGCUCACAAAAGUGGAAAGUAUUCUCAAGCUGAAAUGCAUUACCACUCCACUUUUAAAGAAAUCUUGGCAAUAAAAAAUGGAAUAAAAAAGUUCGAGUUUCAUCUCAUUGGCCAUCACUUUCUGGUAGAAUUAGACAUGGCAUCUUUCCCUCAUAUGACCAAGUUUAAACAAAACAGAUCCCAAUUCUUACUGCUUCGAUGGGCUGAAUGUUUCAAAAUACUCUUUUGAACCAACAUAUCUAGAGAAGAAUGUGCUUGCUGACUUCUUGUCAAGACUAAAGGCACAGCGAAAUCAACAUGUACAUCAAGAGGCUGCCUUCCACAUGCUCAAUCAUGGUGUAAAAUACAAGAUUGAGAAGAUCAAAGAUUUGUCAAGCUGGAAAUAUCCCCAGGAGAUUAUUCAACACAUCCAGAAUGACAAUUUUACUGAAAACCUGGAAAAUCUCAUGUAGCAAUGUCACACAGAUCUGUUCAGAUUCAAUGGAGGUUCGAUUCUUUAUCCUUUUGGGUUAAAUUUGAAUUAUCCAUUCAUUCAUCCCCUUAUCUGGAAGGAAGAUGAUUUCCCUGAUCAACUCAAGACGUUAUUAUGGUACUUAACCAAUAAGUACUUAAUAGCUAUUGAAAUUUCAACCAGGAGAUUCAUUGCCAACCUCACCAGGAUAUUUUUACUCGGAAGAAAUGUUGAAAAGGAAAGUGAUAAGAAUCUCUUAGACUUUCUUAAUUGGUUUUAUCAUCCUACUCACUGGAAACAUAUCUUAGAAAAAGAACUGAGAACCACGACUCCAAAUCCUGAAGUCCAUACCAUCUUGUUUUUUUUGCGACGUCCAUGGAAUUUUUUCACAAAUAAUGGUAACUGUGCAAGUUGAACUGUUAGAAUAGUAGUGCUGUGAUGCAUGGUCUAUACUGAAUUAUAUGGGGAUAUUUGGUGUAAUGUUCUCCAUGAAAUAUCUACCUUUAUGUCUUGACUAUCACACGUUCGAAUUUCAUAAUUUUUGAAGGUCAUUUGGGUAAUUAGUUAAAAUGUUUUCUAAAACUGUGCAAGCUGGAUUGUGCGAAUUUCAAAGGCUGUAAUGCAUGGACUAUUCUGUUUUGUAUGAAAUUCUGGUGGUGUUGUGUUUUUCAUGGGAUAAAUGCCUCUAGAGCUUGUUUAUGAUGAUCAUCGAUGCCCCACAGGAAAUAGGAACCACAUCUUACAAACCCCAUCUGAAUAGCAGAGAAGCCCGGAUUCACAAAUCUUAUCCAAGAUCUGUUAGAUUUUGUGAACACUAGUACCGAGAACUCCAGAGAAUCUUGUGCCAGGAAAACAAAACUAUUCCUGAAAAUGUUUGGAAUAAUGUACCCACUACGUGAGAUCAUUAUGACCUAGCACCAGAAGCUAAGGAAGCACUUAGGCAAUACAAACAAGCCGCAUCGUCUCAAGAUCAUGAAAUGACAGGAAUAAAUGAUAUUGUCCAAUCCAUCCAAGACCCCUAUGCACGCUUUGGAGGUCCUCUGUCCCAAGAUCCCUACGAACAAGGACCUUCGUCCUUAUUCCAAAGCAUAGACACAUCUUUUUAUGCACAGCCAUCCAACUGGCCUCAGCCAAACAUCCCUGCUGACACUCAAGAAGAUGACAACACAAACUGGGCUGAAGAGGAAGCAUCCCAUUGGGCUCAUGAAGAAGCAUCCUCAUCACGAAGGCUGAGCCAAAUCCUUUCACCUGAAGACCUUGAAGCCCUUGAACAAAAAUACGAGGCACAUCUCCUAGAAGAUAGCUCAGAUGACUCAGUCUGCAGCUACAAUGCUCGUGACAGACGAGAUCGCUGAGUCCGUACAAUUUCACUGUAGAUCAACUGUUCACUUUUACUAUAGCACUAGGCUAGGGAAGGUACUAUUCACAGUACAGUUACUGUUCAUAGUGUGCGAAUAAUUCCCUCCCGGAAGUUUCCGGUGCCUCUGUUUGUAUCCAGACCCAUGAGUUUGGUCCUUGUUUGUGUCUUUGUGACCUCUUAUCGUCUAUAAAAGGCGAGGAUGGUGUAAUGUGUUGGGAAGAGUCCCCUGAAGUAAAGUGUGUGCUUUGAAAAAUCUCUCAUGGCUUUCUAAAUCCCUCUUCUUCUCCAGCCUAGUAGGAUCCUCCAAGAAAUGCAGCUUGGGUAGGUUAGAAACGUUUCCAUCCUGGCAUCUCUGGGUGUCUCUAGACUCUGAACUAAAGGGUUAAGUGGUUUUCUGCUAAAAGGUUGUCCCUAAAGGGCUUGAACGGGAGUUGUUUGCGAAGGCAUACCUGCAGGAAAUUUUCUUGCACCACGAUGGCGAUGCCUAGUACCUUUGCAGAUUGCUACCGUCCCAUGNNNNNNNNNNNNNNNNNNNNNNNNNNNNNNNNNNNNNNNNNNNNNNNNNNNNNNNNNNNNNNNNNNNNNNNNNNNNNNNNNNNNNNNNNNNNNNNNNNNNNNNNNNNNNNNNNNNNNNNNNNNNNNNNNNNNNNNNNNNNNNNNNNNNNNNNNNNNNNNNNNNNNNNNNNNNNNNNNNNNNNNNNNNNNNNNNNNNNNNNNNNNNNNNNNNNNNNNNNNNNNNNNNNNNNNNNNNNNNNNNNNNNNNNNNNNNNNNNNNNNNNNNNNNNNNNNNNNNNNNNNNNNNNNNNNNNNNNNNNNNNNNNNNNNNNNNNNNNNNNNNNNNNNNNNNNNNNNNNNNNNNNNNNNNNNNNNNNNNNNNNNNNNNNNNNNNNNNNNNNNNNNNNNNNNNNNNNNNNNNNNNNNNNNNNNNNNNNNNNNNNNNNNNNNNNNNNNNNNNNNNNNNNNNNNNNNNNNNNNNNNNNNNNNNNNNNNNNNNNNNNNNNNNNNNNNNNNNNNNNNNNNNNNNNNNNNNNNNNNNNNNNNNNNNNNNNNNNNNNNNNNNNNNNNNNNNNNNNNNNNNNNNNNNNNNNNNNNNNNNNNNNNNNNNNNNNNNNNNNNNNNNNNNNNNNNNNNNNNNNNNNNNNNNNNNNNNNNNNNNNNNNNNNNNNNNNNNNNNNNNNNNNNNNNNNNNNNNNNNNNNNNNNNNNNNNNNNNNNNNNNNNNNNNNNNNNNNNNNNNNNNNNNNNNNNNNNNNNNNNNNNNNNNNNNNNNNNNNNNNNNNNNNNNNNNNNNNNNNNNNNNNNNNNNNNNNNNNNNNNNNNNNNNNNNNNNNNNNNNNNNNNNNNNNNNNNNNNNNNNNNNNNNNNNNNNNNNNNNNNNNNNNNNNNNNNNNNNNNNNNNNNNNNNNNNNNNNNNNNNNNNNNNNNNNNNNNNNNNNNNNNNNNNNNNNNNNNNNNNNNNNNNNNNNNNNNNNNNNNNNNNNNNNNNNNNNNNNNNNNNNNNNNNNNNNNNNNNNNNNNNNNNNNNNNNNNNNNNNNNNNNNNNNNNNNNNNNNNNNNNNNNNNNNNNNNNNNNNNNNNNNNNNNNNNNNNNNNNNNNNNNNNNNNNNNNNNNNNNNNNNNNNNNNNNNNNNNNNNNNNNNNNNNNNNNNNNNNNNNNNNNNNNNNNNNNNNNNNNNNNNNNNNNNNNNNNNNNNNNNNNNNNNNNNNNNNNNNNNNNNNNNNNNNNNNNNNNNNNNNNNNNNNNNNNNNNNNNNNNNNNNNNNNNNNNNNNNNNNNNNNNNNNNNNNNNNNNNNNNNNNNNNNNNNNNNNNNNNNNNNNNNNNNNNNNNNNNNNNNNNNNNNNNNNNNNNNNNNNNNNNNNNNNNNNNNNNNNNNNNNNNNNNNNNNNNNNNNNNNNNNNNNNNNNNNNNNNNNNNNNNNNNNNNNNNNNNNNNNNNNNNNNNNNNNNNNNNNNNNNNNNNNNNNNNNNNNNNNNNNNNNNNNNNNNNNNNNNNNNNNNNNNNNNNNNNNNNNNNNNNNNNNNNNNNNNNNNNNNNNNNNNNNNNNNNNNNNNNNNNNNNNNNNNNNNNNNNNNNNNNNNNNNNNNNNNNNNNNNNNNNNNNNNNNNNNNNNNNNNNNNNNNNNNNNNNNNNNNNNNNNNNNNNNNNNNNNNNNNNNNNNNNNNNNNNNNNNNNNNNNNNNNNNNNNNNNNNNNNNNNNNNNNNNNNNNNNNNNNNNNNNNNNNNNNNNNNNNNNNNNNNNNNNNNNNNNNNNNNNNNNNNNNNNNNNNNNNNNNNNNNNNNNNNNNNNNNNNNNNNNNNNNNNNNNNNNNNNNNNNNNNNNNNNNUCGGGCUCACCCAGAUCCGGCGAGGCCGAGCUCACCUAGCCACGGCGAGGCUCGGCCUCGCUGGAUCUGGACGAGAGCUCGCCCAGCUAAGGCGAGGUCGCCGGUAACGGCUGAGGCUGGUGACUGGCCCAAAAGAAGAAAAAAGGAAAAUAAAAUAAAAAUAUUAAAAAAUUAAAAGAAACAAAAAAAAGAACACAAAUUUACCAAAUGUGUUUCUGUUCUUUUUUUAUUCCCGGAACAAGUUUACCAAACGUGUUUUUCUAGUAAAAAAUCAUUCCCCAGAACAAAAAAAAAAAACAGAAAUACAAACAAACGCACCCUAAGUUGCUUAACUUGUCAUAUGUCAGUUUCUUAUGAACAGGUUUUAAAAAUUAUUGACAUCUAUUUAUACUUCAAAAAUUAUUGAUCAAAUUAAUAAUCAACCAACAUUAUUUUGAUGGAUUAUUAAUGCAUUAAGUUACUUACUUGUAUUUGAAAUUAUGAACCUUAAUUUGACCGAAUUACCUAAAUUAGUACAUCAAUAACCGUAUGGUCCCAAAAUAAGUUGAUCCGUUUGGGCAUGUCUAAGUAUAAGAUUUUUCACAUUAUUUAGAAGCAUGCACUUGGGCGAAGGGAAUAACACUUUUUGCAUGUAGAUGUGAUUGUGCUCGUUUGGUCCUUGAAGCAAUAUAUUCCAUGCUUUCAAAUUUUCAACAAAAUUGUAUCACAUUCUUAAGGCAUACCUUGACAGAUCUCAUCCCAUAUACCAAAAAAAAAAGAAAAAGAUUAUGAAAUAUGAAAUCAUGAAUUAAUAAGCUGAGAUCUCAAUUAAUUUUAUUAUAUCCUACAUGAGAUACACAUGAUCUAACGGUCGUGAUGCAUUGAGCUUACUUGAAGCCAAUGCCUUCAAUAAUUUAUUGAACUCGCUCUAAUUAAAUAAAUUGAAUAACCACAGGUUUCUACUUCAUUACCAAAUAAACACGGAAGCCCUAGCCAUAAAAGAAUGCCUUCUCUUCUUGCAGAGGAAGAGAAUCUAGCACGUGAGAGCAAGGAUUGUGUGUCAUCUGCCCUGCACGUGGAGAGGGAUCUCUCCUUUGUGAUAUUUAGUGACUGCCUUAAAAUUGUGAGUGCAUCAUGGGCCGAGAAGAAAGCUCAUGGAAAAUUGUCUAUUGCCUUGCAAGGCUAAUCAAGUUAUGGAUUUGAUCGUCAGGGCCACUGAAACAGGGCUCUCCCCACCAAUCGGUUGUCUUUGCCUCCAUCGACCACUUUGGAAUAUCGCAUAGAAUUUCCUUGACUUGCUCUAGUAGAGCCUUUAUGAUUGAAGGAAUGAAUGUACUUUUCCGACUGAAAAAAAAAAAAAAUCAAAAAUCAAAAGACAAAACAACCAGCGAUUGUUCAUGAGACAACCACUUUAUCGGAAAAGUGAAUAAUAGUUCCCUACUUGACUACACAAGUGUUUACGAGUGCAAAUAAUUUUAAUCACUUAUUUAAUUUUUGGAGUGGUGCAUCGUGAUUUCGACGACUAAAGUGAUGAUUACUUCAGAAAUCAAUAAAUGAUUAGUCUUUUGUGCGAAUUGAAAAAAAAUAGUCCGUUCUAGUUGGAAGAAAACGCAAAUGUAGAAUAUCUCGGACCGGAAAGCAAGUCAAAGAAGUCUCAAUACGAUGGGCUUUGCACAUAUAGACCGNNNNNNNNNNNNNNNNNNNNNNNNNNNNNNNNNNNNNNNNNNNNNNNNNNNNNNNNNNNNNNNNNNNNNNNNNNNNNNNNNNNNNNNNNNNNNNNNNNNNNNNNNNNNNNNNNNNNNNNNNNNNNNNNNNNNNNNNNNNNNNNNNNNNNNNNNNNNNNNNNNNNNNNNNNNNNNNNNNNNNNNNNNNNNNNNNNNNNNNNNNNNNNNNNNNNNNNNNNNNNNNNNNNNNNNNNNNNNNNNNNNNNNNNNNNNNNNNNNNNNNNNNNNNNNNNNNNNNNNNNNNNNNNNNNNNNNNNNNNNNNNNNNNNNNNNNNNNNNNNNNNNNNNNNNNNNNNNNNNNNNNNNNNNNNNNNNNNNNNNNNNNNNNNNNNNNNNNNNNNNNNNNNNNNNNNNNNNNNNNNNNNNNNNNNNNNNNNNNNNNNNNNNNNNNNNNNNNNNNNNNNNNNNNNNNNNNNNNNNNNNNNNNNNNNNNNNNNNNNNNNNNNNNNNNNNNNNNNNNNNNNNNNNNNNNNNNNNNNNNNNNNNNNNNNNNNNNNNNNNNNNNNNNNNNNNNNNNNNNNNNNNNNNNNNNNNNNNNNNNNNNNNNNNNNNNNNNNNNNNNNNNNNNNNNNNNNNNNNNNNNNNNNNNNNNNNNNNNNNNNNNNNNNNNNNNNNNNNNNNNNNNNNNNNNNNNNNNNNNNNNNNNNNNNNNNNNNNNNNNNNNNNNNNNNNNNNNNNNNNNNNNNNNNNNNNNNNNNNNNNNNNNNNNNNNNNNNNNNNNNNNNNNNNNNNNNNNNNNNNNNNNNNNNNNNNNNNNNNNNNNNNNNNNNNNNNNNNNNNNNNNNNNNNNNNNNNNNNNNNNNNNNNNNNNNNNNNNNNNNNNNNNNNNNNNNNNNNNNNNNNNNNNNNNNNNNNNNNNNNNNNNNNNNNNNNNNNNNNNNNNNNNNNNNNNNNNNNNNNNNNNNNNNNNNNNNNNNNNNNNNNNNNNNNNNNNNNNNNNNNNNNNNNNNNNNNNNNNNNNNNNNNNNNNNNNNNNNNNNNNNNNNNNNNNNNNNNNNNNNNNNNNNNNNNNNNNNNNNNNNNNNNNNNNNNNNNNNNNNNNNNNNNNNNNNNNNNNNNNNNNNNNNNNNNNNNNNNNNNNNNNNNNNNNNNNNNNNNNNNNNNNNNNNNNNNNNNNNNNNNNNNNNNNNNNNNNNNNNNNNNNNNNNNNNNNNNNNNNNNNNNNNNNNNNNNNNNNNNNNNNNNNNNNNNNNNNNNNNNNNNNNNNNNNNNNNNNNNNNNNNNNNNNNNNNNNNNNNNNNNNUCUGAAUCAAUAUUUAUCGUUUAUGAAGACAAUAUAGAUGACUGACAAACUUUUCAUUGCCUAGAUUACAUUUAGGAUUUCAACUUCUUCUUUUUUUGCCUCUGGGAGAGAUUGAUCCAUCAAGCACGCCCACCGAUUACUUAAAAAAUAAAUACACUCUACCAUGCAAGAAAGUCACAUUCCAUAUUCUUUCCUAAAAUAUAUUUCAUUUUAUCUUUCACCAUGUAAUCAUUAUUAUCAUGUACAUCUUCUUAUUUAUUUUUUUCAUAACGAAACGCGUAAACAGUGCAUCGUGAUCGGUGAUAACCUACAAUGUCCAGAAAAAAAGAGCAUGUCUUAUUAUUAUUAUUAUUAUUUUUUUUUUUGUAAAUUGAGGUAGUGUAUUAAACAUCUCAACAAAAUUUAUUUUACUCAGGAAAUAAACGAAAAUUAUUCAGUUAUGAUAAUAUAUUUACAACAGUGUUAUUGGUCAAGGUUGUGAUAUUGUAGUGUAGUUAGUUCAUAGUAUGAUACUAUCCAAUCACUAAUGACAGGAAUCUGUAACAAGUAUCGGUUGUUAAUUUUCUUUCCUAUAUUUUGUUAUUUUUAGAAAAUGGAAGUCCAGUCAAAUGUGUUGUAUCUCAAAUUUUAAUCGAAACUUCACAUGCAGUUGCUUGAAGCUUCAGAUACAUGGAUUUUAUUGAUCACAUGUUGUCGUAAGAUGUCAAUUUGAAAGUUUAAAUUAUUUAAGGUUUGUGCAGAGAUGGUAUGACAUUAACAUGUAAUCCCAAAUAUGAACCCAAAUCCAUACGCUCUAGAGGGACCAACUACAAUGCCUUAUGAGUUUGUUAAAGGAUAUAGAAAAGUCAGAUCAAAAUAAUCUGUUUACAUCAUGAGAUGGAUUUAGCAUAACGUAGUAACUCAAUUAGUUGUUGAUUGUGCAAACAAGAUCGUCAUAAUCGUCAAACUUGCCCAAGUAAGGACAAAAAAUAUCUUUAUAUGUUUACCAACAAUCGAUUCUUAAUUGCCUUGAUAAUCCAAUAAUUAUUUACUAUAAAUUCUCAAGAAUUGUUAAUAUAUCAAAUGUGCUAAUGUGCCUGGAGCUCCAUUCAAAUUGGGAUAUAGUCUCACCCAAUUCCCGUCUCAGGGAAAAUGUCCGCAUCUAAUCUUCAAUCGACAUCAAACAACAACAACGAGAUGGCUCUACGCAUGAAUUUGAUGGCCGGCUUCUGAUUUUCUGAUAAAAUAGGUCUUUCCUUCUCAACUAUAUGCUAAUACGCAUAUCAUUAUCUGUAGGUGCUAUCGCAGUCUGCUAUUAUUAAAUUAGUCAGUGGAGAAUACGGACCUUCCGCAUAAUGUGGGGAAAGUUAGGCAUGCAAUAAUCGUCCUCUCCGUGCAGCAUGUGUCUUGGACCGUUGGAUGGCGCAUUAUGGGCUUUGAACAUAUAGGCCCGAUUGAUUUUUCAAUGCUUGAACAUUUUCAAUCUAAACAAAUGACUUCCCCAUUUGUAUAUUACUGAUGAGGAGGAAACCCUACCUAUGAUGACAAAUUUUCAUUAUUUAUUCUAAUAAUGAAAGUUUGGUUCAUUCACUCUAAAUAUUUUGGCUUCCAUUCAAGUAAAAAGUUUGGAACCUCACUAAUUCCAUCCUUUGUUGCUAGAGUUCUCAAUCCAUAAAAAACUUUGGAUGAAUGUUUAUCUUUUCUCUAAACAACAAAAUGAUUGGCAAACUUUUUUGCCCCAAUUAUAUACAGGAUUUCAAUUUUUUUCGGGGAGGUAUUUAUCCAUCAAGCAAGCCCACCAACUAUUCAAUGCACCAUUAGGGAAAAAAGAACACUUCACAAUGUGAAAAAAUUGCAUUCAUAUUUUUCCCUGAAAUAUAUAUAUAAUCUUUCCUAUUGAAUCUUUACUAUAUGCAUAUGCUUGUUAUUUCUUCCACAAGGCAACACGUAACCAGUAAAAAGUCAUCCUUGUGGGUUACAAUGUCCACCAUAUUAUCCCAGGUCUCUUUUCUUUUCUUUUUUUAAGACUCUACUAAGGAAAAGGAAAAGGAAAAAGAAAAGGAAAAGGAAAAAGAAAGGGAAAGGGAAAGGGAGCAAGACGUAACCAGUAAAAAGUCAUCCUUGUGGGUUACAAUGUCCACCAUAUUAUCACAGGUCUCUUUUCUUUUCUUUUUUUAAGACUCUACUAAGGAAAAGGAAAAGGAAAAGGAAAAGGAAAAUGAAAAUGAAAAGGAAAAGGAAAAUGAAAAUGAAAGGGAAAGGGAAAGGGGGCAACACGUAACCAGUAAAAAGUCAUCCUUGUGAGUUACAAUGUCCACCAUAUUAUCCCAGGUCUCUUUUCUUUUCUUUUUUUAAGACUUUACUAUGGAAAAGGAAAAAGGAAAAGGAAAAUGAAAAGGGGGCAACACGUAACCCAGUAAAAAGUCAUCCUUGUGGGUUACAAUGUCCACCAUAUUAUCACAGGUCUCUUUUUCUUUUCUUUUUUUAAGACUCUACUAAGGAAAAGGAAAAGGAAAAGGAAAAAAGAAAAGGAAAAGGAAAAGGAAAAGGAAAAGGAAAAGGAAAAUGAAAAUGAAAGGGAAAGGGAAAGGGGGCAAGAGUAACCAGUAAAAAGUCAUCCUUGUGGGUUACAAUGUCCACCAUAUUAUCAUAGGUCUCUUUUCUUUUCUUUUUUUAAGACUCUGCUAAGGAAAAGGAAAAGGAAAAGGAAAAUGAAAGGGAAAGGGAAAGGGGGCAACACGUAACCAGUAAAAAGUCAUCCUUGUGGGUUACAAUGUCCACCAUAUUAUCACAGGUCUCUUUUCUUUUCUUUUUUAAAGACUCUACUAAGGAAAAGGAAAAAGAAAAGGAAAAGGAAAAAAAAUGAAAAGGAAAAGGAAAAUGAAAAUGAAAGGGAAAGGGAAAGGAAACGAAAACGAAUAAUAAUAAUAAUAAUAAUAAUAAUAAUAAUAAUAAUAACAACAGUUGCCGAUGAUGCAAUACUAUAGAACAAUAUAAUUGGUCAAAGUCAUGUUAUUGUAAUAUAGCUGGUUCUCCAAUCACUAAUGACAAAAAACUUUAGAUGAAUAAGUGAUAAUAUUUACUAAAAGUUAAAAAAAAAAGUGNNNNNNNNNNNNNNNNNNNNNNNNNNNNNNNNNNNNNNNNNNNNNNNNNNNNNNNNNNNNNNNNNNNNNNNNNNNNNNNNNNNNNNNNNNNNNNNNNNNNNNNNNNNNNNNNNNNNNNNNNNNNNNNNNNNNNNNNNNNNNNNNNNNNNNNAUAGGAAAAGCAAGUCCAGUCAAAAAGCACGCGCACAAUUCGCAUAAUGGUGCGGAAAUUACGUGUGCAAUUAUUACCCUUCCCGCGUAGCAUGCAUUUGGACUGUUGGAUGGCAACUCAGCAUUGUGUGCUUUUUUUGAGGAAUCUCUUUUGAAAGAGAGAAAAAAGAGUAGGCUUUACUUUCCUUAUCCGAAUAUCUUUAAAAAAAUGUCCUACCGACAUUCGUGUCAUAACAUGUUUUUUAGAUUGACUCAUGUCUAUUAGCACCAGAAGCAUGGGAGUUUUGCUGGUUAGUUUUCUUUUCCUUUUCUUUUAUUAAUAGACAAAAAAGCAAGUCAAGUCAAGAAGCGCUUACAUAGGAUGGUUCUAUGCACCUUCCACAAAAUGCUGCGGAAAUUACGCGUACAAUGAUUGCCCUUUGGUUUUUUUCUUCUAUAUCUUUAUUGAAAGAAAAAAAAAGUGAGUCAAGUCAAGAUCGUGCUUGCUUUAAAUCAAAAAAGCUUCUGCACAGUUCUAUGUUGCCCGGCAUUGUUCAAGCACGCAUAGUGAAAAGCGUAUCGAACGUCGAAGGCUGAGAAUUGGUGGAGAUCACAUAGGUGGGUAAACAUAUAUAUAUAUAUAUAUAUAUAUAUAUAUAUAUAUAUAUAUAUAUAUAUAUAUAUAUAUAUAUAUAUUUUUUUUUUUUUUCUCUACACAACAUAAAUUACUAAUGAAUUUCCUUUUCCCCUCCUCAUUACAUCGGUAUUAUGAAGUAUUGUGAUCUUUGUGUGCGAUAAAAUAUAUUUUACAAAUGUAACACCUGAAACUAUUGUACUUUAGAGGUAUUGUGAUUGUGAAAUUCACUAAAACACAUUAAAAAAGUUGCAAUACACAUUUUCGUCAUUAUGGACUUUGCACAAAUAGUCACUGAUAAUCAUAUUAUAUCUUAGGAUGAAGAGGAAACCCUAGCAAGGUAGACAAAUUUCUAUUAUUUGGAAUGUUGGUUCAUCCACUCUAAAUAUUUUGUCUUUCAAGCCAGUAAAAGUUUAGGAUCUCACUAAUUUCAUCAUUUGCAGCUACACUUCUUGAUCCUCGAUAAACUUCGAACAUGCAUAUAUCUUUUCUCUCAAUGACAUAAACAAUUUAGAAAGUUUCUUUUUCCCCGCUUACAUCCUAGGUUCCAAUUUUUUUUUUCAAGGACGGUUUUAUCCAUUGAUCACACGCACUAAUUAGUAAAAGCACCAUUAGGAGAAAAAAAUAAACUUUAUAAUGUGAAAGAAAUUGCAUUUCAUAUUCUUCCCUAAACUUUAUUUUGUUUUCUUUUUGCUAUUUGAUAUUUAUUAUAUGCAUAUACUUACUUUUUUUCCCAUAACGAAACACGUAACGGGUAAACUGUCAUGCUUGUGAAUGAACUACAAUAUCCAUUAUUUUAUCACUUUUUUAUUUCCAUUUGUAAUUUGAGGUAGUACAUUAAAGGUGCUAACAAAAUAGAUUGUAAAUAGGAAACAAAAAAAAUAAAUUAAAAUAAUUGGUCUAGGUCAUGAUAUUGCAAUAUAGUUGUUUCAUAAUAUCCAAUCACUAAUGAUAAAUAACUAUAACGAGCAUGAGUCUUUUUUUUUCCACUUAUUUCAUUAAUAUGAGGAGGAAAAUAUAUUUAUUGGAUCAAGAAUAUUGAGAGAGAGAACAGCUCUUACAUUGCCAACAAAGCAACAUGGCUAGAAAGUUGUACAAUACCUUAAGAUUGCUUCGUUUGCCGGACCUUCUCUAUUAAAGAAAUGUGCACGUACUAAUGGCUAAGAUAUUAAGUAUAAAACUCAAAUGUGACCUUGUUUAAGUGAUUAUGAUGACAAAGACAGUGACAGAUAUACUCUAUCCAAUAAACAAAUUAUCGAUAAAAAAAGGCAAAACCCAGCUUGCCCUCAAGUGUUGUCGGAAUAUUUUUGCAUGUAAUGUCGAUGAAGCCUUCGCCACAAGAGACGAAGGAAAACGAAAGCCCAUGUUUGCUCCACCACCAGUUAAAAAAUAGUUUCCACGCCCCAAUUUUAUAAUCAAGUCGUGCUGGAUCUCACAUUUCAAUGAAAGCACAUGCAUAGGUUCCCCGCACCUUCCACGUAAUGCCCUGGAAAUUUAUCAAUGCACUUUGCUAACAUAAAAGUCAUUGAGUACUGUAAGAAUAAUAUUUGUUGUGAGCCACAAAUUCUUGAGGAAGUAGGUCUCAUAACAAUUUAUAAUUAUUCGUGAUUUGAAUUUUUGUAGUCCAAAAUAAAUUAUUAUUCUCAUAAUAAAUUAAACAGUAUAAUCCUCUUUAAUUUUAAGUACUUUCUUUUUUUGGUCAAAACAUUUUAAGUACUUAAAAUGGGUCCUAAUUUGAAAUUCAGUACUCGAAAUUUUCAGUAAUUAUUUUACAGAUUUAUCUAAACGGGCACGUACUCCCAGCUUAUAUUUUUAUAAAUAAAUUAAGUUUAGCCUUGGAAAAAAACAAGUUGAGUCAAGUUGAAAGUCCAGCUAUAGUACAUGAGGUUCGACUUUAAAUUACUUGUGCAAUCAUUUACUUUUAAGUCAUUGGAGUAUAGUGCUGAAUAUAUUUUAGAUCUCAACAAUUCAUUUAAUUUAGUUUCUAACUUUUUCUUAACGACGAAGCACAAAUUAGGUACGUAAAUCCGUGAGUCAACAAAUCCUCCACUAAUGCAAAGGAUUAGCAAGACACAAGUCCUCAAAUACGAAACAAAUUUAUGCUUACAAAUGUGAGGAACCAAACACAUGUCAUGUACCUAAUCUUCAUAUACUAAUUUUUACUUUCCUUUUUCUCGCAAUUCACAUAGUCAAACUUUUGUUUAACAUAGAUCACUUAAAAGAUUCAAAAUAUAUAAAUACCGUCACACAGAUAAUUAUACAAUUCUUUUUGUAAUUUAACUUAAAGUAUGUAUAUUAAUUUUUUAAAUGUUAAACAUCUAUUAUGCUAUGCCAAAAUUAUCUUAUUUCUUGGAAGAGGUAAUACACCAGGCCAAAAUAUGGAGCCACCUCAGUUACUGUCGAGAAUAUUGGGUGGUCCGGGACCGCCAUGUGAGCGUGGACCCAGACCACGCAUGGAGUGACUUUAGGAAAAGAGGGGAUGCUGCCAUAAGGAUAAGGGAUAACACUGCUGCCGACUUACGUCUGACACGAUUGAGGACCGAAGGUGCUAACCGCGUUUUUUCACAACAGGUCGGAUCAGUCAAAUUCCCCCAAGGUCGUGGGCCACUCGAUCUAAAUGGGCCGUACCUAUGAACGAGCGGGACACCGCCGGGCCUGUUCAAUAGUUAAACAUUGCGCAACUAUGAAAAGGGGAAGCUAAUAAUUCUAAUACAGGUAAGCAUUAAUAGAUGUGNNNNNNNNNNNNNNNNNNNNNNNNNNNNNNNNNNNNNNNNNNNNNNNNNNNNNNNNNNNNNNNNNNNNNNNNNNNNNNNNNNNNNNNNNNNNNNNNNNNNAAGCAACGUCAUUGAACCGUGCCAAUAAAAUCAAAGUAAGACCCUUGCCCACAUCACCAGCAUAAGGGUGAACACCGUAUUGGCUUAAUUUAAAAAAGAAAGAUUGGCGAAUCAAGCAAAAAGUUACUAUGCACAUUUCUGAUACCUACCCUAAUUCAAAGAUAAUUUUUUGCUACAAAUUUACAUUGACAGAUCAUAAUCACAACCGAUAGAAUAUCAUUUGAAAUGUAAAAUAUGAACAUGCACCCAUCUUAUCCAAGAGUUAGGAGAAGUUUGAGGUCAAAGAUCAGCAUUUUGAUAUUAUUAUGAUCACCUUAUACUUGUAAGCAGUAAGCAUUCGAGUUUAAUACAAAAACUCGAUAUUUUAUGCUUGGACGGUGCUAUUACAUUUGUCACCAUUUGACUCACGAGAAAUUUGACACGGGAGUGAUAGGACCAUUAGACCUAAUAACCAUGAUGAGACACUGUAAAUAUUCUGGUGUCAGAGUAUGAGAAACAACAUAAAAAUAAGUCUAAGAAACCACACUGUUGACCUACUCCAAAUCUCCAACGAAAUGUCAUGAUCAAUUGAAAGGAAUCCGAAACUUUGUAAGCACAACCGAGUAAAGAUCCAGCACAAGCCUAAAAGACAAAAGGAAGAUUUUUUUGGGGUAGUUUUCAUCCCUAUACUUCUCACCUUUUUUUUCUUAUUCCGUCCCCAUACCUUAAACUUGUCUAGUCAUUUUUUAUUUUUUUUUUACUUUCACAAAUUUCCUAAUCAAGAUCCAUCCAAAUGCAGCUGAUAUAACCGUUGAACAACACCCUAGUAUGAUGCGGAUAAGAUAUGUGAAUGCUCACAUGGACAUGUAUGGAAAAAUUUAUCCAAUAUAGACAAUGUUAGAAUGUGACAUGAAUAAAAAUUAACAAAGGUGUAUGCCAAAGUAGAUGUCUACAUUGGAAAAAUUUUGUUCAUGUCACACAACAACAUCAUCCGAUGUGUUAUGCCAGUCGGAUUAGGUUUUGUGUUGGGGGGAUUUGAUUAGAAAAUUUAUGAAAUUCGAAGAACUUGAUUCAACAAAGUAAAAGUAAGAUAGAGAAAAUGCUAAAGUAGAGGACAAGAAGGAGACUGAUUUCAAAAAACCAGCAGCUAAUCCAGAGUCAGGAAAUAUCAGCACAAUGGUGGCAGCAGCUGAGAAAUUAUGGUCUAAAUUAAUAUAAUUUGCAUCAGCAGAAGAAUGCCUAACCUGACAAUACAAGUAACUCUACUUUGCACCACAUGAGCAAUGAAUGGAAUGGUCACACUGCAUACUCACAAUUCCACUGGUGUCUGGGUCCAAUUUCAACGACAUCGAAAGGCAUUGGAGUAUAAAAGUAAUGUAAAAUGUCAAAAAUAAAAAUAAUUUAAGGAGUGGUAUAAAAAUGCAUUAGGUGAGGGGAUAAUGACUAGACAAUUCUUAGACGUGAUAUGGAAUGGAGAAAUUUUGAGAAUCAGGGAGAUUUAUUUUGGGAUUUUCUUUCCCUAGGGGAAUCUCUUUUGAAAGGCAAAAGUCAGAUAGUGCUUUGAAAAUAAUAAUCGAACUAGUGAUGUUUUUUUUAUUGAUUCGUGGAUAUUCCCAUUAGGAGUCCAGGGCCAUGGGAGUAUUGCUAGUUGCUUUCCGUUUCUAUUUCUCUUAUUAAUGGAAAAGCAAGUCAAGUCAAGAAACAUCUGCAAUGGAUGGUUCCACGCACCUUCCGCAAAAUGCUGCGGAAAUUACGUUUGCAAUGAUUGCCCUUUGGUUUUCUUUUCUAUAUCUCUUAUUAAUAGAAAAGGCAAGUCUAAGUCAUCAUAUUGUCAUUUAGUUCAUUCAUAAUAUCCAAUCACUAAAUUACAAACAACUUUAAUGAGUACAGAGUUGGUUUCUUUUUUAGUUUCUUUUAUUAAUAGAAAAGCAAAUGAAGUCGAGUGUGCUAGAUCUCAAAUUUCAAUCAAAGCUUCAACAGCACUUGCUAGAAAUUUCACAUCUAUGGAUUUCAUUGUUUACAUGUUAUUGCAAGAUGCCAGUUAUGAAGUUUGAAUUAUUUAAGGUUUGUGCAGAAAUGGUAUAGCCUUAAUACUCACAGUUCCACCCACUAUGGAGUGGACAGAGUACGUGAAAAAGGAAAAAAAAAAAAAUGAUUAAACAGAAUCAUCUUGUUUAUGUAAUGAGAUGGAUUUAGCAUAAUGCGUCAACUCAACCAAUUGUUGAUUGCGUAAAUACAAUCAUCAUAAUUGUCCAACUUGCCCAAGUAAGGACAAACAAACCUUCCCAUAUAUACUGUCAAUUGAUUUUUAAUUGUCAUGAUAAUUCAAUAUCCAUAUACUGUCGAUUUUUCCAGACUUGUUAAUAUAUUAUGUAUGCUAAUAUGGUCGUAGCUCCAUUCAAAUUUGGGAUAUGGGGUCACACCCAAUUCCAGUCUCUGGUAAAUUGUCUGCAUCGUAUCUUCAAUUCACCUUAAACAACAUGAAACAAGGUGACUCCACGCAUGAAUUUAGUGGUCUAGCUUAUGAUUUUCUUAUUAAAUAGGUCUCCUCUUCACAACUACAGGCCCUAACAUGCGUGAGUAGGGAACCAUCGUGAUGUUUAGUCUAAUCGGACAUUGACCCUACACAUCCAUCUUGCAAAGAGUGAGUAGGGGUUACUGCAAUCGGCUUUUUAAUUAAGGCUCCGUUCGUUUCGCGGAAAAUAUCAUGUUUCCGGAAAACAUUUUCCUGGAAGUUAUUUUCCUGGAAAAUGACUCUAUUUUCCGGUGUUCGGCCAAAAUCUAAAGUUUGAGUGGAAAAUAUUUUCCGUCGUUCGUUAGCUCAUUUAAUUGUUUAGAAAAAAUUAUCAAAAAUUAAAUUUUAAUAUUUUUAAUUGAUCACAAAAUUUAUUUUAUUUAUUUAUAUUUUUAAAAAUCGAAAUUUUUAUUAUUUCUUUUUUCUUUUUUCUUUUUUCUUUUCCUUCCCUCCUUCCUCCUCCUUCUUCCUCCUCCUUCCUCCGCCGUCGCCUUCUUCCUCCUCUGUCCGCCGCCGCCACCUCCUUCCUGCCUGACGAUGGCCGGCUGCCCAGCGGCCGACCAAGACCCGGUGGCCAAAUCCGGCGAGCUCGAGGCUCGGCCGAUCUCACCCGAGCUCGUCGGAUCUGGCGACAGAGCUCGAGCUCGCCUGGAUCCAGCGAGCCGCGAGCUCCGCCGCCAGAUCCGGCGAGCCGCGAGCUCCGCCGCCAGAUUCGGCGAGCUCGAGGCUCGGCCGAUCUCACCCGAGCUCGCUGGAUCUGGUGACAGAGCUCGAGCUUGCCUGGAUCGGGAGCCCGAGCUCUGCCGCUAGAUCCGGCGAGCCGCGGGCUCCGCCGCCAGAUCCGACAAGUUCACGGCUCGCCACCGCACGACGAGCGGCCUGGACGGCGGGCUCCCCGCGAGCCUCCCGGCGCCGUCGCGGAGCUCCCUCUUGAGCCAGAUCCUCCUGAGCGGCUUCGAGCCGCCGGGGAAGCGGAGUGCGGCGGUGGCGGCGGCGCCCUGGCCGGAGUAGGCGGGCAGGAGCGGCCAGGGAGGGCGGAGGCUGGUCCCGGAGAAGGACGUCGUCGAAGCCGACUUCGCAGCAGGGAGAGCAAGAGAGAGAGAGAGAGAACGAGAACCGAAGGAAGAGAAGAGGCGAGAGGCUUGGAAAAUGUUUUCCUCUUUUGAAAAGAGGAAAACAUUUUCCAAGCCGCAAAGGAGGAAUUUUCCGGUCAACGGAAAAUGUUUUCCUUGACCGUGAUUUUCCGCCCACCCGAACACCGAAAAAUAUGGAAAAUAUUUUCCUGGAAGUUAUUUUCCGCGAAACGAACGGAGCCUAAAUUUGUUGGUGGAAAAUAUGCUUACCGACUCAGAGCGUCAAAAUUGAUAGUUGUUUUUUCGUUUUUAUUUCUUUAUUAAUAGAAAAAGCAAGUCAAGUCAAAAAACAUGCGCACAUUUUGCAUAAUGCCGCGGAAAUUACACAUGUAAUAGUUAUCGUUUUAAUGCAUGUACCCGUCUUGGACUAUUGGAUGGCAACUCAACAUCAUGUGCUUUUUUCUGGGGAACUCCUUUGAAAAAAGAAAUGUAAGAUUUUGGAUUGAAAAUAAUUAACUUUCUCGAUUCGAAUGUCUAAACAAAGUGUCGUAGUGACAUUUAUGUCAUAUUAUUUUUUUGUGAUUGUCUCAUGUCUAUGUGCACCGGAAGCAGGGGAGUUUUGUUGGUUAAUUUUCUUUUCUUUUCUUUUAUUAAUAGAAAAAAAAAAGUCAAGUCAAGAAGCACAUGCAUAGGAUGGUUCCACGCACCUUCAGUAAAAUGCUGCGGAAAUUACGCAUGCAGUUAUUGCCCUUUGGUUUUCUUUUCUAUAUCUUCAUUGGCGGAAAGGGAAAAGUCAAGUUGAGGUCGUGCUCCAUUUCAAUCAACACGCCCAUGCCGCUUCUACGCACCUUCUGCACAGUGCUACUUCAAGCACGUAUACUUUAUAGUGUUGUGUAUCCAACGUUGAAGGCUGAGAGUCGGUGAAGGUCACAGUAGUGGGUGAAAAUUUAUAUUUCCUCUAGACAACAUAAAUGACUGAUAAAUUUUUUUUAUGUUCCGAGUACAUCGGUAGAGCUAUGAUUGAAACGUAACUGUGCUGUAUUGUGAAUUGUUGCAAUUUUUUUUUUUUUGGUGGUAUGUCAUAUUUUACAUUUAUAACACUUAAAAGUUAGGUGAGAUGCCUUCCUAAAAACGAUUGUAAAUUUAGAGGUGCUGCAACUAUGAAUUAUUCGGCAAAACACAUUAUAAAGUGGCAAUACACAUUUUCACAGUGGAAAUUACUACAGGAAGUGAUACCAGAUAGCCUCUUAAACUGGAGACUUAAAUUAUUGUUCCUAGACACCAGCACCAUCGCACCCUCCAAAAUUUGUCUACAUUUAAGUCUGAAAGUACUAGAACUCACUUAUUCCAACUUCAUCCCUUCCCUCCUGCAAUGCCAUGAGGAGUGGUGAGGGAAUACUUGCCUAGAUCCGUAUCCGAUGGACCGUGUUCAUUAUAAGCUCUACCGACUUGGAGCAUUGGAAUUGAUCGUUGGUUUCCGUUUCUAUUUCUUUAUUAAUAGAAAUAGUAGUAAAGUCUUCCGCAUGUUGCUGUGAAAAUUUUGCGUGCAAUAAUUAUCCUUCCCGAGCAGCAUGCGUCUUAGACCGUUGAUGGCAACUCAAUAUUUGUGCUUUUCUGGAGGAAUCUCUUUUUAAAGAAGAAAAAAAGUAGAUUUUGGAUCGAAAAUAAUGAACUUUCCUGAUUCGAAUAUUCUAACAAAGAAUCCUACCGACAUUCAUGUCAUGAUAUGUUUUUGUGAUUAACUCAUGUCUAUUAGCACCGGGAGCUUGAGAGUCCCGCUGGUUAGCUUUCUUUUCCUUCUAUUUUAUUUAUAAAAAAAAAGCACGUCAAGUCAAGAAGCACUUGUCUGAACCAAAAAAUAAAAAUAAAUCAUGCAGUACUUGCAUAGGAUGGUUCCAGGCGCCUUCCACAGAAUGCUGUGGAAACUACGCAUGCAAUGAUUGUCGUUUGGUUUUCUUCUCUAUUUCUUUAUUAAUAAAAAAGGCAAUUCAAGUCAAGUCAAGGUAAGGUCGUGCUCACUUUAAAUCAAAACACCUUCCACGCGGUUCUACGUUGCUCGGCGUUGCUCAAGCACGCUCGGUAGAGAGCCUUGCGUAUCCAACGUCGGAGGCUGAAAAUUGGUGGAGAUCCAUGGUAGUGGGCGAACAUACAUAUACAAUUGACUAAUCAAUUUUUUCCCCGUCCCGAUUACAUUGGUAUAGCUGUAAAUUAAACGUAAUUGUACUGUAUUGUGAAGUGUUGCAAUCUUUGUGUGUGGUAAAAUAUAUUUUAUAAUUGAAACACUUUAAACUGUGGCAACUUUAGAGGUAUUUUAACUGUUAAGUAUUCACUAAAAUACAAUAUAAAAGCUACAAUACACAUUUUGAUAGAGUAGUCACUAAUAAUCAUAUUAUAUUUUGGUAUGAAGAGGGAACCCUAGCUAGGUAGACAAAUUUCCUUUAUUUCUUUCGAAUAGUGGAAUGCUGGUUCAUUCACUUUUAAACAUUUUGCCUUUCAAGCUAGUAAAAGUCUAGCACCUCACUAAUUUCAUCAUUUGAUGCUACACUUCUCGAUACUUGAGAAACUUUGAGCAUGCGUGUAUCUUUUCUCUCAACAACAUAAACAAUUUACAAAAUUCCCGUUGCCCUCAUUACAUCCUUGGUUCCAACUCUUUUUUUUUUUUUUAAAGGAGGGUUUUAUCCAUUGACCACAUGCACUGAUUAUUAAAAGCACCAUUAGGAGAAAAAAAAGUACUUUAUAACGUGAAAGAAAUUGCAUUUCAUAUCCUUCCCUAAACUUUAUUUUGCUUUCUCUUUGCUAUUUGAUCUUUAUUGUAUGUAUAUAUUGGCUUAUUUUUUUUCAUAACGAAACACAUAAACGAUAAACUGUCAUACUUGUGAACUACAAUAUCCAUUAUUUUAUCACUUUUUUUUUCCAUUUUUAAUUUGAGGUAGUACAUUAAAGAUGCUAACAAAAUAGAUUCUACAUAGGAAACAAACAAACAAAAAAAAAAUUAAAACAAUUGGUUAUGAUACAAUAUUAUAUAGCAAAAUAAUUGGUCUAGGUCAUGAUUUUGUAGUAUAGUUGGUUCAUAAUAUCCAAUCACUGAGGAUAAACAACUAUAACGAGUAUGAGUUGUUCUUCUCCUCUCUUUUUUUCAUUAAUAUGAGGAUGAUUUAUAUUUUUUGGAUCAUGAAUAUUAAGAGAGAGAACAGCCCUUACAUUCCAACAAAGCAAAAUGGCUAAAAUGUUGUACAAUACCUUAAGAUCGCUUCAUUUGCAUUACCUUCUUUAUUAAAGAUAUAUACACAUACUAAUGGCUAAGAUAUUUAGUGUAAUACUCAAAUAUAAAAUUGUUUAAGUGAUUAUAAUAACAAUGACAGUAACAAAUACCCUAUCUAAUAAAUAAAUGAGCGAUAAAAAACGACAAAACCCAACAAGCGCUCAAGUGUUUCGGAAUAUUAUUGCAAAUAUAUCAAUCCAUGAAGCCGUUGCCAGAAGAGACGAAGGAAAACGAAAGCCCCAUGGGCACUCCAGUAUCAGUAAAAGAUAGUUUCCACGCCCCGAUUUUAUAAUCAAGUCAUGCUGGCACGUGCAUAGGUUCCCCACACCUUCCAUAUAAUGCCAAGGAAAUUACUUAUUAGCAAACAACAUUUUCUUUCAUUUUAACGGAGCGCAUAACCAGUACACUGUCGUCCUCAUGAACUACAUUGUCCACCACAUUAACAUGUCUUAUUUUGUGUUUUGUAAAUUGAGGUAGUUUAUUAAACAUCUUAACAAAUGUUAUUCUACUUAGGAAACAAACAGUAACCAUUUGAUAUAGUUAGUUCAUAUUAUGACAAUGUAAUUAGUCAAGGUUGUGACAUUGUAGUUUACUUAGUUUAUACUAUCCAAUCACUAAUGACAGUGACCUAUAACGAGUAUUGCUCGUUAACUUUCUUUUCUAUGUUUUAUUAUUAAAUAAAAAUGCAAGUCCAGUCAAGUGUGUUGGAUCUCGAAUUUCAAUAAAAGCUUAACAUGCACUUGCUCAAAGCUUCAGAUCUAUAGAUUUCAUUGAUCACGUGUUGUUGUACAAGGUUUGUGCCGAGAUAGUGUGGUAUUAACAUGUAUUCCCAAAUAUGAACCCAAGAUUCCAACAACUUAGGAGGGGCCAACUACAAGGCCUUAGGAGCCUGUGAAAAGGAAAAAGAAGGUUAAUUAAAAUUAUCUCGUUUAUGUCAUGAGAUGAAUUUAACGUAAUGUAAAAACUCGAUUAGUUGUUGAUUGUGCAAAUAAGAUUGUCAUAAUCAUCCAACUUGCUCAAACAAGGACCAAAAAAUCUUCCCAUAGUUACUAUAAAUCAAUUUUUAAUUAUCUCCAUAAUAUAAUAUCCAUAUAGUAGAUUCUUCAAAAUUGUUACUAUAAUAAAUGUGCUAAUAGGCUCAUAACUCCAUUCAAACUAGGAUACGGAGUCUCCUCCGAUUCCCAUCUUUAGUAAAAUUUUCACGUCUAAUUUUCAAAGGCCAUUAAACAGCAGAAAAGACGUGGCUCUACAUACAAAUUUAAGGGUUUGUAUUCUGAUUUUCUGAUAAAAUAGGUAUUUUCUUCAAAAUUAUAUGCCAAUAAGUAUAUCAUUAUCAUUAAAGGCUCUCGUAAUCUUAUUUAUUUAUUUAUUUAUUUAUUAAAAUUAGUUGGUAGAGAAUACACACCUUUCGCAUUAUGCCGCGGAAGUGAUAAUCCAGGGAGUGAUGUUUUCGUGAUUGACUCGUGUAUACUGGCACUGGAGCACGGGAGUAUUGCUCUGCUAGUUAGUUUUCUUUUCUAUUUCUCUUAUUAACUGGAAAAAGCAAAGUCAAGUCAAGAAGCGCUGGCAUGGGAUUGUUCCACGCACCUCCUGCAAAUUUCUUGUGCGUGCAUCGAUCGCCCGCGUGGAAAUUAGUUUUGGUGAGAAUUAAUAGUCGGUUUUCAUUUCUAUUUCUUUAUUAGUACAAAAAGCAAGUCAAGUCAAAAAGUAUAGGAUGGUCCCCGCACCUUCUGCAAAAUGCAGUGGAAACCACGCGGGCAAUAAUUGCCCUUCGAUCUUCUUUUCUACUUCUCUUAUCCAUAGAAAAGCCCAGUCAAGUCAAGUCAAGCGGAAUCGGGUCAAGAUUUUGCUCACUUUGGAUAAAUAAAAUAUUUAGAUAUAAAAUAUCAUUAACAAUUAAAAUAUUUUUUAUUAAUUAUUUAUUUUUAAAAAAAAAAUUUCUUGAAAAUAUUCUUUAUUAAGUCAAUUAUAAUUUAUAUUAAAAUAUUUUCGUAAAUGAUAAAUAUUUUCUUCAUUUAUUAAUUUUAGUAAGCAACAUAAAUAAUUAUUUUUAAAAGAAUAUUUUUCGAAUUAUUUAUUUUUUGUAGAACAAACGCACGCUAAAAACUCCAAACGAACAUUAGAUUGAUGUGAUGAAUUAUUAAGUUUCUCUAUCAAGGGUCCUAACGCUAAAUCCUUGAAGUUGCCGUAUCGAGUACUUAUCAAAGAAACUUGAAAAAAUCUACCCACACUAAUAUGAACCACACAAACUAGUGGACUAGUGCGAAACACGUACGAUGGACCAAAGAUAAGGAUGGAAUCUUGAACACCCAGUGAAACGAGAGACACAAAUAUCACAAGAUAAGGCUCAAAAUUCAUUUAUAAUAUGUUUUGUGGUAUUUUUAGGCUGUUGACUGAUCAUGUCUUUCAUUCUAUGCAUAGGAAUCUAAUAUCCUAAUAUAUUAUGUAGGUGUGUUUCAAACGUUGUGGUCUUCAAAUAUGCAAACAUUUUUUUUUUCUAAUAAGGUAAUUUUGUCUUUACCUUAACGUGAGUGAAAAUCCAUCACUGAUCUCACCAAACACUUUGCAUGAUCAAAUUUCAAACAGUAGAAGAUCAAUGGGCAAAUUGAGCCUAGAAAUCCUUGCCCAAGACCGAUUGUGAUUAAAGAAUGGGGAAAUACUACCAAAAACGCUAUGAUACCACGGAUCUGUUGAGAGGGAAUUCAUAUUUUGUUUCUUCAUUUACGUUCUUUAAUUUUUGCCGCACUCUCAAUUUGACAUUCCUUAAUCGCAUGCAAUUAAAAUAUUUUCACUCACAUUAAGGACCCGAUUGCACUAUCAUUUGAAUUAUUUUCUUAAAAAUUAUUAUUUGUAUCAUUUAAAAUAAUUAAUUAAUAAAAAAUAUUUUACUUAUCAAUGAUAAUUUAUAUUUAUAUAUUUUUCUUUUUUUCAAAGCGAGCAAGACUUUCACUUAACUUGACUUGUCUUGCCUUUUCUAUCAAUAAGAGAGAUAAAAAAAAAAAAAAAAAACCAAAGGGCAAUCAUUAAUUUCCACUGCAUUUUGCAGAAGGUACCAGGGACCACUUCUUGACUUGACAAGCCUUUUCUGCUAAUAAAGAAAAUAGAAACGAACAUAGAAGGUACCAGGGACCAUCCUGUGCUGGUAGUUCUUGACUUGACUUUGCUUUUUUCUGUUAAUAAGAAAAAUAGAAAAGAAAACUAACCAGCAUAGCAAUGCUCCCGUGCUCCCGGCACUAUUGUACACGAGUCAAUCGAAAAAACAUCCGCUCGUUGGAUUAAUAUUUCCGCCGUAUCAUGCAGAAGGUGCAUAUUCUCCACCAACUAAAUUUAAUAAAUAAAUAAAAAGAAAAUAGAUUGCAAUAGCAUUUCAUGACGAUGGUUUGCUGAUUGGCUCAUAGCUUUGACGAUGGGUUGCACCGAAAAGGAGAAUUAGAAAUUUGUCCAUUUUUCUUUCAUCAAUCUUUCAUUUACAAAAAUAAAUUACUGACUUAUUCACAUAUAUUUUCAAAUGAUGAGGAAAUCCUACCGAUUUCCAUUAUUCAUUCAAAUAAUGGAAGUUUCGUUCAUUUUCUCUAGAUAAUUUACCUCCCAAGCAAGUAAAAAUCCAAGACCUCACUAAUUUCAUCAUUUCUUGCUAUACUUCUUGAUCCUCAAAAGAGUCUGAACCAAUAUUUAUCAUUUGUGUAGAUGACUUAAAUAAGUGACGAACUUUUCUCCUCGUAGAUAAUUAGGAUUUCAAAUUCUUUUUUCCUCAGGGAGGGAUUUACCCAUCAACCAUGCCCACAAAUUAUUAGAAGCGUCACUAGGAAAAAUAAAUGUGAUCCACCAUGCGAGAAAGUUGCAUUCCAUAUUCUUCCCUAAAAUAUAUUUCGUUUUCUCUUUAACAAUGUAAUUAUUAUCAUUACAUGCAUCAUCUUGUUUAUUUUUUUCCAUAACGAAACAUGUAAUCAGUACAAUGUCAUCAUCAUAAAUUACAAUGUCCAUCGUAUCAUAAUGUCUUUUUUCUUUUUUUCGUUUGUAAAUUGAGGCAAAGUAUUGAUCAUCAUUUGGUCAUGAUAAUAUAUUUUAAUAGUGUGAUUGGUCAAAGUCGUGAUAUUGUAGUAUAGUUAGUUCAUAUUAUCCAAUCGCUAAUGAUAGAGACCUGUAACGAGUAUUGCUCGUUAAUUUUCUUUUCUAUAUUUUGUUAUUGAUAGAAAAUGCAAGUCUAGUCAAGUGAGCUGGAUCUCAAAUUUCCAUCGAAGCAUCACGUGUAUUUGCUCAAAGCUUUAGGUCUAGGGAUUUCAUUGUUUGCAUGUUGUCGCGAGAUGUCAAUCACAAAGUUUGGAUUAAUUAAGGUUUGUAAAGAGAUGGUUCGGCAUUAAUAUGUAUUCGCAAAUAUCAACCCAAGAUUCCACCAACUCGGGUGGGGCCAACUACAAAGCCUUGCGAGUCCGUGAAAAGGAAAAAGAACGGUUGAUCAAAAUCAUGUUGUUUACGUCGCAAGAUGGAUUUAAUAUAAUGUGGUGACUCAAUUAGUUAUUGAUUAUGCAAACAAGAUCGUCAUAAUUGUCCAACUUGCCCAAGCAAGGACAAAUAAAUUUUCCCAUAUUUAAUAUCAAUUCAUUUUUAAUUGUCUCGAUAAUCAAAUAUCCAUAAAUUGUAGAUUCUUCACAAUUGUUACUAGAUUAAAUGUGCUAAUAUGCUCAUAGCUCAAUUCGAACUAGGACAUAGAGUUUCACCUGAUUCCUGUCUUUAGUGAAAUUUCCACACCUAAUCUUCGAUGGGCCUUAGACAGUAGUAACAAGGUAGCUCUAUGCACGAAUUUGAUGGUUGUAUUAUAAUUUUAUGAUAAAAUAGGUCUCUUUUUCAAAAUUAUAUGUCAAUAUGCAAACCAUCGUCAUUAAACGCUAUCGCAAUCUUUUUUUUUAUAAUUAAAAUUAGUUGGCGGAGAAUACGCACCUUCCGCAUAAUGCCGUGGAAAUAAUAAUGCAACAAGCGAUGUUUUUAUGAUUGACUUGUGUAUAUUAGCAUCGGGAGCAUGGGAGCAUCGCUAUGCUGAUUAGUUUUCUUUUCUAUUUCUCUUAUUAAUUGGAAAAAAGCAAAGUCAAGUGAAAAAGCACUAGUAUUGGAUGGCUCCACUCACCUUUUGCAAAUUGCCGUGGAAAUUACGUGUGCAUUGAUUGCCCUGUGGAAAUUGGACGGUGGAGAAUUGAUCGUUGGUUUUCAAUUCUAUUUCAUUUCUUAGUAGAAAAAGCAAGUCGAGUCAAGAAGCAGAGGAUGGUCCCUGGUACCUUCUGCAAAAUGCAGUGGAAAUUAAGCGGGUAAUGAUUGCCCUUUGAUUUUCUUUCCUGUUUCUCUAAUUGAUAGAAAAAGGCGAGGCAAGUCAAGUAAAAUGCUGCUGAUUAGUGGAGAUCACAGCAGUGGGCGAACAUUCAUCUUUCCUCUGGACAGCGUGUGGAGGGAUUUAUGGAUCGAGCACGCCCACUAAUUACUAAAAGCACUGUCAGAAUAAAAGAAAUACAAUUUAAGAUGUGAAAAAAAAAAGUUGCAUUUCAUAUUCUUUCCCAAAAAUUUAAUUUGUUUUAUCAUUGCUAUUUAACCUUUGUUACAUGCAUAUACUUAUUUAUUUCUUACCUAAGGAUACAUGUGACCAACAAACUGUUGUCCUCGGGAAUUACAAUGUCCACUAUAUUUUACCAUGUCUCAUUUUUUUUUUCAUUUGUACUUUUAGAUAGUACAUUAAACAUAUUAACAAAAAUAAAUUCUACUCAAGAAACAAAACAAAAAGAUAGUGGCUACGAUGCAAUCUCAUAUUAGAAUAUAAUUGGUCUAAGUCAUCAUAUCAUCGUUUAAUUGGUUCAUAAUAUCCAAUCAUCAAUCACAAACAAUUUUGGUCAUUUCUUUUUUUUUAAUAGAAAAGCACAUGUAGUCAAGCCUGCCAAAUCUCAAAUUUCAAUCAAAGCUUCACAUGCACUUACUAGAAAUUUUAAAAUCUAUUGAUUUCAUUGUUCACAGGUUAUCGUAGGAUGUGAAUUAUUAACAUAAGGCGGCAACUCAAUUAGUUGGUAAUUGUGCAAUCGUCAUGACAAACAAAUCUUCUCAUGUAUACUAUCAUUCGAUUUUUAAUUGUCUCAACUCCUCCCCCCUUCAAACAGAAAUACAUGCUCUCUUAUUCACUCUCAACUCUUUGAUAGGGAAGGGAAUGGCUACUACUGACCUGCUCCUUGAAUCGGACUGCUUGGAGCUUGUCGAGGCCGUGAAUCUCCGCCACCGAUCACCCCCAGAAUGUCGAUUGCUGAUCGAGGACGCCAUUGCUCUGUUUCGUCGAUGCCCUAAUUUCCGAUUUCUUCACUGCAGACGUGAAUCUAACUUGCCGGCUGACUGGGCUGCCAAGGCUCAGGGCCGUGGAGUUCUGGGCUCCAAGUGGGCUUCUCUUCCACCGCCCCCCCUGUUUAAUCUUCUGUGUAAUGAUGCCCUUUCUAAGGGUUGUAAUCUUUUCUCCUCUUGAAUGUCAAGUUAAGUUUCCGAUCAAAAAAAAAAAAUUGUCUCAAUAAUGCAAUAGCCGUAUAUUAUAGAUUCUCCAGAUUUGUUCAUGGAUCAAUGUGCUAAUAUACUCAUAUCUACAUUCAAAUUUGGUAUAUAGGUCUCACUCACUCACCCCAGACGCGGGAGGCUACUAUACAUGUCUACCCGGCGGUAGCUAAGGUCGUAACCCUGACGUGGUGUCUACCUUCACCACCGUGAGGCCCCCUAAUUCCUUAUCUAUCUUUGUCUUCCCGAGAGAGAGAGAAUACGGAGGACAUCAUGGGGUCUCCUACCCCAGGAUGGUUCUCCCACCUGUUUCGUGAUAUUAUAAGUUGGAUCUAUGAUAUUGACCAUGCGUAUCACCACCCUGCAAAUAUAUAUAGAUAGAGAAGGGGUUAUUGUACUCUAUGGUGGAGAGUAUGCUUACCGACUCACACCAUCGGAAUUGAUCGUUGCUUUUCGUUUGUUUCUUUCUUAAUAGUAAAAGUAAAGUCAAAAAGCACAUGCAACUUCAUAAUGCUGGUGUGCAAUAAUUGUCCCUUCCCUGCAGCAUGUGUCUUGGAUUGUUGGAUGGCAACUCAGCAUUAUGUCUUUUUUUUAAGGAAUCUCUUUUGAAAGAGAAAAAAGAGUAGAUUUUCGAUUGAAAUUAAUAACUUUCCUGAUUCGAAUAUCUUAAUAAAGUGUCCUCCUACUGACAUUUAUGUCAUGAUAUGUUUUUGUGAUUGACUCAUGUCUAUUAGCACUGGGAGCAUGGGAGUCCUGCUGGUUAGUUUUCUUUUCGUUUUCUUUCAUUAAUAAAAAAAACAAGUCAAGUUAAGAAACACUUGCGUGGGAUGGUUCCACGCACCUUCUACAGAAUGCCGCGGAAAUUACGCGUCCAAUGGUUACCCUUUAGUUUUCUUCUCUAUUUCUUUAUUAAUAAAAAAGGAAAGGCAAGUCAAGUCAAGUCAUGGUGGUGUUCGCUUCGAAUCAAAACACCUUCUGCACAUACGUUGCUCAACAUUGUUCGAGCACGCACAAUAAAGAGUGUUGGGUAUCCAACGUCAAAAGCUUAGAACCGGUGGAGAUCACAACAAUAGUAGGCGAACAUAUAUUUCCUCUAGACAUCAUAAAUGACUAUAGUUUUUUUUCCCAUACUGAUUACAUCGAUAUAGGUGUAAUUGAAAUAUAAUCAUAUUGUAUUGUGAAGUGUUUUAAUCUUUGUGUGAUAAAAUAUAUUUUACGAUUUUAACACCUAAAACUGUUGUAAGUUUGGAAAUAUUGCAACUGUGAAGUAUUUGCUAAAACAUAUUAUAAAAGCUGCAAAUACGCAUUUUCAUAGAGUACAAGGUCAUCAUGGACUUUGCACAAAUAGUCACUGAUAAUCAUAUUAUGAUGAGGAAACCCUAGCUAGGUAGACAAAUUUCCAUUUUUUCUUUUUAAUAACCAUUCACUCUAUAUAUUUUUCCUUCCAAGCCAGUAAAAAGUUUAGGACCUCACUGAUUUCAUCCUUUGCUCUACACUUUUUGAUCCUUGAGAAACUUUGAGCGUGCAUGUAUCUUUACUCUCGAUAAUAUAAAUGAUUUAUAAAUUUUCUUUAGCCUCGAUUACAUCCUAGAUUCCAAUUUUUUUCAAGGAUGGUUUCAUCCAUUGAGCACACGCACUAAUUAGUAAAAUCACCAUUAGGAGACAAAAAGUGAACUUUAUGAUGUGAAAAAAAUUGCAUUUCAUAUUAUUCCCUAAACUUUAAUUUGCUUUAUCCUUGCUAUAUAAUCUUUAUUAUAUGCAAAUACUUGCUUAUUUCUUCCACAACAAGACACGUAAUCAGUAAACUGCCAUAAUUGUGAACUAUGAUAUCCACUAUUUUGUCAGGUCUCUGUCUUUUUUUUUUUUUUUUUUUUUUUACAUUUUUAAUAUAAGGUAGUACAUUAAACAUGCUAACAAAAUAGUUUCUACAUAGGAACCGAAAAAAAAAUAAAAAUAAAACAAUGGUUAUGAUGCAAUAUUAUAUAGCAAUAUAAUUGGUCUAAGCCGUGAUAUUGUAGUAUAGUUGGUUCAUAAUAUCCAAUCACUAAUGACAAACAUCUAUAAUGAGUAUGAGUCGUUCUUAUCCAUUUUUUUCAUUAAUAUGAGGAGGAUUUAUAUUUAUUGGAUCAUGAAUAUUAAGAGAAAGAGCAGCUUUUAUAUUCCAACAAAGCAAAAUGGUUAGAAAGUCGUACAAUACCUUAAGAUUGCUUCAUUUGCAGUAUCUUCUUUAUUAAAAAGAAUAAAAUAUACACAUACUAAUGGCUAAGAUUUCAAGUGUAAUACUCAAAUAUAACCUUGUUUAAGUGAUCUUGAUAACACAGACAGUGACAAAUACCCUAGCCAAUAAAUAAAUGACCUAUAAAAAAUGACAAAAGCCGACAAGCGCUCGAGUGUUGUCAAAAUAUUAUUGUAAAUAUAUCAAUCCAUGAAGCCAUCGGCAAAAGAGACGAAAGAAACGAAAGCCCCAUGUGUGCUCCACCAUCCGUAAGAAAUAGUUUCCAUGGCCCCAUUUAUAAUUAAGUCGUGUUGGCAGGUGCAUAGGUUUCCCCGCGCCCCCCGCGUUCUGCCGCGGAGAUAAUCAAACAACAUUUUUUUUUUCAUUUUGAGUACUUAAAAUGGUCCAAAUGUGAAAUUCAGUACUCAAAAUUUUCAGUAAUUAUUUUUCAGUUUUAUUUAAACGGGCACAUACUCGUAGCUUAUUUUUCACAAAUGAAUUAAGUUCAGCAUUGAUAAAAAAAGAAAAGAAAAACAAGUUGAGUUAAGUUGGAAAUCGAAUUAUAGUGCGUAAGGUUCGACUUGAAAUCACUGGUGUAGUAGUUCACUUUUGCCAUUAGACUAAAUGUUGAAUAUGUUUGAGAUCUUUACAAUUUAUUUGGCUUGACUUCUAGCUUUUUCUUAAUGACGAAGCACAAAUCAAGUACGUAAAUCCACAUAUCAAUAAAUUCUCCACUAAUGCAAAGUAUCGGGCAAGACACAAGUCUCCAAAUACGAAAGAGGUUAUGGUUACAAAUACGAGGAAUCAACACAUAGCAUGCUUAGGGAGCAUUUGGUAAUGAUUUUGUUCAGGAGGAUAAUUUUUUAUCAAAAAUAGUUUUUUCUGAUUUUAUUAUCGGGAAUAAUUUAUGAGCAAAAAAAUGUGUUCGGUAACUUCACAAAAGUUCUAUUCUCGAGAUAAAAAUUGUUUUGUUUCUUUUAAUUUUUUUAGUACUUUUAUUAUCUUUUCUUAUUUUUCUCUUCUCCUUCCUCUUUCUUUGUGGCCAGUCGCUGGCCUGGCAAGCUGGCAACCAGCUGGGUGAGGUCUGAUGAGCCGUGGCCUUACUAGGCCAUCGAUGAGCCUCAACCUCGCCUAGUAGGUUGUUGGCCACGGCGGUGGCAAGCAAUCGGCCACAAAGAAAGGGGAAGGUGAAGGGAAAAUAAAAAAGAAAAAAGAGAAACAAUAAGAAAAUAUAAUAAAAGUAUUAAAAAAAUUAAAAGAAAAUUUGUGAAGUUACCAAACACGUUUUUUUGCUAAUAAAUUAUUCUUGAGAAAUAAAUAAAAAACCAUUUUUAAUAAAAAAAUUAUUCUUUGAAACAUAAUAAUUACCAAACACGUAAUAAUUUUUGCUUUCCAUUCCCUCGCAACUCUCACAAUUGAACUUUUACUUAACAAAAAUUAUUUAAAAGAUUCCAAAUAUGUAGAUAUAGAUAAUUAUACAAUUAUAUUUGUAAUUUAACUUAAAGAAUGUACAUAUUUAAAUUUUUUAAAUGUAAAACAUCAAUUAUAUUUUUAAGUGCAACCUAAAUUUUUAUCAAAGGGCCGCACACCAAAAUUUUCUUUUAUUUUGAAAAAGGUAAUACACCUCUUAGUAAUUAGAGAAAAAGGCCAAAAUAUGGAGCCGCCUCAGUUGGCGCUGUCGAGGAGCGUUGCACGGUCCCCGUCUCCUUUUUCAAAAGCCAAACGAAAUCGCUCCGAAAGUCCAACGCCCAGGUCGCCUCGGUCGGGGAGAACACGGGAACUUGCUCGGACCGUGCGCCACGUGAGCUGGAGGGGGCAAUUCGGUACAUUCGGAGUGGCCGAAGAUAUCCUCGAGAUGCGAGGCGGGGGGCCACAGGUGGGCUUCGGUUUCUGAGUAGCUGGCCCUCGUAGCUGUCAAGCAAAGUGGAGAGGAGGAGCGCCGUGGGUCCGCUUGAAGAGACAACUUAGGCAGAAUCCACGAAGCAAAUGUCCUGCUCUGUUUUCGUGGAUAAAAGGGUCUGGGACGGUUGGACGGCAAAAACUCAGCAUCGUUCGAGCAAGCGCGGGAGAGAGUGUUGAGUGUAGUUAAUCCGAAGUCCAAGGCUGAGAACCGGCAGAGAUCACGGCAGUGGGUCGAUUGAGUUGUUUGAACACUUCUCAGGUAAUCGAUUGCUCCAUUUUCCUUUGAUGAGUUUCGAUUUGAGUUCUUAGAGAUUUCUGCAUUUCGAAAAUUGGAUUGUGAAAUCUACCUUUUCUUUCAAGGCUCAGCUCGAUUAAUCUCCUUUUUGGUCAAUUAGGGCGCGUUUGAUAACGAUUCUGUUCCCGGGAGCUGAUUCUGACUAGAAAUGAUUAUUUUUUAUUCUGUUUCCGGGAACUGAUUCUGAGUAAAAAAAACGUGUUUGAUAACUGUCCAAAUUUUUUUAUUCUGGAAUAGAAUUGCGUUUGAUACCAUGUUAAUUGAUUAUGUUUCAAAUUAAUUUAUUUUAAUUUUUUAAUAAUUUUAAAUACUUUUUUUUAUUACUUUUUUCCUUCUUUUUUUUCUUUUUUUCUUUUUUUCCCCUUUCUCCUAUUCUUCUUCUUCUUCUUCUUCAUUUGGCCGGUCCCCGGACCGGCGACCGGCCAGACGAGGGCUGGCGAAGCUCACCAGAGCGUUGCUGGCAGCUAGGCGAGGCUCGACCUCGUCAGAUCUGCGAGGCCAAGCCUCUCCGAUGGCUAGGCGGGGUUAGGCGAGCCUCGCCGGUGGCUGGGCUUACCUCCGGCGAGCUCGCCGGACCUCGCCCUAGCCUGGCGAGCCUCCGGCUAGCUCGCCGGACCUGCGGAUGGUGGUGGACGGCGGCGAGCGGUGGUGGACGACAAUUGUGAGAUGUCGGAAGGAAAGAAAGAGACUUUUACUGUUGUGAUUCUUUUUUUUUAUUCUCGGACGGAGAAUCACAUUUUUUUUUUUUAAUUUUCAAUUCUCUUCCCAAUCUGUUCCUGGGAACAAAAAUUUUACCAAACGCGAUUCUCGUCCCAAACUGAUUCUGGGAACAAAAAAUUAGAAUCAGGCACUGUUUGGCACGUUGCCAAACAUGCCCUUAGACUUCAUUUUUGUUUGAAUGUAGUUACGAAAUGAGCCCUGACAGAGAUUUCAACAAUUCCCAAGUGUGGGAUUCCAUAUAUUCUCAUCUAUGUUUCCUGCUUUCCUUUGAGGCUCUACUCCAUCAAUCUCUUUUACUGCCUUUGUAGGUGACUACGAAGGCGGAGCCUAAAAGAUUUGAUAUGUGGGGCGUCUUCCUCGACCUCUUUUACUGCCUUUGUAGGCUAUGUUCCUCGUCCUCCAAUUCUCUUGAGAUGGAAAGAAAUGAACCCACUCAUUUAGAAGAUCAGGAUUCCGGGGCUUCUUCCUCAUGGUCAUCUCCACUUGCAGGUGAUUAUGAAGGUGGAACUAAAAAGAUAGAAGGAAAUGAUUACGAAGUGUUCUUGAGCUUUAGAGGGAAGGAUACUCGUAAAGGCUUCACUGAUUAUCUCUAUACCAGUCUUGUUGAUGCAAGAGUUCAUGUGUUCAGAGACGACAAUGAGCUUCGUGUUGGUGAGGAGAUUGGACCGGAACUUUUCCAUAGUAUUACACAAUCUAAGAUCUCCAUCCCGAUUAUCUCAGAGGACUACGCUUCCAGUAAAUGGUGCCUUCACGAGCUGGCUCAUAUGUUGAAGUGUAAGAGAAAUGGAGGGCAAACGGUUUUGCCCAUAUUUUACAAAGUGGAACCCUCGCAAUUGCGAAAUCCUAGUGGUAGAUUAAGAGAUGCUAUCAAUGCACAUAAAAAGAAAUUGGGCAAAAUUGUUGCAGAGGAAUGGGAACAAGUGCUUAAGGAAGUCAGUUGCUUAAAAGGAUUGGAAUCGGAGAAAGUUGAAAACGGGUACACUGUUCUCCACCAAAACAUUGUUAACUUCUUUUAACCAAAUCUUUUUUGAAAAAGAAUAUAACUGUUACCAUCCUAAAUUGAAAUUCAUUGUCAUUUGAUAGGCAUGAAGGGGCAUUGGUCAAAAUUGUUGUCAGAAAAGUUAUGCACGAGUUGAAAAGACUUUUUCAGCUAAAUGUUCCCGAACUAUUGGUGGGAAUUGAUGAUCCAGUGGAACAUAUUAUGAGCAAGAUAGAUGCUACAUUCAGUGGAACAUGGAUUAUUGGAAUUUAUGGAAUGGGCGGUAUCGGUAAAACAACUCUUGCAAAGGUGUUAUACAACAAACUCUUUAGUCGUUUUGAGGAUCGUAGCUUUCUGGAAAAUAUUCGAGAGACAUGUCACCACGAGAGUAUUAUAUGCCUACAAAAGCAACUCAUUUAUGACAUAAUAGGAAAAUCGCUUGAUGUGUCUAAUGCUGACCAGGGAAUUAGUGUCAUCAAAUCUCGAUUUAAAAGUAAGAAAAUUCUUGUUCUUCUAGAUGACAUGGAUGAUAUUACUCACUUGAAUGCUUUGGCCGGAGAUCAUAAUUGGUUUAAAGCAGGAAGUAUAGUCAUCAUAACAACUAGAAACAAGGGGAUCCUUGACGAGGCUAGAGUAGACCACAUGUACCCACUCAACGAGUUGCCUUUAGAUAAAUCAUUGAUUUUAUUUAGUAGACAUGCUUUUCGAAAGGAUUCUCCUCCAAGUGAUGAUGAGGAUAUUUCUCGUGAUGUUGUAUUAACUACUGGGGGACUUCCCUUAGCUCUCAAAAUUAUAGGUUCAUUCUUAUAUGGAAAGACAAAAAAAGUAUGGAAAGAUACAUUAAAGAAAUUAAAGAAGGUGCCUGAAAAGAGAGUGCAAGACACGUUGAGGGUGAGUUAUGAGGCAUUAGACUAUCGGGAGAAACAGAUUUUUUUGGAUAUAGCAUGUUUUUUUAUUGGAUCAUCUAAAGAAAUUCCGACUUAUAUGUGGGAUGCAUGUGGUUUUUUUCCGGAGAAGGGGAUUGAAGUAUUGAGUCUUAUGUCCCUUAUUAAAAUUGGUGAAGAGGGCAAUCUAAUUAUGCACGAUCAACUGAGAGAUCUUGGAAAGGGAAAUUGUUAUCUAGAAAAUCCAAGGGAACCUCAAAAGCGUAGCAGAUUAUGGAUUAUGAGGAAGAUGAAGAUGUGAUUCACAAUAAUAAGGUAAGAGUUUUUUCUACUUCUCUUAGUGAAUGUGAGUCCAUCUUCUCUUUUAUGUUUGAGAUAAAAAUUAUUGUCAAUCUGAAGUCCCUAAAACUUGUUGCUUCUACUAGCAAAAGAGCUCUUCUGACUAAUUGCUUAAUUGUUGUUUUUGCCUGAUUCUUGGACGUAAUUGAGGACCAAUUUCUAGGUUGUUGGUGAAUUAUAUAUACCUCUAUCUCAUAGUAUUGUGAUGAGGACACUCUCCUUUGGUAACUUUAAUGCAAUAAAAUAAUUAAAAAAGCAUAAUAUUUGACAGAGCACUUUCAAAGAAAAGCUGAUUUCUUGUUGGCGGCCAUGCUUUUCCCAGUACAUGUUUGAUACACAUAUGUGAUGUUUAGAUUUUUGCUUUGACUUCUUGUGAGGUCUUUUCAUAAUAUUUUCUUUUACUGAGUAUUGACUUUCUUAUGAGUUGUUUGCCAUGAUAAAUGAGACCUCCAUUCAUUUAUGGGAGUAACUAUAUUGGUCCCGUAUUUUUUAGGAUUGGGUUAAGUAUAGUUUUUGUCUCCUAAGUAUUACAAUUUAUGUGAUUUAGUCCCCUAUCUUUCCUUUUUUUUUUUUUUACAUUAUAGUCCUUUGUCUUUCACAAUUUAUGUAAUCAUGUUCUUUGUCAUCAAUCAUUAGUCAACACUGUCAAUUUGAUAAUAUGACUUUCAUAUUUAUUUAAGAUAUAUAUGCAACCUUGCAAUGUAACCCUCUAAACCAAUUUUAUUUUCGUUCUAUAGGCUUUCUAUAACAGUGCAUACAUUUUUUCUAUGAAUUUGCUACUAUUAUUUUUUUUUAUUUUUGUGACAAUGGAUAAUUUAUCUAUUAAUCCCCUAAUAACAUUUAUUGUCAAAUUUUCACUAUCAUCCCAUAAUAAUCACUUCUACAUAGCUCAACUCUUAGUGAGCAUCUUAGUUAACAAAAAUAUUUACUUAAUUUUAUAUCAACAUUUGUUAAAUAUGGACUAUCAUGUGACUUAAUUCUUGUAUUGAUUUUUUAUUUACCAAAUAUUGACUGCCGUGGUAUAAUAAAUAUUGCUACAUCGUUCAAAUAUUAGCAAGCAAUUUAUUUAGCACAUAUUUAGUACAUUUCUAUCAUUUAAUUGUUAAAUGUGAGCUAUCAUGUUAUACAUUUUUUUUAACGGAUGUUAUUAUAAUUGACUUAUAAGAUAUGACAAAAUAUUUUCUCAUAAUGAGUAUUCCUAGAACUUUUAAUCAUAAUGGCCACCACUUAUUAUACAUUUCGUUAUACUUAUCAUUCGAGUUUAUGUCGUCAUGUGAUAGAGCCCUCUAACAUAUAUUCUUUUUUCUUUUAUGAUGGGCAAUUUUUUAAAUUCAUCUACUUGUAAAGCAUGUUUAAAUAAUUUUUUUCUGGUGAUGAUGGUUACUUUUUAGUCAUAAUGGGACACCUUUGCAAUCACAAGAGUCGUCAGUAGUAACACUCAUAUAGUUUUAGAUGGAAGUAAUAGAGCCAUAACUUUCUGCUGCACACUCUAGUCUCAGUAUCUCACUUUUCUCUAUUAGUCUUAAAUUUGACCAAUUUGCGAAAACGAGAGAUGGUCAAUGACUUAUACUCAUCCAUCAAAUAUGAAUGGAAUGCUCUAUAUCCAUUUCUCUCUAGCUCUUCCCAUUUCAUGUGUCUUGAUUGGUUUAAGGAAUAAAUUGGACACAUGUCAAACGAUUGAUGAAAUAAUUGGGAACGAAGCAAAAGUACCCCGCAACAUACUCAUGCAACUCACCAUCUCACAUUCUUCUUUUGAUCCAUGCGUACUUUUUCUUUUUUCUCCUUUUAAAGCUUNNNNNNNNNNNNNNNNNNNNNNNNNNNNNNNNNNNNNNNNNNNNNNNNNNNNNNNNNNNNNNNNNNNNNNNNNNNNNNNNNNNNNNNNNNNNNNNNNNNNUUGACAUAUAUAGAUUGUGAUUAUGGAUAAUUACAAUUUAAUAUAUGAAUUUUAAUCAUUUAGUAAUUAAUUUGUGAUCAUGAUUUAAACUUAAUCAUAUGGAAUGUGAUCAUAUGAACAUAAAUAUUUCUUGUUACAUAAUUAAUAGUAAGAUUGACAUAUUAAUUAUUGCAAUAAUUAAUAUAAUUAGUAAUUAACAUGAUCAUUUUAUUAUGAAUAUAUAAUAUUAACUUAUGACAAAUUUAGAUAACCAUACCUAAUAAGAAGCCACUAACAUUGUGCUAAUUAGUAUAUAAUAAAUAAUUUUUAACCUUAUAAGUGAUAAUGAAUUAUCAAGAUAACAUAAUCACUAUUUCAUCGACUAUUUGCCUAUUAUUUAACAUUCUAUUUAUUAAUGAUAUAAUAUGUGAUUAAAGUCAAGAUACGUAUCAUUGAUAUUAUUAUUACAUAAUACUAUAAAUGAUUUUACUUAUAAUUAAUAUGUACGUUGAUUAUAGUCAAUAAUAUAACACUUAUAGAGUGAAAGCAAAAAAAAAAAAGACAUGUAUUUUGGAAAUAGCUACUAUGGCCCGGUAGUAAUAGCUACUACACAACGGGGUGAUAGUAAUUAUAAUCGGGUUGCAAUAACUUUCAUUGCGAGUAAACAUUGUAUACUAUAAUAGUCAUUACAGCAACCAUACAUGUUUUAAUAAUCUAAACGUACACUGGUAAUCCAUUGCUAUAAAGUAUAUAUAUAAAUGAAGCGUAUAAAUGUGCAAAACUAAAUGGCACAGGUUAUUUGGUAAUCACAUACUUAUAUUCUAAUUAAUCUUAAAAAAUAACGAGAUACUAGAUUACUGUAAAAAAUGCAAGUCUUAAUCUUGUGCAUAGCGCAAGACUUCUCCUACUAUUUUUUUUUUUUUUUGGUGAAGUUAAGAGAAGACUUCUCCUACUAUUAGGAUCUACAACACUAGAAAAAUAGAGAAUCUAAGCAUUCUUUCCAUUCAAUAUAAGAAGAAGACGUAAUAUAAAGAAGUUGUCACCCAAAAAAAAAAAAAAAAAAAAGAGCAAAAGAAGCUGCAAAAAGAAGUACGUGUUGUUAAUAAUAAAAACAAAGAAGUGGAAAUACAAAUGUAAGUAAUUAAGGAAUAUUAACAUAUAGUUGCAUAAUGUGUCGACAGGGACACAAUGUGGAAGGUCAUUCAAUUUUAAGAAUAAAUGGGCGUUGCAAGUGAGAAGAGGCAUUUCUCCACUUUUCUAGUUAGCCAGAAAAUUGUUGAGUUAUGAGUAAUGGCAUAGCUCCAAGGACAUAUCACAUGUAUUUCAUCUUUAAAAAAGAAAGAAUUUCUGCGUAAGAGAAUUUACUGUAUAAGUGAAGUUGAGUCUGUUUAAAAUUUAUGCAAUGUAUUUAAAUGCAAAAAGAAGAUGAAUCGCAAAUCACAUAACAAACAUACUAUUUCAAAACAAAUACCUUCUAAAUUACUAUUGAAAAUACGAAGAAACUUGUCUACUCAAACUUACCCUUUCUAAAAAAAAUGGUGUCUGUUAAUUUAAACAUAAAAAAGUUAAAUAAUAUUAAUUGAUACCACUAAGUUCAAAGAAAUAAAAGAACUGAAUAUAAUACAUGAACCGUUAGAUAAAGUUGUCUACAAAUAUGCCACCGAAAAUGUGAAGAGGAGGUCCAAGCAUGUAACUUCUAAGGAAGGUGUCUAUUCAUCAAAAUAUGAAUAAUGUAUUAUUUCUUAAAUGUCAUUUUUUGAAGAGAACUGUCUUUUCAUGCAAUAAUAAAGUCAAUGACACUAAUUGAUGGUUCCGUCUAUUUUAAACUCGAGAAAUCAGAGAAACGUUAGUAGAAUAACAAACGAACCGUAUAUAUAAUCACUGGAGCCUAACCAAUCAUUGAAAAAUUCAAAAAGUGACGCAUCUUUAAAUGUAAUACUUUGAAUAGGCAUGUUCCUUAAUGAGAGUAUGGAUGGGAACUCUACUUAUAUACGUUAUUUAAAAUAAACAUACUAUUUUCAUGAAGUAAAUAAUAUUAGCAAUAUAUUAUUUUGGAGAUCCUAUUUUUAUCAUUCAACAAAUAGUGUAUGGUCAGAAUAAAGACCAUAGAACUAAAUGACUUCGUUUAGAAGAGUAAUGAGCACUUNNNNNNNNNNNNNNNNNNNNNNNNNNNNNNNNNNNNNNNNNNNNNNNNNNNNNNNNNNNNNNNNNNNNNNNNNNNNNNNNNNNNNNNNNNNNNNNNNNNNNNNNNNNNNNNNNNNNNNNNNNNNNNNNNNNNNNNNNNNNNNNNNNNNNNNNNNNNNNNNNNNNNNNNNNNNNNNNNNNNNNNNNNNNNNNNNNNNNNNNNNNNNNNNNNNNNNNNNNNNNNNNNNNNNNNNNNNNNNNNNNNNNNNNNNNNNNNNNNNNNNNNNNNNNNNNNNNNNNNNNNNNNNNNNNNNNNNNNNNNNNNNNNNNNNNNNNNNNNNNNNNNNNNNNNNNNNNNNNNNNNNNNNNNNNNNNNNNNNNNNNNNNNNNNNNNNNNNNNNNNNNNNNNNNNNNNNNNNNNNNNNNNNNNNNNNNNNNNNNNNNNNNNNNNNNNNNNNNNNNNNNNNNNNNNNNNNNNNNNNNNNNNNNNNNNNNNNNNNNNNNNNNNNNNNNNNNNNNNNNNNNNNNNNNNNNNNNNNNNNNNNNNNNNNNNNNNNNNNNNNNNNNNNNNNNNNNNNNNNNNNNNNNNNNNNNNNNNNNNNNNNNNNNNNNNNNNNNNNNNNNNNNNNNNNNNNNNNNNNNNNNNNNNNNNNNNNNNNNNNNNNNNNNNNNNNNNNNNNNNNNNNNNNNNNNNNNNNNNNNNNNNNNNNNNNNNNNNNNNNNNNNNNNNNNNNNNNNNNNNNNNNNNNNNNNNNNNNNNNNNNNNNNNNNNNNNNNNNNNNNNNNNNNNNNNNNNNNNNNNNNNNNNNNNNNNNNNNNNNNNNNNNNNNNNNNNNNNNNNNNNNNNNNNNNNNNNNNNNNNNNNNNNNNNNNNNNNNNNNNNNNNNNNNNNNNNNNNNNNNNNNNNNNNNNNNNNNNNNNNNNNNNNNNNNNNNNNNNNNNNNNNNNNNNNNNNNNNNNNNNNNNNNNNNNNNNNNNNNNNNNNNNNNNNNNNNNNNNNNNNNNNNNNNNNNNNNNNNNNNNNNNNNNNNNNNNNNNNNNNNNNNNNNNNNNNNNNNNNNNNNNNNNNNNNNNNNNNNNNNNNNNNNNNNNNNNNNNNNNNNNNNNNNNNNNNNNNNNNNNNNNNNNNNNNNNNNNNNNNNNNNNNNNNNNNNNNNNNNNNNNNNNNNNNNNNNNNNNNNNNNNNNNNNNNNNNNNNNNNNNNNNNNNNNNNNNNNNNNNNNNNNNNNNNNNNNNNNNNNNNNNNNNNNNNNNNNNNNNNNNNNNNNNNNNNNNNNNNNNNNNNNNNNNNNNNNNNNNNNNNNNNNNNNNNNNNNNNNNNNNNNNNNNNNNNNNNNNNNNNNNNNNNNNNNNNNNNNNNNNNNNNNNNNNNNNNNNNNNNNNNNNNNNNNNNNNNNNNNNNNNNNNNNNNNNNNNNNNNNNNNNNNNNNNNNNNNNNNNNNNNNNNNNNNNNNNNNNNNNNNNNNNNNNNNNNNNNNNNNNNNNNNNNNNNNNNNNNNNNNNNNNNNNNNNNNNNNNNNNNNNNNNNNNNNNNNNNNNNNNNNNNNNNNNNNNNNNNNNNNNNNNNNNNNNNNNNNNNNNNNNNNNNNNNNNNNNNNNNNNNNNNNNNNNNNNNNNNNNNNNNNNNNNNNNNNNNNNNNNNNNNNNNNNNNNNNNNNNNNNNNNNNNNNNNNNNNNNNNNNNNNNNNNNNNNNNNNNNNNNNNNNNNNNNNNNNNNNNNNNNNNNNNNNNNNNNNNNNNNNNNNNNNNNNNNNNNNNNNNNNNNNNNNNNNNNNNNNNNNNNNNNNNNNNNNNNNNNNNNNNNNNNNNNNNNNNNNNNNNNNNNNNNNNNNNNNNNNNNNNNNNNNNNNNNNNNNNNNNNNNNNNNNNNNNNNNNNNNNNNNNNNNNNNNNNNNNNNNNNNNNNNNNNNNNNNNNNNNNNNNNNNNNNNNNNNNNNNNNNNNNNNNNNNNNNNNNNNNNNNNNNNNNNNNNNNNNNNNNNNNNNNNNNNNNNNNNNNNNNNNNNNNNNNNNNNNNNNNNNNNNNNNNNNNNNNNNNNNNNNNNNNNNNNNNNNNNNNNNNNNNNNNNNNNNNNNNNNNNNNNNNNNNNNNNNNNNNNNNNNNNNNNNNNNNNNNNNNNNNNNNNNNNNNNNNNNNNNNNNNNNNNNNNNNNNNNNNNNNNNNNNNNNNNNNNNNNNNNNNNNNNNNNNNNNNNNNNNNNNNNNNNNNNNNNNNNNNNNNNNNNNNNNNNNNNNNNNNNNNNNNNNNNNNNNNNNNNNNNNNNNNNNNNNNNNNNNNNNNNNNNNNNNNNNNNNNNNNNNNNNNNNNNNNNNNNNNNNNNNNNNNNNNNNNNNNNNNNNNNNNNNNNNNNNNNNNNNNNNNNNNNNNNNNNNNNNNNNNNNNNNNNNNNNNNNNNNNNNNNNNNNNNNNNNNNNNNNNNNNNNNNNNNNNNNNNNNNNNNNNNNNNNNNNNNNNNNNNNNNNNNNNNNNNNNNNNNNNNNNNNNNNNNNNNNNNNNNNNNNNNNNNNNNNNNNNNNNNNNNNNNNNNNNNNNNNNNNNNNNNNNNNNNNNNNNNNNNNNNNNNNNNNNNNNNNNNNNNNNNNNNNNNNNNNNNNNNNNNNNNNNNNNNNNNNNNNNNNNNNNNNNNNNNNNNNNNNNNNNNNNNNNNNNNNNNNNNNNNNNNNNNNNNNNNNNNNNNNNNNNNNNNNNNNNNNNNNNNNNNNNNNNNNNNNNNNNNNNNNNNNNNNNNNNNNNNNNNNNNNNNNNNNNNNNNNNNNNNNNNNNNNNNNNNNNNNNNNNNNNNNNNNNNNNNNNNNNNNNNNNNNNNNNNNNNNNNNNNNNNNNNNNNNNNNNNNNNNNNNNNNNNNNNNNNNNNNNNNNNNNNNNNNNNNNNNNNNNNNNNNNNNNNNNNNNNNNNNNNNNNNNNNNNNNNNNNNNNNNNNNNNNNNNNNNNNNNNNNNNNNNNNNNNNNNNNNNNNNNNNNNNNNNNNNNNNNNNNNNNNNNNNNNNNNNNNNNNNNNNNNNNNNNNNNNNNNNNNNNNNNNNNNNNNNNNNNNNNNNNNNNNNNNNNNNNNNNNNNNNNNNNNNNNNNNNNNNNNNNNNNNNNNNNNNNNNNNNNNNNNNNNNNNNNNNNNNNNNNNNNNNNNNNNNNNNNNNNNNNNNNNNNNNNNNNNNNNNNNNNNNNNNNNNNNNNNNNNNNNNNNNNNNNNNNNNNNNNNNNNNNNNNNNNNNNNNNNNNNNNNNNNNNNNNNNNNNNNNNNNNNNNNNNNNNNNNNNNNNNNNNNNNNNNNNNNNNNNNNNNNNNNNNNNNNNNNNNNNNNNNNNNNNNNNNNNNNNNNNNNNNNNNNNNNNNNNNNNNNNNNNNNNNNNNNNNNNNNNNNNNNNNNNNNNNNNNNNNNNNNNNNNNNNNNNNNNNNNNNNNNNNNNNNNNNNNNNNNNNNNNNNNNNNNNNNNNNNNNNNNNNNNNNNNNNNNNNNNNNNNNNNNNNNNNNNNNNNNNNNNNNNNNNNNNNNNNNNNNNNNNNNNNNNNNNNNNNNNNNNNNNNNNNNNNNNNNNNNNNNNNNNNNNNNNNNNNNNNNNNNNNNNNNNNNNNNNNNNNNNNNNNNNNNNNNNNNNNNNNNNNNNNNNNNNNNNNNNNNNNNNNNNNNNNNNNNNNNNNNNNNNNNNNNNNNNNNNNNNNNNNNNNNNNNNNNNNNNNNNNNNNNNNNNNNNNNNNNNNNNNNNNNNNNNNNNNNNNNNNNNNNNNNNNNNNNNNNNNNNNNNNNNNNNNNNNNNNNNNNNNNNNNNNNNNNNNNNNNNNNNNNNNNNNNNNNNNNNNNNNNNNNNNNNNNNNNNNNNNNNNNNNNNNNNNNNNNNNNNNNNNNNNNNNNNNNNNNNNNNNNNNNNNNNNNNNNNNNNNNNNNNNNNNNNNNNNNNNNNNNNNNNNNNNNNNNNNNNNNNNNNNNNNNNNNNNNNNNNNNNNNNNNNNNNNNNNNNNNNNNNNNNNNNNNNNNNNNNNNNNNNNNNNNNNNNNNNNNNNNNNNNNNNNNNNNNNNNNNNNNNNNNNNNNNNNNNNNNNNNNNNNNNNNNNNNNNNNNNNNNNNNNNNNNNNNNNNNNNNNNNNNNNNNNNNNNNNNNNNNNNNNNNNNNNNNNNNNNNNNNNNNNNNNNNNNNNNNNNNNNNNNNNNNNNNNNNNNNNNNNNNNNNNNNNNNNNNNNNNNNNNNNNNNNNNNNNNNNNNNNNNNNNNNNNNNNNNNNNNNNNNNNNNNNNNNNNNNNNNNNNNNNNNNNNNNNNNNNNNNNNNNNNNNNNNNNNNNNNNNNNNNNNNNNNNNNNNNNNNNNNNNNNNNNNNNNNNNNNNNNNNNNNNNNNNNNNNNNNNNNNNNNNNNNNNNNNNNNNNNNNNNNNNNNNNNNNNNNNNNNNNNNNNNNNNNNNNNNNNNNNNNNNNNNNNNNNNNNNNNNNNNNNNNNNNNNNNNNNNNNNNNNNNNNNNNNNNNNNNNNNNNNNNNNNNNNNNNNNNNNNNNNNNNNNNNNNNNNNNNNNNNNNNNNNNNNNNNNNNNNNNNNNNNNNNNNNNNNNNNNNNNNNNNNNNNNNNNNNNNNNNNNNNNNNNNNNNNNNNNNNNNNNNNNNNNNNNNNNNNNNNNNNNNNNNNNNNNNNNNNNNNNNNNNNNNNNNNNNNNNNNNNNNNNNNNNNNNNNNNNNNNNNNNNNNNNNNNNNNNNNNNNNNNNNNNNNNNNNNNNNNNNNNNNNNNNNNNNNNNNNNNNNNNNNNNNNNNNNNNNNNNNNNNNNNNNNNNNNNNNNNNNNNNNNNNNNNNNNNNNNNNNNNNNNNNNNNNNNNNNNNNNNNNNNNNNNNNNNNNNNNNNNNNNNNNNNNNNNNNNNNNNNNNNNNNNNNNNNNNNNNNNNNNNNNNNNNNNNNNNNNNNNNNNNNNNNNNNNNNNNNNNNNNNNNNNNNNNNNNNNNNNNNNNNNNNNNNNNNNNNNNNNNNNNNNNNNNNNNNNNNNNNNNNNNNNNNNNNNNNNNNNNNNNNNNNNNNNNNNNNNNNNNNNNNNNNNNNNNNNNNNNNNNNNNNNNNNNNNNNNNNNNNNNNNNNNNNNNNNNNNNNNNNNNNNNNNNNNNNNNNNNNNNNNNNNNNNNNNNNNNNNNNNNNNNNNNNNNNNNNNNNNNNNNNNNNNNNNNNNNNNNNNNNNNNNNNNNNNNNNNNNNNNNNNNNNNNNNNNNNNNNNNNNNNNNNNNNNNNNNNNNNNNNNNNNNNNNNNNNNNNNNNNNNNNNNNNNNNNNNNNNNNNNNNNNNNNNNNNNNNNNNNNNNNNNNNNNNNNNNNNNNNNNNNNNNNNNNNNNNNNNNNNNNNNNNNNNNNNNNNNNNNNNNNNNNNNNNNNNNNNNNNNNNNNNNNNNNNNNNNNNNNNNNNNNNNNNNNNNNNNNNNNNNNNNNNNNNNNNNNNNNNNNNNNNNNNNNNNNNNNNNNNNNNNNNNNNNNNNNNNNNNNNNNNNNNNNNNNNNNNNNNNNNNNNNNNNNNNNNNNNNNNNNNNNNNNNNNNNNNNNNNNNNNNNNNNNNNNNNNNNNNNNNNNNNNNNNNNNNNNNNNNNNNNNNNNNNNNNNNNNNNNNNNNNNNNNNNNNNNNNNNNNNNNNNNNNNNNNNNNNNNNNNNNNNNNNNNNNNNNNNNNNNNNNNNNNNNNNNNNNNNNNNNNNNNNNNNNNNNNNNNNNNNNNNNNUGAGAACCACGUAUCCUUCAACAAAACAUCUAUUAGCAAACAUACAUCUUCAAUCCCAUAAUUAUAAAAAUUCAAAUUUGAAGUAUUAUAAAAUUAAAUUUUUUCCUUAUUAAACUUGGAAGUUAAGUAUUUUAACAAUACAUACAUGACCUUAUUGUCAUAUAGAGAACGAUCAAAUAUUACGUUUGAAUGAUAACAUAGCUUUAAACUUGCAACUUUUUUAGAAAUUUAUAAAAGAACGAUAAUUAUUAAUAAAACUAAACAACUUCAAAACCAUAUGCUUGCACAGAAGUAAUAUUAACAUAAUAUGAUUAAUCUUCAUGUCCAAUCUGUUUGUUAGCAAGGUCUUAUUAAUCUAUGGGCAAAUUAGACAAAAAAUUAGAUGACUACUAUUUCUCUGUAACAAAAUCAAUACAAAAUGAAUAGAUAGUAGUAAACAUCUGUAGUCAUAAAAAGAGAAGUAAAAAUCAUUUAUAUAACAUUUGAUAUAUGUUUUCUUCCACAUGUAAUGAAAAACACUCAUUAAAAAAACGCAUGAUAAGAAAGGAAUGAAAAACACGUGCGUACUUUUUGGGAUGGAAUCCUUGUUUUUAUUUUGCUAUUGAGAAUUGCAAACAAGAUACAUAAGAAAAAGGAGAGGGAUUCUACAAUUGGGAUUCUUUAGUAUUUAUACAUGUUUUGAUGCCAAGUUUGAUAGAUGUAUUUGAACCAUAAGAGCCAUGUUGUUCCACAUAUAAAGGAUAUGAGUUAGGGUUUUGUUGUUUCCCAAAUAAAGGGCGUGAGAUUUUAUAGAUAUAUUUGAGGUAGUUUGUGCAUGAAGAGAGGCCUUCUAUUGUAAUAUUGAAAGGAUGCAACUUUCGGGAAUUUGAAACAUGCAAAUUGUGAAGGGCAUAAUUGGUAGAGGAAAAUUCAAGGACCACCUCUUGAGCUUCACAUUUUUAUAUAGAGAAAGCUACGCGGCUGAGAACUUCAAAGAAUUGACCAACUUAAGGUUCCUUCAAGUGAACGGUGUGAAUCUUACUGGAGAUUUUCAGAACUUACUUCCUCAAUUAAGAUGGCUCGAAUGGGGGUAUUGUUGCUUGGAUUUUGAAGAGGCCAACUUUCACCUGAAGAAAUUAAUUGUGCUCGACUUGAGGAAUAGUCAGAUUUCGGAGGACUGGAGAGGAUGGGGCCCACUAAAGGUAAGAUGUAGAGAAGGCAUAUCUCUUAUGCAUAAUCAUGUGUUAUCAACGGCCCCAAUUGCACCAAGUUCUCCUUUAUUUCUUCUGAAAAUCCUUUCUCAUACAAUGGAUUUUCCUCUAAGCAUAAGGGGAAAUUAUAGGCACUUAAAUAUGUUAGAAGCUUAUGCCCCUUAAUAUUUUAACAACUAGUCAUGCUUAACAUCAGACCUACUAAUAAUUUUUUUAAUUGUAUUAAUUAACAUCCAUCAAAAAAUAUAAUUACAAUAUUGUGCCUAUCUUAACUUUAAUCUAAAUUGUAUAUGGUUUCGAGUUAAUUUCUCCCCCGUGAAAGUAUGUCUUUUUAGCAAUUCUUGUUAUAUUUAUAUGUGGAUCUUCUUUCAUGGAGAAACAAAAACCCUCACAGUGACUUGUGUUUUACAAACAUACUAAAAUUCUAAAUUCAUUGUUACUUUUAGAGUAAUGGAAAUAAUUUGUGGACUACUCUGACUUGUUGCACACAAUAUUUUUUCAUUAUUAUUGUUGAUUGUUGAAGUUACAAUACAACACAUUUGUAAAGUAGUAAUGUUAUAUGAGUACUAAAAUUAUCCUUGAAAUGGGAUUUAAAUAUUUUUAAUACAACACCUUGUUAUAUCUUAUACAUAUAGCAUUUAAAAAUUGCUUUUCAUAAUUAAAGUAGCCAUUUCUCUUUAAUUUCAUAAUAUUGAAGGAAAACAUGGCACCAAAUGAAUGCAUCUCUUUUCUUCCAUUUGACUUUGUCAUUUGUAAUUUGACAAUAAAAUUUGCAUAUAUCUAAUCAAUGAAUAAUAGCAUAGUCAUAACUUCAAAAAACUAAACAUGAUAUUUUCUAUGAAAUUUUAUUUGCAAAUAAUUGUAGUUACACUUAUACAUCUCUAACGUUCUCUUUGCCAUGAUCUACUUAAAAACAUUUAUUUAUUGGCUAAGGAAAUACACUAUUGAAAAGAAACAUUUAAAAUUAAAUAUGAUAGCUGUGAAGGAGUAGGAAGUACAAGUAUAUCUUUUUUGUCCAAUCUCAAAAUGGUAAUCUCUCUUUCUUUCAGAUGGCAACGGAGCUCAAAGUUCUCAACCUUUCGAAUUGUGCUUUUAGAACAACUCCCGACUUGUCUGCUUUCAAGAGCUUGGAGAUUUUGGUACUUGAAGAAUGUGAGGGUCUAAAAAAGAUUCAUCCUUCUAUUGAGGACAUCAAGACCCUUGUCUCCUUGAAUGUCGGUUAUUGUCAUAAAUUGAAGGAACUACCGCUAGGAGUUGGUAGAAUGGAAGAAUUGAGGGAACUUCUCAUAAAUGAAACUAAUAUACGAGAGAUUCCAAUUUCAAGAGGUUGUUUGACGAAGUUGGAGAAUCUAAAUGCCUCAUAUUGUGAACAACUUGCUCGACUUCCAAAAUCCCUAGGCUCUCUUAUAUCGUUAACUCAGCUAGACCUAUCAAACACAGGAAUUGAAGAAUUGCCUGAAUUCAUUGGAUCUUUAAAGAAGCUCAAGAUUCUAAAUGCCUUUGGUUGUCCCUCGUUAGCCCGCAUGCACAACUCAAUAGGUGAUUUAGCAUCUCUUUCUCGACUUGACCUAAGAGAAUGCAAAAAACUUGCUCAACUUCCAGACUCCAUAAGCUCUCUUGUGUGUCUAUCAGAGUUGUUAUUGUCGGGAUGCCACUCCUUGAGACAAAUCCCAGACUCGAUUGGAAAGUUGACAUCAUUGACUGAGUUGUACUUGAAAUCUAUGGCCAUUGAAAGAUUGCCUGAAUCCAUUGGAUCUUUAAAGAAGCUCGAGACUCUAGAUGCCUCUUGUUGUGCAUCGUUAGCCCGCAUGCCCAACUCAAUAGGCCAUUUAGCAUCUCUGUCUCGACUUGAUCUAAGAGAAUGCAGGAAACUUGCUCAACUUCCGGACUCCAUAGGCUCCCUUGUGUCUCUCUCUUGGUUGUCAUUGUCGGGAUGCCACUCCUUGAGACAAAUCCCAGACUCAAUUGGAAAGUUGACAUCAUUGAUUGAGUUGCGUUUGGAAUCUAUGGCUAUUGAAGAAUUGCCUGAAUCCAUUGGAUCUUUAAAGAAGCUCAGGACUCUAGAUGUCUUUUAUUGUGCAUCGUUAGCCCACAUGCCCAACUCAAUAGGCGAUUUAAUAUCUCUGUCUCAACUUAACCUAAAAGAAUGCAAAAAACUUGCUCAACUUCCAGACUCCAUAGGCUCCCUCGUGUGUAUAUCGCAGCUGUCAUUGUCGGGAUGCCACUCCUUGAGACAAAUCCCAGACUUGAUUGGAAAGUUGACAUCAUUAACUAAGUUGCAUUUGAAAUCUAUGGCCAUUGAAGAAUUGCCUGAAUCCAUUGGAUCUUUAAAGAAGCUCAAGACUUUAGAUGCUUCUUAUUGUGCAUUGUUAGCCCGCAUGCCUAACUCAAUAGGCGAUUUAGCAUCUCUGUCUCAACUUGACCUAAGAGAAUGCAAAAAACUUACUCAACUUCCAGACUCCAUAGGCUCCCUUGUGUCUCUAUCUUGGUUGUCAUUGUCGGGAUGCUGCUCGUUGAGACAAAUCCCAAACUCGAUCGGAAAGUUGACAUCAUUGACUAAGCUGCAUUUGAAAUCCACCGCCAUUGAAGAACUACCUGAAAGCAUCAGAAGUAUGCAGAACUUGAGGAUGUUGGACAUUUGUGAAACUCCUAUAAUAGAACUACUUGAUGACCGGGGAAUAUUGGCAGAACUCCAAGGGUUAAGAGCUUUAGGAUGGAAAAAUCUAGAAGGGCCAGCUAGUAAUAAUGGCCAGUUGGUUUCGCCAAACAAUCUUGAUUUAGAGAAGUAUCAAAAACUAUAUGAGCUGCGCUCUCGCGUACUAGCUCUAGGUAUCACUUACUAGAUUCCGCAAUCGUUGAAUCUUUCUCAACUAAACUUUCUCAAGAAACUCACUAUUUCUGAUUGACUUGAAUGCCUCCCAAACCUUUCUAUAACACUUUGUAGAAAGCUGUGAAACUUGAUUUUGUAUUUUCCAAAAGUCCAAGCUGUUAGUUAGGCAUUCUAUUUACUUUAUGUCUUUCGAUGCAGUUCUCUUAAAGCGUCCCAAGAGUCCUCCUGCCAGCAGCUCAUCCAUGGACUACCAAAUGGCAAAUUCUGAACAUGUUUUGAAGAGAUCAAGACCUUUUGGAAUCUCAUAUGAAGUACUUAUUUCAUCUUGCUUUUUAUUUAUCAUUCUUCAUUAGAGGAUGGCUCAAUCUACAAAGAGAAGUAUUUUACAGAGUGAUCUAUUAUCUGUUAUGUAUGGAAUGCUUUUCUCAACAUUCAUAACUAGAUCUCUUAGAGUUGUCACACGUACUUCUUGCUAUUUUAAGUCUUCUACUCAUGGAAGUGGGGAUUUUUGGUUUUCUUAAAUUAUAAAGUGAAGUUGGAUAAUAUCUCCUGUUCUUUUGCGUUUCUCUUUUUUAAUUAUCUUUUUUUGCAUGCCAUUGAUCGAAAACUUUCUGAAAGUGCUCUCACUUUUGUGCUAUUGCGGCAUAUGAUCAUGCAUUGAGAAUCUUUAGAAGUGUGGAAAGGGAUGGUGGUCAAUUUAUAAAUAUUGAUUGUGGAAAGGGAUGGUGGUCAAUUUAUAAAUAUGAGGGAAAGCCUCACCUUUUAAGUUAGCUUUUGGGGUGAGAUGAGCCCUAGACCACCCAACAAGAAGAAAAUUUUAGUUUUUCAGGUUCCUAGAUACCCUUAACUUUCAUGAUGUUAACCUAAUGAAAUAAUUGAGGAUUGGAAGGAUUAAUAGGAAGUUUGAUGGAGAGAUAAUGGAGCAAAGGGGCUAAGGUUGUCAAUUUGUGUUUGCUUGUCUUAAUUGUGUUUGUGACCAUGUCAAUUCAUCAUGACUUCUAUUAGACAUGUCAAAUCAUUGAAUUAGACAAAAACAUGUAAAUAUCUAAACAUGUGGUGAUGUGUCAUAUUGGGCUGUGUCUGUGUUUUUCGUAUUUGGUAUCGUCAUGUAAAUAGCCUAUGCCAAUAUUGGUAGCAUUAAUGAGGAGCGUGGACUAGGUAAGUGAUGAUUACAUCUUCUCCAUCAUGCAUUCAUUGUGCUUAGUAUGCUAAUAAAAGAGUAGUUCUCAUAUGAGUUUUGCAUCUUUUGAGUGUCAUGGUUUUGAUCUAUUCUCUAAAGGACUCACUGGUUUUGUAAUCUUUAUGACCUUCUAUUAGGUGAAAAAUUUGCCAAUAAACAUUCUACUUGACACAUACAACUACCAAAGCCUCGGUCAAAGUUCUUAUUCUUCAGAUGACUUGCCCAGAAAUGUAGUCAUUACCCUAAGUCAAGGUUCACUUGUUAAGAGUAUGGAUUUCCAUCCAGUGCAACAAAUUCUGUUGCUUGGUUAGCACUUCUUUCUUACUCUAUGAAGACCAUGUUUCUUGCUUAUCUUCAGUUGGGGAUAAGUACACUAGAAGUGUCAAAGUUAUGUACGACGUUCACUUUAGUACCAAUUUUUUUUUUUUAUCACUUAAGUGCCACUUUAAAAGAAAAAAACACACGAUCAUUUGAGUGUCAACUCCGAUUUGGAUCGUCAGAAAUCUGACGUGAUUAUAUUUUAUUAAUUUCUCAAUUCUACAUGGCUCAUCUGCAUGUCUCGUCAGCAUAUAAUCCUUAAAUGACGUCAUCCAAAAGUUAUAAAUAAUGAUCAUUUGAGUGCUAAAUUUUAUUUAAAGUGAUAAUUUGAGUGCCAAAUUUUGUUUAAAAUGAUCACUUUAAUGCUAGUUGUUAUGAAAAAGCAAUAACUUUACCAAGCACGCCACGUGGAAAUGCCACAUGGACUAGAGUUUUUAGAAAAUUUGCUAAGUCAUAUUAUAAAUUUAAUUAUAAAUGACGCAAAAUCAAUUUAGACGGAAUUUCUCAUCAUUGGCACUUAAAUGAUUGUUUUUUCCUCCGAUUUAGCACUUAUUUAAGUCAGCGAAAACUUUUGACACUAAAAUGAGCAUCGUAUAUAACUUUUGGCACUUCUAGUGUACUUAUCCUCUUUAGUUGGAUAUACUUAUUCCCCUUGUAGGCCAUAAGUUUGUGCUUUGGUAUUUGGAAGAUUGCUUUUCAUUGUCCUUUUGACGCUUGCUUUAACUAUUUGAAUCCACGGGAUAUGACUCUUCAAAUUUUCUGCAUCAAUAAUUUUUAGUGGGAACAAAUGUGGGUGAUGUCAUGAUAUGGGAAGUAGACAGUGGUGCAAGGAUUGCUGUGAGAAAAUUCAAGGUUUGGGAUAUGGGAACAUGUUCAAUGGCACUGCAGGUAUAGAAGUUCAAUUCUAAAUAAAAUAAUGGUGUCUUGUUUUUGGACAUGUGAUUAUGGGUUUUGAUUUUUUGUAGGCUUCUCUGGCCAAUGACUACACAACAUCCGUUAACCAUGUAAUGUGGAGUCCUGAUGGAAUCCUUUUCGGUAUGUAUAGAUGUUAGUUUUACUUCUAUAUCAACUUAAGUAAUUAGGCAAUACAUGCUUGCAAAUUGGUGAAAAAACUAAAGCGCCAAGAACUAGACUUCAUUGCAAUAUCUUCAAGAAGAAGAGUUCAUAUGCUACUACUACUGAUGAUUGGUGGUGUUCACUUUAGGUGUUGCUUAUUCCAAACACAUGGUGCACAUAUACUCACAUCAUGGUGGUGAUGACAUAAGGAAUCACCUUGAGGUUUGUUGCCAAACAAGGAGAAAAAAAUUAAGCUUCUCUGUUCUUGUGACAAUUGCCACCUAAAUGUGAGUUCAACUUGAUUUUUGACUCUAAUCUAAUGUCCGAUACAGCUCGAGGCUCAUGUUGGAAGUGUAAAUGAUCUUGCCUUUUCAUGUCCAAACAAACAAUUAUGUGUUGUGACCUGUGGAGAGGACAGGUUGAUCAAGGUAUAUUCUUAUUAUUUUCCUUAGUGUUACAAUGUUCCAUUGUUUGAUCCUUUUUAACCAAACUAGUAGUUAGGCAGGUAUGGGAUGCAGUGAGUGGGGCUAAGCAACUGACUUUCGAGGGUCAUGAAGCACCCGUAUAUUCCAUUUUUCCACACAACAGAGAAAAUAUUCAGGUACUUGGCUAUUUCGUGUACUAACAAGGACACGCUGCAAGCAUGGCCAAUCGGCUCUACGCUUGACCAUUCAUUGGACUUUGUUUGCUAAAACUCGGUUAGGUCAAAAAAUUUGGUUGAAUUUGUAUAAGAAGUGUGAAUCUAUGUUUUAAUGGACCUUGUUCAUUUCAAGGAUUUUGCAAGUCUUCUAACUUUUGACCUAUCUUGAUUAGAAUGUGCUUGUUAAACAUGGUGGCAUGGUUCAAAGAUUAAACUACAAAUUUGAUUAUUUUAGACAAUGCUACUAAGCAUCAACAAUUGGGUAAAAGUCUUCGCAAUAAUGACUUCCUUCUUGAUAUAAGUUCAGAAGGAAAUUUGCUCUGCUUCCAUUAUUGUUCUCCCUCAGUUUCUCCUCUAGUUUUGAUUGUUUAAAUUAAUAAUAGAUUGCUAUUUAUUGUGCCUGGGUGAAGCAGCAAUUGGGGAUGACUUUUUAAUUUUUUUCAAAAAAUUUAUGGUUGUGUACACUAUUAUAAAGAUAUUUUAUGAAAUCUAUUAGAGUUUUAGGUGGAUGUGCUCUAUCUAGACAUGUUAUUGAAAUUGAUGGUAGGAUUGUUUUAUUGUGUAGUUCAUCUUCUCAACAGCAACAGAUGGGAAAAUUAAGGCUUGGUUUUAUGACAACAUGGGGUCAAGAGUUGACUUUGAUGCACCGGGUCACUCUUUUACCAAGAUGGCAUACAGCGCUGAUGGAACAAGGUUUAGACUAUCAGCAUUGCAUUUCAAGCUUGAUUUUAUCCUAUGUCACCCUUUCUAACUUAGAUAACCUAUUUUAGCAAUUUUAUUUGGCUAUAGGUUGUUCUUAUGUGGAACCAACAAAGAAGGAGAGUCAUACUUGGUUGAAUGGAAUGAAAGUGAGGGGGCUAUCAAGCGUACCUAUCAUGGACUUGGAAAGAGAUCUAGUGGGUUCGUGCAGUUUGAUACUGCCAAAAAUAGAUUUUUGGCUGUUGGAGACGAGUCCAUGGUCAAAUUUUGGGAUAUGGACAAUAAUGAUAUUUUGACAAGUAUUGAUGCCGACAGUGAAUUGCCCGGUAAUUCAUUAUUGUUAAUUUAAUAUGAUUGAAUUAGCUGAACCUUUCCAUUAAACUCGCUCUUUAAAUUUGCAGGCUUCACCUUGUAUUAGAUUUAACAAGGAAGGAAUUCUAUUAGCAAUCUCAACAAGUGACAAUAGUAUCAAAAUUUUAGCAAAUGCUGAUGGGAUUAGCUUGCUAAGGACAAUGGACAAUUGGCCUUUUGAUGCUUCUAGAAUCACUCCUAGCCCUCUUAUGAAGGUAAGAUUUUUCAAGAGCACACUGACUUCAUAGAGAUGAGCUCACUAAAUGUCUUCAAUUUUGUAUUGCAACCAACAAUUGCGAUAUUUAGUUCUGGUAAUGCUACUAUUGGGGCAAACCAGGUAAUAGAGGGGUUCCAGUGGCAGAAUUAAAAUGUUUGAUCCCAUUUCUUGAUGUGCAUUUGGAAGAGAAGUCUAGAAAGAUAUUUUAAAAAAAAAAAUUGGUAGGAUUAUCUAAAGUUUUGUGUAGAAAAAUUAUUAAAAAUUAUCUCUACAGCAUGGCAGAGAUACUUGCCUUAAAAAUAUCUCUGACUCAAGCAAAGAUUUUUGCAUGUCUUAGUUGUUGAUGCAAGCCUAUAAAAAAGGCUUAGGGUCGUCCAAAAGCAAAUACAUUUGGGUCUCUAUUUUUUUAUUCUAAAAAUAGAUUUGAAAUAAAAUUGGUUUGCUAAUAUAAUUUUAUUUUUUAUUUCCCAAAAAAAAAAAUUUAGUUCAUAAAUAGACUUAGAAUAUAAAUAAUAAAUAUUUUUUUUUACAUUUCUAGAAUAAAAACAAAAAUAAAAACGUUUCUCUUUACUUGCCCGCGUCAUAUGCAACCAUCAUGUGCUAACCACCUGCCUCCCCGUCACUCUCCACCAAUUGAUAGUCGACACUUAGAAAUUAUUUUUGCUUCGUUUCUCUUUCAUGGAUUAAAAAUAGAAAAAUUUAUUUGUGACUAGAAUUUAGUUACAGAAACAAAAUAGUUGUCGUUCGUGCCAUAAUACACCAACUAAAAUAAACCUCCCUGCCUUCGUUUGUACUAUGCGUUGGAUAAUAAAAGCCUUUAUAUAUAUAUAUCAUUGUGCUCCCUUGCUGCCACUUUCAGAAAUCCUUGUCCUAUUAUAUUACAUCAGCAGCAACUGUGACUUGCGGAGCAUUUUUUUCCUCACAUCCAUCCAGUCAUAUUUUAACACAUCUCUGUGGAUUUUGAAUUAAAAAUAAAAUUCCUUUGAUGAUCCACCGGCUAUGGACCUCGGACUAGCCGGCUGCCACCCUUGAACACCACCGCUCUGGAGGCCGAGCUCCAAAUCUAGCCGAGUCGUGGCCUCGGCGCUGCACCAGAUCUAGUCCACCUUCACUUGCUUCAAGCUCGUCCAUGGCCGCCUCCGAAUCCAGUCGAGCUCGACUCUACGCUAGAUAUCGUCUGCCUUAAAAACGGUUCGAGCUCGGCGGCUCCUCCAUGACCGCCGAGAAGCCGCCGAGAUUUCGGUCACAACGUCGAGCUUGGCAGCCAUAGAAGGCCAUCGCCUCCAGAUGUAGAGGCUCAAUGGCAAUGGAGGCCGAGCGUCCAGAUCUGGCCGUGGCGAAGGUCGUGACAUCACCUCGAGCUGCAGCAAUGACCGCCGUUAGAGGUCGCCUUAAGAGACGGCGUUAAAAGUUGCAGACGGCCAUGGACAGAGCGCGUAACAAGAAAGGAGACAAAAAAAAAAAUAGAAAAUAUAAGAAGCAAAGAAUGGUGGGGAACAAUAAGAAAAAGAAACUUCUUUUCCAACUUUUCAACAGCAUCACGGGAUGAGCCACGCCGACGACCAUGGACGGCCAGAUCUCGAGAGCCAACAGUGUCGCCGGCCAUGGCGGAGCAAGGUUCGUGUGUGAUGCCGACGGCCAUGGACGGCCAAAUUUGGAGAGCCAGCGGCCUCACUCGUCUAGGUGACGCCCAUGGCCAUGGUCGGCCAGAUCUGAAGAGCCAGCAGCGUCACCGACGCAUCAUCGGCCAUGCCAGCUCGUCCGAGGUCAAGUGGCUGGCUUUGGACGAACGAGGAAGAUGAGGCUAGAGGAAACAGUUCCACCGCACAAAGAAACUCCACAUCAAUAUUUUUUAAUUUAAUUCAAGACAUGUAAAUUUUUAAGUAGAUAUCAAGGAAAAAAUCUCGCCACAUCAGCAGUUAACACGGCGCUUUGAAACUACCAAAUAUUGUCUCCUUUGCUCCUCGCACAUCUGCACGCACUGGCAUAUAAACUAGAAAACCAUCAGGCGGAAAUGGUAGGUAUGGGAAGUGGUAUCAUCACUGCAUUAGGUAGUUAAAUGUUUUUAACGAGCUUUAUUCGUUGCUUAUUUUAUUACUUAAAUGAUGCAAUAAUUGCAUUUGUGUGUGCAUGUUUAUUGGGCGUCUUUCAAUGACAUCCUCUCUUUUGAGCUCUACAGGACAGUGAGAGCAUGGCCGAUGUGAAGCCUGGAAUUGCUGAUAACUCAGGAGACAAAUUAAGAAAUUGGAAACCGACAGAAAUCAAUGAACCAUCACAAUGCCGGUCCAUAAGGCUGCCUGAUAACUCUACGGCUAUGAGGGUAAAUGAUUGCCAGAUUAGGACGUUCUUAUGCAGCAUUUUUAUUUCCACAUUAAUCUGUCAUGUUUCUACUCGAUAAGCACAAAUUUGAAUAGGGGUCACAUUUAAUGCACCUGCUUUAUUAGUUUUAUUCACAUGUAGUCCAAUGAUUUAUCUCUUAAACGUUGGCACUCAAGGACUUUUGACAUAUCUUCAUUUGGCAUUUUAUAGUUGACUGAUUGUUUCAACUAUACAAACAGGAAAGGAUAAGAUCAACAAUAAUAAAUCUGUGAUUAUGGUGUGGCAAUUAUGCUUGAGGCUGUGGAGGUCAUGAAUUUUAUGAUAAUGCUGAAUAGCAAGACGGAUGAUUCUUGAUUUAGAAUGUAAUGGUAUAUUUGCAUAACGAGACUUUUUUAGCCUUUGCUUGGUAUAUGGAUUGUUCUGUGGACUCUCAUGCAGUUACAUGUGGUAAAAGACACAGAUUCUUCACGGGAUAAAUUUGGCUUUAUACAUGGCAAGCAAAGUAAAUCAUCUUGCACCACUUUGAUGCUUGUGGGGGAUGCUAAGCUUUUGAAAGCUAUUUUGAACUUGUCAGUUCCCAGAAACUUUGAGUGGAAAUUUACCUGCUGAAUCUAAAUAUACAAAACACUAGAGGCAAAAGAAUAGAUAGACAGCUAGACGGUUUAAGUCAAGGUUCUAUUUUUCUUUUGGUAACUGUUUGAACUGGGUUUAGAUCUCAUGUGUAUCAUAUGCUCUAUUCAUACGUAAGCAUACAGUGCGUAUAUAUAAAUAUGUGCGUGCGCGCGUCCGCCUAUGCUGAUAAAUUUGCAGGCAGCGUCACCAAGUGUCUAUUUGCCUGGAUUUCUACAUCUAUCAAUUAGUGCCCAAUUCUCUGGCAUCUUUCUUCUGCAUUUUAUUUUAACUUUCGGUAUUACAUUUGAUUGUCGCCACUGAAGCUGGUAAAACGAUACAGGUCCCGAAAUUAAGCUAUACAAACUUGGGUCGUGCCAUUCUGGCAUUAUCAUCGAACGCUGUACACAAGCUCUGGAAAUGGGAAGAAAGUGAUCAAAACUUCACGGGCAGGGUAAGGAAUCUCCCCAACACCACCUCCCAAAAAAAGAGGCAAAUUCUUUUGUUGUUUAGCCUAUUGUUAACUCCAUUGAUUCUUCUUUUCGCAGGCUACAACCAGUGUAGUACCACAGUUAUGGCAACCGCUUGGUGGGAAUUUGAUGACCGAUGAUACAUGUGCAAAUCCUGAAGACGCAGUUCCGUGCUUUGCACUGUCAAAGGACGAUUGUUUUCUAAUAUCGGCAUCAGGGGGGGAGAUCUCUUUGAUCAAUAUGAUGAUUUUUCAGGUGAAUAUAUUCCCGAAGUAAUGUCUACAUCCUCUUGUCAGUUUUGUAGCACUAUCCACGAGGCACGAGAUAACGAACUACCCCUUUGUGCUGAAUAGGCGUGCACUAUUUCCUUUUCACAUUUUUAAGGGAGCUAAAAUUAAUUGGUUCCAUCACGUAUACAAACGUAUUGAGCUCUAAUUAUUAGGAGGUCCAUGAAAGCAAUUGCUCCGAUUUUCAUGGGGAUUAUCUGUUCAAAAGUACAGCAUGUCCCUUUUUACUUGCUAAGCAAGAUAGGGGCUUUUCUGUGUCUUCGAUGGAAUCUUUUUGCUCUUAUUGAUUAAAGAAAACAAGCAGUGCUUUUUUAACCCGUGCAGAGAUCUAUUGGUCCAACUUGCUCUCUCCCUUUCCUAAGAGGGGAGAUGCCACUAAGUUAAGUGCCUCUUGGCACAUGUGUCCCACUAUUAUGUAUAAAAUUGUUAAUAUUAUCCUGCCUGUUGAUACACAGAGGUUCACAAAAUUUACGCCCCCGCUACCACCAAACAGUGACAUUAUUGAAAUAGGAAUGGAGGACACCGCGAUUCAACUUUACAGUGGUCGAGUUGAUGAGGUGAGAUUUGUUUUCAUUGUCGUUGAAAGUUAACCUUGUGAUUAUUCACAACAAAGUUAUAGAUAUUGACUACUGACUAUCUCACUUUCUCAGAUCGAGAAAAAAUUAAAAGGACAUCGGAGAAUAAUUGAAGGCUUUACCUUCUCAACUUCCUUAAAUGUUCUCGUGUCUUCUAGUGCUGAUUCUCAGGUGACCACUGCCUUUUUACUUACUAAGUGAGACAAGGGCUUUUCUUUGUCUUCAAUGUAAUCUUUUUGCUCUUACUGAUUAAAUAAAACAAGGCAAGAGCUUUAAUCCAACAUUCCAGAAAUCUAAUAUGAAGUUGCUCUCUCCCUUUCUCUAGAAGGGUGAUGCCAUUGAGGCAAGUGCCUCUUGGCACAUAUGUCCCACUGUUACUUAUAAAGUUAUUGAUACUAUUCUGCCUGCCAAUAUCCAGAUGAUGAUAACAUUUUCGUCCCAUCCACCAUCCCCAACAUUUCUGGUGUUCGAUCCUCAAGAUAAUUCAACCAUUGCAAUAGGAAUGGAGGACGACUCUAUUCAAAUUUGUUGUAUUCCACUUUGCGAGGUGAGACCUAAUUAUAUUGUUGUUGAAAGUUAACCUUGUUAUUAUCCGCAAUGAAUAUAUGGAUAUUGACUGUUUCACUUUCUCAGUGGCUGGCAACUCUAAAAGGACAUCAGAAAAGAAUUACAGGCCUUGCCUUCUCUAAUGUCUUAAAUGUUCUCGUCUCUUCUGGUGCUGACUCUCAGGUACAAGACCACUGCCUCAUCUUCCUUUCCAUAUAGGCAUGCCUAUGUUUUGGGCAAAGAGAGCAAUGUAGUUUAACUUGCUCCAAAAAAAAAAAAAAAGGGUUGAUGUUCACUCUGUAUCUAUUGAUGCUUGCGCCCUCAUCAUAUGUAAGUUCAUGAAGGCAUCCUUAAAUAGGCAGAAUAAUUCCUUCCAAAAAACUUCUUUUGUGGUGACAAAUUAAUCCCAUCCCACAAGGUGGGAAAUAACAAAGCCAUGCUGUCCUGUUGUUGCGUACAACUGAUGCUCGGUGUUAUUCUGAUAUAAAACUACAACGUAAAAUUUUAUUGUUUCGUUCGUCAAUCAAUGUUGAUGUUCCUUAUGAUAAUUGUCGAUUGUCACUGCAGUUGUGUGUUUGGAACACUGGUAGAUGGACGAAGCAGACUAGUAAGUUUCUGCAGAUGCCGAAUGGGCGAGGAGCAGCGCCUCUUGCUGAUACUCGUGUUCAAUUUCAUGUGGAUCAAAUACAUCUGCUAGUUGUUCAUCAAACACAGAUCGCCACAUGUGAAGCUCCUAAACUAGAACGCCUCAAGCAGGUAUUGAAGAUUUUUUUUUUAUUGUGCAUGAUCCAAUCUCUCCUCUCAUCUUGAUUGCAUAAAAAUUAUCUAAAUAUUAGGUAGUAUGAGUUGCUUCAUGCCACAUGUACUUUUUUUGAUUCGUUGUUGAUCGCAACUAGUGGGACACUCGAGAAGCUAGUGCUCCAAUCACAGAUGCUACAUGCUACAUAUUCAUGCAAUGGCCAAUCAAUAUUUGUGAGCUUUGAAGAUGGGAGCAUCAGUGUUCUUUCUGCUUCUACACUCAGAUUGAUUUGUUGUAUUAAUCCUGCUGCUUACAUCCUUCCAAAACCUAGGUAAGUUGGUUAUUGCUGCUCACAUAACCUCAUUCCUUUAUGGAAAAUGGCAAGUCUCAUUUACGAAGUUCCAUAGUCUCGCGAAUUACUCAUUCCUCACUGAUGUAUUUGGCAGCUUGAGAGUCUACCCACUAGUCAUCACAGCACAUCCAUCGGAACCUAACCAGUUUGCGCUAGGGCUUACUGAUGGCAGCGUCUAUGUGCUUGAGCCUUUGGAAUCCGAAGGAGGGUGGGGUGGUUCUCCUCGUGUUGAAAAUGGUGUUGGCCCUAGCACGACCUCUGGCGCAACUGAUUUAGAUCAACCCCAAAGGUAGUGCAGGCCAUGUCUCUCCCUAUGAAACUUUUGAGCAUUACAAUGCUAAGCCGGCUUUCCUCUGCCAUACUUGAUUCAAGUUUUGAGGGGAUGCUGCUGAGGGUAGAUUUUACUGCCUCGGGGUACUUUCUUGCGACAUAGUUCAGUACGGUUUGUCCUAAUCGACUUCUGCUUGAGUCUUGUGGUGAUAACUUGUUUUGUUAUAUUCAUUUAGGCUGACUGGAAGUGAAAAAAGAAAAACUUGAGGUUGGAGUGUUGUUUUGAAUACAACAAAUUGGAGGUAGAGAGGAUACCUCACUUCCUACACAACUGAAAGUCUACGGACUUGAUUACAUUAGUUAGUUAACUAAUGCCUUUUCAGUAUCUAAACUUAAUUAAUUUUUAAACUAAGUGUCCAUGCAAUCUUUGACCAUUUUAUUAACCUAUGUUACUAAAUGACGUCCAUGUAUGAGUGCACAAUCAAUUAAAAAGUAAACAAUUACAAUCAAUAUGAUAGAAGUAAAUUAGAAGAAAGUAGACCCAAUGGAGUGUCAAGCAAAGAAUCACAUGGCUUUGUUAUUAAGCCUCUGGACAGCAACAUGUGCUGAAUUCAAAUUUAGUCCAAUUCAUCAGAAGAGUGCUAAACCUAAAUUAAAUUAAAGUUACUUAUCAAAAACCCCCCUAAACUAUAUGUAUACUAACUAAAGAAACUAAGCUAGAUCUAGCAUCACAAUUUAACGACCUUAUCAAGGUCUCUAUUUCUAGCUAUUUUCAAUUUUUCAUUUUUUAUGAAUAUUUUGAAAUUAAUUCUGAUCAUUUUCUGAAAAUAGGGACCCGAGCUCCGGCUAUGAGCCGCACGCUAGUCUCACGAAUCUGGGAUGAUAACUAAUAAGCACAAUUCGGGCUCUUAUGUUGAGCCCCCUCUAAUUUUAACUUUACUGAGCCCAAUUCUGAUUAUACCUAUUCUAAGCCCACUACCCAUCGUAACUACUCUAGCCCAUUUUCUCUUCCAACUUCACCUGGUCCAUUUUUAAGCCCGAUUUCUAUUAUAGAUAGAUGAAACCCUAAGCCCACUCUAAACCCAUCUCAUUAUUAUAUUUAAAUCAAUUUUGCUCUUUUCUUACAUCUUUUCGUCAUUAUUAUUAUUUUCUUCUUCCUUCUUCCAGGCCUUCGUCCUCUUGAACAAGUCAAGAAUCUAAUAAGCCAAUUUCUCACGGAUGAACUCCAUAGAGACUUCACAAAAACAUAUGUAAAAUUAUGAUAUGAAAACACAAGAAAAAUUUAUGUUCUGAUUUGGUAUUGAUAACAAUGAAUUUUAAUAGGAAUUAAAUCCGAAUGUUAAUGGACUGACUUGUAGCAAGUAAUGUAUGCUAAAAUUUCUUCAGAUUGAACUAGAUCAGGAAUUAUUUCACCGACGUACCUUAAAAACAUUUCAUUAGACAGUCUAUGUGCACCAAAAGGAUUGAUCCCGUUUGGUUCGGCUUUUGGGGGAAUGUCCUUGGGGAAAUACAAAUGUCUUUAGUCUAAAGGGGUUUGGCGAAAUGCAAAUACUAUUUUGGCAUUUAGAUAAGCCUUUUUUUUUCAUGAGGCAGAAUGCAUCUACUUCUAUUACAAGUGGGACAGGUGGGAUUUCACCCAUUGCAACUUAAGGUAAGUGAAGAAAAGGUUUCCUGUGGAAAACCUUUAGGCCUCCAACACCUAUUUUUACUUUAGUGACAAUAUUGAAUUGGAGAAGGGAAAAUCAGAUGAUACGUCCAUGUAUCUCUUCCCGUAAGAGCUUAUAUAAACUAAACAUAUUCAAGAUUAAUAAAAAAAUGACGCAACCUACAAGCAAUAAGACGCCUAAAAAUCCUUAGGCUCCGGAUAAGUAAAUUUUUGUCAUGAGCGUAACAGCUAUCAUCCAGUAACUGUUCUCUUACCAGAAGCCACAUGGUAUUACUGUUGUAGUUAUGUUCAUCCACAUGCUAUGAUAAACCUCGCUGGUGAAAGAGGACGAUCCAUUUCAAAUAAGAAAGAAAUAUAACCAUCUUCUUAUGCUACAUAAUCGUCAAUGUAACCAGAGCUACUGGCCUACAUACCCGCUAAAUCCCAUAUUGAAACUUAACCAAGAUUAAACCAUCCGACGAGAAAACAUUACAGCGAAAGCGACCUCAGAAUCCAUGUUGCGCCUCGACCUAAUAACAUGCUACGAUCUCUCACCAAAUUAGAACAUGCCACUCUAGCCAUAAGAUAUUCAAUUACUCACACAAAUUUCCACAGAAAUUGCAACAUUAAUUGAGAAAAUCUGACCUGGAUAGAAGCGAGCGCGAGCACGACAGGAAAGCUUGAGGGCAGCGAGCAUAAAGGAGUGAAGGAGUGUUGCGAGGAAGAGAACUCAAACCCCUGCCAACCAUGAGGGAACGUUGCUUCAAGCACGAAAGGGGAAGUCGUCAAGGUACGAGAAAGGCGAGUGAACGUGAGGGUCGGACACAAAACAAUCGUGAGGUAGAGAGAGGCGUGAGAGCGUAAGAAGAGUAAUGCCCGCGGCCCUCGCGAGUAAUCUCGUGCGGAAUCUUCAACGGCGACUGCAAAAUUGGACGAAUGAGCAAUGGAAUUGAAGUUUCCAAGCUUACCCAAUUGCCCUGCUACGAGCGCGACGCGAGCGUGAGAGCAGAACGGCGAGAGGCGAUCUUCGAGGUUGGGAUGGCUGAUCUCGGAUGGACACCGGAGAGCAGCUCGCAUAGGAGACGGUGAGGGACGACGGAGAGAGGCGCGAGAGUGUAGAGGAGGCGUAAGGCUAUAGAAAGCGUGAGGCUACAGUAAGGAAAACGAGGCUUAGGUUUUUCUAUUUAGAAAAGGGUAAAAACGGAUUUUGGUUAAUAAAUGUGGACAAAAUGAGCAACUAACAUAUUUUCAUUAAACAAAGGAAGUUGCAUUCCGAAAAUGCUACUUUUUAAAUGCACCUCUACCCCUCCAUUCCCCCAAAGGCCUUUGAAGCCCUUUGGAGAUGCAAUUGCAUCUUCCCAAAGUUCUCAAAAAAUUGAACCAAACAUCACCUGCAUUUAUCCAAACCCCUUCAGAGCCCCAAAGCCCAUUCCAAAUGCUGAACCAAACGGGGCCUGAAUCUGGUCAUAAAUCGAAGUUUUGUUUUCGUCUAAAAUUAGUGUCAGAACCAUGAAGCCAUUACAAAUCAUCAAAUUACAGCCUAGAUCAUCAGUGAUUUUCACAUUAGUAAGCCGAACGUGGUCCAGUCAUGCAUCUUUCCAAAAUAGGGCAAGAAAGAGGGGAAUGAAAUUAUCUUCUCAAGGAGUUCUCGGUUGAGAACUAAGGGCUAAUGAACAAACUAAGGGCUAGAAAUGGUUUAGUUUCUGGGCAUUUAUGCGUCCGAGUAAUGCAAGUUGGACUUAAUAGAUGUGGAUGGGCCAUGGGCUUGGCUUGGACGAAUUGGAUCGAGCCCAUCGCAUUGAAUGGACAUCCUUUAAAAUUAGUUGAUGAAUUGAAGUCUCUUCAGUUAUUAUUUUUCGCAAUCUUCAUUUUGGUUUUAUUUAUUCAUAUCUUUGACAUAAACCGCCUAAAUUGCCGAUUUUCCUUAAAUUGUUGACUAAAAAUCAAAUAUCCACAGCAGGUCCAAGACCUCCAAAUUGACUGAACCAGUUUCUUGAAAGUUGUUGUAAUCUUGAAGGUGCUACAAUUGAGAAAUGUUCGACAAACCCCUCACAGAAGCCACAAUGCCCAUUUUUCAUAGUCCAAGUAACUCCUAACAUUAAUUAUUGAUACUCUUUUCAAAAUAAUUCAUAUAUUUUUAGACAGUCAUAAUAUGAACGAUUUUUUUUAGCAUUUUCUAUAAGAGUCGAAUUGUUAAUUCGAAACUUUCACGCAAAGAAUUAUAUGGUAAAGUACUUAUUAGAGUUAUAAUAAGUCAGAAUAUAACAAAAUGUCAAUCGAAGUGCUUAAUCAUGAAAGAGAAGAAGCGAUACCAAUAUCAAAAACCAAAGAGCUGUUGGCAGAAUCAAAAUUUCCUUCUCUCCUGUUAGUGUAUAUUUAGUUCCGAAAAGAAUAAAUAUAAAUGUAUGUUUAUUUUGUCACAUAGUAAGUAUUACUUUCAAGAGUGCUUUGAUUUGAUAGGUGGAACCAUAACAACUAAACUGGGUAAGGUCUUUCUUUAAUUUUCGUCGUACCUGACAUUGAGAAAUGCUGUGGACAGUAGCUCUCCAUCCUUACGAUGAAUGUCAAUACAACGAAAAUAAUUAACCACUUUUAAGCCAUUCUCAAUUACUUGCAAGCAUCUGCACACAAAGUGAAACCUGCUUAUUUCCGUCUUCGACUGGGCUUCUUACUCUUUCUAGCUGGGGUCGACUGCUCCUAAGGCACUGGUAAUAGGGUUCCUCCUGUAACGCCAUCUUUAUCAUUCAUCUUGUCAAAAGUUUUCUGGGCGCCAAUAUACACCUUAAGGUCUCUGAUCUGUGAAGGAUGACGAGGGACAUGCCACUGUCAACGCACACUAUGCACGCACGCGCAGAGUUUUCACAAUAUUAUAUACAAAUUAUUACAGUUUUAAGGCUAAAAGAAAAUAACUGUUCUUCUAAGUCAAGUAUUUGUUCAUCCUUCAACUUCAGUGACAGAGUUUUCCUGCAGAUGCACAGAAGCGCAUGUGUCCUCCAUUCAUGUCAAAUUAAUAGGGAAGACUAAAUUCCUGACAGCUUUAAUUGACUGGAAUCAUAUACUGAAAAAGUGUCGGUACAAUUGACAAUAAUACUUAUUGAGGAAACUAGCCCACGUAACUUCAAUGAAGAUGGACAAGACGAGUAUACUUCAAAACGCUGCAUGAAUUUCUCUAUAAAGAAAAUGUUGUAGGCAUAUUAAGGUACUUAAAAGGCAUCUACACCUAUAUUGCUUGACAUGUGAAGCUCAUAUAAGCUUUAAGUCUACCCAGUGUAUCUUCUUUUCCUUUUAUUUUCUAUUUUGUGAAAGUUGGAAAUGUCAACAUAACGCAGUAUGAACAACCAAUCGAAUUUCAAUUGGAAUUAGUAGAAUUUCAAUAUUGAACCGUAUCAAUUAAAAUUUGAAUCCUGAACCAUCACAUCCUGAACCAUCACAAAAUAAUGUUCAAAUAUCUCCAGUGUGUAAAAAAGUACUUUGAAAUUGGACCACCACCACGAAGAUUUUAACAUUGAUUUCUGUCGAUAAAGUUCAACCUCUAAAGCAGUAGCACUAUUUCUUCAGAGGAAAACAAAAUUACAGAUGGAGCAUAUAUAAACAAAAGAACAAAAUUAUGGAGAGCACUGACACGUGGAACUUUCUCAAUACGUGCUGCGUUCUCUCCUUUCUCCUUUUCCCCUUUUUGUCUCUUUCUUUCCCUCGUUAGAGUUUGUCCCAUCUUGCCACUUUUUAAAAAGAAUUCAAUAAAUAAAUAAAAAACACCAAAAGCUUUUUCAUCUCCUUGCCACAUCCUCCAACUAAUAAUUAACUCAAACUUAAUUAUCCUUCCCAAGUAUGGUGAAAGGAAGGCAUAUUAACCGUGUGAUAAACUCUGACUCAUCAUAAAAUGACUUUCGUUCUUUUGCCAUUUGUUAUGUGUCACAAGUCACGUAUAGUUGCUAUUCACAUAUUUGAAUUAGAAACUGUAUUUCCUCUUUCUUCCUCGAACUUUAACCUUUUUUACCUCACAUCUAAAAGUCCAUGCCAUGUGAACACUUCCUCGUCAUGAUACCCUUCCCACUUUUUUCUCAUCUUCUCAAAUGUCUGUUUCCACUUCCUCUCUGACGACCAACCUCACUUACAUGAACUAUUACUACAAUGCUGCUUCAUUUUACUGAUUAGUUUUAUGAGACUAUGCAUGCUAUGGUAUUACUUGUCUAGAGAAAUCAGCAACGAAAAAUACCUCUCUUCAAUUUCCUUAACCUUUCUCCGCAUCAUAUCUUGGUUCUUGAUAAGAGUUUGAUUAAGCUGCAACCACAAGGAACGGCAUCCAUUACUGGUAUGAACGAGUGAAAACUAUUGCAUCUGAUUGUAAUAUGAAAAAUGAGGCAUGUGAAAAACAAGAACAAUCAGCCUUGGCUUCAGUCAGCCCUCCUCUCAAACUUUAAACAUCCAAAAUCACAAAAGGUAAAACAGAGAAGAUUAAAGCCUUACCUCUGCCAUGGCCUUCUUUUCGUCACCAAGUUUCCCCAACUUACUAUGGAUCUCUUCAAUCUUUGCAGUCACACCUUUCUUGAUUGCUUCUAGUUUGGAAUUUUCUUUUCUACUUUUGGCUUCUAACAUGAGAGACUCAUAAUGCUAACAGAGAAAAACAAAAGAACUAAUAGGGGAUGAUAUGUUCAAGGACUUAAAAUGUAUUCUUUAAAGUCAGUCUAAGGAUGAUGGCAGUCUAUGUAACAAAAAUGACAAACAUGGGUUAGAAACGGAACACUAUCACCAACAGCAGCAUGGGCAGUUUAUAUAUAAUCUACUGGCUUUUGUACUUCUACUUCUGAUACAACAGGUUUUCAAUUCAGAUACUGUUCCUUCUAGGACUAUCCAUAAAAAAAAAGCCAAUAAUAAAAGAGUCCUGGCACCUUAGGGAAACGCAAUUCAUUUUCUACCACAGAUAUAUUAGUAAGAAAACAAAAAAGAAAAGAAGAAUACCAGAAGUUUUGCAAUUCUCUCAAGCUGAUGCAAGGCCACUAGUUCUUUUAUACUUCCUAUAUAAGCUCAUUAGACAAAUGCAGUAUGCAAAUCGACAGGUAUAAAAUGUUGUACACUAUAUAAAAGCAAAUGAAGCUGAGAUCAUACAACACGAGUGUAAUUACUUUCCUUCUCUUCACAACAAUUCUGACAAUCCCAUUGAUUUCCAAGAGUAAAAUGAGUUCACUUAAGGAAAAAAAAAAAAGAGAAAGAAAAAAGAAAAUUGAGAAACAUUUUUUGAUCUGAAAUAACUAAACUAAUGUUCUAUUAUGGUUUUCUCCUAAAAUAUGUGUACUUAAAAACCAUUACCUAAAGCAAAAGCACAAUCAACGCAAGCUUUCACAAGUAAUGCUUAUAACCAUGGCUGAUCAGUCAGUAUAAUAAAAUGCGAAAGACUAAACAUGGAGAAUUGAAAUGGUCUUGGUAUACGCAUGCUUACUUUUCUUUGCACUUCCAGCUGAUUUGAAGCUAGAUGAAUAUAGUCAGCGUGAAUCUACAAAAAAGUAAAGCUACAGUGUCAGAGAAAAUGAAGAAAGUCUGACAAUUAUAAUGGAGGUAAUAUCCACUUUGCAGGCCCAAUAAUGAACUUGUGACAUUUGGCCAACAAAAUGAACAUGUGAAGUACAAAAACGGAAACCGAAUCUUUCAUUGUCAGUUGUCAGCACCUAAAACAGUAAAAGCAUCAUGCACCUCUAAACUUCAAACAUUCCACUUAACUGAGUCCAAGCUCCAAAUCUUUGCAGGGAAAGGAGAACCAGAAAACAAAAAUAUUCAAAGCAUAAAAAUAAGGACACAUGAACCUACUUCUUCGAUUUUGCUGCUGAAGAGCGCCCCACUAAUUUCAGAAUCCUCGCUGCAACCGCAGCUACCACAAUCUCCUUCAAGUGAUUCACAGUAUGAAUUCAUCUCCAAAAGCUUGCCAUCAGUUUUUGAUUUAUUAAGCCGGUGAACAUAAGUGUCCCCAACAUAAUCCCAAAUUUGCUGUGUUCUUAAAUCCAGAGAAUAGCAAUGUUGUGUAUCUUUCCAAUGGCUGAUGGCAUGCUUAUCUCUGUAUCUACAAAGCCAGAAAAGAAAAGCUAUAAUGAAGACAGCCUAUCCAAUCACUAAAACUAUAGAGUGAGCGAAGAUUCCAGCAUAUCAUGACUGAAUCUAUCACUUUCCACAUCCAACAAAACCACAUAUCAGACAAACCCAAAGAUUUUCCAUUGUUCCACAAAUAAAGCACCAUGGCACCUCAUCUUGCUGUUGGCAUAGACGGCAAACCUGAUAAAGAACAGAAACAGAAUCUUCUUCACAAUCUGUUAACAGACGGGCAUCCCUGAUGAUGUUGCAAAAUGAAACUACAUUUCCGAUCAAGGUAGUUUCUUGCAACCAAAUCAAGAUAUGUGCCGUAANNNNNNNNNNNNNNNNNNNNNNNNNNNNNNNNNNNNNNNNNNNNNNNNNNNNNNNNNNNNNNNNNNNNNNNNNNNNNNNNNNNNNNNNNNNNNNNNNNNNUCUUAGCUUCAGGACAGGAAUGUUUUGAGGUCAAAGAUCAGAAUUUUGAUGUCAGUAUGAUCACCCUGUACUUGUGAACAUACGCAUAACUUAUCGUGCAUGCUUGGCCACUGCUAUUACUUCUGUCACUCUUUGACUCAUGAGAAAUUUGAGAUAAGAGUGACAGGACCAUCGGAUUAAACACACGUGAUGAGACAUUGCAAAAAUUCUUGCGUCAGAACAUGAUAAUCAACAAAAAGUAACUCCAAGAAGCCAUACCAUUGACCUAUUCCAAAUCUCCAAAUAAAUGUCAUGAUAAUUUAAAAGAAAUCCUGAACUUAGUAAGCACAAUAGAGUAAAGGAAAAUUCUACUUUUCAUUCAUAUACUUUCACGCUUUUCUAAUCAUGUCUAUACUUUUAAUUUGCCUAAUUUAGUCCAUCUACUUUAACAAACUUUCCAAUCAAGUCUUUUGGACACUAAAAUAUGACCAAAUUCAACUGAAGUGGCUGUUCGAUGAUGACGAUAAAAUAUGCAGAUGCCCACAUGGACACGUCUGGAAAAAUUUAGCCAAUGUAGAUAACCUCGAAGUGCAACAUGGAUAAAAUAAUGGACAUCCGAGUCACACAACAGAGACAUCUGACGGUCACACCGGCUGAAUUUGGCCUGAUUUGGUGUCAGAGACAUUUGAUUAGAAAAUCUGUAAAAGUAGAAGGACUUUAUUUAACAAAUUAAAAGUACAAGGGACUUGAUUAGAAAAUAUGUGAAAGUUCAGGAUUAAAACAAUACUGCCACAAUUGCUAUAGCUAAUAUUAAUUAUCAAAAAGCAACAACUAAUCCACAGUCAGCAGAUCAACAGAAAGAUAGUGGCAGUAGCUGCGAAAUUACAUUAUAAAUUCAUCUAAUCUGUAGCAGCAGAAGAAUGUCUAACCUGACAAGACAAGUAAGUCCAUUUUGUACCACAUGAGCAAUGAAAGGAAUGGUCACACUGCAUACUCAAAAUUCCGCUGGUAUCUGGGUCCAAUCUCUCUGACAUCAAAAGAAAAAAAGUUGCAAUUGUAAACAGCUUUCUAUAAACUCAUCUCACCGCAAGGGAAAUAUAAUCAGCAAGGGAGUACAGGCAUGGCCUACCAAGACAAACUGGNNNNNNNNNNNNNNNNNNNNNNNNNNNNNNNNNNNNNNNNNNNNNNNNNNNNNNNNNNNNNNNNNNNNNNNNNNNNNNNNNNNNNNNNNNNNNNNNNNNNNNNNNNNNNNNNNNNNNNNNNNNNNNNNAAGACUGUGUGAUCUCACAGCAAACAACAGGUGCAAAAAUUGCAAAUACCUCAGCAGGCGAGAAAUUCUUGCCAUUGAAGGUGCAUUAGAAACCAUCGGCAGCCUUUUGAUCGAUAAGCUCAAUCAGCACGCUGUACCUAUCUUCCAUCCCAUCAUUCCUACAUCAAACCCACAAUUCGCAACACAAUGAUCACUAAAACUACUAAAAAGCAUUUACAAAAGAAACCAGACCGGAAAACCCAGUUCCACCGUCGGAAUGCUUCCAAAAAAUUGAACUUUCAUCAUCGGACACCCCCUAAGGCAUGAUCACGAGCAAAUUUUCAGUAAUCGAGUCCAUCUCUUAGAUUUUCGUCAGCGAAUUCUAAUUCUUCGAAUUCUCCCUUUCGCUUACCCAAUUCAUCUCACCAACUGAAAAAACAGGUCCGAAGUCCCGAAGAAGAGGAGGAGAGAAAACAGAAACGAUCGAAGCCUUACCUGAUGAACCGGAGCUCGGAGACGUCGUCGAUCCGGGGGCCGCAGAACCGGAUGAAGUCGUCGGGGGAAAAGUAAUUGGGGACGGCGACGACGAAGAGGGUGGUGGAGCGGGCACCGGGGCUCGAGAGGGGCGCGUGCGACAGCGUCCGGAACAGGUGGACCAUGCCCCUCCGCUCGGCGAACCUAGCGAUCUCCGGCGGCGGCGGCGAGGAGGAGGAGAAGCCGCCGUAGUCGGUGGCGAGGGGGUGGUCGGUGUCCACCGAGUGGACCCGGAGGAAGAACAUCUUUUACCCUUCGGACUGAGUUGAAUCGCCCGAGUUGGAGAAGAUUGCUGGAUUGCGGAGCAGAGAGAAGAAACUCGCGGGAACUAAGAGGAGGAUUGGGCACGCCUUCUUCCUGGAAUUAUAACGGUUGCUACUUUCCACCCAAAAAAAAAAACUAAUUGGUGCAAAAUGAAUAAUUUAUUGUCUAAUACGACUAACUUAAUUUCAAUAAUUAUUUAGGAGAGAUUUAAAAAGAAUUGGGUAUUCCUUGUUGAGUUGAGAUUUACACAAUAGACAUUUUUUAUUCAUUUCGGGUGUUCGAAAUAAUUAAAAAAAUUAAAUUUGAAAUUGAUCAAAUUACUUUUUGAUUGAACAAAUUCAGAAUUAUGUGAAUUAUGGUAAGAAGUAUGUUAUGUGAUUGCUUAUGAACGAAAUAAUUUUGUAAUCAUCUCAUUCUCAUUUAUUAUCAAAAUGAUGAUGCAUCCGAAUUAAAAUUGGUAAUAAAUUCUACCGACAUUGGAAAAGCAAAGAAAUGAUAAAGGCCUAAACUGAACUAGUCGUGGAUUCUAUUUCUUUUGCUUCGUCUGACAAACAAAACAUGACGACAAAGGCUAGAAUACUCCUAGAUAUACUAAAACUGAAAUGCAAGGGCAGUCAAGUGUCUAUUUGGCAUAAAAAUUGCUAUCACAGGUGAUUAUUAUGCGGGCCUAGUUUGGACCAACAUCAAGACUAAAUUGUUGCUCAAGCUCGUUCAUAAAAUGAAUCAUAUAUAGAAAUGUUGGGGCACGGCUCAGGCGAAGGUCGGGCAAGCUAGGAUUUUUUAACGUAAGGAUAUUUUCUAGUCUCAGGGUCAUGUCUCUGAUUGUGAUGUUGCAGAGGGUAGAUUUUAUAGUCUCGGGGUCUUCCUCCUGACAUAGUUUGGCACAAUUUUUUCUUUAAGUGGUACAGUUAGCAUCCUUAUCAACUUGUAGAUCUUACAACCUCAGGGCCUUCUUCUAGACAUAGUUUGGCACCAUCUAUUUUAAGUGGUACAAUUAGCAUCCUAAUGGACUCAUGCUCAAGUCUAGCGGUGAUAAUUUGUUUUAUUAUAUUUAUUUAGGCUGACUGAAAGUGAAAAAGAAGAACAUGAGAUUAGGGUGAUGCGUGGAAAGCGUUGUCUAUGCGAGUUGGAGACAGGUUUAUCUGAUUUUAGUUAGCAAGCUAAAGGAUCAUAGGAACAGGGUUUAGUUUUCGCAGGUGGCUUCUUUUCUUGUUCCUUCUGCGUCAUGCUGAAAGUACUUUUCUUAUGUUUUUUUAUUUAUUCUUUUUAAUUUGCUGAAGUAGCAUUUGUUAGCACUUAGCAGGUUCUAUUUUCUUGUUCUUUUGCCACAAAAAAAAAUAAUAUGAAUUAAUUAAAAAAUCAUCUUCUUCUUGUGUUCCUAUUAUGAACGCGAUUUGAGCGCAACAACACUCAGACCUUGGAUGAAAGUCAAUACUUCGCCAUGGUCUACCUCGACAUUUUGCUUAUUGGACUGCAUUCUUUGGGAAUCAAGUUCCAUCUUUUUUAGGAUGAUAGUCUUUAACUGCAGUCGGUAAACACUAUAUUGUCGGGGACACAAGUCGGUUAUUUCUCCAGUUUUUACAGUUGACAGAGUUGAUUUUUUCAUUUGCAAAUGGACACAGAGCAGGUAGGAGCAUGACACCGAGCCUCUUUUGAUCUCAUCUAUAUUCCUAUCACCCUUCCCUUACUACGCUAUCAGCCACCAAAGAGUACUUUCUCUCAGCACAUGAGCCUAAUGGUAGGUGAUGGGAAAGUAGCCGAGAAUUGAAAAAAAGUAUUUACUUUCUCAUACGUGAAUUGUAUGAUUACAGCCCUAUNNNNNNNNNNNNNNNNNNNNNNNNNNNNNNNNNNNNNNNNNNNNNNNNNNNNNNNNNNNNNNNNNNNNNNNNNNNNNNNNNNNNNNNNNNNNNNNNNNNNNNNNNNNNNNNNNNNNNNNNNNNNNNNNNNNNNNNNNNNNNNNNNNNNNNNNNNNNNNNNNNNNNNNNNNNNNNNNNNNNNNNNNNNNNNNNNNNNNNNNNNNNNNNNNNNNNNNNNNNNNNNNNNNNNNNNNNNNNNNNNNNNNNNNNNNNNNNNNNNNNNNNNNNNNNNNNNNNNNNNNNNNNNNNNNNNNNNNNNNNNNNNNNNNNNNNNNNNNNNNNNNNNNNNNNNNNNNNNNNNNNNNNNNNNNNNNNNNNNNNNNNNNNNNNNNNNNNNNNNNNNNNNNNNNNNNNNNNNNNNNNNNNNNNNNNNNNNNNNNNNNNNNNNNNNNNNNNNNNNNNNNNNNNNNNNNNNNNNNNNNNNNNNNNNNNNNNNNNNNNNNNNNNNNNNNNNNNNNNNNNNNNNNNNNNNNNNNNNNNNNNNNNNNNNNNNNNNNNNNNNNNNNNNNNNNNNNNNNNNNNNNNNNNNNNNNNNNNNNNNNNNNNNNNNNNNNNNNNNNNNNNNNNNNNNNNNNNNNNNNNNNNNNNNNNNNNNNNNNNNNNNNNNNNNNNNNNNNNNNNNNNNNNNNNNNNNNNNNNNNNNNNNNNNNNNNNNNNNNNNNNNNNNNNNNNNNNNNNNNNNNNNNNNNNNNNNNNNNNNNNNNNNNNNNNNNNNNNNNNNNNNNNNNNNNNNNNNNNNNNNNNNNNNNNNNNNNNNNNNNNNNNNNNNNNNNNNNNNNNNNNNNNNNNNNNNNNNNNNNNNNNNNNNNNNNNNNNNNNNNNNNNNNNNNNNNNNNNNNNNNNNNNNNNNNNNNNNNNNNNNNNNNNNNNNNNNNNNNNNNNNNNNNNNNNNNNNNNNNNNNNNNNNNNNNNNNNNNNNNNNNNNNNNNNNNNNNNNNNNNNNNNNNNNNNNNNNNNNNNNNNNNNNNNNNNNNNNNNNNNNNNNNNNNNNNNNNNNNNNNNNNNNNNNNNNNNNNNNNNNNNNNNNNNNNNNNNNNNNNNNNNNNNNNNNNNNNNNNNNNNNNNNNNNNNNNNNNNNNNNNNNNNNNNNNNNNNNNNNNNNNNNNNNNNNNNNNNNNNNNNNNNNNNNNNNNNNNNNNNNNNNNNNNNNNNNNNNNNNNNNNNNNNNNNNNNNNNNNNNNNNNNNNNNNNNNNNNNNNNNNNNNNNNNNNNNNNNNNNNNNNNNNNNNNNNNNNNNNNNNNNNNNNNNNNNNNNNNNNNNNNNNNNNNNNNNNNNNNNNNNNNNNNNNNNNNNNNNNNNNNNNNNNNNNNNNNNNNNNNNNNNNNNNNNNNNNNNNNNNNNNNNNNNNNNNNNNNNNNNNNNNNNNNNNNNNNNNNNNNNNNNNNNNNNNNNNNNNNNNNNNNNNNNNNNNNNNNNNNNNNNNNNNNNNNNNNNNNNNNNNNNNNNNNNNNNNNNNNNNNNNNNNNNNNNNNNNNNNNNNNNNNNNNNNNNNNNNNNNNNNNNNNNNNNNNNNNNNNNNNNNNNNNNNNNNNNNNNNNNNNNNNNNNNNNNNNNNNNNNNNNNNNNNNNNNNNNNNNNNNNNNNNUCUCUAGAUUUCGUCAGCGAAUUCUAAUUCUUCGAAUUCUCCCUUUCGCUUACCCAAUUCAUCUCACCAACUGAAAAAACAGGUCCGAAGUCCCGAAGAAGAGGAGGAGAGAAAACAGAAACGAUCGAAGCCUUACCUGAUGAACCGGAGCUCGGAGACGUCGUCGAUCCGGGGGCCGCAGAACCGGAUGAAGUCGUCGGGGGAAAAGUAAUUGGGGACGGCGACGACGAAGAGGGUGGUGGAGCGGGCACCGGGGCUCGAGAGGGGCGCGUGCGACAGCGUCCGGAACAGGUGGACCAUGCCCCUCCGCUCGGCGAACCUAGCGAUCUCCGGCGGCGGCGGCGAGGAGGAGGAGAAGCCGCCGUAGUCGGUGGCGAGGGGGUGGUCGGUGUCCACCGAGUGGACCCGGAGGAAGAACAUCUUUUACCCUUCGGACUGAGUUGAAUCGCCCGAGUUGGAGAAGAUUGCUGGAUUGCGGAGCAGAGAGAAGAAACUCGCGGGAACUAAGAGGAGGAUUGGGCACGCCUUCUUCCUGGAAUUAUAACGGUUGCUACUUUCCACCCAAAAAAAAAAACUAAUUGGUGCAAAAUGAAUAAUUUAUUGUCUAAUACGACUAACUUAAUUUCAAUAAUUAUUUAGGAGAGAUUUAAAAAGAAUUGGGUAUUCCUUGUUGAGUUGAGAUUUACACAAUAGACAUUUUUUAUUCAUUUCGGGUGUUCGAAAUAAUUAAAAAAAUUAAAUUUGAAAUUGAUCAAAUUACUUUUUGAUUGAACAAAUUCAGAAUUAUGUGAAUUAUGGUAAGAAGUAUGUUAUGUGAUUGCUUAUGAACGAAAUAAUUUUGUAAUCAUCUCAUUCUCAUUUAUUAUCAAAAUGAUGAUGCAUCCGAAUUAAAAUUGGUAAUAAAUUCUACCGACAUUGGAAAAGCAAAGAAAUGAUAAAGGCCUAAACUGAACUAGUCGUGGAUUCUAUUUCUUUUGCUUCGUCUGACAAACAAAACAUGACGACAAAGGCUAGAAUACUCCUAGAUAUACUAAAACUGAAAUGCAAGGGCAGUCAAGUGUCUAUUUGGCAUAAAAAUUGCUAUCACAGGUGAUUAUUAUGCGGGCCUAGUUUGGACCAACAUCAAGACUAAAUUGUUGCUCAAGCUCGUUCAUAAAAUGAAUCAUAUAUAGAAAUGUUGGGGCACGGCUCAGGCGAAGGUCGGGCAAGCUAGGAUUUUUUAACGUAAGGAUAUUUUCUAGUCUCAGGGUCAUGUCUCUGAUUGUGAUGUUGCAGAGGGUAGAUUUUAUAGUCUCGGGGUCUUCCUCCUGACAUAGUUUGGCACAAUUUUUUCUUUAAGUGGUACAGUUAGCAUCCUUAUCAACUUGUAGAUCUUACAACCUCAGGGCCUUCUUCUAGACAUAGUUUGGCACCAUCUAUUUUAAGUGGUACAAUUAGCAUCCUAAUGGACUCAUGCUCAAGUCUAGCGGUGAUAAUUUGUUUUAUUAUAUUUAUUUAGGCUGACUGAAAGUGAAAAAGAAGAACAUGAGAUUAGGGUGAUGCGUGGAAAGCGUUGUCUAUGCGAGUUGGAGACAGGUUUAUCUGAUUUUAGUUAGCAAGCUAAAGGAUCAUAGGAACAGGGUUUAGUUUUCGCAGGUGGCUUCUUUUCUUGUUCCUUCUGCGUCAUGCUGAAAGUACUUUUCUUAUGUUUUUUUAUUUAUUCUUUUUAAUUUGCUGAAGUAGCAUUUGUUAGCACUUAGCAGGUUCUAUUUUCUUGUUCUUUUGCCACAAAAAAAAAUAAUAUGAAUUAAUUAAAAAAUCAUCUUCUUCUUGUGUUCCUAUUAUGAACGCGAUUUGAGCGCAACAACACUCAGACCUUGGAUGAAAGUCAAUACUUCGCCAUGGUCUACCUCGACAUUUUGCUUAUUGGACUGCAUUCUUUGGGAAUCAAGUUCCAUCUUUUUUAGGAUGAUAGUCUUUAACUGCAGUCGGUAAACACUAUAUUGUCGGGGACACAAGUCGGUUAUUUCUCCAGUUUUUACAGUUGACAGAGUUGAUUUUUUCAUUUGCAAAUGGACACAGAGCAGGUAGGAGCAUGACACCGAGCCUCUUUUGAUCUCAUCUAUAUUCCUAUCACCCUUCCCUUACUACGCUAUCAGCCACCAAAGAGUACUUUCUCUCAGCACAUGAGCCUAAUGGUAGGUGAUGGGAAAGUAGCCGAGAAUUGAAAAAAAGUAUUUACUUUCUCAUACGUGAAUUGUAUGAUUACAGCCCUAUUUGUAAUGUGUAAGCCCUAUCUAAUCAAAGAAAGAAAUAUACAAAAGGAAGGGAAAUAUCUUUUUUCCAAAAUAUACAAUAUUCUAAUCUCCUCUAAAUGAACCAAUUAGCAUCAAUUAAAAUCAAUUACAGCAACGGUAUCUUCAACACUCCCCCUCAAGCCGGUGGUCUAUACACAUCAAAGACACCAAGCUUGCUCAAUAGAUACGUAUGUUGCCUUUGACACGGGGGCUUAGUAAAAAUAUCUGCAGGCUGUUCUGUUGUUCUUAUCCCUCUUGUCUUGAUUACUCCAGUUUGAAUUUUGUCUCUAAUGAAGUGACAAUCAACCUCUAUAUGUUUCGUUCUUUCAUGAAAAACUGGAUUUACUGCAAGUUUGAGCGCAGCAUCAUUGUCACAAAAUAGGACAGUUGGCUCUUUCACCCAUACACCAAGAUCUUAGAGCAAGCCUCUUAUCCAGACUAUCUCACAGCUAGUUUUCGCCAUUGCCCGGUAUUCAGUUUCAGCGGAUGAUAACGAUACAGUUGAUUGUUUCUUUGUUUUCCAUGAGAGCAAUGAAUCUCCCAAUUUUAUGCAAAACCCUGUAACUGAUUUUCUACUCAUAGGGCAAGUAGCAUAGUCUGUGUCACAGAAGGCUGUCAUUUCCAUGUUGUUGUUUCGAGACAAUAGUAUUCCUAAACCUGGACAUCCUUUCAAAUACUUCACGACCUUCAGUGCAGCAUUCAUGUGAGAUUGUUUUGGAUCAUGCAUAAACUGACUGAGAAUUUGUACUGCAUAACAUAUGUCCGGUCUAGUCAUUGUGAGAUAGAUAAGCUUCCCGACAAGCCUCUGAUAGAUGGAAGGAUCUUUGAGCAAAAGAUCCUCAUUUAGGGGUGAUAGUCCCUUAUCAUACUCAGCCGUUGUUAAUUUGAUAUUUUGUUCAACUGGAAUUACAGCUGGCUUGGAUCCUGAUAAUCCUGCUUCUGAGAUGAUUUCCAGAACAAACUUGCGUUGAUUGAGGCAAAUUCCCUUAUAUGAUCGCGCAAUCUCUAUUCCAAGAAAAUAUUUGGGAGGUCCCAAAUCCUUAAUAUGGAAUGUGGAGUGUAGGUACCCUUUAAAUUUCUCAAUGGCAGAUUCAUCAUUCCUCAUAAUAAGUAUGUCAUCAACAUAUAUAAGCAAAUAAAUUGAUGAUGUACCUUGACUCCACGUGAAUAAGGCAUAGUCACGCUUGGAUUGUUGGAAUUUUGCAGUUAUAAGUGCAGAGGUGAACUUGGCAUACCACUGGCAAGAAGCCUGCUUGAGUCCAUAUAGGGAUUUACGUAAACAACAUACUCGAUUCUCCCCCUGUUUGCGUAAACCCGGUGGAAGAUCCAUGUAAAUUUCUUCUUCUAGAUCUCCAUGGAGGAAAGCAUUAUGAACAUCCAUUUGAUGAAGAGGCCAAUCACGAAGAGCAGCAAUGGAGAGAAAGGAACGAACGGUGACUUCUUUUGCCACGGGAGAAAAAGUUUCCGUAUAAUCAAAACCUUCUCGUUGUGUAAAACCCUUGGCUACUAAUCUGGCUUUAUAACGUUCAAUUGAACCAUCUGCCUUGUACUUGAUCUUGUAUACCCAUUUACACCCGAUAGAUUUUCGAUGAGGGGGUAUAGGAACAAUAUCCCAAGUGUUGUUCUCCACCAGAGCUCGUAACUCAUCCUUCAUCGCUCGUUGCCAAUGAGGAUCUUUGAUAGCCUCGUCAUAUGAAGACGGUUCCCGUCCCUCAGAAAUUUUACUUAUGCAACACCUAUGUUCGGGUGAAAGGCGAGCGAAGCUAACAUAAGAAGAGACAGGAUAAUGCGUACCAGAUUUUGCCAAGGUGGGACAAAUGUAGUCUGUUGUCCACGUGGGCAGUCGUGUUGUCCGGCUUGAUCGUCGAGGAUGAUCCGUUUCACUUCCAAUAGCCGCAGGAGGGAUAUUAACUAAAUCAUUCGAUGAGAUGGUGUGACCCUUUGGUAUCGCUUCUUGUGACUCCCUAGAGGCUGCAUUAUUUGAGCAAGACUGAGGAUCACAUUCAGCUGCAUGAUGCGUUAUAGGUGAUGUGAUAUUAGGAAUCAUGACGGGCUGUGGAGACAAGAGAUCUUCUUCACUCAAGAAUUUAUGAGGAUUUGUAGCCGGAUCUAAAUUUUGAUGUAAAGAUAAAUCUUCUUGGAAAGGAAAGAUGUCCUCAUGAAAAAUAACGUCUCUGCUAACAAGAAAGUCUCCAGUGGAUGGAUUAUAAAUCAAGUAUCCUUUUUGAUGAGCAGGAUAUCCCAUAAAUACACCUUUAACUGCACGAGGACCCAAUUUGUCCCGAGUGCCUACAGUUGAGACAUAGCACAAGCAUCCAAAAACACGAAGAUGGUGGAUGUUUGGUUGUUUCCCGAAGAGUAACUCAAAUGGAGUCUUGCCAUUCAGAAUCUGAGACGGCAUUCGGUUGAUCAAAUAGGUUGCUGUGACCACACAAUCUCCCCAAAACAUCUCCGGAAUUGAGGCUUGAUACUUAAGGGCACGAGCAACUUCUAAAAGAUGUCGAUGUUUCCAUUCAACGACCCCGUUUUGUUGAGGUGUAUAAGUACACGAACUUUCAUGAAUGAUGCCAUUAGAAAUAAAUAGAGAAGAACACUCAUGAUUAAAAAAUUCACGAGCAUUAUCAAUACGAAUCCGUUGCACAGAUUUGUGAAAUUGAUUUUUAACUAAUGUAAGGAAGUUCCUAACAUGGGAAAGAACUUGUGCCUUAGAUUGCAUCAAAAAAAUCCAUGUAGCCCUUGUAUUGUCAUCCACAAUGGUAAGGAAGAAACGUGACCCAUCCCGAUUUGGUGUAUGAUACGGACCCCAAACAUCCAUGUGUAGAAGAGAAAAAGCUGUAUGAGCACGUGAGGUACUUUGUGAAAAAGGCAAUCGAGAUUGUUUAGCUACUGAACAGAUAGGACACUUUGGAUGAGGAAAAGAGGCACUAUGGCCUAAACGCUGAUGAGACAAAAUAUUAUUAUUAACUUUGGCAUUACACAAAAUGCUCUCAUUUAAGGGUAGAGAUGAAAUAUCAAGAUUUUUGGGAAGUGCGGCCCAAAAAUAGAGUCCCUCUUGAAUUUUACCCAAUCCCAUCAGUUUCCCAGUCGAAAUGGCCUGGAAAAAACAAAUGUCAGAAUCAAAAGUGACUCGACAAGAAUUGUCUUCACAAAUUUUUGAGACGGAAAUGAGAUUAAAUUGGAACUCCGGAAUAAACAAGACAUUUUUCAAUGUGAUGAAUGGGUUGAGUUGAAUGUUUCCUGUUUUAGUAACGGAGGUAUCAUUCCCAUUUGGGAGACGUACUGAGGUGAACGGGGUCGAUGUACGAACAUUAGUAAGGAAAUGCUCAUCACAGACAAUGUGGUCACUAGCACCUGAAUCAAUAAUCCAUGCUUCAGUUGAAAUGGAGCUUAGGCAAUGAGAAAUACCUGUAUAACUUGCUGGUUUGUCCUGCAUUCUCAAUUGGCUUAGAGCUCUCAUGAUUUGUUGGAACUGAUCGUUAUUGACAGGUUGAUGAACUUUGGCAUGUGCCGCAAUUGAGACAUCUUUUUCCUUUUUAUCUGUUGGCCUCCCAUGCAAUUUCCAACAAUUUUCUAGCGUAUGAUAGGGUCGCUUGCAAUAAUCACAGAAUUUGGCUUUUCCUUUAUUGGAAUUUUGGCCACGUGAUUUAUUUGAGGCCACAACAGAAUUUUGGCCGUUGGAUCCCCGAGUAGCCGCGGCAUGAUGUCCACCGUCCGAUAUGGACGUGGAAAAAAUCAAUCCGGAGCCAUCUGAUCGCGCGAACGAAUCGGAGCCGUUAGAUCCCAUGAUUAAAUCACGUCCGUUCGUUGGGAAAUAAGUUUGUGUGAGCCCUGAGCCAUCCGAUUGCCCAAACACAUCUGAGCCGUUCACUCCAGAGGAUAAAAAAGAUUUGUCUUCUUCAUCCAGAAUCCCUAGCGCUGCGACUGACGUUAUGUGUCCACCAUGGCUGCCAUGGCCGGACCUUGCAGCGGCCAACCGCUGCUCUGGCGUCGCUUUGGCAGCAAGGAUAACUCGGUCUCCUACCUUGGCCGCUGCUCUGGCGUCGCUUUGGCAGCAAGGAUAACUCGGUCUCCUACCUUCAGGUACUCCGAGGAGGCCAGGCGUUGCGAUUCUUCCUGGACCGCGAGCUGGUAGAUCCGGCCGAGUGAGGGUACAGGCUCCAUGGCGAGGAUCUGGCUGCGAAACGGUAAGUAACUCUCAUUUAAAAUAAGUAAGAACCGUGUCACCUUCUCUCGCUCUCUUAUCGCACGAUAUUGUGCUAGGGUUGCGUCGGGUCCCUCCAACUUUUCUUCAGCCAUUUCCAACUCGUUCCAUAGUGCGGACAAUUUGUUGAAUACGCUAGAAAUAGAGAGAUUCCCCUGUUUGAGUUCUGAUAGAGCCUGAGUUAAGCUGAAAAUUUUUGCGCGAUCGAGUUUUCCAUACAUUUCCCGUAUGUUUUCCCAAAUUGCUUUCGCGUCUUCGGUCGGAGGGAGUCCCGCGGCGAACUCCGGGGUGAGACAGUUACCGAUCCAGGUCCUAACGAGCUGAUUGCAUUUCCUCCAAUGGCGUGCAAGUCGCUCGUCAACCGGAACUGGAACGGUGCCGUCAAUGAACCCCUCUGUCUUUUGUGAUAAGGGCCCGUCGGAACUCUCGCGACCAAAGGGAAUAAUUUUCCGGCCCGGAGAGCUUCUGUGUGAUAAGGCGGAGCUCGGGGCCAUCGGUAGCGGACGUGUACAGGGGGUCUCCCGGCUCGGGUCGACCGCCAAUGGCACCUACGAAUGGAGAAAAACCAGGUCCAUAAGUCGGGUAAGGGUUCACCCCAAAACCCGAUGGACCCGAACCACUUUGGUUCAGAAAAGUCCAACCUGUUGCAGAUCCUGGGUAGGACUUGUUAUUGGGUAGUGUACCUCCUCCUGACCCGUCGGUUCCACCGUGGGUUCUCUCGGCAGAGCCAAUUACAUUCUGAGCCAGAUUCGUUUGACUCGUCUGACCCGGAAUAGGUGGUUGAACUUGGAUCGGAACCCAUUGAACGUAAGGUCCCGUAAAAAUUUGCCCUGAAUUAGGCUGAACAUGGCUCUGUUGCUCUUCAUCAAGUGUCGUCUGGUUCAGGUCUUGCGUCUGAUCCUCAAUAUCUUGUCCUGAGGGUGAAUGAUUCAGCUCUUGUUCGUCGGAAGAAGUUUCUGGAUUAUGGGGUACUCCAGAUUUUGAGGCUUGGUUUUUUGGCAUAUUGUUUCCUUUUGCUGAUCUAGCCAAAACACUUUCUCAGGUUUGGUGUGGACUGGAGAAGAAAUCAGGACCUUGAUGAGGACAGAGAUGAAGAAAAAAAAUGGGCGGAAGCUAAAAGAGUAGCUCUGAUACCAUGUCAGAAUGGUAGGUGAUGGGAAAGUAGCCGAGAAUUGAAAAAAAGUAUUUACUUUCUCAUACGUGAAUUGUAUGAUUACAGCCCUAUUUGUAAUGUGUAAGCCCUAUCUAAUCAAAGAAAGAAAUAUACAAAAGGAAGGGAAAUAUCUUUUUUCCAAAAUAUACAAUAUUCUAAUCUCCUCUAAAUGAACCAAUUAGCAUCAAUUAAAAUCAAUUACAGCAACGGUAUCUUCAACACCUAUAUUGUCAUCGCAGAGCGCUUGCACUUCAAACAAAUGCAGAAGUAGGAUGUGGAAUCUAAGAGUGUCUGAUUUGAUUCGUAUACAGUGGGUUCAACCCUCGGCAAGUUUGGAUGUUGCAUCUUAAAAGGCACAUUCUUCUAAACGGCUGAAUUUGCAGAAUCAAUAGCAAAGUGAACCUAGUGGGCACGUUUUCUCCGGACAUUUCCACAAAAUUUGGAAUUAGUUCCCCUUACAAAUAGGAACGAUACUAGGCUUUCCCCCUUAUGAGAAGAUGUUCUUGACCUGGGAGUUUAGAAGGGAGUAAGAGCCACUUAAAAGCUGUUGUAGUUUUGGAGAUGGUAUCAAACGAUCUCUCAAAAAAGUACUCUCGGUACGCCAAACAUUAAUUAUCUUGACGUUUUACAAAAUCGUUCAUAUAUUUUUAGAUAGUCAUUGAAUAAAGGGAAAAUUCCAAAAAGAGAUCCAAAGUGUUAUAUUUUUCUCAAAUAAGGAUUCGAAGUGGAUUUUGUUUUAAAUAAAAAUCUGAAGUGACUUUAGUUGUUUCAAAUAAGAGCUUGAAGUGGCUUUGGUUAUUUCAAAUAAAGACCCAAUCUCGACAAUCGCCGGCCGGCUAAAUCUUCUGACCGGUCAAGAGUAUUUUCGUCAUUUGGCAUUUCCCCCCUUUUUUCUUCCUUUUUUUCUUAUCUUUUUUUUUUCCUUCUAAUUCCUUUUCUUUCUCUUUGCUGGUGGCCAGCUAGCCACCGGCAAUGCCCAUAGAGGGUUGGGUGAGGGCCACCCACACCUGCCACAAGCAAGGGACGGCCUCACUUAGGCGUGGUGACCUUCACCCAGGGGCCAUCCACGAGAUCAGUCCUCGCUAGCCCUGGUGAGGGUGGCCUUGCUCGCAACCAGCAAGGGCUGGGUGACCUUGCCGGCCGUGAGCAAGACCUAGGUGAGGCUGACCCUCGCCAGAUCUAGCGAGGGUUGGGCGACCUCACUGGCCCCUGAUAAGGGUUUGCAAGGCCACCCUCACCAAAUUUGGCUAGGGUCGGCCUCGCCUAGGCCUCGCUCGGGGCUGACCGGUCCUUACCAACGGCCGGUGAGGUCAUCCAACCCUCAUCGGCCGCAGGCAAGGGGUCGGUCUCGCCUAGGGCUGGUGCGGGCCGACCUCACGGAUGGGCCCUAGGUGAGGGUUGCCUCGCCCAGGCGAGGCCAUCCCUCGCAUGUGGCCUACGUGGGUGGCCCUCGCUGGCAAGCGUGACCCUCGCCCAGCCCUCUGUGGGCAUUGCCAUCGGCGAAAAGGAAGAAGAAGGACCAGAAAAAAUAAAAAAAGGAAAGAAAAAAAGGUAGAAAAAAGGGGGAAAAUGACAAAUGACAAAAAUACCAUUGACUGUCGGAAAGUUAGAUCCUUAUUUGUAACGAAUAUAACCACUUCGGGCUCUUAUUUGAAACAAAUAUAACUACUUUAGGUCCUCAUUUGAAAUAACAUAUAUUUUAGGUCCUUAUUUGAGAAAAUAAUUACACUUCAGUUCCUUAUUUGAAACAAGGUUCACUUCAGGUCCUUAUUUGAGAAAAUGAGAGCACUUCGGGUCUCUUUUUGAAAAAUUUCCUUUAAUAAAUAAGUUAUAUAGCAAUUUCUACGAAAGCAACUUUGUUAAUUCAAACCCUCCAAGAAAAGAACAAUAAAAGGAGAUUGACAAUGCCAUUGGGAGGCAACUUGGCAAAGCGAGCACUUUUGUGAGGUAUAAUAAGUCAGAGUUUAACAUUAUAUGGAUCAGUCUUUAAUCACGAAUAAAGAAAUGGCAAUACCACAAUCACAAAACUGAGGGCAGUUGGUAUAAUCGAAAUUCCAUUUAAAACUGCUGUUGGCAUAUAAACUUGUUAUUUUGUUUCCAAGAAAAAAAUUAUAAAUAUAUUACCAUAGUAGAACAACAUAUAGAAGAAUUGAAGUUGAGAGCUAGACUUUUUAAAUUUUGGGGAAAAAAAGUUUCUACAAUAAGUUUUUAGGUACUGCUUUCAAGAAUGCUUUAGUUUGAUUGGCGGAACUGUAACAACUAAACUGAGAAUGGUCUUUCUUUAAUUUUCAGCGUCUGGCCGAGUAUAUGCAUUUACAAUGUCAAUAAGUGCCGGACACCGAAACUCAAUUGAAGAGGAGGACUGGGGAAAGUCAGGGAGUUGCACCAUCCACAACCCCUCCAAGUAUAGAGGUUAUGUAGAACGCUGGGCAGUGAAAUACCACCCUCGGGCCCCCCUUGCGUCCGCAGAUGCUGCUAACAAUACUUUUCCUUCCUACUUACGACGAAUGUCAAUAAAAUGAAAAAACAAUUAACUACAUUCAUGCCAUUCUUGUUUACUUAUCAAGCAUAUGCACACUAAGUGACACCUGCUUAUUUCCGUCUUCGGCUGGGCUCCGUGCUCUUUCUGGUUGGAAAUGAUUACUCCAAACGCACGGGUAAUAGGGUCCUCCUUGGACGCCAUCUUUAUCAGUCAUCUUACCGAAUGUUUUCUGGUAUCCAAUAAACACCUUAAAUUCUUUGAUCCGUUAAAGAUGACAAGGAACAUAUUGCUGUCAACACACGUUACAUACACAUACACGCGGUUGGCAAUAUUAUGAAAACCAUAUGAACUGAAGGAAUAAAAUUUUGAGGUUCAGAAAAUGUACCCGUUUAUCCACAUUUAGUAUUUUUUCAUUCUUCGACUUUAGUGACAAAAUUAUCCUGCACAUGUGAAGAAACCGUAUGUGUGCUUCAUUCAUGUCAAAUCAGAUGGGAGGACUAAGUUCUCCAGACAGCUUUAAAUUGACUAAACUCGUCUAGAAGUUGCGUCAAGUACAAUCCAUAACUAUGCUUAUCUAGGAAGAUUAGCCCACAUGACUCGAAUGAAGAUGAACAAGAUGAGUAUACUUUAAAAUGCUGCAUAAUUAUUCUCUACGUUGUAUGCAUAUUAAGGAACUCAAAAGGCAUCUAAACCCACAUCGCUUAAUCUGUGAAGCUCGAAUAAGGGUUAUGUCGACCAAGAGCAUAUUAUUUUCCUUUUAUUUUCUAUGUUCUCGAAGUUGGAAAUUUCAACACUACGCAUCAUGAACAACCAAUGAACUGUUAUUGGAAUUAGUAAAUUUUUAAUGUUGCAAUUAAAUUUUAGUCCCAUACCAUCACAGAAUUAUUUGCAAAUUUUUCUAGUGUGCAAAAUUGUACUUUGAACUCAAACAAUGACCGUGGAGUUUUGAACAUUAACUUUCUACCGAUAAAGUUAAACCUCUAAGGCAAUAGCACUAAAACAUCAAAAGGGAAACAAAAUCACAGAUGAAACAUACAUUAACAAAGGAACCAAAUAAGAGAGAGGUCGUCCCGUCUCGCCACUUCUUUGAAACUUCUUCAAAAAAAAUUCCCAAUAACUACCUACUUCAUCUUCUUGCCACGUCCUCUAACCAAUAUUAACUCAAACGUGGUCAUUUCCCUCCAAAGUAUGGUGAAAAGCAGGCAUAUUAUCUAUUCGAUAAAUUCUCACACGACAUAAAAUGACUUUUCCUUGUGCCUUUAAUGAUGUGUCAUAAGUCAUUUAUAAUCACAACUCAGAUAUUUGCAUUGGGUGUUGUAGUUUCUCUAUCCUCUUCCAACUACUUUCACCCUUUUUACCUCAAUUUGUGACACCAUCUAAAGGUUCAAACUAUGUGAACUCUUCCUCUUCACAUUACCAUCCUCACUUUUUUCUCAUCUUCUCAAUGUUAUUCCGACCUUUCCCUCUCAUGACUGACCGACUUAACUAAUGGAUAUGACCGGCAUUGACUGCGACAUUAGUCAGCAUGAUAGACUCAGGCGGCCAACCGUACUCAAAUCUCUCUUCAACUGAAAUUCACAUGCCACAUGGCACGCUUCCAUUAGUUAAAAUCCUCGCUGUCUACAAUAGAACAUAUGACACCCAAUGGUCUAAUUAAUUUUCGUGAUAACUGUGUGGGAGCACAAAACUCUAGUUUAAAAAAAAAAAAAACAAAACAAAACAAAACAAAGCUAUUCUACCACAGCCCAAUCAUUACAUGUUCCGACUCCUUCGCUGGUCGCGCCGCCGACCAUCAAUCUCAGGAGGAUCACGUUUGUUCAUUUCAUCGAGAGCACCAUUCCAGAACCCAAAAAAAAAAAAAAAAAUCGAGCAAGGAAAAUUCAUCUCAAAAAAGCGAUUCCGUUCGAUUCAGUUGGCGGUUUCAAGCGUCCUGAAUCGAUCACAGUGGCCGUCGCCGGCAUCAACAGCCUCUUCAAUGCCGCGACUCGUCUCCUUUGUUCCCCUCUGUUCCGCGGCCGAGAGCCUCGAAAUGUUCCAGUUCGCUCGGAGCUUCUCCACCUGUUCAGGUUCCCAUCAUCGACACGUUCUAGAGCUUCUUUCAGUGAUUCGUGCGGCCAAUGGUGGCCUCAAUCCGCUUCGUUAACCAGGUAGCUUCUCCUGCUCUUUUCUCACAAGUAAGAGGCCGAGAGUCUGAUUCUCUUAUUAUGAUGAAAUUUAUCAUUGUUGAAUUUUUUUUUUCUUUUGACUUGGAACAUCAUGUACUGAUUUAGGUUGAGUCUAGUUACAAAUUUGGGUUUGAAAUGGCUUUGAUCUGUUCCACAACCGAUUGGCCAUAAUUUGUUCGAUGAAAUGUGUCUGAGAUCUUGGUGUGAAUUGAUUCCAGUAAUCGUCCGAUCUGAAAGCACAUUAGUGAUGUUCACUUGAUAUUGUUUGAUUUUGCAAUCUUUAGGCAUGAUUACGAGUAUAUGCCAUGGUUGCCAAGAAUGAAACUGACUCUCCGUUUGUUUUCUCAGUGGUUCCUGUGAUCUUUUGGUGAUUGGUGGUGGUCGGUGAGACGAGAAGGCUUGGAGUCGCUGGCACACGCAAUUUUUUUGGUGAUGAUCAUAGUACGCCCUGUUGAACAGAAUUGAGACGAUGUCGCUGAGCAUGAAUCGCAAUCACGCCAAUUCAGAUCACUAACUUUGGCCAACACAUGUUUCGGUCACUAACUGGAGCAAAGUUAUGGCUGAUUGCUAGCCGUAUCCUUGCUGUUGAGUCGCCCCACAAUGUCCUCAACUGCUGAGCUUUGCUUCUGUCCAUGCCUUGCAGUCCAUCGUUGCCAUUGUAAUUGCUGUGGUAAACCUACCUUGCCAUACUGCCAUACGUUACCGAUAUGGAUUGAUGUACCAAUAGAGCUAUAUCCACUGCGUUUUGUUAAAAAUCGGAUCACCUCAUACCGGCGGCUUGUUUCUGGUCCAACUGAUUUUUAGAGUUGACUGUAUGUUCAGAUUUCCUUCACUCCUUUGUUUUUUAUGUUCAGAAUUUUGCGCAUCUUCUUAAACCGAAUCAUGGGAAAGCUAAGCUGUUCGAAGUCCAGUCGUCAUGGGGUCAAUACUUGUGUCGUCUACUUCCUGCUUUAUUCUCUGUGCAUGACAUAUUCUACUUCACACGUGCUGUCGAGGGAAAUCAUGGUCGACAAUCAAUAUGAAGUGAGCAAGUUAUAUUUACUCUCUGUCAUUAGUUGAUAAGCUUUGGGGUAUGAUGAAACCAGUCAAUAGCUUGCUCAGAAUAAGUAAAUGAGGAUUUACUUCUUUCUUGGAAGUGUCAAUGUCAUCGCUUUGUCUCUGAUCGUGGAAAGAGUUUAUGGUUCGUUUUGAACUUGCAUAAAAAUCGUUGGAAUGCUCAUGAAGCAGCGAGUACCCAAAAUUUACAAGUUAUAUGAAUUGGUGUGUCCUGUUGUUGCAUAUGCUGUAGUUUAGCAGUUAUUGUUCAUCUAUGUUUGCUGAACCAUUUGAUUUGUCACUUUCAAUCGACGAGAUUUUGAUAAAGACACAUGACAAUCGUGAGCGAUGUAUUGAAACUGGCACUUUGGUGAUGACAGUGCUCCUUCGUGUCACAGUAUGUACUUGUUUUAGGAAAAAUCAUUUAUGAUGUUGGAGAAGUGAAUAUGUGUUGUAGGUGCCUUGGAUUCGGACAAACCCCUCGUUAUCCUAGACCCACUCAUUGAAGAAACGGAGAGGUAUAAACGUAAUUACUUUCCUUCUCUUGGCAAAAAUUCUGCCAUUCCCAUAGAAGUUCCAAGAGUACGAUGAGGUCGCCUAAAAAUUAGAAAACAGAAAAUGGAGAAACAUUUUGAAUCAGUAGUAACUAAACUAAAUGUUCUAUUGUGGUUUUCUCCUAAAAUAUGUGGUGCUUAGAACCAUUGAAUACCUAAAGCAAAACACAUGUGAGAGAGAGCUUUCGAGAGUAACGCUUAUAACCGUGGCUGAUCUGUCGAAUAGUACAAUGUACAAGACUUUAUGUUAAGCAGGGAGAAUUGAGAUAGGUAUCCGCGUGCUUUAUUUUUUUGCGCUUCCAGCUGAGUUGAAGCUAGAUGUGUAUAGUCGGCGUGCAUCUAUGAAAAAGUAUAUCUACAGUGUCAGAGUAAACGAGGUAAGUCUGAUUACUAUAAUGGAGGUAAUAUACAUUUUGCAGGCCCAAUAAUGGACAUGUGACAUUGGGCCAGCAAAAUGAACAUAUGAAGCACAAAACCAGAAACAAAAUCUUUCAUUGUCACCUGUCAGCACCGGUAAAAGCAUCACGCACCUGCAAACUUCAAACAUCUCACUUGACUGAGUCCAAACUCCAAAUCUUUGCAUGGAAAGUAGAAUUGGAUAACAAAAAUGUUCACGGCAUAGAUAUAAGAGGGCGCAUGAAGCUAUUGCUUCAAUUUUGUUGCUGAAGAGCGCCCCACUAUUUUCGGAAUCCUCACUGCAACUGCAACUACCACUAUUUCCUUGAAGUGAUUCACAGUAUGAAUUCAUCUCCCAAAGUUUUCCGUCAACUUUUGAUUCAUUAAGUCGAUGAAUGUAAGUGUCCCCAACGUAGUCCCAAAUUUGCUGCGUUCUUAAAUCUAGAGAAUAGCAAUAUUGUGUAUUUUUCCAACGGCUGAUCGCGUGCUUAUCUUUGCAUCUACAAAUCCAAAAAGGACAAGCUGUAACAAGACAGCCUACCAAAACACUAAAAUAUAGAUCGAAGAUCAUCAUACACCUUCCACAUCUUCCAAAACCACAUAUCAGACAAACCCAAAGAUAGAGCAAAUUGAGAUAGAGCAGAACGAAAGUAUUCUUCAGAGUCAGGUCACAGAUGGGCAUCCCUGAUGAUGUUGCAAUAUGGAGCCACAUAUGCGAUAAUGUUUAAUUCUUGCAAUCUGAUCAAGUAUGUGCCAUACUUAAAAUCUUUAGCAAUGUAAUUGAACCUUGCAAUAAAAUCAAAGGAAGACCCUUGGCACAUCACCAGCAUUGGAGAAUAUCAUAUUGACUUAUUUUAAACAUAAAGAUUGACGAAUCAAGGAAAGGUUAGUAAGCAUAUGUCCAUUGAUGGAUAUCCUAUGUGACACUUUUUUCAUCUUUUGAUAUAUACUCAAGUUCAAAGUUACUUCUUUGCUACAAAUUUACAUGGAUGGAGCAUUAUCACAAUCAGUGGAAUAUAGCUUGAAAUGUGAAAAAUGACCAAGCACCAUCUUAUCUUACAGCCAGAAGUUUGAGAUCAAAGAUCAGCACUUUGACAUCAUUAUGAUCACCCGUGUCAAUAAUGAGUACUUAAGUUCAAUGCAUAAACUCAAUAAUUUAUGGUUGGCCAGUGCUAUUGCGAUCGCCCUUGGACUCAUAAUAAAUUAGACACAACGGUGAUAGGACUAUUAGAUCAAAUAACCAUAAUGAGACACUGCAAAUAUUCUCGUAUCAGGGUAUAAGAAACAUAAAAAAAAUAAGUCCAAGAAGCCACACUAUGGACCUAUUCCAAAUCAUCAGAAAAUGUCAUAAUCAAUUAAAGUGUUGAUAAAACCUCCAUAUAUAUUUUAAAAUUAACAAAACUCUCCAUGUUUGUAUUGAUCUUGGUAAUCACAAAAAAGGCAUUUGUGUUUUAGGUACUAUCUAUGUCAAAAGGAUUCUUCUUGUCCAAAAAGAAUAUUAGACAAACAAUGGAGAGUUGUGGACCUGAGCAGGUCCUUAAAAGGCUCAAGGAGAAAAUAUGUGAGAUAACCGCCCUGGGGUGGGAGUCCCUUCGCUGUCCUCCAUAUUCCCUCUCUGUCGGGAAGACAAAAAUAAAUAGAGAAUUUGGGGGCCUCUCAAUGGGGAAGGUAGACUUCACGUCAAAGCUUGCUCUGGCUACCGCCGAAUAGGGUGGUAUAGUAGCCACCCGCGUGUGGGGUGAGAGAGGGUGGGUGAAAUGCCCACUGCUGUGUCAGCAUGCCUUACGGCACGGUUCCCAACCAUUGGCUAACAUAGUACCCCUGGUAUAUGUGUGAUAUCAACAAGGCAACAGGCUAGAUAUCAGUAGAGUCCCACAAAAGCUAAGUAUAAGCAUGAAAUUGAUUUACAAGAUUAUUUUUUGAGACGUUUUAUAUUCCAUUUCGUUUUAACAGCUUGUGAUUAGGUAUGAAUUGCCUCUUAAGGGAAUAUUGAUUGUCUAUCUCAGAGAUUGUCUUAGCAAAAGACUCAAUCUUGUAAGAUAUUUUGAUUGAUUGGCAAUCAUCUUCAAAGGCAAGUUUCUUUCCAUAGUAGAAGCGUUCUAUUUUUUAGAACCAAGGUUUAAUUGUAUAGGCGACCAAAUGAAAAAGUCCCAUUUCAUAUUCUUCCCUAAAAUAUAUUUUGUUUUAUCUUUCAUAAUAUAAUUGUCAUUACUAUAUGCAUCUUCUUGUUUAUUUCUCAUAACGAAACGCAUAACCAAUACACUAUCGUCCUCAUGAACUACAUUGUCUACCACAUUAACAUGUCUUAUCUUAUUUUAUUUUAUUUUGUAAAUUGAGGUAUUGCAUUAAACAUCUUAACAAAUUUUAUUCUAUUUAGGAAACAAAAAGUAACCAUUUGGUUAAGAUAAUAAUGACAGCGACCUAUAACGAGUAUUGCUCAUUGAUUUUCUUUUCUAUUUUUUGUUAUUGAUUAAAUAUGCAAGUCUAGUCAAGUGUGCUGGAUCUCGACUUUCAAUAAAGGUGUGUUGGAUCUCGACUUUCAAUAAUGGUGUGCUAGAUCUCGACUUUCAAUAAAAGCUUCAUGUGCACUUGCUCAAAGAUUCAGAUUUAUGGAUUUUAUUGAUCACAUGUUGUUGGACGGUGUCAAUUACAAAGUUUGGAUUAUUUAAGGUUUGUGCCGAGAUGAUGUGGCAUUAACAUAUAUUCCCAAAUAUGAACCCAAGAUGCCAAAAACUCAGGAAGGUUCAGGAGUUUGUGAAAAGGAAAAAGUAGGUUGACCAAAAUUAUCUCGUUUAGGUCAUGAGAUGGAUUUAACGUAAUGUAUAACUCAAUUAGUUGUUGAUUGUGUAAACAAGAUCGUCAUAAUCAUCCAAUUUGCCCAAACAAGGAAAAACAAAUGUUCUCAUAUUUACCAUCAAUCGAUUUUUAAUUAUCUCGAUAAUCUAAUAUCCAUAUAGUAGAAUCUUCAGAAUUGUUACUAUAUUAAAUGUGCUAAUAUGCUUGUAACUCCAUUCAAACUAGGAUAUGGAGCCUAACCCAAUUCCCAUCUUUAGUAAAAUAUUCACGUCUAAUUUUCAAAGGCCAUUAAACGGUAGAAAAGAAGUGGCUCUGCGUAGAGGGAUUGUAUUCUGGUUUUCUAAUAAAUUAGGUAUCUUCUUCAAAUUAUAUGCCAAUGAGUAUAUCAUUAUCAUUAAAUGCUGUCGUAAUCUACUUUAUUUAUUUAUUCACUAAAAUUAGUUGGUGUAGAUUACGCACCUUCCGCAUAAUGCUACGGAAAUAAUAAUCCAAGGAGAGACGUUUUUGUGAUUGACUCGUGUAUAAUUUGCACCGGAAUCAUGGGAGUAUUGAAAUGCUGGUUAGUUUUCUUUCCUAUUUCUCUUAUUAACAGAACAGCAAAGUCAAGUCAACAAGCACGAGCUUAGGAUUCUUCCACGCACCUCCUGCAAACUGCUGUGGAAAUUACGCGUGCAUUUGAUUGACCUAUGGAAAUUGGUUUCGGUGAGAAUUGAUGGUUGUUCUUCAUUUCUAUUUCUUUAUUACUAGAAAAAGCAAGUCAAGUCAAAAAGCGUAGGAUGGUCCCCACGCCUGCUGCAAAAAGUAGUGGAAAUUACGCGGGCAAUAGUCGCCCUCCGGUUGUCUUUUCUAUUUCUCUUAUUGAUACAAAAGGCAAGGCAAGUCAAAUCAAGGUCUUGCUCGCUUCGCUUUGGAUAAAUAAAAUGUUUAGAAAUAAAAUAUCAUUAACAUUGGGAAUAUUUUUAAUUAAUUAAAUAUUUUAAUUAAUAUAAAUAAUCAUUUAAAAAUAUUUUUUAAAUAAUAUAAUGAAAUUAUUUUUUAUUAACUAAUUAUUUCAAAUGAUACAAGUAAACUUAAGAUUUAUUGUUUUAAGAGUUCACUUGUAUUUCUCUAAAAAAUUAAUCAAUAAAAAGAUUUUCAUUAUCAAUGAUAAUUUAUAUUUAUAUAUUUUCAUGAAUAAUUCAUUUAUUAAUUUUAGUAAGUAAUAUAAAGGAUUUUAAAAGAAUAUUUUUUGAAUUAUUUUUAUUUUAUGGAACAAAUGCACGCUAAAAGCUCCAAACAAAUGUUAAACUGAUGUGAUGAAGUAUUAACGUGCCCUAUCAAGGGCCCCAAACGUUAAAUCCUCGAAGUUGCCAUACCGCUUGUACCUAUCAAAGAAACUCAAAAAAAUCUACCCACACUGAUAUGAACAAGACAAACUGGUGGACUAGAGAGAGCCGUGUAAGAUGAACCAAAGAUAAGGAUGGAAUCUUGAACACCCAAUGAAACGAGAGAUAUAUAUAUCACAAGAUAAGGCUCAAAAUUCAUUUAUAAUAUGUUUUGUGGUGUGUUUAGGCUAUAGACCGGUCAUGUCUUUCAUUCUCAUUGGAUGCGCAGGAAUCCAAUAUCCUAAUAUAUAAUAUAGGUGCGUUUGAAAGGUUGUGGUCUCCAAAUAUGCAAACAUUUUUUUUUUCUAAUAAGGUGCUAAUUUGUCUUUACCUUAGUGUGAGUGGAAAUCCAUCACUAACCUCACCAGUAUUUUCCAUGAUCUAAUUUCAAAUAGUAGAAGAUUAAUGGGCAAGUUGAGCCUAGAAAUCCUUGCCCAAGAUCGAUUAUGAUUAAAGAAAAGGAAAAUAUUACCAACCCCGGAUCUAUAUGGAGAGAAUUUAUUAUACAAUUAAAAUAUUUGCACUCACAUUAAGGAUCCAAUUGCACUAUCACUUGAAUUAUUUUCCUAAAAUUAACUAUUUAUCAUUUAAAAUAAUUAAUUAAUAAAAAUAUUUUAAUUAUCAAUGAUAAUCUAUAUUUAUAUAUUUUGUAUUUUUUUUUCAAAGCGAGCAAGACUUUGACUUGACUUGUCGUGCCUUUUCUAUGAAUAAGAGAAAUAGAAAAGAAAACCAAAGGGCGAUCCGUAAUUUCCACUGCAUUUUGCAGAAGGUACUGGGGACCAUCCUCUGCUUCUGGACUUGACGUACUUUUUCUACUAAUAAAGGAAAUAGAAAUGAAAACGAACGAGCAAUUCUCCACCAUCUAAUUUCCACAAGGCAAUCAAAUGCACGCGUAAUUUUCACAGCAGUUUGCAGAAGGUGCGUGGAACCAUCCUGGGCUGGUGCUUCUUGACUUGACUCUGCAUUUUUCUGUUAAUAAGAAAGAUAGAAAAGAAAACUAACUAGCAUAGCAAUGCUCCCGUGCUCUCGGCAGUAAUCAAUAAAAAAAAAAAAUCACUUGUCGGAUUAUUAUUUCCAUGGUAUUAUGCAGUAGGUGCGUACUCUCUGCCAAUUAAUUUUAAUAAAUAAAUAAAAAGAGAUAGAUUUCGAUAGCAUUUAAUGAUGAUGAUAGGGUGCACUGAAAAGAAAAAUUAGAAUUUUUUUUCCUUUUUUCUUUUGUCAAUCUUUCUUUUAUCUAAAUAAAUACUAACUCAUUCAUAUAUAUUUUCAGAUGAUGAGGAAACCCUUCCGAUUUCCAUUAUUCAUAGGAAGUUUCGUUCAUUUCCUCUAGAUAUUUUGCCUCCCAAGCAAGUAAAAAUCCAAGAGCUCACAUUUCCAUCAAUUUUUGCCACACUUCUCGAUCCUCAAAAGAGUUUGAACCAAUGUUUAUCAUUUGCCUAGAUAACUUCUUGAUCCUCAAAAGAGUCUGGACCAAUAUUUAUCAUUUGUCUAGAUAACUUAUAUAACUAACAAACUUUUCUCCUCCUAGAUAUCUAGGAUUUCUAACUUUUUUUCUUUUCAUCGGGGAGGGAUUCACCCAUCGGCCACGCCCACCAAUUAUUAGAAGCAUCGUUAGGAAAAAAAAUAAAUGCACCCUACUAUGCGACAAAGUUACAUUCCAUAUUCUUCCUUAAAAUAUAUUUUGUUUUAUCUUUCACAAUAUAAUUAUUAUUAUUAUUAAUCCAUCGUUUGUUUUUUUUUCAUAACUAAACACAUAACCGGUACGAUGUCGUCCUCAUAAACUACAAUGUCCAUCAUAUCAUAAUGUCUUGUUAUGUUUUUCUGUUUUUUUAUUUUUGUUUGUAAAUUGAGGUAGUGUAUUAAACUUCAUUUAGUUAUGGUGAUAUAUUUUAAUAGUGUGAUUGGUCAAGGUCGUGAUAUCAUUGUAUAGUUAGUUCGUACUAUUCAAAUGCUAAUGAUAGAGACCUGUAACGAGCAGUGCUCGUUAAUUUUCUUUUAUAUAUUUUGUUAUUGAUGAAAAAUGCAAGUCCAAUCAAGUGAGCUGGAUCUCAAAUUUCCAUCCAAGCAUCACUUGCACUUGCUCGAAGCUUCAAGUCUAUGGAUUUCAUUGUUUGCAUGUUGUUGUAGGAUGUCAAUCGCAAAGUUUGGAUUAAUUAAGGUUUUUAAAGAGAUGGUUCGGCAUUAACGUGUAUUCCCAAAUAUGAACCCAAGAUUCCACGAACUUGGGUGGGGCCAACUACAAUGUCUUGUGAGUUUGUGAAAAGGAAAAAGAACAUUUGAUAAAAAUCAUCUUGUUUACGUCAUGAAAUGGAUUUAACAUAAUGUAGUAAAUCAAUUAGUUAUUAAUCGUGCUAACAAGAUCAUCAUAAUUGUCCAACUUGCCCACGCAAGGACAAACAAAUUUUCCCGUAUUUACUAUCACUUCAUUUUUAAUUGUCUCGAUAAUCAAAUAUCCAUAAAUUGUAGAUUCUUCACAAUUGUUACUAGAUUAAAUGUGCUAACAUGCUUGUAGCUCCAUCUGAACUCGAACAUAGAGUUUCACUGUGACAUCCAGAUUUUCGGGUUUUAAUUCGACUGGAUAAAUAGAGCCAUUUUCGUUCAGUUGAAGCCAGGGAUUGUGAAGUUGGAAUGCAAGUGGGUUAUAUUGGUAAGGAAAAAUACCAAUUGGAAUGAUGAGGUGUUGCAUAAAUUAAUGGGGGUCAAUUUGAUUUAAUUCAAGAGGAAUUAAGGCCCAGUUGGAAAGAAAACCUAGCAAAUUCGUAUGCCACACAUACCCCACAUUUUGGCCUAUCUAAAGGCUUCUAGAAGGGGUAGAAUUGACAAGAAAUUGUGAGUGGAAGGGUGACAUCACAUGAUGUCAUGGUGGGCCAAGUGUGUGAUGACCUAAGAGAGAGAGUGUGUGAGAGGAAGAGGGGAAAUUGAAAUUUUCUUCCUCCCCUCUCUCCUCCGUCGACGGAUCCAUCCCUAUCUUCUUCUUCCUUUUCUCCAAACCUCCAUGGGAGCGGAAGACCAGAGAAGCAGAAGCAGCUGCCGUCGUCGCCCACCGAAGCCGGAGCCGCCGCCGCUGCUCCGCGGUUGGCCGCACCUCACCGCACGCCCUCUCUUCCGCCUCUCUCUCCCUCCUCUUACUGGUGCGAACCAGAGGACAGCAGAAAGUAAAGCAGCGUCCAGCGUCGCCGGAAGGAACCGCGACCAGCUGCCUGGACGCCGCCGCACCGGAGCUGCCGCACCGCCGCCCGCGCGACGCCGCGCGCUCCGCCGCCUCACGAUCGCACCUGCCGUCCUCGCUGUGCGACCCAACCCCUGUUCCGCCUCUGUUCAGCUUCGUUUUGGCCAUCUACGGUCCACGGUUCGGCCACCUCCGGCCACCGUGCGCCGCCACUUCGACCCGUCGGAGUCCCCUCGCCCUCCACCGGCCUUGGCUAGCUCGAAUCAGCCCCGGAUCCGCCCCUUCCAGCAGCGAUCAGAGAAGUCAGAAAAUGGGUUUCCAGCACUGUUCAAGGUCGUUUUGGGUCGUUUCCCGGCCCCGAACUCGAGGCCCGCUUUGGGAACAAUCGUUCCUCGCGUCGCCGCCGUCGGAUUGAUCCGAUUUGCGCGCGAUUUGGUGAGUAAUCUCACUAAUCCUGGAUUAGUUGGCUAAUUAUGCUUUAGGUUGGUUUAGUUUUAAUUAAUUAUGUUUAGGUUGUUAGAUUAGAAGUAAUUAGCAAUUAUUAGUCAAUUGUGAUGCGAUUUAGAUAAAUUGAUUGUGCAAUUAACAAGUAGACGUGGUCUACUAUUUAUUGGGAGUGUCUCGGGAAUUUUCGAACCCCUAAUUGAGCUUCAAUUUGAUGAUUCGGGCCUAAGUGGGAUUUUUGGCAUUUAAAUAUUAAUUUUCGGAAUUAAAUUAAAUAAUUAUUUAUUUUUCGAAAAUUCAAGGGAGAUGGUCUGGAACCGGAAUAUUAUGCUGAUGAUUGUGGCGAAGUCCGUUUAUUUGAUCGGACUUUAUUUUUUUAAGCUAAAUUGAAUUUUUAAGAUUAAUCAAUUUUCGAAAUUAAUUAAAUAAUUAUUUAAUUCCUGAAAAUUCAACUGGGAUGGCCCGUGACCGGAAAAUUAUGCUGAUGACCGUGGUGAAGUCUGUUUACUUAAUUGGACCUUAUUUUGAGCUAAACAGAAUUUUUAAUAUUAAAUAAUUAAUUUUCGAAAUUAAUUAAUUAAUUAAUUAUUUUUCGGAAAUUAGGUUUGAGAUGGCCGAUGACCGGAAUUUCAUGCUGAUUGUCAUGGUGUGGUUCGUUUAUUUAUUUGAGGCUUAAUUUGUGAGAAAUUGAUUUAUUAGUGAUUUUAGGAUUUAUUCCUAAAUUGCACAAUUUUUGGUUAUUACUUGAAGAAUAACCGGGCAUCGGUUGAUAAUGCCAAUAUAUUGAAAAAGUUGCCGAGUGGGGCCGUGAUACCACUACAUAUAGCAUUGCCGAGUGGGGCCGUGAUGCCACUACAUGCCGAGUGGGGCCGUGAUGCCACUACAUAUAGCAUUGCCGAGUGGGGCCGUGAUGCCACUACAUAUAGCAUUGCCGAGUGGGGCCGUGAUGCCACUACAUAUAGCAUUGCCGAGUGGGGCCGUGAUGCCACUACAUAUGAUAUUGCCGAGUGGGGCCGUGAUGCCACUAAAUCUAAGAAAGUUGCUUGGUGGGGCCAUGAUUACCACCUAUAAUUAAGUUGUGUCCUAAGGACCGUGAUUCAUAAUUGGGAUUUGAAUUGGAAUAGUUGAAAUGACCGGAAGUGGUCUUGUUGAUAUGUAAUCGACUAGGUCGAUUGAUCAUUGCUUGAUCUGAUGUUGUGAAUGGGCAGAUUGAUUGGAAAUGACCAUGAGAUGGUAUGAUUGACUUGUAAUCGACUAGGUCGAUUGAUCGAUUAUUCGAUCUGAGUGUGACUUGAUGUGAUUCAUUGCCUUGGUUGGAUGUUGUGAAUUGAAUGAUUGAAUGGAGAUGAUCAUGAAUGGUCUUCCUGGCAUAUAAUCGACUAGGUCGAUUUGAUCGAUGCUUCGAUAAGUGAUCUGAUUGCUUGGGUGCCUAUUAUGAAUUGUACUAACUCGCAGGUGGGAUAUGAGGCCAAGGUACGUCUUCUGCCCUAUGCGUGUAUAGGCAGCCUAUAGUAUAAUAGUUUACUAAUUGGGCUUAGUGGGGUAGAACUCGCUGAGACGUAGUCUCAUCCCAGUUUGGGGAAAAACAUUUCAGGACCCCGUUGAGGAGCUGAGGAGGAAUCUGAGAAGGAGAACUCGGAAAUGAAACCUGAGUAGAAGAAUUUUUGAAAGAAGAAGAUAAUCUCGAGAGGGGCCUUGAGUACGGCCCGGAUGGCUGAGAGUUUAUCUUAUUUUGAGAUUUCCUUUUUGAUGUGAAUAGUUAUGAAGUUCUCUAGUUGAUGUCAUGUACAAAAGUUUGGUUAUAAAUUUCAAUAUGAAAAAUAUGGCCCUGCUUUUCUAUCCCAUCGUUUUAUUGUCUGGGGAUUUUAAUUGCUUCCGCAUGUGCUUAUAAAUUAAAAGGGUCGGCGAUACAUUGUCCUGGGAUAUCGCAUUAUAAAAUCAACAUGAGAAGAGAAGGAUGUGUGCGUGCCUGAGGAUCGGGGCGUGACAUUCACCCAAUUCUUCUCUUCGGUAAAAUUUCCACAUCUAAUACAAUCGGCAUUAAACAGUAGGAACGAAGUAGUUCUAUGCACAAAUUUGAUGGUCAUAUUACGAUUUUAUGAUAAAAUAGGUAUCUUCUUCAAAACUAUAUGCCAAUAUGCAUACCAUCAUCAUUAAACGCUACAACAAUCUACUUUUUUUUCUUUAUUAAAAUUAGUUGGCGGAGAAUACGCACCUUCCACGUGAUCCCGUGGAAAUAAUGAUGCAAUGAGUGAUGUCUUUGUGAUUGACUCAUGUAUAGGGGCAUUGGCGGCAUCGGAGCAUUCCUAUGCUGGUUAGUUUUCUUUUCUAUUUCUCUUAUUAGUUGGAAAAAAAAAAAAAAGCAAAGCAAAGUGAAGAAGCACGGUAUUGCAUGGUUCCACGCACCUUCUGCAUAACUGCUGUGGAAAUCACGCGUGCAUCGAUUGCCUUGUGGAAAUUAGAUGGUGGAGAAUAAUUGUUUGUUUACAUUUCUAUUUCCUUUAUUAGCAGAAAAAGCAAGUCAAGUCAAGAAGUAAGUAGAGGAUGGUUCCCGACGCCAUCUACAAAACGUAGUGGAAAUUACGCAGGCAAUGAUUUCCCUUUGGUUUUUUUUCCCGUUUAUCUUAUUGAUAGCAAAGGCAAGGAAGGUCAAGUAAAAUGUUGACAAAUAGCGGAGAUCACAGCGGUGGGCCAGCAUUCAUGAGCGUAUGGAGGGAAUUAUCCAUCGACCACGUCCGCUAAUUACCAAAGGCACCGUCAGAAAAAAAGAUAUACACUUUACGAUGUGAAAAAGGAAUUGCAUUUCAUUUUCUUUCCCAAAACUUUAAUUUAUUUUAUCAUUACUAUUUAACCUUUAUUUCGUGCAUAUACUUAUUUAUUUGUUACAUAAGGAUACAUGUGAUCGGCAAACUAUCUUCCCCGGGAACUACAAUGUCCACUAUAUUACCAUGUCUCAUUUUUCUUUUUCCAUUUGUACUUUGAGGUGGUACAUUAAAAAUGUUAACAAAAAAAAAAAUUCUACUCAGGAGUCAAAUCAAGUGUGAUGAAUUUUAAAUUUUGAUCAAAGCUUAACACACUUGGUAGAAGUUUCAAAGUCUAUGGAUUUUAUUGUUCUCAUGUUAUGGCAGAAUGCCGACCAAAAGGUUUAGAUUAUUUAAGAUUUGCAUAGAGAUUGAUCUAACAUAAGGCAACAACUCAAUUAGUUAUUUAUUAUGCAAUCCUUGUAAUUAUCUAACUUGCCCAAGCAACAACAAACAAAGCUGCCCAUAUAUACUAUCAAAUUGUUUUUUAAUUUUCUCGAUAAUCUAAUAUCCAUUGGGAUAUAGGGUCUCACCCGAUUCCAAUAUUUGAUAUAAUAUCUACAGUGAAUCUUCAAUUGAUCUUAAACAAUAAUGAAGUGACUCUACACACAUGAAUUUGAUAAUCGUCUUCUGAUUUUAUGAUAAAAUGGGUCUCCUCUUCAUAGCUCCACAUCAAGAUGCAUGUCAUAAUCGUCGGGCACUAACAUGCGCAAGCAAGGGAUCUUUGUGAUUUUAAGUCGGAUCGGACAGUGAUCCUACGCAUCCAUCCUACAUAGAGAAAGAGAGAGAGAGAGAGAGAGAGAGCAUUUCCGCAAUCUACACAAUCGGAAUUGAUUGUUGCUUUUCGGUGCUAUUUCUUUAUUCAUAAAAAAAAAAAGCUAGUCAAGUCAAAAAGCACACGUACCUUCGCAUGACGCCGGUGUGCAAUAAUUAUCAUGUCGCGACUGGGAUGGUUGGAUGGCAACUCAGCAUUAUAUGCUUUUUUGGACGAAUCUCCUUUGAAAAAAAAAAAAGAAGAGUAGAUUUUGGAUUAAAAAUAAUAAAUUGUCCUUAUUCGAAUAUCUAAACAAAGUGUCCUACUGACAUAUAUGUUAUUAUAUGUUUUUGUGUUUUUUUUUUGUCAAGUAUAUGUUUUUGUGAUUGACUCAUGUCUAUUAGUACUGGCAGCAUGGGAGUCUUGCUGGUUAUUUUUAUUUAUUUUUAUUUUAUUUUAUUAAUAGUUAAAAAAGUAAGUCAAGUCAAAAAGCACUCGCAUAGAAUGGCCCAUGCACCUCAAAGUUCCAGUACCUACCGCGUAAUGACGCAGGUACCAUCAAACAACAUUUUCUUUCAUUUUAAGUACUUAAAAUGGUCCGAAAAACAGGCAUGUGCUCACGGCUUAAUUUUCACAAAUAAAUUAAGUUCAGCAUUGGCCAAAAAAAAAAAAGAAAGCAAGUUGAGUGAAGGUUGAAAAUCGAGUUAUAACACAUAAGGUUUGACUUGAAAUUACCAAUGCAAUCAUUGCCAUUAGAGUACAAUGCUACGUAUAUUUUAGAUCUUAACAACUUAUUUGGUUUGAUUUCUAGCUUUUUCUUAACAACGAAGCAUAGAUCAAGUAUGUUAAUCCUCAUAUCAACAAAUUCUCCAUUUAUGCAAAAUAUUGAGCAAGAUAUAAUCUCCAAAUACAAAAGAAUUUAUGCUUACAAAUAUGAGGAACCAACACAUAUCGCGUGGUUAGUCUUCGUAUACUAAUUUUUACUUUAUAUUCCCUCACACCUCUCAUAGUUGAACUUUUGCUUAACAAAAAUUACUUAAAAGAUUCAAAAUAUUCAUAUAUCGUCACAUAGAUAAUUAUACAUUCAUGUUUGUAAUUUAACUUAAAGAAUGUACAUAUUUAAAAUAUUUUAAAUGUAAAAAUCAAAUAUAUUUUUAAGUGCAACCUAAAUUUUUAUCAAAGGGCCGCAUACCAAAAAUUUUCUUCUAUUUUGAAAGAGGUAAUGCGCCUCAUUAAUCAUUAGACAAAAAGGCCAAAACAUGGAGCCGCGUCCACCUCAGCCAGCGCUGUCGAGGCGUGUAGCAUAUUCCCAUCUCAUUUUUCAAAAGCCAAACGAAAUUGCUCCGAAAGUCCAACCCCUAAGUCGCGUCGGUCGGGGAGAAGGCGGGAACUUGCUCAGACCGCGCGCCACGGGAGCUCGAGGGGGCAAUUCGGUACAUUCGGAGUGGCCGAAGAUAUCCUCGAGGUGCGAGGUGGGGACCACGCGUGGGCUUCGGUUUCUGCGCAGCUGGACCGUCGUAGCGGCCAAGCAAAGUGGAGAGGAGGAGCGACGUGGGUCCGCUUUAAGAGACAACUUGGGCAGAAUCCACGAAGCAAAUGUCUACUCUGUUUUCGUGGAUAAAAGGUUCUGGGACAGUCGGACGGCAAUAACUCAGCAUCGUUUAAGCAAGCAGGGGAGAGUGUUGAGUGUAGUUAAUCCGAGGUCGAAGGGUGAGAACCGGCAGAGAUCACAGCAGUGGGUGGAGUGUGUUGUUUGAGCACUCCUAGGUAAUCGAUUCCUCCAUUUUCUUUUGAUGAGUUUCGAUUUGAGUUCUUGGAGACAUUUCUGCAUUCCGAGAUCUGGACUGUGAAAUCUAGCCCUUUUUUUAAAGGCUUUGCUCGAUAAAUCUCCUAUUUGGUCAAAUCACAAUUUAUUUUUGUUUGAAUGCAGCUACGAAUUGAGCUCUGACAAACAUUUCAGCAAUUCUCAUACGUGGGUUUCCAUAUUUCUCUUCACUAUUUCCUGGUUUCCUUUGAGGCUCUGCUCUAUCAAUCUCUUUCACCGUCUUUGUAGGUGAUGACGGCAGCGAAGCCUAAAAGAUUCGAUAUGUGGGGCGCCUUCCUUUCUGUUUGAAUUUAGCUACAAAAUGAACUCUGACAGACAUUUCAGCAAUUCCCGAAUCUGGGAUUCCGUAUUUCUCUUUGUUUGCUGCUUUUCUUCGAGGCUCUGCUCCAUCGAUCUCUCCAUUUCCUUUAUAGGUGAUUACAAAGGCGGAGCCUAAAAGAUUCGAUAUGUGGGGACAUUCAGAAGAUCCGAAUUGCGGGGCUUCCUCCUCAUCGACUUCUACACCUGUAGGUGAUUAUGAAGGCAGAACCAAAAAGAUGAAAAGAAAUGACUACGAAGUGUUCUUGAGCUUUAGAGGGAAGGAUACUCGCAACGGUUUCACCGAUUAUCUCUAUAAUAGUCUUGUCGAUGCAGGAAUUCAUGUGUUCAGAGACGACAAUGAGCUUUGCGUUGGUGAGGAGAUCGGACCAGAACUUCUCCGCAGUAUUACACAAUCUAAGAUCUCCAUCCCGAUUAUCUCAGAGAACUACGCUUCCAGCAAAUGGUGCCUUCGCGAGUUGGCUCUUAUGUUGAAUUGCAAGAGAAACAAAGGGCAAAUGGUGUUGCCCAUAUUUUACAAAGUGGAACCUUGGCAAGUGAAGCAUCUCACAGGGAGAUUUGGAGAUGCUAUCAAUACACAUAAAAAGAAUUUGGAAGAAAAGAUUGUGAAGGAAUGGGAAGAAGCACUCAAAGAAGUCACUUCCUUGAAAGGAUUGGAAUCGGAGAAAAUUGAUAAUGGGUAUAUUAUUCUCUACCACAACAUUGUUUACUUUCUCAGAACUAGAUUUUACUUGAAAAAUAAUACGAAUAUUUCCAUCAUAUAUUGAAAUUUUUAUUGUUGUUCGACAGGCGUGAAGGAACAUUGGUUAAAGUAGUUGUCAGAAAAGUUAUGAGUAAGUUAAAGGAAUUGUUUUUGCUAAAUGUUCCUAAACAGUUGGUGGGAAUUGAUGAUCAUGUGGAGGAUAUUAUGCACUUCAUAGAUGCUAAAUUUAACGAUACAAGUAUUAUCGGAAUCUAUGGAAUGGGCGGCAUCGGUAAGACAACUCUUGCGAAGGUAUUGUACAACAAGCUUUUGAGUCAUUAUGAGUCUCAUAGCUUUGUGGCAGAUAUCCGAGAAAAAAUUAAGCUAAAGGGUCUUGAAUGCAUGCAAAAGCAGCUCAUUUCUGAUAUAAGUGGAGGCUUAUGUGAAGUGUCUAGUGUCGAUCACGGAAUCAGUAUCCUUAAAUCUCGAUGUAGAAGUAAGAAAGUACUCAUUCUUCUUGAUGACGUGGAUGAUAAUACUCACCUGAAUGCUUUGGUCGAAGACGGUAGUUGGUUUAAAGCUGGAAGUAUGAUCAUCAUCACUACUAGAGACGAGAGUAUUCUUGACAAGGCUGGGGUAAGACCACAAGUAUCAACUCAAUGGGUUGCUUUCAGAGCAAUCAUGUUUAUUUAGCAGACAUGCAUUUCGAACGGAUUNNNNNNNNNNNNNNNNNNNNNNNNNNNNNNNNNNNNNNNNNNNNNNNNNNNNNNNNNNNNNNNNNNNNNNNNNNNNNNNNNNNNNNNNNNNNNNNNNNNNUUACAGGGUUAUCUCUCGUGAUAUCGUAUCUACUACUGGGGGGCUUCCUUUAGCUCUUGAAGUUAUUGGUUCAUUCUUAUGUGGAAAGAAAAAAGAAGCAUGGAAAGCUACAUCAAAAAAAUUAGAGAAAGUGCCUCAUAAGAAAGUGCAAGAGAAGUUGAUAAUAAGUUAUGACGCAUUAGAUUUUGAGGACCAGCAGAUUUUUUUGGAUAUUGCAUGUUUUUUUGUUGGAUCAUCUAAACAAAAUCCAACUUACAUGUGGGAUGCCUGUGGUUUUUUCCCGGGAAAGGGGAUUGAAGUAUUGAAUCUUAUGUCCCUAAUUAAAAUUACUGAUGAUGGCGAGCUAAUGAUGCAUGAUCAGCUGAGAGAUCUUGGAAGGGAAAUUGUUCGUCAAGAAAAUCUAAAGAAGCCUCAAAAGCGUAGCAGAUUGUGGGAAUAUGAGGAUGGCGUGGACGUGCUUCUCAGUAACAAGGUAAGAGUUUUUCUCUGCUUGUCUUAAUCAACGAAUGUGAGCCCAUCUUCUCUUUCUUGUUUAAAAUAAUAAUUAUAGUCAAUCAUGAGUCCCCAAAACUGGCUGCGUCUACUGGCAAGAGGGCUCUUUUAAUUAAUUGCUCUUCUUGUCAGACUUUAGGACAAAAUUGAAGAGCAAUUUCUUGGUUAUUAGUAACUAAUAUUUUUAACUAGUAAGAUUGUGAUGAGGAUACUCUCCUUUUGCUAGCUUCAAGAAAAAACAAAGCUACAAAUUAAUGUUCGAUAGAGCACUUUUAAAGAAAAUCGAAUAUCUAUAAAUUGUUGGGGCCAUGCUUUCCCACAUUUUUGUUUGGUGCACAGGUUGAUGUUUGGAUUCUUAUAUUGAUUUCUUUUAAGGUAUUUUCUUUCUUUUUUCUUUUAACAAGUACCGACUUCUUAAGAGUUUGCUACGAUGAAUGAGACCAUUCAUUAAUGAUGAUUAGCUACCCGAUUCUUGAAUUUUUCAAGUUGGGUAAAGUAUAGAUUUAGUCCCUCAAGUAAUACUAUUUGUAAGAUUUAAUCCCCUUUCUAUUUUUUUGCUCAAUAUCAUUCUCCAUCUUUCAUAGUUUGUGCGAUCAAGUCCUUUGUAGUCAACCGUUAAUGAACAUGGUCAAUUUGUUGAUGUGACUUUCAUAAACUAUAAAUAAGUAUGGUUAUAAUUAAUAUAAAUCCUAGUUAUAAUUAGAAAUCUAACAUUGAUAGAGUGACUUGGAAAAAAAGACAUGAAUUUUGGGAAUAACUAUUACUGCGAGUAAAUAUUGUAAUAGACUAUAAUAGCCAUUACGGUAAUGAAACGUGCUCUAGUAAUCUAAAUGCAUGUAAUAAUACAUUGCUACAUAAUGUCUAUGUAACUAAGGGUUAGUAUAUGUGUACAACUAAACGGUAUAUAUUAUGCAGUAAGAUCUUUAGUUCAAAGUAAGACGUUAGGAAAAAAAAGUAGAAAUUUUCCAAUAAACAGGAUUAAUAAGCAAUAAAUACUUUACUUAGAUUUUUAACACUCAAAAUACUUCAAGCUUUUGCUUCGUACUCUAAUCUUAAUAUCUCGAUCUUCUCUAUUAGUCUCAAACUUGACCAAUUUGCAAUAAUUAGAGGUGGUCAAGGACUUACACUGAUGAUCUAAAUUGCAAUACUAAAGACAUCUAGAAUCGACUUAUAGCAAACUCCAUCAAAUACAAAUAGAAUGCUCUAUCACUUUGAUCCAUAUCUCUCUAGCUCUUCCCAUUUAAUGUCUUCCGGUUGGUUUGAGGAAUGAACUGGACACAUGUCAAAUGGUUGGUGAAAUAAUUGGUGACUAAGCAAAAAUUCCCAUAACAAACUCAUGCAACUCACCAUCUCACAUUCUUCUUCUGAUUUGUGCAUUUUUUUUUUCUUUUUUCUCUCUUUUUAAAGCUCCUUCACAAAAGUUAGUCUAACCAUAUUGAGUUUAUCACAAUAUUCACAUUCUACUUAAUCCUUGAAAAUACGAGUUAUUACCUUACAGUAGACUUCUGCUACUAUUACAAUCUACAACACUUGAAAAAUAGAGAAUCUAAAUAUUCUUUUCUUGCAUUAUAAAGGAGAUAUUAUAUAAAGAAGUUAUCGCCAAAAAAAAGAGAGUAAAAGAGGUUGCAUAAAGAAGUAUGUGUUAUUAAGAAAUAAAAAUAAAGAAGUGGAAAGACAAAGGGAAGUAACUAAGGAAUACUAAUAGAUAGUAAAAUAAUGUAUCAAAGAGGACGCACUAUAGAUGUUCAUUCAAUUAGUAUAUUAUAAAUAAUUAGUAUAUUGUGCUAAUUAGUAUAUUAUAAAUAAUUUUCAACAUAAUAAGUGAUAAUGAGUUAUCAAGAUAACAUAAUCACUAUUUCAUCAAUUAUUUACCUUUUUUUUUUUUCAUAUUUUCUAUGUCAAUGAUAUAAUAAGUGAUCAAGAUAACAAAUAUUCAUGAUCUUGACAAUUUCAUGGAAGAAUAGUUAUUACGAUAUCUCUGUAUACAUAUACAUAUCUGAAAAUUAAUUCCCAAGUCACAAUUUCUAUGAAAAGUGUUUAAAAGAAUUUUGAGAGGUGAAAUUGUGGAUUUGUUUACAACAUUAUAAUAUAUAUUGGCAAUGAUAUAUUUUAACAAUACUUUUAUAAUUUUAUUUGAGAGCUAUGUAUUCUCAACAAAAUAUAUAUUAAUAAAGAUAUGUUCUCAAUACCAUAAUUAUAAAAUUUUUAAUGUUGAAGUAUUAUCUAAACUAAAAUUUUUAACAUGAUACUUGUUAAACUUGAAAGUUAAAUAUUUCAACCAUACAUACAUGACCUUUUUCUUUAUAUAGAGGAUGAGUGAUGAAGUGACUUUUCAGUUACAACAUUUUUAAAUAUUUAUAGAAGAAUGAUAAUUAGCAAUAUAACUAAACAAUUUCACAAAUGUAUGCUGGCAUAGAAGUGAUAUUAACAUAAUAUAAUUAUUCUUCAUGUCCAAUCUAUCUCUUAGCAAGAUCUCAUUAAUUUAUGGGCAAAAUUGAUCAUAAAAUCAGAUGAAUGUUAUUUCUUUGUAACAAAAUCAACAUGAAAUGAAAAGUUAGCAUCAAACAUAUAUAGUAAUAAAAAGAGAAGUGAAAAUCAUGCAUAUAACUUGUUGAAGAAACACAUAAUAAGAAAGGAAUGUAAAACAUGUGCGUACUUCUUGGGAUGGAAUUCUCAUUUUAAUUUUGCUAUCGAGAAUUGUAAACAAGGUACGAAAGAAAAAGAGGGGAAUUCUACAAUUGGGAUUCUUUAGUAUUGAUACAUGCUUUGACGGUAAAUUUGAUAUAUGCAUUUGAAGUUUUGAAUUGUAAGAGACAUGUUGUUUCACAUAUAAAGGAUAUGAGUUAGUUUGUUAUUUCCCAUAUAAAGGGCACGGAAUUUUGAAGUGAUGUUUGCAUGAAAAGAGGCUUUCUAUAUUAAUUUUGAAAGGAUGGGACUUUGGGGAAUUUAAAAGCGCUACAAAUUGUGAAGGGCAUAAUUGGAAGAGGAAAAGUUUGGGAAGACCCUCUAGAGGUUCACAUUUUUACACUGAUUACCACAACCUGUCAUGUCAUUAAGUCGAAAAAGAGAAGCUUGAAUCAUGAUAGUAUGACAACAAAUUUGAAAUCAAUACAUUUUUUCUCAUAUAUAGUUGCUUUCAACCCAUUAUUCAAAACAAUGAUUUACAAUUUUGCCUAAUUGCAGGGCACUAGUAAAAUUGAGGCCCUUCGUCUUGACGUAGAUAAUGGGAGAGAAAGUUACACGGCUGAAACAUUUAAAGAAUUGACCAAAUUGAGGAUACUUCAACUGGAAGGUGUGAAUCUCACUGGACAUUUUCAAUACUUGUUUCCUCAACUAAGAUUGCUUGAGUGGAUGGAUCAUCAACCGGAUUUUGAAUUGACCAACUUUCACCUGAAGAAAUUAGUCGUGCUCGAUUUGUCGUGGAGCAACAUUUCGGAGAACUGGGGAGGAUGGAGUCAACUAAAGGUAAAAUGUAGAGAAGGCAUAUCUCUUAUAAAUAAUCACGUGUUGUCAAUGGGCCCAAUUGCACCAAGUUAUCCUUUAUUUCUUCUAAAAAUAUAUAUUAUGGAUUUUCUUCUAAGCAUAAGAGGAAUUUAUAGGCACCUAAAUAUGUCAAAAGCUUCUACCCCUUAAUAUUUUAGCAAACUAGUCAUGCUUAACAUCAGACCUACUAAUAAAAAAAAUUUUAAUCGUAUUAAUUAACAUCUAUCAAAAAUAUAAUUACAAUAAUGUUCCCAUGUCAAUUUUAAUCUAAAUGGUUUAUGGCUUCUAGUUAAUUUCUCCCCAUGCAAAAGUAUGUCUUUUUAGCAAUUCUUGCUAUAUGUAUGUAUGUAUCUUCUUUCAUGGUGAUGCAAAGACCCUCACAGUGACUUGUGUUUUAUAUACAUACUAAAAUUCUAAAUCCAUUGUUACUUUUAAAGUAAUGGAAGUAAUUUGUGAACUACUUUGACUUGUUGCGCACAAUAAUUAUUCUUUAGUAUUGUUGAUUGUUGAAGUCACUGUACAACACAUUUAUAAAGUAGUAAUGUCAUAUGAGUAAUACAACACUUUUUUAUGUCUUGUACAUAUAGCAUUUAAAAAUUGUUUUUCAUAAUUAAAGUAGCCAUUUCUCUUUAAUUUCAUAUUAAUUGAAGGAAAACAUGGCACCAAAUGAAUGCAUCUCAUUUCUUCCACUUGACUUUGUCAUAUAUAAUUUGAUAAUAAAAUUUGUGUAUCUCUAUUCAAUAAAUAACAACAUAGUCAUAACUUUGAAAAGCUAAACAUGACAUUUUCUAAGAAAUUUUAUUUGCGAAAAAUUGUAGAUAGCACUCAUACAUCCCUAACAUUCUCUUCGCAAUGAUAUGCUUAAAAACAUUUAUAUGCUAGCUUCGUGAAUACACUAUUGAAAAGAAACAUUUAAAAUUAAAUAAAAUAGCUGUGUAAGAGUAGGGAGAAUGGGAUUUUUUUUUUGUCCAAUCUCAAAGUGGUAACCUCUUUCUUUCAGAUAGCAACCGAGCUCAAGGUUCUCAACCUUACGCGUUGUGCUUUGGGAACAACUCCCGACUUGUCCGCUUUCAAGAGUUUGGAGAUUUUGAUACUUAAAGCUUGUGGGAAUCUACAAGAGAUUCAUCCUUCUAUUGAGGACAUCGAGACCCUUGUCUCCUUGAAUGUCAGUGAAUGUUGGCAGCUGAAGGAGCUACCACUAGGAGUAGGUAGAAUGGAAAAUUUGAGCAAGCUUCUCAUAAAUAACACUAAUAUACGAGAGAUUCCUAUUUCAAGAGGUUGUUUGACAAAGUUGGAGACUCUACAUGCCUCAGCUUGUAGACGGCUUGCUCAACUUCCAGAAUCCUGGGGCUCCCUUAUGUCGUUAACUCAACUAGACCUAAAAAGAACAGAAAUUGAAAAAUUACCCGAAUCCAUUGGAUCAUUAAAGAAGCUCAAGACUUUAAAUAUCUCUAAUUGUGCAUCGUUAACCUGCUUACCCAACUCAAUAGGUGAUUUAGCAUCUCUAUGUUGCCUUGACCUAAGAGAUUGCCAAAAGCUUGCUCAACUUCCAGACUCCAUAGGCUCUCUCGUGUCUCUAUCGCAAUUGUUGUUGUCAAAAUGCCACUCGUUGAGACAAAUCUUAGGUUCGAUUGAAAAGUUGACAUCAUUGACUGAGCUGCAUUUGCAAUCUACGGCCAUUGAAAAAUUACCUGAAUCCAUUGGUUUUUGCAAGGAGCUCAAGACUCUAGAUGCCUCUUGUUGCAAAUCGUUAGCCUGCAUACCCAACUCAAUAGGCAAUUCAACAUUUCUAUCUUGCCUUGACCUAACAGGAUGUCAUAAACUUGCUCAACUUCCAGACUCUAUAGGCUCCCUCGUGUCUCUACAGCGGUUGUUAUUGUCGGGAUGCUACUCGUUGAGACAAAUCCCAGACUCGAUUGGAAAGUUGACAUCAUUGACAGAGGUGCAUUUGAAAUCUACGGCCAUUGAAGAAUUACCUGAAUUAAUUGGUUCUUUGAAGGAGCUCAAGACUCUAGAUGCCUCUCAUUGCAAAUCGUUAGCCUGCAUACCCAAUUCAAUAGGCAAUUCAACAUCUCUGUCUUGUCUUGACCUAACAGAAUGCCAUAAACUUGCUCAACUUCCAGACACUAUAGGCUCCCUCGUGUCUCUACAGCGGUUGUUAUUGUCGGGAUGCCACUCGUUGAGACAAAUCCCAGACUCGAUUGGAAAGUUGACAUCAUUGACAGAGGUGCAUUUGAAAUCUACGGCCAUUGAAGAAUUACCUGAAUUAAUUGGUUCUUUGAAGGAGCUCAAGACUCUAGAUGCCUCUCAUUGCAAAUCGUUAGCCUGCAUACCCAAUUCAAUAGGCAAUUCAACAUCUUUGUCUCGUCUUGACCUAACAGAAUGCCAUAAAUUUGCUCAACUUCCAGACACUAUAGGCUCCCUUGUGUCUCUACAGCGGUUGUUAUUGUCGAGAUGCCACUCGUUGAGACAAAUCCCAGACUCGAUUGGAAAGUUGACAUCAUUGACAAAGGUGCAUUUGAAAUCUACGGCCAUUGAAGAAUUACCUGAAUCCAUUGGUUUUUUGAAUGAGCUCAAGACUCUAGAUGCCUCUCAUUGCAAAUCGUUAGCCCGCAUACCCAAUUCAAUAGGCAAUUCAACAUCUCUGUCUCGCCUUGACCUAACAGGAUGCCAUAAACUUGCUCAACUUCCGGACUCUAUUGGCUCUCUCGUGUCUCUACAGCAGUUGUUAUUGUCAGGAUGCCACUCGUUAAGACAAAUCCUAGACUCAAUUGGAAGGUUGACAUCAUUGACUGAGCUGCAUUUGAAAUCUACAGCCAUUGAAGAAUUACCUGAAUCCAUUGGUUCUUUGAAGAAGCUCAAGACUCUAGAUGCCUCUGAUUGCAAAUCGUUAGCCUGCAUACCCAAUUCAGUAGGCAAUUCAACAUCUCUGUCUCGCCUUGACCUAACAGGAUGCCAUAAACUUGCUCAACUUCCAGACUCUAUUGGCUCCCUCGUGUCUCUACAAUAUUUGUCAUUGUCAGGAUGCCACUCAUUGAGACAAAUCCCAGAAUCGAUCAUAAAGUUGAUAUCAUUGACUGAGCUGCAUUUGAAAUCUACGGCCAUUGAAGAAUUAUCUGAAAGCGUUGGGAAUAUGCAAAACUUAAGGAUAUUGGACAUUAGUGGAACUCCCAUGAUAGAAUUGCUUGAUGACCCAGGAAUAUUGGCAGAACUCCAAGAGUUCAGAGCUUCGAGAUGGAAAAAUCCGGAAGGGGCACUUAGUAAUAACGGUCAAUUGGUUUCACCAAACAAUCUUGGUUUAGACAAGCUUCAAAAACUAUCAAAAUUGCGCUCUCGCGUACUAGCGCUCGGUAUCACCUACCAAAUCUCGCAAUCACUAAAUCUAUCCCAGCUAAACUUUCUUAAGAAACUCACUAUUUCUAAUUGGAUUGAAUGUCUCCCAAACCUUUCUAUAAAACGUUGUAGAAAAGCUAUGAAUCUUGAUUUUGUAUUUUCAAAAGUUCAACCUAUUAGUUGGGCAUUCUAUUUACUUUUUGUCUUGUGAUACAGUUCUCUUAAAGCGUCCCAAGACUCCAGCAGCCAACAACUCAGCCAUGGAUUAUCAAACAGCAGAUUCUAAACACGUUUUGAAGAGAUCAAGACCUUUUGGAAUCUUGGAUGAAGUACUUAUUUCAUCUUGCUUUUUCUUUAUCGUUCUUUAUUAAUUAUAGGAUGGUUUUAUCUAUAAAGAUAAGUAUCUUAUUGGGGGAUCGAUUAUCUGUUAUGUAUGGAACGCUUUUCUCAACAUUCAUAACUAAAUCUGUCAGGCUUGUUACAUUUACUUCUCGCUAUUUUAAGUCUUUUGUUCAUGGAAGUAGGAAUUUUCUUCUCCUUUUUGGACACAUCUACACAAACUAGCAGCAAUGGUAGGGAUGGCAAGUGGUAUCAUUAUUGCAUUAGGUCGUUAAAUUUUUUUAAGGAGCUUUAUUUGUUCCUUAUUUUAUUACUUAAAUGAUGCGAUAAUUGCAUUUGUAUGUGCAUGUUUAUUGGACGUCUUUCAAUGACAUCCUCUCUUUUGAGCUCUACAGGAUAGCGAGAGCAUGGCAGAUGAGAAUCCCAGAAUUGCCGAUGACUUGGCAGACAAAUCACGAAAUUGGAAACUGACAGAAAUCAACGAACCAUCGCAAUGCCGGUCCAUAAGGCUGCCUGAUAACUCUACGGCUACGAGGGUACAAAUGACUGCCAAAAUAGGAUCUUCUUAUGUAGCAUUUCUUUUCCGCAUCUCAUGUUUCUACUAGAUAAGCACAAAUUUCAAUAGGGGUUGCAUUUAAUGCACUUGCUUUAUUAGUUAUAUUCACAUGUGGUCCAAUUAAUCAUCUCUUAAACCUCAGCACUUGGAGGACUUUGUCAUCUCUUCAUUUGGCCUUUUAUUGUUAAUUGAUUGUUUCAACUACACAAAUGGGAAAGGAUCAGAUCAACAUUAAUAAAUCUGUGAUUAUGGUGUGGCAAUUGUGCUUAAGUCAAGAUUUUACUUUUGUUUUGGUAACUGCUUCAACUAAGUUUUGAUGUCGUGUGUAUCAUAUGCUCUGUCCAUAUAUACAUACAUAUAUGAGUUAAAGGUCAUUGAGUGUCUCUUUACAUGAAUUUCUGCAUAUAUCAUUUAGUGUCCAGUUAUUUGGCCUCUUUUUUUUUUUUUGGCAUUUUCUUUUAACUUUGGGUAUGACAUUAUACUGUCACCACUGAAACUGAUAAAACGAAGCAGGUCUCGAGAUUAAUCUAUACAAAAUCAGGUCGUGCUAUUCUGGCAUUAUCAUCUAAUGCUGUACACAAGCUCUGGAAAUGGGAAAUAAGUGGUUGGAACCCAACAGCCACGGUAAGGAGUCUUUUUUUUUUCCCUUUGAAAUUGGCAGGUUGUUUUUAUUGUUUAGCGCAUUAUUGACUACAUUGAUUCUUCUUUUCGCAGGCCACAUCUAGGGUAGUACCACAGUUAUGGCAACCUCCUAGUGGGAAUUUGAUGACCAAUGACACGAUUGGUAUAAAUCCUGAAGAUACAGUUUCGUGCUUUGCACUGUCAAAGAACGAUAGUUAUCUAUUUUCAGCAUCAGGGGGGGACAUCUCUUUGUUCUAUCUGAUGACUUUUAAGGUGAAUAUUUGGAGCACUAUCCACAAGGCACGAGAUGAUGAACUACUCCUUUGUGCUGGAUAUGCAUUCGCAAUUUCCUUUUCACAUUUUUAUGGGUCCUAAAAGUAACUGAUUCUAUUAUGUACAAAAGUACUGAUCUCUAUAGUUAGGAGGUCCAUGAAAGCAACUGCUCCGAUUUUCAUGUGGAUUAUUGGGUCAGAAGUGCAGCAUAUGUCUUUUUUUACUUGCCGAGUGAGACAAGGGCUUUACUCUAUCUUCAAUGGAAUCUUUUUGCUCUCACUAAUUAAAGAAAAAAAGACGAGCUUUUUUCACCCAUCCAAAGAUCUAAUGAUCGAACUUGCUAUCUCCCUUUCUUGGGAAGGGGAGAUGCCAUUGAGACAAGUGCCUCUUGGCACAUAUGUCCCACUGUUACUUAUAAAAUUGCUCAAUACUCUACCUGCUGGUAUCUAGGUGAUGAGAACGAUUAUGCCCCCACCACCAGACGGUGACAUUAUUGCAAUAGGAAUGGACGACUCCUCUAUUCAAAUUUACAGUGGUCAAGAGGAUGAGGUGAGACCUGAUUUCAUCGUCAUUGAAAGUUAACCUUAUUAUUAUUUGCAACAGAGUUAUGGAUAUUGACUGUUUCACUUUCUCAGGUGAAGACAAAACUAAAAGGACAUCGAAGAAUAAUCAAAGGCUUUUCCUUCCCAACUUCCUUAACUGUUCUCGUGUCUUCUAGCGCCGACUCUCAGGUAUCGGACUACUACUUUUUUACUUGUUAAGUGAGAAAAGGGCUUUUCUCUAUCUCCAAUGGAAUCAUUUUGCUUGUGGUGAUAAAAUAAAAGAAAGCACGAGCUUCUCUCAUCCAUCCAGAGAUCUAAUGGUCGAACUUGCUCUCUCUCCCCCUUUCCGAAGAAGGGAGAUGCCAUUGAGGCAAGUGCCUCUUGGCACAUAGGUCCCAUUUUCACUUAUAAAGUUGUUAAUACAAUGCUGCCUGCCGAUAUCCAGACAAUCACAACACUUGGGCCUCCACCAGCAGCAACAUUUCUGGCGUUCCAUCCUCAAGAUAAUAACAUCAUUGCAAUAGGAAUGGAGGACUCCUCUAUUCAAAUCUACAAUGCGCGAGUUGAUGAGGUGAGACCUGUUUUCAUUGUUGUUGAAAGUUACCUUGUUAUCUGCAAGAAAGUUAUGGAUAUUAACUGUUUCUCUUUCUCAGUUCAUGGCAACACUAAGAGGGCAUCAGAAAAGAAUUACGAGCCUUGCCUUCUCUCAUGUCUUGAAUGUUCUCGCGUCUUCUGGCGCUGACUCUCUGGUACCACACUACUGCUGCANNNNNNNNNNNNNNNNNNNNNNNNNNNNNNNNNNNNNNNNNNNNNNNNNNNNNNNNNNNNNNNNNNNNNNNNNNNNNNNNNNNNNNNNNNNNNNNNNNNNCAAUGUAGUUUAUAGUGCCCCCGGAAAAGGGUAGAUGUUCACUCUCUGGAUUUAUUGAUGCUUAUGUCCUCAGCAUAGGUGAUGAAAUGAAGGCAUCCUUUACUGGCAGAAUAAAUCCUUCCAAAAAACUUCAUCUUUUGUGUUGACAAAUUAUUCCCUCCCAUUAAGUACGAAAAAAGAAGUUAUGAUGAUGUCCUGUUGUUGCUUACAACCGACCAUCGAUGUGAUUCUGAUAUGAAAACACAAUGGACAAUUUUAUUCAUUCAUUUCUGCAUCAAUGCCAAUAUCCCUUUUGAUGAUUGACUACUAUCACUGCAGUUGUGUGUUUGGAGCACUGAUGGAUGGGAGAAGCAGGCUAGUAAGUUUCUGCAGAUGCCGAAUGGACGAGGAGUGGCUCCUUUUGCUGAUACUCGUGUUCAAUUUCACCUGGAUCAAGUACAUUUGCUGGUGGUUCAUCAAACACAGAUCGCCACAUGUGAAGUUCCUAAACUAGAACUCCUCAAGCAGGUAUUGAAGAUUUUUUUUUUUGUUGUGCACGAACCAAUCUGUCAUCUCAUCAUGAUUGCAUAAAAAUUAGAGAAUCGUUAGGUAGUAUGAGUUGCUUUGUGCCAAAUGUACUUUUUUUAUUUGUUGCUCAUCUCAACUAGUGGGAUACUCGAGAAGCUAGCGCUCCAAUUACAGAUGCUACAUAUUCAUGCAAUGGUGAAUCAAUAUACGUGAGCUUUGAAGAUGGAAGCAUCGGUGUUUUUACUGCUUCUACACUCAGAUUGAGAUGUCGUAUAAAUCCUGCCACUUAUAUCCCUCCAAACCCCAGGUAAGUUGGUUAUUUACAACUCAGUUAACCUCAUUCCUUUAAGAAAAUGGCAAGUCUCAUUCGCAAAGUUUCAAUAGUCUCGCAAGUAAUUCAUUCCUCAUAAUGCAUUUGGCAGCUUUAGAGUCUACCCACUAGUCAUUGCAGCACAUCCAUCCGAACCUAACCAGUUUGCACUAGGGCUUACUGACGGUAGCGUCUAUGUACUUGAGCCAUUGGAAUAUGAAGGAGAGUGGGGUACUUUUGGGCCUAGCACGACCUUUGGUGCAACCGGUUCAGAUCAACACCAAAGGUAAUACAGGCCAUGUCUCUCCCUGUGAAACUUUUGAGCAUUAAAAUGCUGAGCCGGCUUUCCUCCACCGCACUUGAUUCAAGUUUUGAGGGAGAUGCUGCAGAGGGUAGAUUAUACAGCCUCAGGGUACUUCUACGGGACAUGGUUCAAUACAAUGUCCUAAUGGACUUCUGCUCAAGUCUCGUGGUGAUAAUUUGUUUUGUUGUAUUCAUAUAGGCUGAAUGAAAGUGGAAAAAGAAAAACAUAAGAUUAGAGUGUUGCUUUGAAGGUGUUGUAUAUUCAAAGCAGAGGUAGAGAGCAUACCUCAUUUUCUACGCAAUCAGUAAGGAUUUGAUUAUACUAGUUAACCAAUUAAUACCAUUUCGAUAUCUAAACUUAAUUAAUUUAUUAACUAAGUGUCCACAUAGUUUUUGACUAUUUAAUUAACUUGUGCCAUUAAAUAAUGUCCAUGCAUGAGUACACGAUCAAUGAAAAGUAAACAAUCACAAUCACUAGAUAGAAGUAAAGUAUAAGAAAGUAGAUCCAUUGGAGUGUCAACCGUAGAAUACACAUGGCUUUGUAUUAAGCCUCGGGCAACAACCCACGCUAAAUUCAAAUUGUGUCCGAUUCAUUUUCUCAUAAACUACUCUACCUAAAUCUAAACUAAAUUAAAGUUCUUAUUAAAAUCCCCUUCAACCUAUAUGUAUACUAACUAAAAGAAACUAAGCUAUAUGUAGCAUUAAAACUUUGCGACCUAAUCAAGGUCUCUAUUUCUAACCAUUUUCCAAUUUUUCAUUUUUUCGAUUUUUUUAAAACUUAAUUCUUAUCAUUUUCUGAAAAUAGGGACUCGAGCCGGGUCCGGAUUUGAGCUGCACGCUGGUCUCACGAAUUUGGGGUAAUAAGCACAAUUCGGGCUUUUCUAUUCGGUCCCCUCCAAUUCUAACUCUACUGAGCCCAACCUAUUGCCAUGAUAACUGCUCCAGCUCAUCUUCUCUUCCAACUUCAGCAAGUGCAUCUUUAAGCCCGAUUUCUAUUAUAGAUAGAUUAAAGCCCACUCUAACCCAUCUUAUUAUUAUUUUGGAAAAAGACCACCAAAAAUCCCAAAUUUUAUCUAAAGUGAUAAAUUUACCUUAAACUUUUUUUUGAGACAUGAAAAACCCCUAAUUUUGCAACCUGUGACACAUUUACCCAUCAAUGACAUUUUCGUCUUAUUUUUUCUGUUUUUCUAUUUUUCUUUUUUUUCUCUCUUCUGGGCAAGCCGGCGAGGGCAGCCCUCGCCGAACGCCGGCAGAGGGAAGAAAGAAGAAGAAGAAAAAAAGAAAAAAACUUUAAAAAGUAAAAAGACCAAAAUGUCCAUGAUUUUGUGUUACGAACGCCGGCGUUCAGCCCUCGCCGAACGCCGUUCAGGGUAAAUGUGUCAUACGGAUAGAAGUUCAUGAUUUUUUGUGUUACGAAAAAAAGCUUGGGGUAAAUGUGUCACGGUUGGCAAACUUCGAAGUUUUUCAUGUCACCAAAAAAAGUUUGGAUAAAUUUAUCACUUUGAGUAAAGUUUGGGGUUUUUUGUGGUUUUUUCUCUAUUAUUUUUAAAUCAACUUUCCUCUUUUCUUACAUCUUUUUGUCAUUUAUUAUUAUUAUUAUUAGUUUCUUCUUCCUUCUUCCAACCCUUCGUCCUCUUCAAAGCAAAUCGAGAAUCUAACCAGCCAUUUCCUCACCGAUGAAGACCAUAAAGACGUCACAAAAACGUAUGUGAAAUUAUAUAACAAAAUAUACAAGAAAAAUUUAUGUUAUAACAACGAAAUUUAAUAAGAAUUGAAUCUGAAUGUUAAUGGACUUACUUGUAACAAGUAAUGUAUGCUAAAAAAUCUUCAAAUUGACUUAGAUCAGGAAUUAUUUCACUAAUGUAUUUUAGAGACAUUUCAUCAAACAAUCUAUGUGCACCAAAGGGAUUGAAUCUGGUCAUAAAUCGAAGUUUUGUUUUCGUCUUAAAUCAAUGCCAGAACCACAAAGCCAUAACAAAUCAUCAAAUUAUAGCCUAGAUCAUCGGUGAUUUUCACAUGAGUAACCUGAACGUGGUCUAGUCAUGCAUCUUUCCAAAACAGGGCAGGAAAGAGGGGAAUGAAAUCCAGGAGUUAUCGGUUGAGAACUAAGGGCUAAUGAACAAACUACGGGCUAGACAUGGUCUGGCUUCUGGGUAUUUAUGCGUCCGACUAAUGCAAGUUGGGCUUAAUAGAGGUGGAUGGGCCAUGGCCCAUGGGCUUGGCUUAGACGAAUUGGAUCGAGCCCAUCGCAUUGAAUGGAUAUCCUUUCCAAUUAGUUGAUGAAUUGAAUAAGUCCCUUCAGUCAUUAUUUUUUGCAUUCUUCAUUUUGGUUUUAUUUAUUCAUAUCUUAACCGCCUAGAUUGCCGAUUUUCCUUAAAUUGUUGAUUAAAAAUCAAGUAUCCACAGCAGGUCCAAGACCUUAAAAUUGGCUGAAGCAAUUUCCUAAAAGUUGUAAUCUUGAAGGUGCUACUAUUGAGAAAUGUUCGACAAGCCCUCUAGAAAACCUGCAAUGCCCAUUCUUCUUAGUCCAAGUAACUCCUAACAUUAAUUAUUUAUAGUCUUUUCAAAAUAAUUCAUAUAUUUUUAGAUAGUCUUAAUAUGAAUGAGUUAUUUAGCAAUUUCUAUAAGAGUAGAAUUGUUAAUUCAAAACAUUCAAGCAAAGAAUUAUAAAAGGAGAUUGCCAAUAGCAUUGGGAGGCAAUUUGGUAAAAGAAGUAUUUAUAAGAGUUAUAACAAGUCGGAAUUCAACAAAAUGUCAAUCUAAGUGCUUAAUCAUGAAAAAGAAGAAGCAAUACCAAUAUCAAAAACCAAAGAGCUGUUAGCAGAAUCAAAAUUUCCUUUUCAUCUCCUGUUGGUGUAUAAACUUGUUAUUUAGUUCCGAAAAGAAUAAAUAUAAAUGCAUGUAUAUUUUGUCACAUAGUUUAAGUAUUACUUUCAAGAAUGCUUUGAUUUGAUAGGUGGAACCAUAACAACUAAACUGGGAAAGGUCUUUCUCUUAUUUUCAUCGUUUGGCCGUGUGUAUAUUUACAAUGUUAAUAAGUACCUGAUAUUGAGAAGUGCUAUCGACAGUAGUUUUCCCUCAUCCUUACAAUGAAUGUCGAUACAGUGAAAAUUAUUAACCACAUUCAAGCCAUUCUCGUCUACUUGUCAAGCAUCUGCACACAAAGUGAAACCUGCUUAUUUCCGUCUUCGACUGGGCUUCUUACUCUUUCUGGCUGAGGUUGACUGCUCCAAAGGCACUGGUAAUAGGGUUCCUCCCUUGACGCCAUCUUCAUCAUUCAUCUUAUCGAGAGUUUUCUGGGCUCCAAUAUACACCUUAAGGUCUCUGAUCUGUGAAGGAUGACAAGGGACAUACUACUGUCAACCCACUAUGCGUGUGCAGAGUUUUCACUCUUAUCAUAUCAAAAUCCUACAAAUUAUUACAGUUUUAAGGCUAAAAGAAUAUACCUGUUCUUCUAAGUCAAGUAUUUGUUCAUCCUUCGACUUCAGUGACAGAGUUUUCCUGUAGAUGCACAGAAGCUUAUGUGUCCUUCAUUCAUGUCAAAUUAGAAGGGAAGAAUAAAUUCCUGACAGCUUUAACUGACUGGACUCAUCUACUGAAAAAGUUUCCAUACAAUCGAUAAUAAUGCUUAUUGAGGAAACUAGCCCACAUAACUUCAAUGAGGAUGGACAAGACCAGUAUACUUCAUAAGGCUGUAUGAAUCUCUUUACAAAGAAAAUGUCGUGGGCAUAUUACGGCACUUAAAAAGCAUCUACACCUACAUUGCUUGACAUGCGAAGCUCAAAUAAGCUUUAAGCCUGCCCAGUGUAUCUUCUUUUCCUUUUAUUUUCUAUUUUGUGGAAGUUGGAAAUGUCAACAUAACGCAGUAUAAACAACCAUUUGAAUUUCAAUUGGAAUUAGUAAAAUUUCAAUGUUGAACUGUAUCAAUUAAAAUUUGAGUCCCGAACCAUCACAGAAUAAUGUUCAAAUUUCUUUAGUGUGUAAAAAUGUACUUUGAAAUUGAACCACCACCAUGAAGAUUUCAACAUUGAUUUCUGUCGAUAAAGUUCAACCUCUAAAGCAGUAGCACUAGAACUUCAGAGGAAAACAAAAUUAGAGAUGGAGCAUAUAUAAACAAAGGAACAAAAUUAUGGAGAGCACUGACUAAUGGAACUUUCUCCAUACGUGGUGCAUACUCUCCUUUCCCCUUUUCCCCUUUUUUGUCUCUUUCUCUUAUUAUAGUUUGUUCGAUCUCGCCACUUUUUAAGAAGAACUUCAAUAAAAAAUACCAAAAGCUACUUCAUCUUCUAGCCACAUCCUCCAAUUAAUGAUUAACUUAAACUUAAUUAUCCUUCCCAAGUAUGGUGAAAGGAAAAUAUAUUGACUAUUUGAUAAAUUCUUACUUGGCAUAAAAUGACUUUUGUUCUUUUGCCAUUGAUUAUGUGUUACAAGUCACUUAUAGUCACUAUUCACAUAGUUGAAUUAGAACCUGUAUUUCCUCUUCCUUCUUCCAACUUUCACCUUUCUUACCUCACAUCUAAAAGUCCAUGCAAUGCGAACACUUCCUCUUAAUGAUACCAUUCUCACUUUUUUCUCAUCUUGUUGAAUGUCCAUUUCCACUUUCUCUCUCAUGACCAACCUCCCUUACAUGAACUAUGACUACAAUGCUGCUUCAUUUUACUAAUUAGGUUUUAUGAGACUAUGGAUGCUAUGGGAUUAUUAUCUAGAGAAAUCAGCAAGGAAAAAUAACUCUCUUCAAUUUCCUUAACCUUUCUCCGCAUCAUAUCUUGGUUCUUGAUGAGAGUUUGAUUAAGCUGCAACCACAAGAAGCGACAUCUGUUACUGUUAUGUCGAAGAUUGUAAUAUUUAAAAUGAGGCAUGUGAAAAAUGAGCAAAACAACAAUCAGCCAUGGCUUCAGGUAGCCCUCCUCUCAAGCUUUAAACAUCCAAAAUCGCACAAGGCAAAACAGAGAAGACUAAACCCUUACCUCUGCCACGGCCUUCUUUUCAUCACCAAGUUUCCCCAGCUUACUAUGGAUGUCUUCAAUCUUUGAAGUCACAGCUUUCUCAAUUGCUUCUAGUUUGAAAUUUUCUUUUCUACUUUUGGCUUCUAACAUGAGAGACUCAUAAUGCCAACAGAGAAAGACAAAAGAAUUAAUAGGGGAUGACACGUUCAAGGACUUAAAUUAUAUUCUUUAAAGUCAGUCUUAAGGAUGAUGGCAGUCUAUGUAACAAAAAAUGACAAACAUGGGUUAGAAAUGAAACACUAUCACCAACUGUAGCAUGGGCAGUUGAUAUAAAAACUAAUGGCUUUUGUAAUUCUACUUCCGAUACAGUAACAAGUUUUCAAUUCUGAUACUGUUCCUUCUAAGGCUCUCCAUCACAAGUCAAUAAAAAAAGAGUCCUGGCACCUUAGGGAAACUCGAUUCAUUUUCUCCCAGAGACAUAUUAAUGAGAAAAAAGAAAAGAAAAGAAGAAUAGUAGAAGUUUUGCAAUUCUCUGAAGCUGAUGCAAGCCCACUAAUUCUUUUAUACUUCCUAUAUAAGCUCAUCAGACACAUGCAGUAUGCAAAUUGACAGGUAUAAAAUGUUGUAUACCAUAUAAAAGCAAAUGAAGCUGAGAUUAUACAACAUCAGCGUAAUUACUUUCCUUCCCUUCACAACAAUUCUGACAAUCCCAUAAAGUUCCAAGAGUUAAAUAAAUUCACUUAAAAAACAAAACAAAAUGGAGAAACAUUUUUUAAUCUGAAAUAACUAAACAAAUGUUCUAUUAUGGUUUUCUCCUAAAAUAUGUGUACUUAAAAACCAUUACCUAAGAUCUCGUAGUUCCUACGGGGUGGAGACGAUGGGGAAAAACAUAAUUGAGGGAAGCCUUCACAAGUAAUGCUUAUAACCAUGGCCGAUCAGUCAAAAAAAUAAAAUGUAAAAGACUAUGUUAAGCAGGGAGAAUUGAAAUGGUCUCCGUAUAUGCAUGCUUACUUUUCUUUGCGCUUCCUGCUGAGUUGAAGCUAGAUGAAUAUAGUCAGCAUGAAUCUACAAAAAAGUAAAGCUACAGUGUCAGAGUAAACGAAGAAAAUCUGAUAGUUACAAUGGAGGUAAUAUACAUUUUGCAGGCCCAAUAAUGAACAUGUGACAUUUGGCCAACAAAAUGAACAUGUGAAACACAAAACCAGCAACAGGAUCUUUCAUUAUCAUCUGUCAGCACCUAAAACAGUAAAAGCAUCAUGCACUCAAAACUUCAAACAUCUCACUUAACUGAGUCCAAACUCCGAAUCUCUGCAGGGAAAAGAGAACCAGAAAACAAAAAUAUUCACAGCACACAAAUAAGAGGACACAUGAACUUACUGCUUCAAUUUUGCUGCUGAAGAGCGCCCCACUAAUUUCAGAAUCCUCACUACAGCCACAGCUACCACAAUCUCCUUCAAGUGAUUCACAGUAUGAAUUCAUCUCCAAAAGCUUGCCAUCAGCUUUUGAUUGAUUAAGCCGGUGAAUGUAAGUGUCCCCAACAUAAUCCCAAAUUUGCUGUGUUCUUAAAUCUAGAGAAUAGCAAUGUUGCGUAUUUUUCCAAUGGCUGAUUGCAUGCUUAUCUUUGUAUCUACAAAGCCAGAAAAGAAAAGCUAUAAUGAAGACAGCCUAUCCAAUCGCUAAAAAUAUAGAGUGAGCGAAAAUUCCAGCACAUCAUGACUGGAUCUAUCACCUUCCACAUCCAACAAAACCACAUAUCAGACAAACCCAAAGCUUUUCCAUUGUUCCACAAAUAAAGCAGGAUGGCACCUCAUCUCGCUGUUGGCAUAGUCGGCAAACCUGAUAAAGGACAGAAACAGAUCUUCUUCACAAUCAGUUAACAGAGGGGCAUUCCCGAUGAUGUUGCAAAAUGAAACUACAUUUCCGAUAAAGGAAAUUUCUUGCAAUCAAAACAAGAUAUAUGCCCUAAUUGACAUCUUUAGCAAUGUAAUUGGACCUUGCAAUAAAAUCAAAGUAAGAUCCUUGGGACAUCACCAGCAUGGGGGAACAUCAUGUUGACUUAUUUUAACCAUAAAGAUUGACGAAUCAAGCAAAAGUCAGUAUGCACAUGUCCAUUGAUAUAUCUCCUACAUGGCACUUUUUCACCUUUUGAUAUUACAUGAGUUCAAAGGUACUUUUUUGCUACAAAUUCACAUGGACAGAGCAUACUAGAACAUCACUUGAAAUGUAAAAUAUGACCAUGUAACAUCUUAGUUUCAAGACAGGAUAUGAUUGAGGUCAAAGAUCAGAACUUUGACAUCAGUAUGAUCACCCUGUACUUGUGAGCACACACAUAACUAAUGUUCAUUCAUAUACUUUUCACGCUAUUUCUAAUGAUGUCUCUAUACUUUUAAUUUGCCUAAUCAAGUCCUUCUACUUUAACAAACUUUCCAAUCAAGUCUUUCCGACACUAAAUACGACCAAAUUCAACUGAAGUGGCUGUUCGACGAUGACGACGUAUGAUGCCGAUAAAAUAUGCGGAUGCCCACAUGGACAUGCCUGGAAAAAUUUAGCCAAUGUAGACGACCUCGAAGUGCAACAUGGAUAAUAUAAUGGACAUCCACGUCACAAACAGAGACAUCUGACGGUCACACCAGCUGAAUUUGGCCUGAUUUGGUGUCAGAGACAUUUGAUUAGAAAAUCUGUAAAAGUAGGACUUUAUUUAACAAAUUAAAAGUACAAGGGACUUGAUUAGAAAAAAAGGUGAAAGUUCAGGAUAAAAACAAUACUGCCACAAUUGCUAUAGCUAAUAUUAAUUAUCAAAAAGCAACGACUAAUCCACAGUCAGCAGAUUAACAGAGAGAUAGUGGCAAUAGCUGAUAAAUUACAUUAUAAAUUCAUCUAAUCUGUAUCAGCAGAAGAAUGCCUAACCUGACAAGACAAGUAAGUCCAUUUUGUACCACACGAGCAAUGAAAGGAAUGGUCACAAUGUGUACUCAAAAUUCCGCUGGUAUCUGGGUCCAAUCUCUCUGACAUUAAAAAUAAAAGAAUUAGCAACUGUGAACAACUUUCUAUAAACUCAUCUCACUGCAAGGGAAAUAUAAUCAGCAAGGGGGCACUAGCAUGACUUACCGAGACAAACUGGACAAGAUGGUAGCUCCGUAAAGCCCGAUGGGGGCGUGCUAGCUACAUCAGCUGAUUCCAUAUAGUCCACUUCGUGCAGAAAUAGAAUAUGGCAUACCUCAGCCUGAAUGUCCAGAAGACGAGUAUUAAAAGUGAAACAGAAAUUUACUAUGUGAUCUCACGGCAAGCAACAGGUGCAAAAAUUGCAAAUACCUCAGCAGGGGAGAAAUUCUUGCCAUUGAAGGUGCAAUAGAAACCAUCAGCGGCCUUUUGAUCGGUAAGCUCGAUCAGCACGCUGUACCUAUCUUCCAUCCCACCAUUCCUACAUCAAACGCACAAUUCGCAACACAACGAUCACUAAAACUAUUAAAAAGCAUUUAAAAAAGAACCCAGAUCGGAAAACCCAGUUCCACCGUCGGAAUGCUUCCAAAAAAUUGAACUUUCAUCAUAGGAUACCCCCUAAGGCAUGAUCAUGAGCAAAUUUUCAGUAAUGAAGUCCAUCUCUUAGAUUUUCAUCAGCGAAUUCUAAUUCCUCGAAUUCUCUCUUUCGCUUACCCAAUUCAUCUCACCAACUGAAAAAACCGGUCCGAAGUCCCGAAGAAGAGGAGGGCAGAAAACAGAAACGAUGGAAGCCUUACCUGAUGAACCGGAGCUCGGAGACGUCGUCGAUCCGGGGGCCGCAGAACCGGAUGAAGUCGUCGGGAGAGAAGUAAUUAGGGACGGCGACGACGAAGAGGGUGGUGGAGCGGGCGCCGGGGCUCGAGAGGGGCGCGUGCUAGAGCGUCCGGAACAGGUGGACCAUGCGCCUCCGCUCGGUGAACCUAGGGCGGCGGCGGCGGCUAGGAGGAGGAGAAGCCGCCGUAGUCGGUGGCGAGGGGGUGGUCGGUGUCCACCGAGUGGACCCGGAGGAACAACAUCUUUUCCCCUUCGGGCUUGCUGCGAUCGCCGGGCUGAGUCGAAUCGCCCGAGUUGUAGAAGACUGCAGUUACUGCGGAGCAGAGAGAAGAAACUCGCGGGAACUGAGGAGGAUUCGGCGCGCCUUCUUCCUGGAAUUAUAAUGGUUGCUACUUUCCACCCAAAAAAAAAAACACUAAUUGGUGCGAUAUGAAUAAUAUAUUGUCUAAUACAACUAACUUAAUUUCAAUAAUUAUUUAAGAGAAAUUUAAAAAGAAUUGGGUAUUGCUUGUUGAGUUGAGAUUUACACAAUAGACAUUUUUUUUAUUCAUUUGGGUGUUCGAAAUAAUUGAAAAAAUUAAAUUUAAAAUUGAUAAUACAUAGAUUGUCAUUUGUCUUUAUUGUUAUGAAAUUACUUUUUGAUUGAGUAGAUCCAGAAUUAUGUGAAUUAUGGUGGGAAGCAUGUUAUGUGAUUGCUUAUGAACGAAAUAAUUUUGUGAUCAACUCAUUCUCGUUUAUUACUAAAUGAUGAUGCAUCCAAAUUAAAAUUGAUAAUGAAUUCUACUAACAUUGAAAAAACAAAGAAAUGAUAAAGGCCUUGACUGACCUAGUCAUGGAUUCUAUUUCUUUUGCUUCAUCUAACAAACAAAACAUGACGAAAAAAAGGUAGAAUACUCCUAGAUAUUCUAAAACUGAAAUGCAAGGGCAAUUGAGUGUCUAUUCGGCAUAAAAUUUGCUAUUACAGGUGAUUAUUACGCGGGCCUAGUUUGGGCCAACAUAAGGACUAAUGUGUUGCUCAAGCUCGCUCAUAAAAUGAAUCAUAUAUAAAAAUGUUGGGGCACGGCUCAAGUGAAGGUCGGGCAAGCUAGGAUUUUUUAACAUAAGGAUAUUUUAUAGUCUCGGGGUCAUGUCUCUUAUUGUGAUGUUGCAUAGGGUAGAUUUUAUAGUCUCGGGGUCUUCCUCCUGACAUACUUUGGCACAAUCUGUCUUAAAGUAGUACAAUUAGCAUUCUCAUUGACUUGUAGAUUUUACACCCUUGGGGUCUUCCUCUGGACAUAGUUUGGCACAGUAUGUUUUAAGUGGUACAAUUAGCAUCCUAAUUGACUUCUGCUCAAGUCUAGCCGCGAUAAUUUGUUUUAUUAUAUUCAUUUAGGCUGACUGAAAGUGAAAAAGAAGAACAUGAGAUUGCGUAGAAAGCUUUGCAUAUUCGAGUUGGAGACAAGUUUAUCUUAUUUUAGUUAGCAAGCUAAAGGAUCAUAGAACAAGGUUUAGUUUUCGCAGGUGGCUUCUUUUCUUGUUCCUUCUGCGUCAUGCUGAAAGUACUUUUCUUAUGUAUUUUAUUUAUUCUUUUUAAUUUGCUGAAGUAGCAUUUGUUAGCACUUAGCAGGUUCUCUUUUCUUGUUCUUUCGCCACCCAAAAAAAAAAAAAAAAAUUCAUCUUCUUCCUGUGUUCCUAUUACGAACGCCAUUUGAGUGCAACAGCACUCAGACCUUGGAUGAAUGUAAAUACUUCGCCAUGGUCUAUCUCGACAUUUUGCUUAUUGGACUGCAAUCUUUGGGAAUCAAGUUCCAUCUUUUUGAGGAUGAUAGUCUUUAACUGCAGUCGUUAAACUUUGCAUCGUCGGGGACACAAGUCGGUUGUUUCUCCAGCUUUUACAGUUAACAGAGUUGAUUUUUUCAUUUGCAAAUGGACACAGAGCAGGUAGAAGCAUGACAACGAGCCUCUUUUGAUCUCAUCUAUAUUCCUAUCACCCUUCCCUUACUACGCUAACACCCACCAAAGACUACUUUCUCUCAGCACAUGAGCCUCUAUUGUCAUCGCAAAGUGCUUGAACUUCAAACAAAUGCAGAAGUAAGAUGUGCAAUCUAAGAGUGUCUGAUUUGAUUCGUAUACAGCAGGUUCAACCCUCGGCAAGUUUGGAGGUUGCAUCUUAAAAGGCACAUUCUUCUAAACGGUUGAAUUUGCAGAAUCAAUAGCAAAGUGAACCUAGUGGGCACGUUUUCUCCAGACAUUUCCACAAAAUUUGGAAUUUGUUCCCCUCACAAAUAGGAACGAUACUGGGUUUUCCUCUUUACCAAAAAAAAAAAAAAACGAUACUGGGUUUUCCCCCUUAUGAGAAGAUGUUCUUGACCUGGGAGUUUGGAAGGGAGUAAGUGCCACUUAAAAGCUGUUGUAGUUUUGGAGAUGGUAUCAAACGACCUCUCAAAAAAGUAAUCUCUGUACGCCAGACAUUAAUUAUUUUGACCUUUUACAAAAUCGUUCAUAUAUUUUUAGACAGUCGUUGAAUAAGUUGGGAGGCAAGUUGGCAGAGCGAGCUUUUUUGUGAGGUGUAAUAAGUCAGAGUUUAACAUUAUAUGGAUCAAAGUCUUUAAUCACGAAUAAAGAAAUGGCAAUACCACAAUCACAAAACUGAGGGCAGUUGGUAUAAUCGAAAUUUCAUUUAAAACUACUGUUGGUAUAUAAACUUUUUUUUUUGUUCCAAAGACAAAAAUUAUAAAUAUAUUACCAUAGUAGAACAACAUAUAGAAGAACUGAAGUUGAGAGCUAGACUUUUUAAAUUUUGGGGAAAAAAGUUUCUACAAUAAGUUUUUAGGUACUGCUUUCAAGAAUGCUUUGGUUUGAUUGGCGGAACUGUAACAACUAAAAUGAGAAUGAUCUUUCUUUAAUUUUCAGCGUCCGGCCGAGUAUAUGCAUUUACAAUGUCAAUAAGUGCCUGACACCGAGACUCAAUUGAAGAGGAGGCUUGGGGAAAGUCAGGGAAUUGCACCAUCCACAACCCCUCUAAGUAGAGAGGUUCUGCAGAACGCUGGGCAGUGAAAUACCACCCCCGGGCCCCCAUUGCAUCCGCAAAUGCUGCUAACAGUAGUUUUCCUUCCUACUUACGACGAAUGUCAAUAAAAUGAAAAAACAAUUAACUACAUUCAUGCCAUUCUUGUUUACUUAUCAAGCAUAUGCACACGAAGUGACACCUGCUUAUUUCCGUCUUCGGCUGGGCUUCGUGCUCUUUCCUGUUGGAAAUGAUUACUCCAAACGCACGGGUAAUAGGGUCCUCCUUUGACGCCAUCUUUAUCAGUCAUCUUACCGAAUGUUUUCUGGUAUCCAUUAAACACCUUAAAUUCUUUGAUCCGUUAAAGAUGACAAGGAACAUAUUGCUGUCAACACACGUUACAUACACAUACACGCGGUUGGCAAUAUUAUGAAAACCAUAUGAAGGAAUAAAGUUUUGAGGUUCAGAAAAUGUACCCCUUUAUCCACAUUUAGUAUAUUUUCAUUCUUCGACUUUAGCGACAAAAUUAUCCUGCACAUGUGAAGUAACCGUAUGUGUGCUUCAUUCAUGUCAAAUCAGAUGGGAGGACUAAGUUCUCCAGACAGCUUUAAAUUGACUAAACUCGUCUAGAAGUUGCAUCAAAUACAAUCCAUAACUAUGCUUAUCUAGGAAGAUUAGCCCACAUGACUCGAAUGAAGAUGAACAAGAUGAGUAUACUUUAAAAUGCUGCAUAAUUAUUCUCUACGUUGUAUGCAUAUUAAGGAACUCAAAAGGAAUCUAAACCCACGUCGCAUAAUCUGUGAAGCUCGAAUAAGGGUUAUGUCGACCAAGAGCAUAUUCUUUUCCUUUUAUUUUCUAUGUUCUCGAAGUUGGAAAUUUCAACACUACGCAUCAUGAACAACCAAUGAACUGUUAUUGGAAGGGAAAAAGUCACGAAAAACCCUGAACUUUACCCAAAGUGACACAUUUACCCCAAAUUUUUUUUUUUGUGACGUGAAAAACCCUAAACUUUUCAAACCGUAACACAUUUACCCUAUCAAGAGUAUUUUUGUCUUUUUAUUCUAUUUUUUCCUUUUUUUUUUCUUUUUUUCUUCUUCUUCCCUCCACCGGCCAUGGUGGAGGGAAGCCAGCGUCGAGCGAGAGUCGCCCUCGCCGGCGUCAGGCGAGGGCCUCCCUCGCCCGAUUUGGCUUGUCGGCCCUCGCCGGCAUCUGGUGAGGAUGACCCUCGCCGCCCGAUGCCGGCAAGGGUAGGGACACCCUCGCCCGACCUCGCCGGCGUCGAGACCCCUCGCUAGACGCAAGCGAGGGCCGCUCGACGCUGGCAAGGGCAGGGACACCCUCGCUCGACCUCGCCAGCGUCGGGCGAGGGCGGCCCUCGCCAGACACAGGUGAGGGCACCCCUCGCUAGGCGCAGGGAGGGGCCGCCCUAGCCCGACGCCGGCGAGGGCCGCCCUCGCCGGACGCCGGAGGGAAGAGAGAAGAAAAAAGAAGAAAAAAAAAUUUAAAAAAAUUGAAAAGACUAAAAUGCCCUAUACUUUUGGGGUAAAUGUGUCACAUAACAAAAGUUUAGGGUUUUUGGUGUUACCAAAAAAAAAAUUAGGGUAAAUGUGUCACGGUUGGUAAAGUUCAUGAUUUUUUACGUCACAAAAAAAGUUUUGGGAAAAUGUGUCACUUUGAGCAAAGUUCAGGAUUUUUCGUGGCUUUUUCCCUUAUUGGAAUUAGUAAAUUUUUAAUGUUGCAAUUAAAUUUUAGUCCCAAACCAUCACAGAAUUAUUUGCAAAUUUUUCUAGUGUGCAAAAUUGUACUUUGAACUCGAACAAUGACCGUGGAGUUUUGAACAUUAACUUUCUGCCGAUAAAGUUAAACCUCUAAGGCAAUAGCACUAAAACAUCAAAAGGGAAACAAAAUCACAGAUGAAACAUACAUUAACAAAGGAACCAAAUAAGAGAGAGGUCGUCCCGUCUCGCCACUUCUUUGAAACUUCUUCAAAAAAAAUUCCCAAUAACUACCUACUUCAUCUUCUUGCCACGUACUCUAACCAAUAUUAACUCAAACUUGGUCAUUUCCCUCCAAAGUAUGGUGAAAAGCAGGCAUAUUAUCUAUUCGAUAAAUUCUCACACGACAUAAAAUGACUUUUCCUUGUGCCUUUAAUGAUGUGUCAUAAGUCAUUUAUAAUCACAAUUAAGAUAUUUGCAUUGGGGUGUUGUAGUUUCUCUAUCCUCUUCCAACUACUUUCACCCUUUUUACCUCAAUUUGUGACACCAUCUAAAAGUUCAAACUAUGUGAACUCUUCCUCUUCACAUUACCAUCCUCACUUUUUCCUCAUCUUCUCAAAUGUUAUUCCGACCUUCCCUAGUCACUGACCUCACUUAAAUGAAUUAUGACCAGCAUUGACUUGGGGGCCAUUAGGUCCAGCAUGAUAGAACUCAGGCCGACCCUAACCCGAAUCUCUCUUCAACUGAAAUUCACAUGCCACAUGGCACGCAUCCAUUAGUUAAAAUCCUCGCUGUCUACAAUAGAACAUAUGACGCCCAAUGGUCUAAUUAAUUUUCGUGAUGACUGUUUGGGAGCACAAAACUCUAGUUUAAAAAAAGAAAAAAACAAACAAACAAACAAACAAAGCUAUUCUACCACCGCCCAAUCAUUACAUGUUCCGACUCCUUCGCUGGUCGCGCCGUCGACCAUCAAUCUCAGGAGGAGCGCGUUUGUUCAUUUCAUCGAGAGCACCAUUAAAAAAAAAAAAAAAGAUGGAGCAAGGAAAAUUCAUCUCAAAAAAGCGAUUCCGUUCGAUUCAGUUGGCGAUUUCAAGCGUUCUGAAUUGAUCCCAGUGGCGGUCGCCCGCGUCAACAGCCUCUUCAAUGCCGCGACUCAUCUCCUUCGUUUCCCUUCCGCGGCCGAGAGCUUCGAAAUGUUAUCGUUCCGCUCGAAGCUUCUCCACCUGUUCAGGUUUCGAUCAUCGACACGUUCUAUAGCUUCUUUCAGUGAUUCGUGCGCCAAACCGCGGCCUCAGUCCACUUGAUUAACCGGGUAGCAUCUCCUGUUCUGUCGUCACAAGUAAGAGGCCGAGAGUCCGAUUCUCUUAUUAUGAUGAAAUUGAUCAUAGCUGACUUUUUUUUCUUUGACUUCGAACAUCAUGUACUGAUUUAGGUUGAGUCCAGUUACAAAUUUGGGUUCGAAAUGGCUUUGAUCUGUUCCACAACCGAUUCACCACAAUCUGUUCGAUGAAAUGUGUCGGAGACCUUGGUGUGAAUUGAUUCCAGUAAUCGUCCGAUUUGAAAGCACAUUAGUGAUGUUCCCUUGAUAUUGUUUGAUUUUUUAAUCUUUAGACAUGGUUACGAGUAUACACCAAUAGUUGCCAAGGAUGAAACUGACUCUCCGUUUGUUUCCUCGGUGGUUCCUGUGAUCUUUUGGUGAUUGGUGGUGGUUGGCGAGACGAGAAGGCUUGGAGUCACUGGCACACGCGUGAUCUUUGGUGAUGAUCAUAGUACACCCUGUUGAACAGAAUUCAGAUGACUUCACUGAGCAUGAAUCGCGAUCACGCCAAUUCAGAUCACUAACUUUGGCCGACACAUGUUUCGGUCACUAACUGGAGCAAUGUUAUGGCUACUUGCUAGCCUUAUCGUUGCUGCUGAGUUGCCUCACAAUUUCCUCAACCGCCGAGCUUUGCUUCUGUCCAUGCCUUGCAGUCGAUCGUUGCCAUUGUAAUUGCUGUGGUAAACCUACCUUGCCAUACCGCCAUGCGUUACCGAUAUGGAUUGACGUACCGAUAGAGCUAUAUCCACUGCGUUUUGUUAAAAAUCGGAUCGCCUCAUACCGCCGGCUUGUUUCUGGUCCAACUGAUUUUUAGAGUUGACUGUAUAUUCAGAUUUCCUUCACUCCUUUGUUUUUUAUGUUCAGGAUUUUGCGCAUCUUCUUAAACCGAAUCAUGGGAAAGCUAAGCGGUUCGAAGUCCAGUCGUCAUGGGGUCAAUACUUUGUCACAAAAUCAUCGCAGAUUACCUGCUUUGCCAUUCCUGUCUUGUCCUUUGGUUAUUGAUUACUCCACCUUCGUCAAUUUCAUUGACCAGAAGCAGGUGCUAAAUCUGAGAACACCCACUAAAAUGAUAUUUUAUGUCUGUCGUCUACUUCCUGCUUUAUUCUCUGUGGAUGACAUAUUCUACUUCACACGUGCUGUCGAGGGAGAUCAUGGUCAACAAUCAAUAUGAAGUGAGCAAGUUGUAUUUACUCUCUGUCAUUAGUUGAUAAGCUUUUGGGUAUGACAAUCAAGGAAUGAAACCAGUUAGUAGCUUGCUCAGAAUUAGUAAAUGAGGAUUUAUUUCUUUCUUGGAAGUGUCAAUGCCAUCGCUUUGUCUCUGAUCAUGGAAAGAGUUUAUUGUUCUUUUUGAACUUGCAUAAAAAUUGACGGAAUGCUUAUGAAGCAGUGAGAUACUCGAAAUUUACAAGUUAUAUGAAUUGGUGUGUCCUGUUGUUGCAUAUGCUGUAGUUUAGCGGUUAUUGUUCAUCUAUGUUUGCUGAACCGUUUGAUUUAUCACUUUCAAUUAACAAGAUUUUGAUAAAGACACGUGAUAAUUGUGAGAGAUGCAUUGAAACUGGCACUUUGGUGAUGACAGUGCUCCUUCGUGUCACACUAUGUACUUGUUUUUAGGAAAAAUCAUUUAUGAUGUUGGAGAAGUGAAUAUGUGUUGAAGGUGCCAACCCCUUGUGAUCUUGGACCCACUCGUUGAAGAAAUGGAGAGGUAUAAAUGUAAUUACCUUCCUUCUCUUUGCAACAAUUCUGCCAUUCCCAUAGAAGUUCCAAGAGUACAAUGAGGUCACUUAAAAAUAAGAAAACAGAAAAUGGAGGAACAUUUUGAAUCAGAAGUAACUAAACUAGUGUUCUAUUAUGGUUUUCUCCUAAAAUAUGUGGUGCUUAGAACCAUUGAAUACCUAAAGCAAAACACAAGUGAGAGCUCUCCGGAGUAAUGCUUACAACCGCGGCUGAUCAGUCAAAUAGCACAUUGGACAAUGUACAAGACUAUGUAAAGCAGGGAGAAUUAAGAUAGGUAUCCGCGUGCUUUAUUUUCUUUGCGCUUCCAGCUGAGUUGAAGCUAGAUGUAUAUAGGCGGCAUGCAUCUAUGAAAAAGUAUAUCUACAGUGUCAGAGUAAACGAGGUAAGUCUGAUAAUUAUAAUGGAGGUAAUAUAUUGCAGGCCCAGUAAUGGACAUGUGACGUUUGGCCAACAAAAUGAACAUAUGAAGCACAAAACCAGAAACAAAAUCUUUCAUUGUCACCUGUCAGCACCGGUAAAAGCAUCACGCACCUGCAAACUUCAAACAUCUCACUUAACUGAGUCCAAACUCCAAAUCUUUGCAUUGAAAAAAGAAUUGGAUAACAAAUAUGUCCACAGCAUACAAAUAAGAGGGCGCAUGAAGCUAUUGCUUCAAUUUUGCUGCUGAAGAGCACCCCACUAAUUUCGAAAUCCUCGCUACAACCGCAACUGCCACAAUUUCCUUCAAGUGAUUCACAGUAUGAAUUCAUCUCCCCAAGCUUUCCGUCAACUUUUGAUUCAUUAAGUCGACGAAUGUAAGUGUCCCCAAGGUAGUCCCAAAUUUGCUGCGUUCGUAAAUCUAGAGAAUAUUAUUAUUGUAUAUUUUUCCAAUGGCUGAUUGCGUGCUUAUCUUUGCAUCUACAAAUCCAAAAAGGAAAAGCUGUAACAAGACAGCCUACCAAAACACUAAAAUAUAGACCGAAGAUCAUCAUACACCUUCCACAUCUUCCAAAACCACAUAUCAGACAAACCCAAAGAUAGAGCAAAUUGAGAUAGAGCAGAACGAAAAUAUUCUUCAGAGUCAGUUCACAGAUGAGCAUCCCUGAUGAUGUUGCAAUAUGAAGCCACAUGCGAUAAUGUUUAAUUCUUGCAAUCUGAUCAGGUAUGUGCCAUACAUAAAUCUUUAGCAAUGUAAUUGAACCUUGCAAUAAAAUCAAAGGAAGACCCAUGGCACAUCACCAGCAUUGGAGAAUAUCAUAUUGACUUAUUGUAAACAUAAAGAUUGCCGAAUCAAGGAAAGGUUAGUAAGCAUAUGCCCAUUGAUGGAUGUCCCAUGUGACACUUUUUCAUCUUUUGAUAUAUACUCGAGUUCAAAGUUACUUCUUUGCUACAAAUUUACAUGGAUUGAGCAUUAUCACAAUUAGUGGAAUAUAGCUUGAAAUGUUAAAAAUGACCAAGCGCAAUCUUAUCUAACAGCUAGAAGUUUGAGAUCAAAGAUCAGCGCUUUGACAUCAUUAUGAUCACCUGUGUCAACAGUGAGUAUUUAAGUUCAACACAUAAACUCGAUAAUUUAUGAUUGGCCACUGCUAUUGUGAUCACCCUUGGACUCACACUAAAUUGGACACAACAGUGACAGGACCAUUAGAUCAAAUAACCGUAAUGAGACACUGCAAAUAUUCUCGUGUCAGAGUAUAAGAAACAUCAAAAAAUAAGUCCAAGAAGCCACACAAUGGACCUAUUCCAAAUCAUCAGAAAAUGUCAGAAUCAUUUAAAGUGUUAAUAAAACCUCCAUAUAUCUUUUAAAAUUAACAAAACUAUCCAUGUUUGUAUUGAUCUUGGUAAUUGCAAAAAAGGCAUUUGUGUUUUAGGUACUAUCCAUGUUGAAAGGAUUCUUCUUGUCAGAUAAUUCUUAUUAAACAAAGAAUGGAGAGUUUAUAUAUGUGUGAUAUUAGCAAGUGACCUGCAUUGAUGUCAGCAAGUCAAAGGCUGGAUAUCAACAAGGCAACAGGCCGGAUAUCAGCAGAGUCCCACAAAAGCUAAGUAUAAGCCAGAAAUUGAUUUACAAGAUUAUUCUUUGAGACAUUUUAUCUCAUUUUUAACAACUUGUGAUUUGGUAUGGAUUGCCUCUUAAGGAAAUAUUGAUUGUCUAUCUCAAAGAUUGUCUUAGCAAAAGACUCAAUCUUGUAAGAUAUUUUGAUUGAUUGGCAAUCAUCUUCAAAGGCAAGUUUCUUUCCAUAGCAGAAGCGUUUUAUUUUUUAGAACCAAGGUUUAAUUGUAUGGGCGACCAAAUGAAAAAGUCACAUUUCAUAUUCUUCCCUAAAAUAUUUUUGUUUUAUCUUUCAUAAUAUAAUCAUCAUUACCGUAUGCAUCUUCUUGUUUAUUUCUCAUAACGAAAUGCAUAACAGAUACACUAUCGUCCUUAUGAACUACAUUGUCCACCACAUUAACAUGUCUUAUCUUAUUUUAUUUUUAUUUUAUUUUUUUGUAAAUUGAGGUAUUGCUUAAACAUCUUAACAAAUUUUAUUCUAUUUAGGAAACAAAAAGUAACCAUUUGGUUAAGAUAAUAUAUUUAUGCCAGUGUAAUUGGUUAAGGUGGUGACAUUUUUGUAUAGUCGGUUCAUACUAUCUUAUCACUAAUGACAGCAACCUAUAACUGAGUAUUGCUCAUUAAUUUUCUUUUCUAUAUUUUGUUAUUAAUUAAAUAUGCAAGUCCAGUCAAGUGUGCUGGAUCUCCACUUUCAAUAAAAGCUUCAUGUGCACUUGAAGAUUCAGAUUUAUGGAUUUUAUUAAUCACAUGUUGUUGGACGACGUCAAUUACAAAGUUUGGAUUAUUUAAGGUUUGUGCCGAGAUGAUGUGACAUUAACAUAUAUACCCAAAUAUGAACCCAAGAUUCCAACAACUAGGGAAGGGCCAAGAGUUUGUAAAAAGGAAAAAAAAGGUUGACCAAAAUUAUCUCGUUUAGGUUGUGAGAUGGAUUUAACGUAAUGUAUAACUCAAUUAGUUGUUGAUUGUGUAAACAAGAUCAUCAUAAUCAUCCAAUUUGCCCAAAUAAGGACAAACAAAUCUUCUCAUAUUUACCAUCAAUCGAUUUUUAAUUAUCUUGAUAAUCUAAUAUACAUAUAGUAGAUUCUUCAAAAUUGUUACUAUAUUCAAACUGGGAUAUGGAGUCUAAUCCGAGUCCCAUCUUUAGUAAAAUUUUCACGUCUAAUUUUCAAAGGCCAUUAAACAGCAGAAAAGAAGUGCAGAAAAGAAGUGGCUCUGCCUAGAGGGUUUGUUUGUAUUCUGGUUUUCUAAUAAUUUAAGGAUCUUCUUCAAAAUUAUAUGCCAAUAAGUAUAUUAUUAUCAUUAAACGCUGUUGUAAUCUAAUUUAUUUAUUUAUUUACUAAAAUUAGUUGGUGGAGAAUACGCACCUUCCGCAUAAUGCUGUGGAAAUAAUAAUCCAAGGAGUGACAUUUUUGUGAUUGACUCGUGUAUAUUUUGCACCGGAAUCAUGGGAGUAUUGCUAUGCUGGUUAGUUUUCUUUUCUAUUUCUCUUAUUAACAGAGCAGCAAAGUCAAGUCAACAAGCACGAGCAUAGGAUUCUUCCACGCACCUCCUGCAAACUGCUGUGGAAAUUACGCGUGCAUUCGAUUGACCUGUGGAAAUUGGUUUUGGUGAGAAUCGAUGGUUGGUCUUCAUUUCUAUUUCUUUAUUUAUUAGUAGAUAAAGCAAGUCAAGUCAAAAGCAUAGGAUGGUCCCCACGCCUUUUGCAAAAUGUAGUGGAAAUUACGCAGGCAAUAAUUGCCCUACAAUUUUCUUUUCUAUUUCUAUUAUUGAUACAAAAGGCAAGGCAAGUCAAGUCAAGGUCUUCCUCGCUUUGGAUAAAUAAAAUGUUUAGAAAUAAAAUAUCAUUAACAUUAGAAAUAUUUGUUAUUAAUUAUUUUAAUUAAUAUAAAUAAUCAUUUUAAAAAUAUAUAUUUUAAAGGAUAUAAUGAAAUUAUUUUUUAUUAACUGAUUAUUUCAAAUGAUACAAGUAAACAUAAGAUUUAUCGUUUCAAGAAUUCACUCGUAUUUCUCUAAAAAAUUAAUCACUAAAAAAUAUUUUCAUUAUCAGUGAUAAUUUAUAUUUAAAUAUUUUCAUGAACAAUUCAUUUAUUAAUUUUAGUAAGUAAUAUAAAUGAUUAUUUUUUAAAAAAAUAUUUUUUGAAUUAUUUUUAUUUUAUGGAACAAACGCAGCUAAAAGCUCCAAACAAAUGUUAAACUGAUGUGAUGAAGUAUUAAGGUGCCCUAUCAAGGGCCCCAAAGGUUAAAUCCUCGAAGUUGCCAUACCGCUUGUAUCUAUCAAAGAAACUCAAAAAAAUCUACCCACGCUGAUAUGAACAAGACAAACUGGUGGCCUAGAGAGAGCCUUGUAAGAUGAACCAAAGAUAAGGAUGGAAUCUUGAACACCCAAUGAAACGAGAGAUACAAAUAUCACAAGAUAAGGCUCAAAAUUCAUUUAUAAUAUGUUUUGUGGUGUGUUUAGGGCAUAGACCGGUCAUAUUUUUCAUUCUCAUUGGAUGCGCAGGAAUCCAAUAUCCUAAUAUAUAAUAUAGGUGCGUUUCAAAGGUUAUGGUCUCCGAAUAUGCAAACACUUUUUUUUUCUAAUAAGGUGCUAAUUUGUCUUUACCUUAGUGUGAGUGGAAAUCCAUCACUGACCUCACCAAUAUUUUCCAUGAUCUAAUUUUAGAUACUAGAAGAUUAAUGGGCAAGUUGAGCCUAGAAAUCCUUGCCCAAGAUCGAUCAUGAUUAAAGAAUAGGAAAAUACUACCAACCCCGGGUCUAUAUGAAGAGAAUUUAUCUUUUGUUUUUUCAUUCAUCUUAAUGUGAGUGGAAAUCCAUCACUGACCUCACCAGUAUUUUCCAUGAUCUAAUUUCAAAUAGUAGAAGAUUAAUGGGCAAGUUGAGCCUAGAAAUCAUUGCCCAAGAUCGAUUAUGAUUAAAGAAUAGGAAAAUACUACCAACCCCGGGUCUAUAUGGAGAGAAUUUAUCUUUUGUUUUUUCAUUCAUCUUUUUUAGUUUUUGCCGCACUCUGAGUAUAAUAUUCCUUAAUCUUAUGCAAUUAAAAUAUUUGCACUCACAUUAAGGACCCAAUUGCACUAUCACUUGAAUUAUUUUCCUAAAAUUAACUAUUUAUAUCAUUUAAAAUAAAUAAUUAAUUAAAAUAUUUUAAUUAUCAAUGAUAAUAUAUUUAUAUAUUUUGUAUUUUUUUUCAAAGCGAGCAAGACUUUGACUUGACUUGUCGUGCCUUUUCUAUGAAUAAGAGAAAUAGAAAAGAAAACCAAAGGGCGAUCAUUGCCCAUGUAAUUUCCACUGCAUUUUGCAGAAGGUACCGGGGACCAUCCUCUGCUUCUGGACUUGACGUACGUUUCUACUAAUAAAGGAAAUAGAAAUGAUAACGAACGAGCAAUUCUCCACCAUCUAAUUUCCACAAGGCAAUCAAAUGCACGCGUAAUUUUCACAGCAGUUUGCAGAAGGUGCGUGGAACCAUCCUGUGCUGGUGCUUCUUGACUUGACACUGCAUUUUUCUGUUAAUAAGAAAGAGAGAAAAGAAAACUAACUAGCAUAGCAAUGUUCCCGUGCUCCCGGCGUUAAUUUAAACGAGCUAAUGAAAAAAAAAAUCACUUGUCGGAUUAUUAUUUCCGUGGUAUUAUGUGGAAGGUGCGUACUCUCUGCCAACUAAUUUUAAUAAAUCAAUAAAAAGAAAAUAGAUUGCGAUAGCAUUUGAUGAUGAUGAUAGGAUGCAUUGGAAAGGAAAAUUAGAAAUUUUUUCCUUUUUUCUUUCAUCAAUCUUUCUUUUAUCUAAAUAAAUUACUAACUCAUUCAUAUAUAUUUUCAGAUGAUGAGAAAACUCUUCCGAUUUCCAUUAUUCAUUCAAAUAAUGGAAGUUUCGUUCAUUUCCUCUAGAUAUUUUGCCUCCCAAGCAAGUAAAAAUCCAGGAGCUCACUAAUUCCAUCCAUUCUCGCUACACUUCUUGGUCCUCAAAAGAGUGAACCAAUAUUUAUCAUUUGUCUAGAUAACUUCUUGAUCCUCAAAAGAGUCUGGACCAAUAUUUUAUCAUUUGUCUAGACAACUUACAUAACUGACAAACUUUUCUCCUCCUAGAUAUCUAGGAUUUCAAUUUUUCUUUUCUUUUCCUCGGGGAGGGAUUCACCCAUCGGCCACGCCCACCAAUUAUUAGAAGCAUCGUUAGGAAAAAAAUAAAUGCACCCUACUAUGCGACAAAGUUACAUUCCAUAUUCUUCCUUAAAAUAUAUUUUGUUUUAUCUUUCACAAUAUAAUUAUUAUUAAUCCACCAUUUUUUUUUCAUAACUAAACACAUAACCCGUACGAUGUCGUCCUCAUAAACUACAAUGUCCAUCAUAUCAUAAUGUCUUGUUAUGUUUUUCUGUUUUUUUUUUUUUUUUUUCGUUUGUGAAUUAAGGUAGUGUAUUAAACAUCAUUUAGUUAUGGUGAUAUAUUUUAAUAGUGUGAUUGGUCAAGGUCGUGAUAUCAUUGUAUAGUUAGUUCGUAAUAUUCAAAUGCUAAUGAUAGAGACCUGUAUCGAGUAGUGCUCGUUAAUUUUCUUUUAUAUAUUUUGUUAUUGAUGGAAAAUGAAAAUCCAAUCAAGUGAGCUAGAUCUCAAAUUUCCAUAGAAGCAUCACUUGCACUUAGGGGUGAGCAGCGGUUUAGGGUCGACCCUGGACCGACCCUGGACCGGCCCAACCCUGCUGGUCCUGGUCCGGUUCCCAAGGGAAUUGGGUCGGUCCUUGGUCCUGAAAUUCCAGGACCAACACUGUGCGGGUUGGUCCUCGGUCCUGAGAGUUUUGGGUCGGUCCAACCCUGUAUAUUAUUAUAUUAUAUUAUUUAUAAUUCUUUUAUAUAUUCAAACCUAAGUAAAAUUUAUGUUAUAUUAUAUUAUAUUAUUUAGAAUUCUUUUACAUAUUCAAAUCUAAGUAAAAUGUCUGUUCAAAAGAAAAAAAAACCUAAGUAAAAUGAUGUUAAAGCUGUUGACUCCUCAAGCUCACAGUCACGAACAGACGGCAUCCAAUUCCAAAAGGCAUGAAGUUUACGCCGUAAAGGUCUUCACGGCCUCCUCCUCCACAGUCCAGAGUACAUUCCUCACCGUGAGGACCAAGGACUCCUCGCAGUCACGGACUCGCGACAUCCAAAAUGGCGCGAAGUUUACGCCGUAAAUCUCUUCACGGUUUCCUUCCCCAAAGUACGUUCUCUUCCAUUCUGUCUUCUUUGUUCUUCAAUUUGCCAAAAUCAAAAGUAGCAACAUACCGCUCACCGCAUUGUGGACCCUAUCUUGUCCCAUAUCUCGAUGAGCGUUAGCAGGUACGAAAUUUCUAUUAUUGUGUCAUCUUAAAUUUGCUGAAUAUGUAUUGGUAGUUAUAGUUUAGUUGCACAAUGCCACAUUGUGGAUGGAUGUGUAAUUUGAAUUUGUAGGUUUGCUUUUUUAGGGAGUAUAAAAAACAAGACGAAAAAAAUUAUCGAUCGGUCCCGGGUUGACCCUGGAACCGGACCGAACCCAUUGGGUCGGUCCGGUCCUUGGUCCUAGGCUCAAUAGGGUCGGUUCUCGGUCCUAAAAAUUGAGGACCGACACUGUACGGGUUGGUCUUAGGGUUAGGAGGUGGCCUGGACCAACCCGGACCAUGCUCACCCCUUGCACUUGCUUGAAGCUUCAAGUCUAUGGAUUUCAUUGUUUGCAAUUUUUUGUAGGAUGUCAAUCACAAAGUUUGGAUUAAUUAAGGUUUUUAAAAAGAUGGUUCGGCAUUAACAUGUAUUCCCAAAUAUGAACCCAAGAUUCCAUGAACUUGGGUGGGGCCAACUACAAUGUCUUGCGAGUUUGUGAAAAGGAAAAAUAACAUUUGAUCAAAAUCAUCUUAUUUACGUCAUGAAAUGGAUUUAACAUAAUGUAGUAAAUCAAUUAGUUAUUAAUCAUGCUAACAAGAUCGUCAUAAUUGUCCAACUUGCCCAAGCAAGGACUAACAAAUUUUCUCAUAUUUACUAUCACUUUAUUUUGAAUUGUCUCAAUAAUCAAAUAUCCAUAAAUUGUAGAUUCUUCACAAUUGUUACUAGAUUGAAUGUGCUAACAUGCUUGUAGCUCCAUCCGAACUCGAACAUAGAGUUUCACCCGAUUCCUCUCUUCGGUAAAAUUUCCACAUCUAAUGCAAUCGGCAUUAAACAGUAGGAAUGAAGUAGUUCUAUGCACAAAUUUGGUCGUCGUAUUACAAUUUUAUGAUAAAAUAGGUAUCUUCUUCAAAACUAUAUGCCAAUAUGCAUACCAUCAUCAUUAAACGCUACAACAAUCUACUUUUUUUUUCUUUAUUAAAAUUAGUUGGCAGAGAAUACGCACCUUCCACGUGAUGCCGUGGAAAUAAUGAUGCAAUGAGUGAUGUUUUUGUGAUUGACUCAUGUAUAGUGGCACCGGCGGCAUGGGAGCAUUCCUAUGCUAGUUAGUUUUCUUUUCUAUUUCUCUUAUUAGUUGGAAAAAAAGCAAAGCCAAGUGAAGAAGCACCAGUAUUGCAUGGUUCCACGCACCUUCUGCAUAACUGCUGUGGAAAUCACGCGUGCAUCGAUUGCCUUGUGGAAAUUAGAUGGUGGAGAAUAAUUGUUUGUUUACAUUUCUAUUUCCUUUAUUAGCAGAAAAAGCAAGUCAAGUCAAGGAGUAGAGGAUGGUUCCCGACGCCAUCUACAAAACGUAGUGGAAAUUACGCAGGCAAUGAUUUCCCUUUGGUUUUUUUUUUCCCGUUUAUCUUAUUGAUAGCAAAGGCAAGGAAGGUCAAGUAAAAUGCUGACAAAUAGCGGAGAUCACAGCUGUGGGCCAGCAUUCAUAAGCGUAUGGAGGGAAUUAUCCAUCGACCACGUCCGCUAAUUACCGAAGGCACCGUCAGAAAAAAAGAUAUACACUUUACGAUGUGAAAAAGGAAUUGCAUUUCAUUUUCUUUCCCAAAACUUUAAUUUAUUUUAUCAUUACUAUUUAACCUUUAUUUCGUGCAUAUACUUAUUUAUUUGUUACAUAAGGAUACAUGUGAUCGGCAAACUAUCUUCCUCAGGAACUACAAUGUCCACUAUAUUACCAUGUCUCAUUUUUCUUUUUCCAUUUGUACUUUGAGGUAGUACAUUAAAAAUGUUAACAAAAAAAAAUUCUACUCAGGAGUCAAAUCAAGUGUGAUAAAUUUUAAAUUUUGAUCAAAGCUUCACACACUUGGUAGAAGUUUCAAAGUCUAUGGAUUUUAUUGUUCUCAUGUUAUGGCAAAAUGCCGACUAGAAGGUUUAGAUUAUUUAAGAUUUGCAUAGAGAUUGAUCUAACAUAAGGUGACAACUCAAUUAGUUAUUUAUUAUGCAAUCCUUGUAAUUGUCUAACUUGCCCAAGCAACAACAAACAAACCUGCCCAUAUAUACUAUUAAAUUGUUUUUUAAUUUUCUCGAUAACCUAAUAUCCAUUGGGAUAUAGGGUCUCAUCUGAUUUCAAUAUUUGAUAUAAUAUCUACAUCGAAUCUUUAAUUGACCUUAAACAAUAAUGAAGUGACUCUACACACAUAAAUUUGAUAAUCGUCUUUUGAUUUUAUGAUAAAAUGGGUCUCCUCUUCAUAGCUACACAUCAAGAUGCAUGUCAUAAUCGUCAGGCACUAACAUGCGCAAGCAAGGGAUCUUUGUGAUUUUAAGUCCGAUCGGACAGACGCAUCCAUCCUACAUAGAGAAAGAGAGCGAGAGAGAGAGCAUUUCCGCAAUCUACGCAAUCGAAUUGAUUGUUGCUUUUCGGUGCUAUUUCUUUAUUCAUAAAAAAGAAAAAAAAAAGUCAAGUCAAAAAGCACACAUACCUUCGCAUGACGUCGGUGUGCAAUAAUUAUCAUGUCUGCAACACGCGACUUGGAUGGUUGGAUGGCAACUCAGCAUUUUUGGACGAAUCUCCUUUGGAGAAAAAAAAAGAAGAGUAGAUUUUGGAUUAAAAAUAAUAAAUUAUCCUUAUUCGAAUAUCUAAACAAAGUGUCCUGCUGACAUUUAUCUUAUUAUAUGUUUUUGUGAUUGACUCAUGUCUAUUAGUACUAGUACUGACAGUAUAGGAGUCUUGCUGGUUAGUUUAUUUAUUUAUUUAUUAAUAGUUAAAAAAGUAAGUCAAGUCAAAAAGCACUCGCAUAGAUGGCCCACGCACCUCAAAGUUCCAGUACCUACCGCGUAAUGACGCAGGUACCAUCAAACAACAUUUUCUUUAAUUUUAAGUACUUAAAAUGGUCCGAAAAACGGGCAUGUGCUCGCGGCUUAAUUUUCACAAAUAAAUUAAGUUCAGCAUUGGCCAAAAAUAAAAUAAAAAUAAAAGCAAGUUGAGUGAAGUUGAAAAUCGAGUUAUAACACAUAGGUUCGACUUGAAAUUACCAAUGCAAUCAUUUAUUUUAAGCCAUUAGAGUACAAUGCUAAAUAUAUUUUAAAUCUUAACAACUUAUUUGGUUUGAUUUCUAGCUUUUUCUUAACAACGAAGCAUAGAUCAAGUACGUUAAUCCCUAUAUCAACAAAUUCUCCAUUAAUGCAAAAUAUUGGGCAAGACAUAAGUCUCCAAAUACAAAAGAGUUUAUGCUUACAAAUAUGAUAAACCAACACAUAUCGCGUGGUUAGUCUUCGUAUACUAAUUUUUACUUUAUAUUCCCUCACACCUCUCAUAGUUGAACUUUUGCUUGACAAAAAUUACUUAGAAGAUUCAAAAUAUUCAUAUAUCGUCACAUAGAUAAUUAUACAUUUAUGUUUGUAAUUUAACUUAAAGAAUGUACAUAUUUAAAAUAUUUUAAAUGUAAAACAUCAAAUAUAUUUUUAAGUGCAACCUAAAUUUUUAUCAAAGGGCCGCAUACCAAAAAUUUUCUUCUAUUUUGAAAGAGGUAAUGCGCCUCAUUAGUCAUUAGAGAAAAAGGCCAAAACCUAGGUAGCACGGACACGUUGUCCGUGCUUCCGUGUCGUGUCCGACACGUGUUGGAGCGUGUCGGACACGUCGACACGCUCGGACACGGUCGGACACGCGGUCAACGCGUGUCGAAAAUCCGACACGCGGUCAACGCGUGCCCGACACGUUUCGACACGCGUGUCCGGAAGAUGACGGAGGGUGGAAGCGACGGCGAGGGAGUAGAGAGGAGGCCGCCACGGCGAUGCUGCGACGGAUCCGACGAGGUUGCAGCUGCGAGGGAGAAAGGGCCAAAGGCGAGAGGAAGAGGAGAGGAAGGCGGUCGUGCGGCGAGCGGUGAGAGGCGACGAGCGGCGAGCGGCGAGUGCGAGCGGCGAGGAAAGGGGUUUGUGUGGCGUGCGGCGAGCGGCGAGGAAUGAGAAGAGGUGCAAAGCUAGGGUUUUGAUGGGCCAUCGCGUAUUGGGGAAGGGAAGAGACGGACGGGUUUUUGAUGGCCACUGCGUAUUGGGGGAGGGGAAGAGACAGGGACAGCCUGUCUGUCCUGUCUGUCAGUGAAGGGGAGGGAAAGAAAAAUAUAUUUGGGGGUGGGGGGAANNNNNNNNNNNNNNNNNNNNNNNNNNNNNNNNNNNNNNNNNNNNNNNNNNNNNNNNNNNNNNNNNNNNNNNNNNNNNNNNNNNNNNNNNNNNNNNNNNNNAAAGAACUAGAAGAGGGUGGAGUGGACUUUAGUGAAAAUCUUUUUUAAUGGAAAAAUAAAUAAAUGGGAUUAAAAUAUAAUUUUGAAAAAUAAAAAUACUGAAUUUAAAUUAAAUUAAUUAAAAAUAAAAAUAUUCAUUUAAUAUAUAACGUGUCGGAACGUGUCGGAAUUCUCUACUUUUUGAAAAAUAACGUGUCGUGUGUCGUGUCGUGUCGUGUCGCAGUGUCCGUGCUACCUAGGCCAAAACAUGGAGCCGCGGCCACCUCAGCCAGCGUUGUCGAGGAGUGUAGCAUAUUCCCGUCUCCUUUUUCAAAAGCCAAAAGAAAUUGCUCCGAAAGUCCAACCCCUAAGUCGCGUCGGUCGGGGAGAAGGCGGGAACUCGCUCGGACCGCGCGCCACGGGAGCUCGAGGGGGCAAUUCGGUACAUUCGGAGGGGCCGAAGAUAUCCUCGAGGUGCGAGGUGGGGACCACGCGUGGGCUUCGGUUUCUGAGCAGCUGACCGUCGUAGCGGCCAAGCAAAGUGGAGAGGAGGAGCGACGCGGGUCCGCUUUAAGAGACAACUUAAGCAGAAUUCACGAGGCAAAUUUCUACUCUGUUUUCGAGGAUUAAAGGUUCUGGGACAGUUGGACGGCAAUUACUCAGCAUCGUUUAAGCAAGCGCGGGAGAGAGAGUGCUGAGAGUAGUUAAUCCGAGGUCGAAGGGUGAGAACGGGCAGAGAUCACAGCAUUGAGUGGAUUGUGUUGUUUGAGCACUUCUCAGGUAAUCGAUCGCUUCAUUUUCUUUUGAUGAGUUUCGAUUUGACUUCUUAGAGACAUUUCUGCAUUUCUGCAUUCCGAGACCUGGACCGUGAAAUCUAGCCCUUUUUUCAAGGCUUUGCUCGAUCGAUCUCCCAUUUGGUCAAUCAGACUUCGUUUUUAUUUGAAUGUAGCUACGAAAUGACCUCUGACAGACAUUUAUGCAAUUCCCGAAUCUGGGAUUCCAUAUUUCUCUUCUCUAUUUCUUGCCUUUCUUUGAGGCUCUGUUCCAUCAAUCUCUUUUACUGCCUUUGUAGGUGAUUACAAAGGCGGAGCCUAAAAGAUCCGACAUUUGGGGUGUCUUCCUCAACCUCUUUUAUUGCCUUUGUAGGCUGUGCUCUUCCACUUCUCUCGAGAUGGAAAGAAAUGAAUCCACUCAUUCAGAAGGUCCGAAUUCUAAGGCUUCUUCAUCAUCGACCUCUCCACCUGUAGGUGAUUUUGAAGGCGGAACAAAAAAGACGGAAGGAAAUGAUUAUGAAGUUUUCUUGAGCUUUAGAGGGAAAGACACUCGCAAAGGUUUUACUGAUUAUCUCUAUACUAGUCUUGUUGGUGCAAGAAUUCACGUGUUCAAAGACGAUGAGGACCUUCGUGUCGGUGAGGAGAUAGGUCCGGAGCUUUUCCGCAGUAUCAUGCAGUCUAAAAUCUCCAUCCCGAUUAUCUCAGAGGACUACGCUUCUAGCAAAUGGUGCCUUCGUGAGCUGGCUCAUAUAUUGAAUUGCAAAAGAAACAGGGGUCAAAUAGUGUUGCCCAUAUUUUACAAAGUGGAACCCUCACAGUUACGAAAUCCUGCGGGGAGAUUCAGAGCUGCUAUCAAUACACAUAAAAAGAAUUUGGACAGAAUAGUUACGCAGGAAUGGGAAGAAGCGCUUGAAGAAGUCAGUUUCCUGAAAGGAUGGGAAUCAGAGAAAGUUGAAAACGGGUACAUUAUUCUCCAACCAAAAAAAAAAAAAAAUCUUUUAGAUCUUUCUUGAAAAAUCAUAUAAUCGUUGCCAUCCUAUAUUAAAAUUCAUUGUCAUUUGACAGGCAUGAAGGGGCAUUGGUUAAUAUUGUUGUCAGAGAAGUUAUGAGAAAGUUAAAAAGACUUUUUCUGCUAAAUGUUCCCGAACAGUUAGUGGGAAUUGAUGAUCGAGUGGAGCAGAUUAUGAGCCAAAUCGAUGGUAAGUUCAUUUGUACAUGGAUUAUUGGAAUUUAUGGAAUGGGCGGCAUCGGCAAGACAACUAUUGCAAAGGUAUUAUACAACAAACUCUCUAGUCAUUUUGAGGAUCGUAGCUUUGUGGCAAAUAUUCGACAGACAUCUGAACGCAAGGGCAUUGAAUGUCUCCAAAAGCAGCUCAUUGAUGACAUAAUAAGAAAUCCGUUUGAUGUGUCUAAUGUCGACGAGGGAGUCAGUGUCAUAAAAUCUCGAUUUCCAAGUAAGAAAAUUCUCGUUCUUCUUGAUGACAUGGACGAUAUUGCUCACUUGAAUGCUUUGGCUGGAGACCAUAAUUGGUUUAAAGCAGGAAGUAUAGUCAUCAUGACAACUAGAAACAAGAGUAUUCUUGACAAGGCUAGGGCAGACUGCAUGUACUUACUCAACGAGUUGCCUUUGGAUAAAUCAUUGAUUUUAUUUAGUAAACAUGCAUUUCAAAAGGAUUCUCCUAAGAGUGAUUAUGAGGUUAUCUCUGGUGAUGUUGUAUCUACUACUGGAGGGCUACCCUUAGCUCUUGAAAUUAUAGGUUCAUUUUUAUGUGGAAAGACAAAAAAGGUAUGGGGAGAUACAUUAAAGAAAUUAAAGCAAGUGCCUAAUAAGAUGGUGCAAGAGACGUUGAGGAUAAGUUAUGAUGCAUUAGAGUAUGAGGAGCAACAGAUUUUUUUGGAUAUAGCAUGUAUUUUUAUUGGAGAACAUAUAGAAGCUCCGACUUAUGUGUGGGAUGCGUGUGAUUUUUUUCCGGAGACGGGGAUUGAAGUAUUGAGUCGUAUGUCCCUAAUUAAAAUUGAAGAAGAUGGCGGUCUAAUGAUGCAUGAUCAGCUGAGAGAUUUUGGAAGGGAAAUUGUUCGCCAAGAGAAUCAAAGGGAACCUCAAAACCGUAGCAGAUUAUGGAUUACUAAGGAAGCCGCAGAUGUGAUUUACAAUAACAAGGUAAGAUUUUAUCUACAUCUCUCAAUUAGUGAAUGUGAGCCCAUCUUCUCUUUUAUGUUUUGAGAUAAAAAAUUAUUGUCAAUCCGGAGCCUCUAAAACUUCUUCUACUAGCAAAAGAGCUCUUCCGGUUAAUUGCUUAUGUUGUUUUUGCCUGACUCUUUUGAACAUAAUUGAGGACCAAUUUCUUGGUUGUUGAUGAAUUAUAUAUACCUCUAUCUCGUAGUAUUGUGAUGAGGACCCUCUCCUUUGUAACUUCAAUGCAACUAAAAAAUUACAAAAGCAUAAUAUUUGACAGAGCAUUUUCAAAGAAAAGCUGAUUUUCUAUAAAUUGUUGGCGGCCAUGCUUUUCCCUCGUACAUGUUUAAUGCACAUCCAUGAUGUUUGGAUUUUUCUUUUUUUGAUUUCUUGUGAGGUCUUUGCAUCCUUUUUAUCUUUUACUGAGUAUUGAGUUUCUUAUGGGUUGUUUGCUAUGAUAAAUGAGACUUCCAUUCAUUUAUGGUGACUAGCUAUCUUGGUCCCGUAUUUUUUAGAAUUGGGUUAAGUAUAGUUUUCGUCUCCUAAGUAUUACUAUUUAUGUGAUUUAGUCCCCUAUCAAUUUUUUUUAUUAUAAAUAUUAUAGUCUUUUCUCUUUCACAAUUUAUGUAAUCAUGUUCUUUGUCUUCAACCAUUAGUCACCACCAUGAUAUGACUUUCAUAUUUAUUUAAGAUAUAUGCGCAACCUUGCAAUGUAACCCUCUAAACAAAUAUUAUUUUCGUUCCAUAGACUUUCUAUAACAGUGCAUAUAUUUUUUCUAUGAAUUUGCUACUAUUAUAUUUUAAUUUUCUGACAAUGUAUAAUAUUUCUAUUAAUCCCCUAAUAACAUUUAUUUGUCAAAUAUUCACUAUCAUCCCAUAAUAAUCACUUCUUCAUAGCUCAACUCUUGGUGAGCAUCUUAUUUAACAAAAAGAUUUACUUAAUUUUAUAUCAUCAUUUGUUAAAUAUGGGCUAGCAUGUGACUUAAUUCUUGUAUCGAUUUUUUAUUUACCAAAUAUUGACUGCCACAGUAUAAUAAAUAUUUCUACAUCGUUCAACUCUUAGCAAGCAGUUUAUUUAGCACAUAUUUAAUACAUUUCUAUCAUUUAAUUGUUAAAUGUGAGCUUUCAUGUUAUAAUUUUUUUUUGGACGUUAUUAUAAUUUACUUAUAAAAUAUGACAAAAUAUUUUCUUCUUUUUUGGUAAGGAUAUGACAAAAUAUUUUCUCAUAAUGAGUAUUGCUAAAACUUUUAAUCAUAACAGCCAUCACUUAUUAUACGUCUUGUUAUACUUAUUAUUGAAGUUUAUGUUGUCAUGUAAUAAAGUCCUCUAAAUAUUAUUUUUUCUUCUAUGAUGGACAAUUUUAUUAAUUCAUCUACCUGUAAAGCAUGUUUAUUUUUUUAUUUUUUUUGGUGAUGGUGGUUACUUUUAGUCAUAAUGGGACACCUUUGCAAUCACAAUAGUUGUCACUAGUAACAUUUGAAAAUAGUUUUAGAUGGAAGUAAUAGAGCCGUAAGUUUCUGCUGCGCACUCUAGUCUCAGUAUCUCGAUUUUCUCUAUUAGUCUUAAACUUGACCAAUCUGCAAAAAUUGAAGGUGGUCAGCGACUUACACUCAUCCAUCAUAUACGAAUGAAAUGCUAUAUCGCUCUGAUCCAUUUCUCUCCAGCUCUUCCCAUUUCAUGUGUCUUGAUUGGUUUAAGGAAUGAGUUGGAUACAUGUCAAAUGAUUGAUGAAAUAAUUGGUAACUAAGCAAAAGUACCCUGCGAGCAUACUCAUGCAACUCACCAUCUCACAUUCUUCUUUUGAUCAAUGCAUAUUUUUUCUUUUUUCUCUUUUUUAAAAGCUCAUCCACAAAGGUAGUCUAUUCAUAUUGAGUUAAUUACGUAUGCACAUUCUACUUAAUCCUCCAAAAUACGAGAAAUUACAUUACAGUAGACUUCUACUGCUAUUAUGAUCUUCGACACUUGAUAAAUAGAGAAUCUAAAUAAUAUUUUCUUGCAUUUAUAAAGAGGACACUAUACAAAGAAGUUAUCACCAAAAAAAAAAAAAAAAAACAGAAGAAGAAGAAGAAGCAAGAGAUGUUGCAUAAAGAAGUAUGUGUUAUUAAGAAAUAAAAAUAAGGAAGUGGAAAGACAAAUGGAAGUAACGAAGGAAUGUUAAUAAAUAGUUAAAUUAUUUGUCGAAAUGGAAAACAUUCUAUAUUUUACCAAUAAAGAUUACACAUGAGUCGCAUGUGAAUAGAGGCAUUUCUCCUUUGUUUUAGGUUGCUAGAGGAUUGUUGAGUUAUGACUAAUGACAUAGCUCCAAGGAUUUUUUAUAUGAAUUUCAUCUUUAGCAAAAAAAGGAAAUUGUGUAGCAGAAUUUUAGUGUACGCGUGAAGUUGAGUUUCAAUAUGGUUGGAGAUACUUGUUCAAAAAAUUCUAAACCUAAUAUAACGACUAAUUCAUUUUCAAACUUUUAAAUACGAUUAAGGCCACUAUUUUUUUCCUCAAUGCAAUCCUUUAUCUUUCACAAUUUGGGCAAUCGAGCCCUUUGUUGUCAAGUGUUAGUUAACACCGUCAAUUUGCCAUGUGGCUUUUAAAAUUAUUUAUGAUGUGUAAAUAUUAUUUUCGUCCUAUAGACUUUUCGUGGUGGUAGUUUGUCACAUUAUUUUCGUCCAGUAGACUUUUCGUGGUAGUAAUUCGCUUGUGACAAUGGAUAAUUUUUCUAUUAAUCCCAUUUCUUUGGCAAAUAUAUGCUGGCACGAUUUAGUUGAUGAUUAUAUCAUUAUUUGUUAAAUAUGUACUAUCAUGGUGAAUAAGUUUUUUAUCCAUUUUUGAGAAAAUUAUCUAGAGAGUCUUAAACUUAUUGCAUUUUUACCAAUUCAGUUAUAAACCUUUCAAUUUUGUCAAUUCAGUUUUAAACCUUUUCACUUCUUGCUAAUUAAGUCUGUCUAGUUAAUUUUGGCUGAAAAUUGCUAACGUGGCCGGUUGGUGCUAAUACUUUUUUUUUUUGUUACUUUUUUUUCUUGGUUUGUAGUUAGGGCCGAUAAGGGUUACUGGCCAACCCUUGCCGGCUUGAUUGAUCCUUGCUGGCCUGGGGAAGGGCUGUGAUGCCCUCACCGACAAAAGCGAGGGCUCAAGCCCUCACUGGAUUUGGCCAAGCAACGGUGGUGACCUUGCUCGGGUGCUCGGGGCCCUCGCCUGGCCAAAUCUAGCAAGGGCAUCGCGGCCCUCGCCCACGGCUGACGAGGGUCAGCCGGUAACCGUCACCGGCCCUAACACCAAACCCAAAAUUAAAGAAGAGAAAAGUUAAAAAAAUUCAAAAUUCAAAAUUAAAAAAAAAUGCCACAUCAGCAAUUUUCAGCCAAAAUUGGUCAGAUGGACUCAAUUGGGAAGAAAUUAAAAUAUUUAGGAUCAAAUUAAUAAAAUUAAAAGGUUUAUGAAAAAAUAUAAUAGAUUUAAGACUUUUUGAACAAUUUUCCCUCCAUUUUUUAUUUGUCAUAAAUUGAUACCACGUUACAAUGCAUAUUUCAACAUCCUUCAACUCUUAGUAAGCUUUUUAUUUAGCACAUAUUUCGUACAUUUAUAAUAUUAACUUAUUUAAUAUGAGCUAUCAUGUUAUAUUUUUUUUUUUAUUGAUUUGUUAAUAUGAUUCACUUAUGAAAUAAACGGAAUGUUUCUCAUGUUAAGUAUCUAUAUAACUUUUUAAUCUUGAUAACCAUCACUUGUAUGUAUGUAGUCAUAUAACAGAACACUCUAACAAUAUAUUCUUUUUCCUUCUUUCAUGGACAAUUUUAUUAUAUUCACCUAUUGUAAAGCAUGUUAACUUUAUGUUAUGAUAGAUAUUUCUAGUCACAAUGGCUAUCACACACCCUUUCAAUCAUAAUAGUUGUAAUUUAUUAUACAUUUCGCUAUACUUGUUAUAGAAUUAUAGUCAGUCAUAUAAUAGAUGCAUGUUUAUGUUUAUGUUUAUGUUUAUGUUCUGAUAGAUAUUUCUAGUCACAAUGGCUAUCCACACACCCUUUCAAUUAUAAUAGUUGUAAUUUAUUAUACAUUUCGCUAUACUUGUUAUAGAAUUAUAGUCAAUCAUAUAAUAGAUGCCUCUAGACAUAUACUUGUUUUCUUCUUUGAUGUUUUAUUUUAUUUAUACUAUUUAUAAAGCAUGACAUAUAUAAAUUGUGAUUACGGAUAAUUACAAUUUAAUAUAUGAAUUUUAAACAUUUAAUAAUUAAUUUGUGGUCGAGAUUUAAGCUUAAUCAUAUGGUAUGUGAUCAUAUGAACAUAACUAUUUUUUAUUAAAUAAUUAAUAGUACGAUUGACAUAAUACUUAUAGCACAAUUAAGCAUUAACUAAUAUAAUUAGUAAUUAAGAUGAUCAUUUUAUUAUGAACAUAUAAUAUUAACUUAUGAAAAAGUUAGAUAACCAUAUCUAAUAAGGAGCCCACUAACAUUGUGCUAAUUAGUAUAUUAUAAAUAAUUUUUAACCUAAUAACUGAUAAUGAAUAAUCAAGAUAACAUUAUCACUAUUUCAUCAAUUAUUUGCCUAUUAAUUAACAUUCUAUUUAUUAAUGAUAUGAUAUGUGAUUAAAGUCAAGAUAAGUAUAAUUGAUGUUAUCAUUACAUAAUUACCACAAAUGAUUUUAGUUAUAAUUAAUAUGUACGUAGAUUAUAGUCAAUAAUAUAAUAUUGAUAGGGUUAGAGAAAAAAAAAAAGACGUGUAUUUUGGAAAUAGCUACUGUGGCCCGGUAGUAAUAGCUAUUACACAACGGGGUGAUAGUUAUUACAAUCUGGCAACGAUAACUUUCAUUGCGAGUAGAUAUUGUAUACUAUAACAGUCAUUACUGCAACCAUACGUGUUUUAAUAAUCUAAACGUACUCUGAUAAUCCAUUGCUAUAAAAUAUAUAUGUAAAUAAAGCGUAUAAAUGUGUAAAACUAAAAGGCACUGGUUAUUUGGUAAUCACAUACUUACAUUCUAAUUAAUCCUAAAAAAUUACGUGACACUAGAUUACUGUAGAAAAUGCAAAGUCUUAAAUCUUGUGCAUAGCACAAGAAUUCUACUACUAUUAGGAUUUGCAACACUAGAAAAAUAGGGAAUCUAAGCAUUCUUUCCAUGCAAUAUGAGAAGAAGACGUAAUAUAAAGAAGUUGUCACCCAGAAAAAGAAAAGAAAAGCAAAAGAAGCUGCAUAAAGAAGUAUGUGUUAUUAAUAAUAAUAAAAAAGAAGUGGAAAUGCAAAUGUAAUUAACUAAAGAAUAUUAGCAUAUAGUUGCAUAAUGUGUCGACGGGGACACGAUGUGGAAGGUCAUUCAAUUUUAAGUAAAUGGGCGUUGCAUGUGAGAAGAGGCAUUUCUCCAUUUUUCUAGUUAGCCAGAAAAUUUUUGAGUUAUGAGUAAUGGCAUAGCUCCAAGGACAUAUCUAUUGUGUAUAUAUAUAUAUAUAUAUAUAUAUAUAUAUAUUUUGGCACCCCAGGGAAUUUUCGUGUGCCGCUUCGCGGCGAAGUAAACCCUGAAGGAACAGUAGAGUCACCACUACCCUAGGUUCCUUUCUCGCAAGGCAAACAAUGCAGCGAAUUGAACUCAUUAUCUCUUUCGAAAGGAACCUGCGCUCAACCACUAUGCCGUCAUCAUGGGUGGUCAUAUCUAUUGUAUUUUGAUCUUUAAAAAAGAAAGAAUUUCUGUGCAAGACAAUUUAUUGUAUAAGUGAAGUUGAGUCUGUUUAAAAUUUCAUGUGGUCAUGCAAUGUAUUUAAAUGCAGAAAGAAGAUGAAUAGCAAAUCACAUAACAUACUAUUUCAAAACAAAUACCUUCUAAAUUACUAUUAAAAAUACAAAGAAACUGGUCUAUUCAAACUUACCCUAAAAAAAAUGGUGUCUGUUAAUGUAAACAUAAAAGAAGUAAAUAAUAUUUACUGAUACCACUAAGUGCAAAGAAAGAAAAGAACUAAAUAUAAUGCAUGAACGCUAGAUAAAGUCAUAUACAAAAUAUGCCAUUGAAAAUGCGAAGAGUAUUUGGUCUAAGUAUGUAACUUCCAAGGAAAGCAUCUAUUCAUCAAAAUAUGAAUAUUGUACUAUUUGUUAAAUGUCAUUUUUAGAAGAGAAAUGUCUUUUCAUGCAAUAAUGAAGUCAACGACAUUAAUUGAUGGGUACUUCUAUUUUAUAUUCGAGAAAUUAGAGAAACGCUAGUAGAAUAACAAACGAACCAUAUAAAUAAUCACUGGAGCCUAACUAAUCAUUAAAAAAUUCGAAAAGUGAUGCAUCUUUAAAUGUAAUACUUUGAAUGGGCAUGUUCGUUAAUGAGAGUAUGGAUGGGAGCUCUACUUAUGUAUGUUAUUUAAAAUAAACAUACUAUUUUCAUGAAGUAAAUAAUAUUAGCAAUAUAUUAUUUGGAGAUCCUAUUUUUAUCAUUCAACAAAUUGUGUAUGGUCAAUCAUAAAGACCAUACAAUAUUAAACUUGGAAGUUAGGUAUUUUAACGAUACAUACAUGACCUUAUUUUUAUAUAGAGAAUUGUCAAAUAUUACAUUUGUAUGAUAACAUAGCUUUACACUUAAUGAUAAUUAGUAAUAAAACUAAGCAACUUCAAAACCAUAUGCUUGCACAUAAGUAAUAUUAACAUAAUAUGAUUAAUCUUCAUGUCCAAUAUGUCUGUUAGCAAGGUCUUGUUAAUCUAUGGGCAAAUUGGUAAAAAAUUAGAUGAUUGCUAUUGCUUUGUAACAAAAUCAACACGAAAUGAAUAGAUAGCAUUAAACAUCUAAAGUAAUAAAAAGAGGAGUAAAAAUCAUUUAGAUAACAUUUGAUAUAUGUUUUCUUCCACACGUAAUGAAAAACACUCGUUGAAAAAACAAAUGAUAAGAAAGGAAUGUAAAAUACGUGUACUUCUUGGGAUGGAAUUCUUAUUUUCAUUUUGCUAUUGAGAAUUGCAAACAAGAUACAUAAGAAAAAGAGGGGGAUUCUACAAUUGGAUUCUUGAGUAUUGAUACAUGUUUUGAUGGCAAGUUUGNNNNNNNNNNNNNNNNNNNNNNNNNNNNNNNNNNNNNNNNNNNNNNNNNNNNNNNNNNNNNNNNNNNNNNNNNNNNNNNNNNNNNNNNNNNNNNNNNNNNNNNNNNNNNNNNNNNNNNNNNNNNNNNNNNNNNNNNNNNNNNNNNNNNNNNNNNNNNNNNNNNNNNNNNNNNNNNNNNNNNNNNNNNNNNNNNNNNNNNNNNNNNNNNNNNNNNNNNNGGGGACCCCCUCUUGAGCUUCACAUUUUUAUAUAGAUUAGAUAAGGAAUAUGUAACACAAUCUAUCAUGUCAUGAAGUCAAAGGUGAGAACCCCACAUCAUUAUAGUAUGACAACAUAGUUGAAAUAAUACAUAUUUUCUUGUAUAUAGUUAGUCUCAUCCCAUCAUCCAAUACUAUGAUCCACAAUGUUUUUCAAUUCUAGGGCACAGGUAAAAUUGAGGCCCUUUGUCUCGACAAAGAUGAUGGGAGAGAAAGCUACACGGUUGAGAACUUUAAACAAUUGACCAACUUGAGGUUCCUUCUAUUGAGGGGAGUGAACAUCACCGGAGAUUUUCACAACUUUCUUCCUCAAUUAAGAUGGCUUGAAUGGGAGAAUUGUUGCUUGGAUUUUGAAGAGGCUAACUUUCACCCGAAGAAAUUAAUCUUGCUUUACUUGCGAGAUAGUCAGAUUUCAGAGGACUGGGGAGGAUGGGGCCCAGUAAAGGUAAGUGUAGAGAAGGCAUAUCUUUUAAAAAUAACCACGUGUUAUCAACGGCCCCAAUUGUACCAAGUUCUCCUUUAUUUCUUCUGAAAAUCCUUUCUCAUAUAAUGGAUUUUCCUCUAAGCAUAAGAGGAAUUUAUAGGCACUUAAAUAUGUUAGAAGCUUUUGCCUCUUAAUAUUUCAACAACUAGUCACGCUUAACAUUAGACUUACUAAUAAAAACUCUUUUAAUUGUAUUAAUUAACAUCUAUCAAAAAUAUAAUUAUAAUAUUGUGCCAAUCUUAACUUUACUUUAAAUUGUGUAUGGUUUCUAGUUAAUUUCUCCCCAUGCAAAAGUAUGUCUUUUUAGCAAUUCUUGUUAUAUGUAUAUAUGGCUCUUCUUUCAUGGAGAGACAAAAACCCUCACAAUGACUUGUGUUUAACAUACAAACUAAAAUUCUAAAUUCAUAGUUACUUUUAGAGUAAUUGAAAUAAUUUGUGAACUGCUUUGACUUGUUGCACACAAUAUUUAUUCAUUAUUAUUGUUGAUUGUUGAAGUCAUUGUACAACACAUUUAUAAAGUAGUAAUGUUAUAUGAGUAAUAAAAUUAUCCUUGAAAUGGCAUUUAAAUAAUUUUAAUGCAACACCUUUUUUUAUAUCUUAUACAUAUAGCAUUCAAAAAUUGCUUUUUAUAAUUAAAGUAGCCAUUUCUCUUUGACUUAAUAAUAUUGAAGGAAAACAUAGCACCGAGUGAAUGCAUCUCUUUUCUUCCAUUUGACUUUGUCAUUUGUAAUUUGAUAAUAAAAUUUGCAUAUGUCUAAUUAAUAAAUAACAUCAUUGUCAUAACUUUGAAAAAAUAAAUAUGAUAGUUUCUAUGAAAUUUUAUUUGCAAAUAAUUGUAGUUAGUACUUUCACAUCCCUAAUGUUCUCUUUGCAAUGAUAUACUUAAAAACAUUUAUAUACUAGCUUAGUGAAUACACUACUAAAAAGAAACAUUUAAAAUUAAAUAAGAUAGCUGUGAAGGAGUAGGGAGCAUAGGUGUUUUUUUUUUUUUUUUUGGGUCCAAUCUCAAAAUGGUGACUUCUCUUUCUUUCAGAUGGCAAUGGAGCUCAAAAUUCUUUCACUUUUGAAUUGUGCUUUGAGAACAACUCCCGACUUUUCUGCUUUCAAUAGCUUGGAGACUUUGGAACUUUAUAAUUGUCAGGAUCUAGAGGAGAUUCAUCCUUCUAUCGAGGACAUUAAGACCCUCGUCACCUUGAUUAUUGGAAAGUGUCAUAAAUUGAAGGAGCUAACGCUAGGAGUAGGUAGAAUGAAAGAAUUGAAGAAUCUAACCAUUUUUGACACUCAUAUACGAGAAAUUCCUAUUUCAAGAGGUUGUUUGAUAAAGCUGAAGACUUUAGAUGCCUUAUUUUGUAGACAACUUGCUCGACUUCCAGAAUCCUUGGGCUCUCUUAUAUCGUUAACUCUGCUAAACCUGUCAAACACAGGAAUUGAAGAAUUACCCGAAUCCAUUGGAUCUUUGAAGAAGCUCGAGACUCUAAAUGCCUCUUAUUGCAAAUCGUUAGCCCGCAUACCCAACUCAAUAGGCAAUUCAACAUUUCUGUCUUGCCUUGACCUAACGGAAUGCCAUAAACUUGCUCAACUUCCAGACUCUAUAGGCUUCCUCGUGUAUCUACCGCGGUUGUUAUUGUCGGGAUGCCACUCGUUGAGACAAAUCCCAGACUCGAUCGGAAAUUUGACAUCAUUGAUAGAGCUGCAUUUGAAAUCUACGGCCAUUGAAGAAUUACCUGAAUCCAUUGGUUCUUUGAAGGAGCUCAAGAUUCUAGAUGCCUCUUAUUGCAAAUCGUUAGCCCACAUACCCAACUCAAUAGGCAAUUUAACAUCUCUGUCUCAUCUUGACCUGAAUGAAUGUCAAAAACUUGCUCAACUUCCAGAAUCCAUAGACUCUCUUGUGUAUCUACAAUGGUUGUCAUUAUCCAAAUGCCACUCAUUGAGACAAAUCCCGGAUUCGAUCGGAAAGUUGACAUCAUUGACAGAGCUGCAUUUGAAAUUUAUGGCCAUUAAAGAAUUACCUGAAUCUAUUGGUUCUUUGAACAAGCUCAAGACUUUAGAUGCCUCUUAUUGCAAAUCGUUAGCCCGCAUACCCAACUCAAUAGGCAAUUUAACAUCUCUGUCUCGCCUUGACCUAACGGAAUGCCAUGAACUUGCUCAACUUCCAGACUCUAUAGGCUUCCUUGUGUAUCUACCGCGGUUGUUAUUGUCGGGAUGCCACUCGUUGAGACAAAUCCCAGACUCGAUCGGAAAUUUGACAUUAUUGAUAGAGCUGCAUUUGAAAUCUACGGCUAUUGAAGAAUUACCUGAAUCCAUUGGUUCUUUGAAUGAGCUCAAGAUUCUAGAUGCCUCUUAUUGCAAAUCGUUAGCCCACAUACCCAACUCAAUAGGCAAUUUAACAUCUCUGUCUCACCUUGACUUGAAUGAAUGCCAAAAACUUGCUCAACUUCCAGAAUCCAUAGGCUCCCUUGUGUAUCUACAGUGGUUGUCAUUAUCCAAAUGCCACUCAUUGAGACAAAUCCCAGACUCGAUCGGAAAGUUGACAUCAUUGACAGAGCUGCAUUUUAAAUCUACGGCCAUUGAAGAAUUACCUGAAUCCAUUGGUUCUUUGAAGGAGCUCAAGACUCUAGAUGCCUCUUAUUGCAAAUCGUUAGCCCACAUACCCAACUCAAUAGGCAAUUUAACAUCUCUGUCUCACCUUGACCUGAAUGAAUGCCAAAAACUUGCUCAACUUCCAGAAUCCAUAGGCUCCCUCGUGUCCUUGCUGUGGUUGUUAUUAUCGGGAUGCCAUUCGUUGAAACAAAUUCCAGACUCGAUCGGAAAGUUGACAUCAUUGACGGAGCUGAAUUUGAAAUCUACGGCCAUUGAAGAAUUACCUGAAUCCCAUUGGUUCUUUGAAGGAGCUCAAGACUCUAGAUGCCUCUAUUGCAAAUCGUUAGCCCACAUACCCAACUCAAUAGGCAAUUUAACAUCUCUGUCUCACCUUGACCUGAAUGAAUGCCAAAAACUUGCUCAACUUCCAGAAUCCAUAGGCUCCCUUGUGUAUCUACAGUGGUUGUCAUUAUCCAAAUGCCACUCAUUGAGACAAAUCCCAGACUCGAUCGGAAAGUUGACAUCAUUGACAGAGGUGCAUUUUAAAUCUACGGCCAUUGAAGAAUUACCUGAAUCCAUUGGUUUUUUGAAGGAGCUUAAGACUCUAGAUGCCUCUUAUUGCAAAUCGUUAGCCCACAUACCCAACUCAAUAGGCAAUUUAACAUCUCUGUCUCACCUUGACCUGAAUGAAUGCCAAAAACUUGCUCAACUUCCAGAAUCCAUAGGCUCCCUUGUGUAUCUACAAUGGUUGUCAUUAUCCAAAUGCCACUCAUUGAGACAAAUUCCGAAUUUGAUUGGAAAGUUGAUAUCAUUGACAGAGCUACAUUUGAAAUUUAUGGCCAUUGAAGAAUUACCUGAAUCCAUUGGUUCUUUGAAUGAGCUCAAGACUUUAGAUGCCUCUUAUUGCAAAUCGUUAGCCCGCAUACCUAACUCAAUAGGCAAUUCAACAUCUCUGUCUUGCCUUGACCUAACGGAAUGCCAUAAACUUGCUCAACUUCCAGACUCUAUAGGCUUCCUCGUGUAUCUACCACGGUUGUUAUUGUCGGGAUGCCACUCAUUGAGACAAAUCCCAGACUUGAUCGGAAAGUUGACAUCAUUGACUGAGCUACAUUUGAAAUGUACGGCCAUUGAAGAAUUACCUGAAUCUAUUGGUUCUUUGAAGGAGCUCAAGACUCUAGAUGCCUCUUAUUGCAAAUCGUUAGCCCAUAUACCCAACUCAAUAGGCAAUUUAACAUCUUUGUCUUCCCUUGACCUGAAUGAAUGCCAAAAACUUGCUCAACUUCCAGACUCCAUAGGCUCCCUCGUGUCCUUGUUGCGGUUGUUAUUAUCGGGAUGCCAUUCGUUGAAACAAAUUCCAGACUCGAUCGGAAAGUUGACAUUAUUGAUUGAGUUACAUUUGAAAUCUACGGCCAUUGAAGAAUUACCUAAAAGCAUUAAGAAUAUGCAAAACUUGAGGAUGCUGGAUAUUGAUGGAACUCCCAUGAUAGAACUGCUUGAUGACCCGGGAAUAUUGGCAAAACUCAAAGGGUUGAGAGCUUCAACAUGGAAAAAUAUGGAAGGGUCACCUAGUAAUAAUGGCCAAUUGGUUUCGCCAAACGAUCUUGGUUUAGAUGAGCUUCAAAAACUAUCAAAAUUGCACUCUCGCGUACUAUCUCUAGGUAUCACUUGCCAAUCCUGCAUUCACUGAAUUUUUCUCAACUAAACUUUCUCAAGAAACGCACUCUUUCUAACUGGCUUAAAUGUCUCUCAAACCUUUUUAUAACAUGUUAUAGAAAAGCUAUGAAACUUGAUUUUGUAUCUUACAAAAGUUCAAGCUGUUAGUUGGGCAUUUUAUUUACCUUUUAUCUUGUGAUACAGAUCUCUUAAAGCGUUUCAAGACUCCUCCUGCCAACAACUUAGCCAUGGACUACCAAACAACAGAUGAACGUCCUUUGAAGAGAUCAAAACCUUUUGGAAUCUCAAAUGAAGUACUUAUUUCAUUUUGCUUUUUCUUUGCCGUUCUUCAGUUAUUAAAGGAUGGUUCCAUCUACAAAGAGAAGUAUUUUACUGAAUGAUCAAUUAUUUGUUAUGUGUGGAAUGCUUUGAUCAACAUUCGUAACUAGAUCCAUCAAACUUGUUACAUUCUCGCUAUUUUAAGUCUUCUGUUCCUGGAAGUAGGGAUUUUUAGUUUUCUUGAAUUAUGAAGUUAAGGUGGAAUAUAUUGUCCGUUCUUUUGUGUUUCUCUUUCUUAAUUAUCUUUAUUUGCACGCCAUUGAACGAAAACUUUCUGAAAGCGCACUCAUUUUGGUGCUAUUGCGGCAUAUGAUCAUGCAUUGAGAAUCUUCACGAGUGUAGGGGUUAUCUCACAUUAGUUGUGGAAGGAAAAAGUAGUUAGUUUAUAAUUGUGAGGGAAAGUCUCAUCCUUUAAGUUAGCUUUUAGGAUGAGAUAAGCCCAAGACCACCCAACAAAAAGAAACUUUUAGUUUUGAGGUUUCUAGAUACCCUUAAUUUUCAUGAUGUUAACCUAAUGAAAUUAUUGAAGAUUGGAAGGAUAACAAGAAAGUUUGAUGGAGAGAGAAAGGAGCAAAAGGGCUAGGAUUGUCAAUUUGUGUCCUCUUGUCAUAAUUGUGUUUGUACCUGUGUCAAUUCAUCAUGACUUCUAUUAGACAUGUCAACCCAUUGAAUUAGAUGAAAACAUGUAAAUAUCUCAUCAAGUUAAAUGUAUCGUGAUGUGUCUUAUUGGGUUGUGUUUGUGUUUUUCGUGUUUGGUAUUGUUAUGUAAACAGUAUGUGUCACUAUUGGCAGCAUUAAUGAGAAGCGUGGACUGGAUAGGUGUUGAUUACGUCUCCUCCCAUCAUGCAUGCAUUGUGCUCACGUAUGCUAGUACAAGAGGGGCUCUCAUAUGAGUCUUUUGCAUCUUUUGAGUGCCAUGGUUUUGAUCAAUUUUCUAAAGGACUCAUUAGUUUUGUAAUCUUCAUGACUUUCUAAUAGGUGAAUAAUUUGCCGGGAAAGAUUUUUCCCAUUACAUACAACUACCAGAGCUUUGGUCAGAGUUCUUAUUCUUCAGAUGACUUGCCUAGAA
rnacentral:lncRNA from 1 species